AGUGAUAGUUGUUUUAUUUAUAAUAUGAUAAUAACAACCACCUAGUGGUAGCUGAUUUAUUUAUUACAUGCUAAUAACAACCAUGAGUUGAUAGUUGAUUUAUUUAUUAUAUGCUAAUAACAGCUAUCAGCUAGUGGUUGAUUUAUUUAUUAAUUGCAGUCUUGUUCAUUUACUUCAGUCUUUUUAUUUAAUUAUGUUAAAUCAUAUGUGAAUCCUAAUUUGUACUUGUACUCACAGAAAAUAAACCUAAGAAUUCAUCAAAGGAAAUAAAAGAUAAACGACAAUACAAAUAUUGCGUUUUGUUUUGUCUUAUUUUUUAAAAUUUUAUUUUCAAAUAUAUACGCAUGCAUGAUAAAGAUUCACAAUUAUAUAUAUAUAUAUAUAUAUAUAUAUAUAAUCCGUCGAGGUGUUUUAGUUGACUAGCUAGUAUAAACUACCAUCUACCAAAUCGUUAUUAGCUAACGAGCUAGUGUAAAUUUUCAUCUUGGAAGCUAGUAUAAACUAUCAUCUAUAAAAUUGUUAUUAGUAGAGGAACUACGAAUGUAAACUAUCGUCUAACAAACUGUAUUAGUUGAUGAGCUAGUGUAAAUUACUAUCAUUUACCAAAUAGUUAGAUAGACUGUUGGCUACAGUCAAAUGUGUUUUGGAUCAAUUCCUAUAUAUGUGUGUGUGUGAAAAAUUCAUGAAAAUCUAAAACUUAGUUGUUUUGGUACUAUUGAAUUGAUUUAUCUUUUCAUCUUUAUUUUUUUUUAAUUUACUACCCGACCCAAAUCUUUUCUCUUCUCGUAUCAAUAGUAAGUUUAAGAUUGGAUGAUAUUUUUGUCCCUUCAUUUUUUGUCAAUUGAGUCCUUAAAGUGGUCAAUUGAUGUCAAUUCUGUCUCUUUUCUCCAAAUUAACCCAAUUUCUUCUAAAUUGAAGUACAUGCUCGGCAUAUAUAUGCGAUUUAAGUUGGGGCAAAAAUGUCUCCUAACACAAUAAUAAUAAUAAUAAUAAUAAUAAUAAUAAUAAUAAUAAUUCAAAAUUAUCUAAUGAAAAGACAUAAUUUAAGCAGUACCAUCUUGUAAUUUAUGUAAUCACUUUAUUUAAUAUCACAAUAAACCAGCUAGUGAUAGUUGUUUUAUUUAUAAUAUGGUAAUAACAAGCACCUAGUGGUAGUUUGAUUUAUUUAUUACAUGCUAAUAACAACCAUGAGUUGAUAGUUGAUUUAUUUAUUAUAUGCUAAUAACAGCUAUCAGCUAGUGGUUGAUUUAUUUAUAUAUCGUGCUAAUAACAACCAUCAACUAGUAUAUAGUUUCUUGAUUUACUGUUGAUCGGAAGAUUACUGAUCGUUCAUUUAGGUGUUGGUGGGACUAAUGUUAACACCAUAGAUAACUAAACCUGUCUUCAUAGUCACGUUUUCAGUCCCGUCAAGAGCAAAUAUGAUAUCUCCAUAGUCAAACUUAUUGAAGAAUUCCCCAGCUUUGAGCGAAAAUGGUGUGUUUCUCGGAUAAUUCAUCAAUCCAUAUCCGUUCACUUGCGAGGAUCCAUUCGGAAGAGUAAGUGUAAGACUCACCGGACUUGCUAUGUUAAAGUUGUCUUUCAGCAGCACCACAAAAGAUACCUCAUAAGAUAAAUUUUCAAGCUUUUCUGUCAUAUAGUUUCCGUCAACAUGUAGGACUAAGCUACCAAUUAAUUCAGCACUGUCAGGACUGUACAAAAUGAUAGUAGAAUUAAAGUCAGAAACUUUUGAUAUAAGGAGCUUAAAUUCAUUAGGUGAUUUUAUUGAUUUAUUUAUUUUUUGCUGGAAUAUUUUUAAUGCGAGUCCUUCUAUCUAACUAGACUUCAAUAAAAUUUCUAUAGUCCUUCUAUCACUUUAAUUUAAUGACAAAGUUGCUUAUAUAUCCCUAUUUUUAACUGAAUAAAAUUCAGGUGUUUAAACACAAAUCUUGACCUUUGACGUCAAUUAAGUUAACUAAAUCUUAUUUCUACUUACGUAAACUUCCAGCCUGAAGGGUUGGCAUAAUUGAGUUUACUGGCAGGUACAUAAGCGCCAGAACUCUGAAUAAGACGAGAAAAAAAAAUUCAUAUCAUCCAUUACAAAAAAAUUUCACUUGCAAAAUUUACAAAUAUUAAGGAUUAUUUUUGUUCUAUAGCCAACUUUAGCUAUAUAUAUGAUGUUUGUUUACAAUUUCAGUAGACUUACCUUCUGGCCUAUUCCGCCGUUUUGGAGCAACUCCAUUUCCUUGGCUUGGGACAACAAUGCCUUGAGGUCAACCUCAUUAUGCCUCACUACUUGUGCCAUCUCCUCGAUCGAUCGAUAACUAUCCUUUAAUUCUGCUAUAUAUAUAUAUAUAUAUGUAUUUUCUGUUUCUAUUCUUGAUGUCUAUAUAUCUCUCUUCCAAAGGCUAGCUCUAUUUAUACUGGCACAAACAGAGGGUACUGCGAUUAUUAUAUCCCAUAAUAUCCUAUCUUCAAAUAUUCCUUCCCUUUUCAAAGUAGGGAUCCGAUCCUGAUAAGUUUAACAUCAUCAUCAUCAUCAUCAUCAUCAUCGCCAAGGAUAUAGAGCAGCAGAUUCUGUUUAAUAAUUUUGUUGGAAUAAUUCUUUUCCAUUUCCCAGUUCAAUAGUUCUUUCUUUAGCUUGUUGCGCAGGCAAAAUUCCAUGAAGGCGAAAGGCACGUAGGCAUACUAGUUGUGGGCAAGGAAAUUGUACCUUGCUAGGGUUAGGAUUUCGUGUUGGCUGAGGAGGAGAGAAAUUCACGAAGAGCACGGAAUUGAUUGGUUGAUUGAAGAGGGGAGAACGACAGGUGGGCGAUUACUCCAACGACGUGUGGCAGAACCCCUAGAAUCCAGGAACCGUGUUAGGGUAGUAGGGAUUCCAAGAGCCUUCUUGAGUCCUUCGUUCUUGAGAGAAUGUCUAAACCCCUUUUAGUGCUUUUAGGUGGAAUCUCCGAGCCUUUAAGUCACCAAAAAGGGUUCUUUGAUCUUCCGAGAGUCCAAGUCUUGAGUCUAAAGAGAAGUCUCUUUCCCAAUGGAAUGGAAGGGUAUUUAUAGGGUUUUCUGGAAAGUAGUCAUGUGCGAGGCACAUGCUUUCAGGGAAAUUCCAGAAAUGCCCUUUAGUCAUUAGAAUAAUGCCCAUGUUGCCCUGUCCUUCUAGCCACCAAUCCAAUCCCUCAAUUAAUUCCCACAUCGAGCCGCCUCCACGAGUCUUCUGCCUCGGGACACGUGGAGGCUUCUCCCGGGUCUAGCACAUUUAUUUAUGACUUUUUCAUCUUCAUUCCAUUCGGUUAUGCGAACACUAAUUUGCACAUUUAAUGAGGCCGUGGAACCCUAAUUGCGCAUUUAAUUCAAUUAGGUCAUGUGAACUCUAAUUUUACACUUUGGCCCACAUUUGCCCCCUGCGCGAGAGUCGCAUUUUCAAAUAGACGAUCGUGCAAGAAAACUGCAAGCCUUUGAAUGAUUUUGCGGGACUUCACUUUACAUGUCUUGAAGACAAUAGUCCUAGAAGAGGGAACUCCUAGGGAGCCAAACCCUUAGAGUUAAACCCUAGGAAGGCAAGACCUAGCGAGGCUCUUCCUUGGACAUAUUGAAAAAUCUUCUGAAAUCUUUCUGUAUUUUGCCCAAUAUUUAUUUCCAAUUCCGCAAGCAGAUCAACUGUCCGAGCAGCCUCAAUACGAACAGAAACAGAUUCCGAUAACUUGGAAUGGAAAAUAGAAUUAAGACCAGGCAAAACAUUGAAUAGAGCGAUGUAGAGAUCUAAAAUUUCAAACAACUUGAGAAACGAUGGACGGGUACUACUAACGCCUUCUGCAAAGUUAAUCAAGUGCAAGGCGGAUUCUUUAACUAUACCCAUAAAACACACAUCAAAUGUGGAGUUACCAAGUCCACUAAAGAUUUGUUCACAGAGUUUCUUCUCCUUUAUGAAGAGAUCUUCAAAACAAACACGAGAUGCUCGUAUCCACAAUUUGAUCUUUGGUGCCAACAUAUCCCACUCCAAACUCCGGAACUCACCGAUGCUAUAUUUACCGACGCCGAGGUGUCGAAAUUCUGCAUCCACAAUCAACUUCCUUGAAGUCCUGUAGAAUUCAACGCAGUCGCCAACAUUACCGGCUGAGUUCAAUCGUUCAAUGAUACUCCUAAAACCAUAAACUUCGUCAAUAUGUCCAUCAUCCUGUAAUUCAUAGCUAAAAGUAUCGGUUAUUGUACUUGAAAAAAUGGUAGAACUCCUAUCGGCCAAGAAAGCAUUGUGGACUCUGUUGGUUUGUCGGGUCAAUAUGACCCGAAACUCUAACGGAAGGGUUUCCAUGCCCGUUUAGAUCAUGUUUUGAUGCUUUCAGUUUGGGGAUCUGAGAUUAUUCUCGAUCGUCUGAAGCUCGUCAAAAGUACUGAUCAAUCUCAUGGCGGUCUCCGUCGAAGUCGAAGAUGAUGAAUUUAAUAAUUCCGCCCGAAUAUUUUGUGUUCUACCAAUUCCAUUCAGACAAUACAAAAGAGAUAUAUAUAUCUGCCUAAAAAUUGAAAACCGAAAAUCAUCUCUGAACAGCAGGCUUUGAAAAUUACUCCUACUAGUAGUUUAUAAAUAUAAAUACUUUGAAGAUUGUAAGAAGUUCAUAGCCAUCCACUAGUAAAAGUACUUACCAUUACUAAUUGAUGUCACGUUACCGCAAUUAGGACGGAGAGAGAAAGUCGGACCAACUCUUUUUUUUUUUCAAAUCAAACAUUAAUUUUUUAUUUCCAAAAUCAAAUCUUAAUUUUUAUUUUCAAAAUAAAAUCAAAUCUUAAUUUUUUAUUUCCAAAAUAAAAUCAAAUCUUAAUUUUUUAUUUCCAAAAUAAAAUCAAAUCUUUCUUAAUUUGAAAAGAGAUUUUUUUUUUUUGAAAAUGAAAUAAAAUAAAAUCUCUCUUUUUUUUUUUUGGCAAAUCAAAUCAAAUCAUUUUUUUUUAUCAUUCACGCAAAAGAUUUAAGUGCAUGAAUAAAAUAAAAUAAAAAUGCAUGAAUUUAAGAGUCAUAUAAUCUCACAGAUCUAAUGAAGGGGAAUUGCCACAUGCCUACGACAUUCUCUAUGAAAAAAAUGAUGAAUUAAGGCAAAACGAGAUCCAAUCAUGUAUUAUUUUUUUUUUGAAAAUAAAAUAAAUCUUAUUUUAUUAUCUUUCAAAAAAAUAAAAUAAAAUCUUAUUUUAUUAUUAUUAUUUUUUAAAAUAAAUAAAUAAAUAAAUAAAACAUUUACUUAUCUUAUUUUUAAGAAGUAAGGAGUCGAUGAGAAUGUCUUGUAUCCAUAUUGAAGCCUUUGAUAAUUCUUUGAGCAAAGAUGAUUAUAGCUUUUUGAUGAUUCUGACAUCUUUUAUAUGAGACAAGUCUUCACAUGCUUCCGAUUUUUAUUUGCCAUAAAGAAAGAAUCCAUUAAAGCUUCACAUGCCAGUUGCCACUCCUCUGUUAGCCAACAAAAAAAAAAAACAUUGUUUUGCUGCUUUAUUUGGGUGUUAUAGCCACAGGCAAGCCUCUUUCUAUCCACGCCGAACCCUACUGAUUCAAUUUUUUAUUAUUUUUUUUUUAUUAAAAAAAAUCAAGAACUUUUGGAACACUUAUAUUUAGAAGAAGCUUGUACGUAUGGGAAUUGAUGAUCCAAAAACCCACAACCCAAUUCUUAAUCUCAGUUUCUUUCUUGCUAAUCUUUCUCAGUUGAUGAACCCUUUGGAUAAUAUUAACGAUCCUCUUAGGAGGUUGCAAUAUUCAGAUCCCACUCAACUACUAGCCAAAAUCCAAAUUUUACAUAACCUAUUGCAGGCCAUAAAUGUGAGUCCUUCUUUCCCAAAUAUUAAAGUAGUAAACGUGAAUAAUCUCUUGGGAUCAUAUAAUUAUCUUAGCCAAUUUGAUGGAGUGAUCACGAGUGAAGCUAUCAACCCCAUGAUUAAUCCUAUCCCCAACAACCGGCCUUUAAUAUAUAUACUCCAAUCCCAAACUCAUUUGGAUUCUUUAGCCCACAAAUAUUUAACAAUGUUAAUAGCUUAAGUGGUGUUGCAUGCAAUAUUACUCAUCAAACUGAAAAUCAGCUUCCGGAAAGUUCCAAUACCAAGGAAAUGGACAGUAUGAAGCCUACAAACAUCCCCUCCGGUUCAACCAACUCUGACAAUAUCUUUGAGGUUUUGGAGAAAUUUGUUGAUUGUGAUCAAGCCAAUAGUACUUCCUUCUUGCUUCUUUUUUUUUUUUAUUCAGGUAACUCUAGUCUUUCUUUUGUCUUCCGAGCCCCAUUACCUUGAUCAUAUCUUGGUUUUUUCCCUCGGAUCAUAAAGAAAGAUUGGUAUUUUUUUUUUCUUGCAGGCCCUCCCUGUUGAACAUUCUGCAGACUUGGGAACAACCAAGGAGGCCCCGUUUCUCAAUAAUUGGGGAAGGGAUCCCCUCUUUUGGUCUUUCCGACGUCUUUUGAGAGCGAGUCUAGACUUAUAAUCGUACAACACUUCCUCCGCCAGAGAAGAAAGGCGUGUUUCUUUAUGUCGCGGCUUGCGGAGGUUUGGGUGACUUCCUCCCUUCCGAUCGCAUUCUCCGCAUGUGCAUAGAGAAACAAGAAUAGCCUUUCAGUCCCUUUCGCUUCCUGUCUGACUCAUCUGACCGCCUUCAAGGAUGGCAACAUUGGACCGACUUCCCGUUGUGUGCUCUUCUUCAUACACAUUCAUUACUACUUGGGGGGGAAUUCACCCCUAUUCUAGAGGAUGUCUCUGCCCUCCACCAGUAGGUCGUACUUCGGUUUGCCCCCUGCACGUGAGUCACACCUUUGGUGGGACAACCGUGCAUAAUUUCUCCAGCAUUGAAAUCUUGCUACAAAUUUCUUAAUGAUUCGCGGAGCACGAUGGUGCAAGCCUUGAACAUAAAAUCCCUAGGAGGGGAGACCUGUAGGGGGCGAGCCCUAGAGAAGCUCUCCCUGGCUAUCUUGGAAAAAAUCUUCUAUCUUAUCCUUCCGAAUAUUACUUUCUUUUGGAAGUUCUCUCAUUUUCAAAAUUAAGAAGUCAACGAGAAGGCACCGAGUGAACAUACUUCAAAUUGGGGUGAACAAGCGAUGAAGGAGAUCUUUCCUCUAGGUACCCGAAUCCUGAGCGGCUUCAUUCUGGAACAUUGAUUAACGAGCUAGGAGAAGUAAAAGGUAAGAGGGGAGAGCCUCUGUAGGUGUUUGAACCCCAGGGGCCGAACCCUAGAAGACUGCCUAUUCCUUCACUCUUUUUUUCCUUCUUCCUUUCACUUGAAUCUUGGUCGUGUCCUAGCUUGGUUCCCCAAUAUAGUUGAUCGGAUACAUCUUCAUAGGACCCUUCUCCAGAUUUUCUUGCUCGAUUGUCUUCUGAGACUUAUUCUCGAAAUGCACAUUCUCUCUCUAUUAUCUGUGAGCAGAAGACUUAGAGGUGUUUUAGUUGUGAAGUUGAUGACUUCUCGAUCCUUCUUGGGCCUUGACAUGUCUCCCUUCCGUGCUAAGCUGGAUCUCUUCACUUUCAGUUAUCAUGUCAUUGCACUUUGUUCGGAGGUCACUUCACGUCCUCAUGAGAAUGACUUUCUUUAUGUAAGGGCCUCAGGAGCUUCAGGACGUCAUGGAUAGAUUGAAGGCCAAGCUUCGGGAAAUUGAUUCAUCUGCCCAAGACCUUAAGGAACUGUUAGCCUGAAGUUCGAAAGGCUCGAGAUACUGCCAUUGUCGACUUGGAGGCUUUAGCUAUGCCCCCAGUUCAGUUUGAUGUAUCAUGACCUUUGGAUCAUGACUUCAUGUAGCUUUUAUUUCUUCCAUCACUUUUGAAGAUAAAGUGUAUUAUCGAGGAUUUCAGGGUCAAGUGUCUCAAUCACUUUUGAAGUUGAAAGUAUAACUCUUUUUUUUUUCUGGAUCGAGGGCUGAUUAAUCAGGUGCCUCAUUACUUUUGAAGUUGAAAGUAUAACUUUUUUGGGUCGAGGGCUGAUUAAUCAGGUGCCUCAUUACUUUUGAAGUAGAAAGUAUAACUUUUUCGAGUCGAGGGCUGAUUAAUCAGGUGCCUCAUUACUUUUGAAGUUGAAAGUAUUUUUUUUUUGGGUCGAGGGCUGAUUAAUCAGGUGCCUCAUUACUUUUGAAGUAGAAAGUAUAACUUUUUCGGGUCGAGGGCUGAUUAAUCAGGUGCCUCAUUACUUUUGAAGUUGAAAGUAUAACUUUUUUGGGUCGAGGGCUAAUUAAUCAGGUGCCUCAUUACUUUUGAAGUAGAAAGUAUAACUUUUUCGGGUCGAGGGCUGAUUAAUCAGGUGCCUCAUUACUUUUGAAGUUGAAACUAUAACUUUUAAGAAAUUUGCUCUGAUCAAAAUUUGAUGUAUUUAUUUAACGAUCAAGAUAUAAUACAUUUUUUUUUCAUUUUCUAGUCUGCUAGGGCAGUAGCUUAUUCAGCAUUAUGCUUCUUAUUAUAGUUCGAUUUCACCUGCCGCUAAUUUUUCAUGAUAAAUUCUCCUCAAAUUACGACAAUUCAUGAUGGAAUGUCCUGGGUAUUGAUGAUACACGCAAAAGUCUGAUCUCUUCUUCAUCUCCUCGGUCACAACAAAUCUGGGUUUUGGAGGCUUCACCAUUCCAUUUUCUACCCAUUUCUCAUACAAAUCUUUAAAUAUCUCCUCACCACAAGUGAUAGCUUCGGGCUCUAGCGAAUUUAUAUUCUUUUUGAUUCUUUCCCUCUUGCCCCCCUGUGGCUCUGACUGAGAGUCUGUCAAAGCCGUAGUAGCUGUCCUCUUACUCUUCCAGGUAGCAAUCGGAUGGUUCACAGAUACUGCCAUAAUUUCUCCAUGGUCCUGUGCAAAGGUGGAAAGUGUCGCAAAGGAAUCACAAGACUUAGUGAUCAAGUGGGGCUUGAAGGCGUCGAGGGCGCCGUUGUUGCAAAUACUCACUAAAUUCUUCUCUUCGAUUGGCUCCACACACUUCCGCGCCUGGGCCCGAAAGGUGGAAAGUGUCGCAAAGGAAUCACAAGACUUAGUGAUCAAGUGGGGCUUGAAGGCGUCGAGGGCGCCGUUAUUGCAAAUACUCACUAAAUUCUUCUCUUCGAUUGGCUCCACACACUUCCGCGCCUGGGCCCGAAAUCUGUCAACAUAAUCAGAUAACUCCUCAUUCGAAUUUUGUUGAAUUCUCAUAAGCUCUAUAAUUGACACUUCCUUCUGAACAUAAAAGAAUUUUUUGAAAAACUGGUGUUUCAUAUCAUCCCAAUCUCGAAUCGAACCCUUCUCCAAAUUGUAGUACCAGCUGAAGGCACCGUUAGUGAGCGUCUUGUUAAACUCCCUCAAUAGAAUAUUGUGGUUGCUCACUUCAUCUAUUCCCAACCACGAGGACAUCGACUCCACAAAUCUUGCAAUAUGCUCUCUCGCAUUCCCUUUCUCUCCACUAUACUUAGGGAACUGAAGUGGAUGUUCAAUGUACCCAGCAGGGUAUGGCUGUCUUCUCACAUGCGCCGGGUAUGGUGGGGUGAAAUCCAGUUCCGCAGGCCUGACUGUCUGUCUACGCAUCUGAUUGAUUACAUCCAUCAUGUCUUCCCUUGUCGCAUAUUGACUGGUUUCUGGAGCCUUUUGGGACGUCAUCGCAUACUGGUUUAUCUGAGGUGUAUGUGGAACACAUGUUGAUGCACACUUGCCUCAUGUAAGAUUGGUUGUACUUGCUGGAUUAUUGGUUGUAUAUGGCUUGGGAUGGUUGGUAUCUGCACUUGUGAAAAUGCUGGGAGUGUAAUCGGGAUGAUGUUUAGCUGAGGCUGGCUAGCUUCCAAUCUAAGUGGUGGUACAUCACCACUGUUCUGGGGCUCCAAGUUGAUGACUGGAAUCGGCUGACUCUCCAUUGCUGGAGGUAUAAUCUGAUUCUCUUUGUUGUUGUUGUUGUUGUCCUCCACUUCUCCUGCUCGUCCCCCUUGCGAACUUCCUGGGAACAUGGUCUUGAAAGUGGGGAUUUGCAUCAACUGCUGGCAAAAAUUCUCCAUUUCUUCUUGCUUUCUCUGCAUCUCUAGCAUCAUGGCCAUCAUCAUCCCUUGCCCUUCUCGUGCUUCUUUCAAUGCUUUAAGCAUCUCCAGUUGCACAGCAUUCGUCUGGUCUCCCCCUGCAUCUUCGCCUUGCCUUCUUGCAUUGGUUUGUUGUUGAUUGGCCAUAUGUGGUGAUGUCGAACUCCCUUCCAAAGCGUCUUCAAUAAUUGGUUGGUCAAAAUCCAGGUUUGCGCCUUGGAAAACUUGAGUUACUUGUCUUGGAACUGGAUCCGGUGACGUAAUGCUAUUUGUUGGUGAAGCAGCUCUUCCUGUAAUUCUCCCACUUCGAGUCGUGGGCAUACCCUUCACGAAUUAUACACCUCCCCAGCAGAGUCGCCAAAGAAAUGUGGGCAAGGAAAUUGUACCUUAGUAGGGUUAGGGUUUCGUGUUGGCUGAGGAGGAGAGAAAUCCACGAAGAGCACGGAAUUGAUUGGUUGAUUGAAGAGGGGAGAACGACAGGUGGGCGAUUACUCCAACGACGUGUGGCAGAACCCCUAGAAUACAGGAACCGUGUUAGGGUAGUAGGGUUUCCAAGAUCCUUCUUGAGUCCUUUGUUCUUGAGAGAAUGUCUAAACCCCUUUUAGUGCUUUUAGGUGGAAUCUCCGAGCCUUUAAGUCACCAAAAAGGGUCCUUUGAUCUUCCGAGAGUCCAAGUCUUGAGUCUAAAGAGAAGUCCCUUUCCCAAUGGAAUGGAAGGGGUAUUUAUAGGGUUUUCUGGAAAGUAGUCAUGUGCGAGGCACAUGCUUUCAGGGAAAUUCCAGAAAUGCCCUUUAGUCAUUAGAAUAAUGCCCAUGUUGCCCUGUCCUUCUAGCCACCAAUCCAAUCCCUCAAUCAAUUCCCACAUCGAGCCGCCUCCACGAGUCUUCUGCCUCGGGACACGUGGAGGCUUCUCCCAGGUCUAGCACAUUUAUUUAUGACUUUUUUGUCUUCAUUCCAUUCGGUUAUGCGAACCCUAAUUUGCACAUUUAAUGAGGUCGUGGAACCCUAAUUGCGCAUUUAAUUCAAUUAGGUCAUGUGAACUCUAAUUUUACACUUGGGCCCACACUAGUAAAUGAUGAUUUUCUUCUAACCAGAAGUAUGAGCAGGUUAAAAGUAGAAGAAUAAGCAUCUCGCAGGCCAAAAAUCAAUAAAAAAACGAAAAGAAGAAAAAGAAAAGAAGAAGACAGCAAUAGCAAGACCAUAUUUUUCUUCUUCUUUCUUUUUAUCUUUUCUUUCUUUCUUUUUUGUUUCUUUUUAGACGGAGGGUUUUAUUUCAUCUUUGAAAAUAAACCUAAGAAUUUAUCAAAGGAAAUAAAGGAUAAACGACAAUACAAAUAUAUAUUUUUAUUUUAUUUUCAAAUAUAUACGCAUGCAUGAUAAAGAUUCACAAUUAUACACACAUAUAUAAUAGGCUACAACCAACAAUCUACUAAACAAUUUGUAAACCAUCGAGGUGUUUUAGUGACAACCUACCGUCUACCAAAUCGUUAUUAGUUAACGAGUUAGUGUAAAUUUUCAUUUUGGAAGCUAGUAUAAACUAUCAUCUCUCAAAUUGUUAUUAGUAGAGGAGCUACGAAUGUAAACUAUCGUCUAACAAACUAUAUUAGCUGAUGAACUAGUGUAAACUAUCAUUUACUAGAUGUAUGAGCAUGUUAAGAGUAGAAGAAUAAGCAUCUCGCAGGUAAAAAAAUAGGAAAAGAAGAAGACAACAAUAACAAGGCCACAUUUUUCUUUUUCUUCCUUUUUAUCUUUUUUUUUCUUUUUUGUUUGUUUUUAGACGGAGGACUUCAUUUCAUCUUUGAAAAUGUGGGUAAAGAAAUUGUACCUUAGGUUUUCAUGUUGGCUGAGGAGGAGAGAAAUCCACGAAGAGUACGGGAUUGAUUGAUGAAUUAAAGAGGGCAGAAGAACAUGUGAUCAAUUACUCUAAUGACAUGUGACAAAACUUUUAGGAUCCGAGAACCUUCUUAGGGUGCCAAAGAUCCAGGGAGUCUUCUAGGGUGUGCUUCGGGUUGAGAGAGAAUCUCCAAGUCUUCAAUCUUUCGAAAAGCCCUCUUCUUCAUAGAAUAGAAGGAGUAUUUAUAGAGUUUCCUGGAAAGUGGUCACAUGACAGACAUAUGACCUCGAGCAAAUUCCAAAAAUACCCUUAGUCACCAGAGUAAUGCCCAGAUCGUCCUGUCUUUCUAGCCACCAAUCCAAUUCCUCAAUCAAUUCUCAAAAUGAGUUGCCUCCAUAAGCCUUUUACCAUGGAGGCUCUUCCUUGAUCUCAUGAUACAAAGCUCUUAUUGCUCAAACCAUGCUUACUUGCUCUUCCUUCUUUAUUUAAGAAUCUCGUCGCCAGAAAUCAUCGGAAGAACUCUGCGCAAGACCCGGGAAGCCGCGUGUUACAAACCAGUCCCACAUCGAAAGAUAUGGAAAAAAAUUAGUCUAUAUAUAAGGAAUUAUGUUACUACCAAUAAUAUACUUUUAAGUCAUGACCUUUUGGGUGAGCCUGUGGUGGGAUAAGAUGACCCAAUAAUAUACUAUUGGGUCAGUGGUUUAAGGCCUUGGGAUUCGGACUUGGGAUUUGACCCAAGAUUUGUUUUGGGCAAUUUUACUCAGGUUGUUACAUAUGGUAUUAGAGCCGACUCUCGAAAGCUCGGGUCGGAUCAUCCGAUCGGGUUGCCGGAAGUGGGGACACGAAACCAGCCGAUAUUAUCCCACAAUGGCUAAAGAGGCAAAGAUCUGUGGAACGUAUAUGUGAUCGAUUUUGAUGGAGAUGUCAAAAAUUUAAGUGGGGUAGUUUAUAACACCUCAGUCCCACAUUGAAAGAUAUGGGAAAUACUAUUGUGCAAUGAUUUAAGCUAUCCAGCUAUAUUGUUAUAGUUUGGAUAUAUUCCAGUAUGAGAAUUAACAAACCCUGAAAUGGGAUAUUUUUAUUGCACUCUGGGAGUGGUGACGUUGAACAUGGAAGUUGUUCUGGAUAAGAUAGUAUUGAUUAAUAAAGGGCAUAUAUAAAGGGCUGAUCAUCCAUCGUGCUCAUAAGAUAAGAUGGUUCACAAAUAAAUUUUUAAGAAAACCUUUUCAAGAAAAGAAAAAGCUUGUUCACGGUCUUAUGACCUCUCAGAUGUUCAAUAUUGAUAUGAUAUUCCAGGAAUAUGAAUGAUUCAAGAUUUAAUUGCUUUACAGUUUUGUUUCACUGUUAAAGCAUGUCUCAAAGAAAACAUUUAAUUAUUGUUAAGAUAUUAAAGAAUGCUAUUACUUAUUGAGCAAUUGAAUGCUCAUUCUUGUUUUGUUAUAAAUGUUUUCAGCUAAUCAGGCUCCAACGGAGGGGUCUAAUAGAGACAAAGGAAAAGGAAAAGCUACUGAGUAGUAGGUAUAUGUUGUAAUAAAUAGUUUAUAUGUUUGUAGAUAUUUAACUAUCAUGUAAUAAGCACUUAAUGGUUACGUACCUGGUAUUAGAAGAACUCUGAUAUAAUAAAUCUAUCAAGUUUGAUAUUAUAUUAUGUUGAAUGCUUGAUAUCUUGAAGCACUGAAUAAGGGUUUAAAAUACCCGAAUUUGGGGGCGUCACACGCCCGAUUCGCCUCCUUUGCGUAUGUUUAACAUGCUCAUACAACUUGUCUAAUACUCCAUUGAUUAAUUCUAAGUAUCAUUAUAUUUCAUAACUUUCAUGUUUAAUAACUUAGAAUAACAUAUUUUAUCGUCAAAAGCAUCCACGUAGUACGAGCAUGCCCGACGCCCUCCGAUCGCCUCCGAUCGAAUGCACAAUAGUCCUAAAAAUAGCCAUUUUAGCCCCUUCUCCCGACCUCAAAUCUCAAAACUUAUAAAAUAAAAGUUUUAGGUCAACUUCUAAUAUUUUCGAAUCAUCUUGAAUCACCUCAAUCAGAGUUCGUAUAAAAAGGUUAUGCAUGUUUUACUAAAGAACGUCAAAGCUGACUUUCUGCACUUUUGGUUCAGCGCCCAUCCUAGGCCUAUUUCCAACGCCCCGGGGCUGGACGGCAGUACGUUCUCAGCCAAAAACUUCAAUUUUCAAAAAUCUUCAGUUUUGAAUGAUUUCAACAUGUCUACUUUGAAAUAUCAUAAAUUUCUCCUCCGAUAUCGAAAUGAGCUCGUUCUUAAUGGGUUGAAAAGCUUGCAACACCCUCUACAAAUUUCUCAGGACAAAAUAAUUUUCUGGAUUCUCUAACAAUCCUUUAAACUUUCUCAAAAGUCCAUCGAGACUAAGAUUUUUAUCAUUCAACAUACUUUACCAAAAUUUUCUGCCAUGACUUCGUUUUAACAUAUUUUUACUCCGUUCCAAUUAGAAUAUCUUCAUAAAUUCCUUAUCUAUAAAUCCUUAUUCCCGAAUUUUAUUUAUUACAACCCUAUCAACAAUAUUAAAAUCCAAUUUAAGUACUCUAAAUAAAUAAUGUCUAUCCUUUAAGCUUUGGCCUACGAUUCCAUUCUUGUUACCACUUCUUAUGCAAUUUAACAAGUUAUUUAUCAUGAUCAAAGCACACAUAACUUUAUUUACUCAAGGUCCUUCAUACUCUUUCAUUAAACAACCAUCGCCAACAACUAAUGAUUCAAGAAAGACUUCACAGAAAUGAAAAGAUGGAUGGUUCUUACCUUCUUAGUUAUUCUUCUUCUUCCUAGCUUAUGCUUUGUUAGCAUGAUAUACAUUGUUGGGCCCUCCAUCUACCAACUUAAGCUUUUAAGAUAAGUUGGUUACUUAACAUGGUAUCAAAGCUUUGGGUGUGCAAGGUCUUGGGUUCGAAUUUUUCCAGCUGCACAAUUAUCUUUCUAUUAAUUUAACAGUGCAAAUGCACUUUAAUUUCUCCCUUCUCUAUAAAAAAAAGUUGCGUUUGAGAGGGAGUGUUAGCAUGAUAUACAUUGUUGGGCCCACCAUGCAUCUAACAGCUUAAGCUUUUAGAUGAGUUGGUUACUUUGCUCUUCUUUCUCUUCUUAUUGGUAUUCGGCCUCUCUAUUUCUCUCUCUCUCUCACUCUCUUGUUUUCUUUCUCUUCUCUCUAGUUUGCCCUCUCUUCCUUUUUUUUUCUUGCAAAUGAAAUGAAUUGGCUAAGUGAAAAAUCCUCUAGAUCAAUUGAAUUCUCCACUAACUAACUCAACCAUACUUCUAAGGUUAGGUUAACUCGUGUAGGGUUAGGGAAUGAUAGGAUGACACUUGUAAGCUUAAUGUUUAAGGAUGACAAGAAGAUAUAAGCUAGCAUUAAAUUAAAUUUUCACCUUGCUAGAUGAGUCACACAUACUCUCCCUUUUGCUUCUUUAAUUGGUUGGAUCACCCCUCCCUUUCUUAGCUCAUAUUUUAAUUAUCCCAUGUGGGAUAAACAUCAAUCCUCUCCCUUAUCUUACUUUUUCACCCAACUUAUCUUUUAUGAGAUAACUACUAAGUCUCAUUCCUUAUCUUUUCUUCGAUAAGCCUUGUCAUUAAUCCUUAUCUCUUCCUUGUUUUCCUUCAACCCAAACUUACCAUAAAUAGAAAGUUUCCAUCUCACCUUCUCUCUUCUCCUUGUCCAUAUUCAAAUCCCCACAUGUUUAAUUCUAGCAAAUGACACUUGCCCUCUUAUAACUUUGGCUCCUAGUUUGGCUCACUUUUUGGCUCAAAGACCAAGCCAUGGCUCCUAUCCUUUGACUCUAAGCUUAAGCCACUCAAACCUUAGGCUCAACCCUUAGCUAAGCCCCUUUAAAUUCCUAACCAAGUCAUUUAAACCUUAGGUUUGGUUAGACUAGAAUUAAUUUAAUUUCUCUUUUUCUUUUAAAUUAGUUAGAUUUCCUAAUUUUUUAGUUACAUUUUUCGUAAUAUGCUUGGUUAGCUGACAAUCCGACUUUUGAUUUUCAAAAAUCCAAUUUCGCCACCAUUCCUUCUUUCCCGAAUAAACGCUAUGUAGUUCUUCGAAAUUUUAAAAAAAACGAAGUUGGGUUUUUAGCGUGAAUAGUUUUUUUUCAUACGACUUUUUCUAGAAAAAUAUUUUAUUAGAGAUUUCAUCUCGCCUUCUCAAAUAAACACUAUGAUGUAAUUCAAAAUUCUCGAAAAAGUAUGUUUAUUAGCGUUUUUCUGUGAUUUUAAAAAUAGUAACUUUUUCGUCUUUUUCUCGAAAAAAUUAUAUUCUCCCAAAACUCCCAACACUUAUACAUAAUCACGUAACACGUAAACUAGGUCAUUAAUCGACCUAAAUCAUGUAACACAUAAUAAUAUCUAUAAAAUUUUAUUUUAUUAGAUAUUCACAAAUAAAACCUAUUUUCAAGCCUAUCUGAAUUCUCGGGUCGUCACAUAGUAUUUAUAGAGUUUCAUGGAAAGUGUUCACAUGCCAGGAACAUGACCUCAUGGAAAUUCAAGAAAUACCCUUAGUCACCAGAGUUAUGCCUAGAUCAUCUUGUCCUUCUAACCACCAUGCAAUCCAAUCCCUCAAUCAAUUUCAAAAAUGAGUUGCCUCCAUAAGCCUUCUGCCUUGGGACCCAUGGAGGCUCCUCCUCGAUCUCAUGCUUCAAAGCAAUUGUUGCUCAAACCAUACUUUCUUACUAUUCCUUCUUUAUUUGAGAAUCUCGUCGAUGGAAAUCCUCGGAAGAACUCUGCGCAAGAACCAGGAGGCCGCGCCUUAGGGGGGCAAUCCUUAGGGGGCGGAACCCUAGGGAGCUGAACCCUAGGGGGGCCUCCUUCAGUUCUUUUCGUUCGUUUCAACCUUUCUUGGUCAGUUUUCAUCAUUUUCUCAUGAUUCUUGGUCCUGUAAGAAGCCUUUCUUGUCAUAGAGAUUAUAAGGCUAAUCAUUAUUUGGAGUUUCACAAGAUUUUAGUUUAUUUUUGUAGUCCAGGCUUAUUUCUUUGUCAUUGCAUCGAUGAAACCCCUUCUAGCAUGCCAAUCGAGAAAAUGAGGUAGCAUAUGCCCUAGGGUGCCGAACCCUAAGAGGUAAUUUAGAUUUCUUUUGUCCAUCUUUUGUCUGUUUUCCUUUUUUCAUUACGAUAGUUCCAACCAAAUCCAGUCGGAGAAGAAAUUGGUUUUAUCUUUUCUUUAAGGAGAAGUCAUCUUGGAGUGGUUGAACCAUAGGGUGGCCGAACCCUAAGGGGCCAAAAUCCUAGGAUUUUUCCCUUUUUGCUGAUUUAAUGCUUCGUUCAUUAAUUGAAGUCUUGUUCAUUUACUUUCGUCUUUUCAUUUAAUUCAAUUAAAUCAUAUGUAAACCCUAAUUUGUACUUGGGCUCACAGAAAAUAAACCUAAGAAUUCAUCAAAGGAAAUAAAAGAUAAAUGACAAUACAAAUAUUGCGUUUUGUUUUGUCUUAUUUUUUUAAUUUUAUUUUCAAAUAUAUACGCAUGCAUGAUAAAGAUUCACAAUUAUGUAUAUAUAUAUAUACAUAUAGAUACAUAAUAUGGUAAAUAAUAGGUGGUAGUUGUUUUAUUUAUAAUAUGGUAAAUAAUAGGUGGUAGUUGAUUUAUUUAUUACAUGCUAAUAACAGCCAUGAGUUGAUAGUUGAUUUAUUUAUUAUAUGCUAAUAACAGCUAUCAGUUAUUGGUUGAUUUAUUUAUAUAUCGUGCUAAUAACAACCAUCAACUUGUAUAUAGUUUCUUGAUUUACUGCUGAUCGGAAGAUUACUGAUCGUUCAUUUAGGCGUUGGUGGGACUAAUGUUAACACCAUAGAUAACUAAACCCGUCUUCAUAGUCACGCUUUCAGUCCCGUCAAGAGCAAAUUUGAUAUCUCCAUAGUCAAACUUAUUGAAGAAUUCCCCAGCUUUGAGCGAAAAUGGUGUGUUUCUCGGAUAAUUCAUCAAUCCAUAUCCGUUCACUUGCGAGGAUCCAUUCGGAAGAGUAAGUGUAAGACUCACCGGACUUGCUAUGUUAAAGUUGUCUUUCAGCAGCACCACAAAAGAUACCUCAUAAGAUAAAUUUUCAAGCUUUUCUGUCAUAUAGUUUCCGUCAACAUGUAGGACUAAGCUACCAAUUAAUUCAGCACUGUCAGGACUGUAAAAAAUGAUAGUAGAAUUAAAGUCAGAAACUUUUGAUAUAAGGAGCUUAAAUUCAUUAAUAUAGUACAAUUAAUGCGAGUCCUUCUAUCUAACUAGACUUCAAUAAAAUUUCUUUAGUCCUUCUAUCACUUUAAUUUAAUGACAAAGUUGCUUAUAUCCCUAUUUUUAACUGAAUAAAAUUCAGGUGUUUAAGCACAAAUCUUGACCUUUGACGUCAAUUAAGUUAACUAAAUCUUAUUUCUACUUACGUAAACUUCCAGCCCGAAGGGUUGAAAUAAUUGAGUUUCUCAGCAGGUAUAUAAGCGCCAGAACUUUGAAUAAGACAAGAAAAAAAAAUUCAUAUCAUCCAUUACAAAAAAAUCUCACUUGCAAAAUUUACAAAUAUUAAGGAUUAUUUUUGUUCUAUAACCAACUUUAGCUAUAUAUAUGAUGUUUGUUUACAAUUUCAGUAGACUUACCUUCUGCCCUAUUCCGUUGUUUUGGAGCAACUCCAUUUCCUUGGCUUGGGACAACAAUGCCUUGAGGUCAACCUCAUUAUGCCUCACUACUUGUGCCAUCUCCUCGAUCGAUCGAUAACUAUCCUUUAAUUCUGCUAUAUAUAUAUAUAUAUAUAUAUUUUCUGUUUCUAUUCUUGAUGUCUAUAUAUCUCUCUUCCAAAGGCUAGCUCUAUUUAUACUGGCACAAACAGAGGGUACUGCGAUUAUUAUAUUCCAUAAUAUCCUAUCUUCAAAUAUUCCUUCCCUUUUCACAGUAGGGAUCCGAUCCCGAUAAGUUUAACAUCAGCAUCAUCAUCAUCACCAAGGAUAUAGAGCAGCCGAUUCUGUUUGAUAAUUUUGUUGGAAUAAUUCUUUUCCAUUUCUCAGUUCAAUAAUUCUUUCUUUAGCUUGUUGCGCAGGCAAAAUUCCAUGAAGGCGAAAGGUACGUAGGCAUCCUAGUAAAUGAUGAUUUUCUUCUAACCAGAAGUAUGAGCAGGUUAAAAGUAGAAGAAUAAGCAUCUCGCAGGCCAAAAAUAAAAAAAAAAUCGAAAAGAAGAAAAAGAAAAGAAGCCACCAAUAGCAAGACCACAUUUUUCUUUUUCUUUCCUUUUUAUCUAUUCUUUCUUUGAUUCUUUUUUAUAAUUUUUUUUAGAUGGAGUCUUUGAAAAUAAGCAUAAGAAUUCAUUAAAGGAAAUAAAAGUGUUGAAAGUUGUCUUGCAUUAGUCUUCUCCAAAUUCUGUUCCCCUUAGACUUUAGAAUUUAGCCUUUCCCAAAAUUCUGUUCCCCUCAGAUUUCGGAAUUUUGCUUUCCUCAUUUCUUGUUCUCCUCUCCAGAUUUCUCCUAUAAAAGGGAGCUUUGGUGUAAGACCCCAACUUUUAUGAAUAAAGACGAAUUUUUCUAUAAAUAUAAUUUUUGAUUAUUAAGAUGUGAAUUUGAAAAAAUAUUAUAGUUGUGAGUAAUAUUUAAAAAUUUUACAAAGUAAACAAGGUGUUAUAAAAUAUUCGGUUGGUCGAGGAAUAUUCGUUUUAACAGGGAAUAUUCAUACGACGACACAAUCAUUGGUGGACCCCACAACGAAAGUAUUGUCGGAGUUAGAAAACGACAGAAAUAUCUUAUUAUGAAAAUAAUGGCGAAAAUUUUACCGUUAACUGUUGAAAUACCCGUUAGUAAAAGUACAGUAAUACGUAUGGUUGCAUAGUAGUACACGGUAUUAAUUAUUGAUGCUUACGUGAGAAGUCACUCAGUUAUACUCAAUUAUUGUUACAGUAAUUGUUGUAUCAUAUCUCUUAUAUUAUUGAUUCAAUUAUUGUCAGUAUCAUCUGCAUAAUAUUUUAUAUUAUUAAAUCAAUAAUUGAGACGAUAAAGUUAUUCAUAUUAUUAUUUACAAUAUUGACGAUGUCUAGAAGUUCUGUCAAGGAGAGGUUAGGUCAUUUAAUUGCGCGCCAAUAGGGAGAAAUCCUUAUCGGAAAGCCCCUCUUUCCUGAAAACGAUCUGGUUGUUAAUAUUGCGAGUUAUAAUAAUGAUGAAUAAAUUGAAGGAAUUUUAUGAAAUAUUUGUUGUAAGUUUUGCUUAUUAUAUGGACCCCCAUUUAACCAUUUUUCAAAAUAAUCGGUAAAAAAUUAUUCAGUAUUUUUUUUAAUAAAAAAGGUGGGGCCACAUGUGGGGCCCACUGAAAGAAAAAUGGGGGGGGGGAGAUGUUUAUGUUUGUCAUGGGUGAAGGUUUGAUUAUAUAUAUAUAUAUAUAUAUAUAUAUAUAUAUAUAUUAUAAUAAGUCUUUUUUUUAUGAAAAAUAGAAUAUAUUAAAUUUUAUUUGCAUAGUAUUUUACUAUGCAGUGCACAGUAAAGUUUUGUGAAUUAGAAAUUCGGCGCCCGUGAAAUUUUCGAUUGUUUUGUCCGUGAGAAUUUCAAACAGUACCCCUUCCAUCAUCCUAUAAAUAUGACGCUUAUUUUGAAUUGAAAAUCACACAAGAAUCAGAGAAUUUUUUUCUAUAAUAUUGAGUAUAUUUCUUUCGAGUUUUAGAAAGUUUUGAGUGUAGAAAACAGUGAAAGUUUUUUUCAAGAAUAUCCCCGCUAUACCAGUCGAAAUACUCUUCUUAGGAUGUUUUUUUGUUCAAUAUUCGUAUGAAAUAAUAUUUUCUUCCAUACUCUGUAGUAUGUAAAUAAUAUUAUUUCGUUUUAGAUUUCGAAUUCUAUAUCCAUUUUGUUAAAGUUUUGGCUCCUAUACUCCAUGAAAUUAGUAGAAUAUCCUUAAAAUUUGCGUUUCAUCCAGUAUCUUUUCAUGGAAAUAUUAUUCUGAGCAUUCUUGAUAAGUUUUAAUUUUUUCAUGCCAGAGUACUAUAUACGGGGUACUAUUCUCAAAUUACUAUUCACGGGGUACUAUUCACUCGGUUACUAUUCAUCCGAGGCACUAUUCAUGACAAAAAUUAAUUUUUUUUCGGUCCAAAUCAUUUUUGUUACAAUAUUAUUCGUGAAUUUUACUCCAUAAUGCAGUAUCAUAUUGACAAUUUGGACAUUAUUAAAUUAUGGAUAAAUUAAAUUAUAAAUCUUUAAAAAUUUAUCUUUUGCUUUCAUUUAAUUGAAUUCUUAUAUCAUUGUCAUCAUCCUGAUGCUUAUAUUAUAAUGAAAGUCAUUUGUGGCCCGUAGUGCAUAGAUGGACUUGGUAUGAUUAUGACCAGGGAUUAUUUGGUAUAAUCAUGACUGUAAUAUUACAAAUGAUGUGGUAAAAGUCCUCAUUGGCCCGUAGUGCAUUGAUGAACAGUUGUUUUCAUGAUCAUGACCAUUGAUGAAAACACGAAUAUCUUUGGCCCGUAGUGCAUGAAUAAUUUGUGGUUGUGAUACUAAAGAAUAUCCUUGGCCCGUAGUGUAUGGAUAAUUCAGUGAUGUGUAUUAUUUAUUAAGCUGAGUCUCAGCGAUACAAUUGAUGAUAAACCUUUUAAAUAAUAGAAGAUAGUAGAUUUUAUGCUCUACUUAACUCUUCUAAUAGAUUGCUUGUUCCUCUGCAAUUAAACUUGAUGUUUAUUAUAUUUUAUCAGUUUAACAUUGUUGAAGGCUAAUGAUAAUUUAUUCUGUGUUAUCUUAGUCAUAAUAUUUCUUACUGGCUAGUUGAGCUCACCCUUUACUUUCAUUGUUCUCUUCAGGAAAUGAGAAUAUAGCUGGGAUCGACUAGUCGGGGAACGGAGUGACGGUCCAAAUGAUAACAUUAGUAGUCCUCACUAUUCUGUGAAAUAGUGUGAUAAUAAAUGUAAUGAGGACUUAUUUUGAGUUUGAAUACUGUCUAGAAGACAAUAUUUGUAUUAAAACUCACAACUCAUGUUAUAUAUUUAAGUUUAUAUUUGUAUUCUGUACCAUGUAUUUAACGAUUCAAAAUGGGUGAUGUAUACCUAUUCUGGGGGCGUCACAGUUGGUAUCAAAGCUUGGGGAUAUGAUCCCUGGCUGAGAUGAGAGACUAGAACUAGGAGGGGAGAGUCAGGUAAUUCCUUUGCUAGUAUGACCUACCUAAGUUUAUUUGUUAUUUAAUUAGUCGGUCAGAAUAUAGGGAUAAUAUGUUGCAUGUCAAUUAACCCUUGUUUUGUGGCAGUAUUUGAAAAUGACAUCCGAGAAUGUUGAGAAUAGCAAUGGAGUACAUGAGACCGUUGAAUCACCAACGAUCAAUAACCAGGAUAAUGUGCAUCAGGAAGGCAAUAAUCCUCAUGCAAACAAUAACUCCAACAAAAUAAUGAACGACAAAAUGUUUAUGAGCUUUCUUCAAUUCAUGCAACAUCAGGCAAGAGAGACUCCUGUUCAAAAUGUAGGUGGAAAUACCGGCAACUCUCGAACGGUCACCGCUAAGCAAUUCAAGGAGCUGGGACCACCGAAGUUUUUGGGAAAGCCAAAACCACUUAAGGCGGAGACAUGGUUAAAGCAGAUCACUAAGAUAUUUGAUGUCUUUGGAUGCUCCGAGGAGCAAAAGGUUCCCUUUGCCACCUUCAUGUUGCGAGGAGAGGCAGAUCAUUGGUGGAAAUCUGUAAAAUGUACCCAGCUUGCCACAUUAAAGAUGUCUUGGGAGAAGUUUCAAGAACUGUUCAACGACAAGUACUUUUUCGAAAGUAUUCGUUAGAUGAAGGAGGUGGAGUUCAUCAGGUUGGAAUAAAACAAUAUGACCAAGACGCAGUACGAGGCUAAGUUUGCGGAGUUAUCCCGGUUUGCAUCUCAUUUGGUUGUUAAUGAGGAGAGAAUGACGCGGAUAUUUUUAAGAGGUUUGAAACCUGAGAUAUGUCAAUAUCUCAUUCUCACAAACUUUGCUUGUAUUCAGAUGUUGUGAAUAUUGUAAUAACUCGAUAUUUUCUAUAUAAUUAAAUCAGAAAUUUUACGUAUGAAUUUUUUUAUUUAAUUAUUAAAGUUGGAAAUAUGUGCCAGGUAAUGUGUAUAUGUAUAUAUGUGAUAAAUAAAAUAUAUUUAUUACAUGAAUAAUUACCAAUAGUUUUAUUUUAGAAUUAUUGCUCAUUAUAAAUUAUAUUAUAAUAAUAAUUAGUUUUAUACUAAAAAUGUUUUCAUUAAUUCUAUUCUAUGAAAAUAUGUUUAUAUAUUAUUUAAAAAUUAUAUGAAAUGAUUAUAUAAUUAUUAUAAUGAUUAUUCUAUUUUAUUAUAUGAAUUUAGUUCAGAUUAUUUAAGUUAAUUAUUUUAACUUAAUUAUUAUUGUUAUGUAUGCAAGAUAAAUCAGAUAUGGAAUCCAAACCCUAAUUUUGGAUUUUGAACAAGGAAUGAGAAUAUUAAUAUAAUAUUAAUUAUAUUUUUAUUUUUCAGUGCUAUAAAUAUAUAUGUUAUGUUUGUAAGGUUAAUCUGGGGAGCAAUUUUCUUAUGACCUGAUAAAACCCUAAUUUGAAAGUCAAUUACGACUGUAAAAUUUGUUAAGUCAUUGUGAUAUGUGGUCUAUGAUUUGUAUUAUAAGUAUUAAUGUUAAUUCUAUAAAACCCUAAUUAGUAAUUUAAAACUCUAUUUUUCUUAAAUUAGGAACCCUAAACAGUACUUAGCUAUCCGCUAAGUGAAAACCCUAAUUUAAAACUCAGCUAUGAGUCGAGACUGUUAUGUAACUGUAUUAUUAUGUUUAAGGUUAAGUAUUAUAGAAUUUUAUAUUAAUUAAAGAAACCCUAAUUAACAUUUAGAAAUUCUAAUUUCUAGAAACCCUAAUUUCUAAAUUAGUAACCCUAAUUUGCUAAAACAAAACUCUAAUUGUUAAUUUGGCACGCUUAAUGAUAAUUAGUAAAAUUUAAACCUAAUUUUCAAGUCUAUGUAAUGAGGAAACCAAAUUAAUUAUGAAACCUUAAUUUGUAUUUUUAGAAACUAAAAAUUUCAAUUUUUUUAAAAUUAGAAAUCCUAUAACACUUUGUGCUAACCCUAAGGGUCAAACCCUAAGGGUUUGAUAAGUUACUAGUUUGCCCUUAAAUUGAUUAGCCAAAUGACAAAAAUACCCCUCUUGCAUUAUUGGACAUAACUUGUAAGACUAGCCAAUUUUGAGUUGCUCAACAACUCUUACCAGCCCCAUGUGACUAAAAUGCCAGCAAUCAAGCUCUAGAUAUCAGCCAACUUGAUUUCAUGUUUUAUAUAUAUAGACAUCAAGAGAGAGAAAUUUCAUUUAUUAGCCACAUUUGUACACAAACUCCUUACCAACUCUCUCUCCCAAAACCCAUGAAAUGUUGUAGUAGAUCAGUCCCGUAUUGAAGCCCCACUAACACACUUAAGCAAAUCAGCAGCCAGAAUCAAGAAUUGAUGCUUAAAGGUAUAAAAUCCUAAGUCAAAUUUUGAUCUUGUAUGCUAUAUUGGAUUUGUGGUUUUAAUGUUUAAUCAUGUUGAAUAAGGUGUUAAUAGGUGAUCUGGGUUGGCACAUGUUAGAUCCAUAACAUCAAAGUGCUCGAAAUCUAAGUUUUUCAAAAUAUGGAAAUUUUUGUUUUUGUUGUCUGACAGCGAAUGUCAGGCCUUGUAGAUCUGUGCUUAUUUAUUAUUUUGAUGAUUUAAAUGUUUGAAGUGGUAGUCUGGUAUGAGGUCUUUCAUAUGAAAAUGGAAUCACUGUUAUUGGAUGUCUAGAUCGAAAAUUAUUGAUGGUCAAAGGUCGUUGACUGACCAUGACCGAGUAUGAAUCUGGGCAACCUUGAAAGCUUUUUCAGCGUCUGAAAAUGUUUUGGAAGGCUUAGAUCUGUCAGUGUGUAAAUGAUUUGAUGAUGUUAUAAUAUCCAGUUUAUAGCUUGUCAUAUGUAAUUUAUAUUUGUGGCUUUAUAUCCUUUAAACAAACAAUUGAUCGAACUUAGUGGAUGGUCAAACCUGGCCCCUCGGUCACGAUUUCAUUUCUGGGAAUUUCCAGAAAAUCGAAAGAACAGCCCUCUGACAGGGUUUGACCGAGUAAUAUCUUGUAGAUCUGUUGAUGUUAAACUGAUUUGUUGUUAUAUUAUUGUUCCUGGACAUAAGGACUACAUCUUUGAGGCAUUAGAUCACUUGAAUCAUGAACGGAACCUAGAUUAAAUCGAGGAUGAAAGUGACUGGUCGACCACCUGGGUUUCUGGAAAACCCAGGAAUGCUCUGACAACAUAUUUGCAAGCCUAGAUCUCCUUGUGUGUUUGUUGUAUGACCUAGAUAUUGAUUGCUAGUUAUAGUGUUGUAUAAUGACUUCAAUAUUGAUGCUUAAGUUUGCCCAAAAACGAAUUAGACAGAGAAUUAUUAGUGGUCAAAGUUGACCCCUCAAACACGAAGCUGUCAGUGUUCUUGAGCUCAAGAACACCAACAGCGACGCUUAGUGUCACUAAAGGCCAAUAGCGAUGGUUUCUAAUAUUUUUAAUUUCUGAUUUUCUAGAAAAUACUUAAAAAUAGAAAAUAAAUUAUAAAAAUUACAAAAAUGGUUUUAAAAAUUAUUUUAAAUUAUGAAAAUUAACUUUUAAUUAUUUGGGAUAUUUUUUAUUAAUAUUUAUAAUUAUUUGAAUAUUAUUAAUAUUUAAUUUAUUUAAUUAGUGUAUUAAAUAAAUUAGAGAAAAAUGAUUUUAAUGUUAUAAAAAUCAAUUUAAAUAAGAAUAAAGUGUUUAAAAAUAUUUUUGAGUUAUAUAUGUAACUUUUAAUAUUUUUGUGAUGAAUUUCAUUAAUUAAUUAAUAUUAAUGAUAAUUAAGUUAUUUAAUAAAUGUAUUAAAUAAAUUAUGAAAAAUAGAAAUUAUGAUUUAAAAAUCAUAUAAAAGUGAUUUAAAGAUUAUAAAAAAAUAUUUUAAGUUAUAAAAUAUAACUUUUGAUAUUUUGUCAUGAAAAAUAUUAAUAAUUUUAUAUUAAUAAUAUUAGAUUUAUUUAAUGAUUAUAUUAAAUAAUUUAGUUUAAAAUGAUUUUAUUAUUAUAAAAUUAUUUUAAAUGAAAAUAAAGUGUUUAAAGAUAUUUUAAGUUAUAAAAUAUAACUUUUAAUAUUUAAAGGAUAAUUUCAUUAAUAAUUUAAUAUUAAUGAUAUUAAUUUAAGAUUUAUUGAUAUUAAAUUUAUUCAAUAAUUAUAUUAAAUAAAUAGUUUUAAAAUGGUUUUAUUAGUUUAAAAAUUAUUUAAAAAGGAUAUAAAUGAAUUAAAAAUAUUUUAAGUUAGAAUUAAUAACGUUUAAUAUUUGGAUAAAUAGUAGAUUAAUAUUUUAAUAUUAAUGGUAAUUAUUUAAAAAUGAUUUUAAAUGUUUAAAAAAUUAUUUAAGGGUAAUAUUAGCACUUUAAAAAUAUUUUGAGUUAUUAUUAAUAACUUUAAUAUUUUGGCAAUGGUUUCAUUAAUAGUUUAAUAUUAAUUAAAUAUUAAUGAUAAUAUGAUUAUUUACUAUUUAAAUCAUUUAAUUAUGAUUCUAGUGUUUGAAAAUUCAUAAUAAAUUAUAAUAAAUGUUUAAAAAUUAUUAUAAGUCAUUUAAAAAUAAUAUGACUGAUAUUUGUAGAUAUUGAGAUACAGGAUAGAGUCUUAGACUCGAUAUUUACCUGAUAAAGCCGUCGGUAGACCGACAUGUUUCAAAAAUUGAUCUAGACUUAGAUAUUUUGACUGUAUUAAUAUUUGUUUGUGAUUCAAUGACUGUUGAAUAUGUGUGACAAUGUGAUUAGGUUAUAUGCUGACUGCAAUAAGCAGUGCUAUGUUAUUCUAAUCGAACGAAUGAUCUUAUUAAUGAUAGAUUUUGGUAUUAAAGAUAAAACUAAGUUGCGUAUUGUAAGCAGCAGACCAGGCAAGUAUCAUAUAUUUGCAUUUUGUUUAUGUGACGCCCCCAAAUCCGGGUUAUCUUUAACUCGGGUUUGGUGCUUACGAUUCUAGAAUACCCAUUCAUACUAAAAAUAAAACUGUCUUAUAUUACAUAAACAUUGAACUUAAAUCCCAGGUUCUAGAGACCUUUACAUACAAGCCAAAUAUUAUUACAUCAUAGUGCUACAGUAUUUAUUACAUGCACUACUUAGGUUCAUUUAAGCACAUGCGCUUAAUAAUUGACUACUCAACAACCUUGCCCUUUCCUUUGUCUUUUCCAGAUGGACCGGCAACCUCAAUUUUAACUGAAAACAUUAUAUUUAACGCAAGGGUGGGCAACAAGUUUGCCCAGCAAGGAAAUAAGCAGCUAAAUAUAAGAGAACAAAAAUAUUACAGUAAUGGGGAUAUCAUACAGAAGGUAUAGAACAAAGUAAUUCUUAAGAGUGUUGAGUCAAAAGUCAGGAUUUAUCAUGCUGUAAGGUCAAAUGACCAGUGAACACUAUACUAGAAUUUACAGUAAUAAUACUGCAAUCUAUGAAUACAAACAGUUAUAAAGCUGUUUUAUAUCCUAGACUCGUACUUCAGGGGAUCAGCCUAAGUACCCUAUAUUGUGCACAACAUAACAGUCUAAUAAAACUUUACAUGUCCUUCAGAAUCAUAUAUACGGUACAAUACGCCCCUAAAAAAGGGUUGUUCGUUCACAGCAUUAUAUAAGAAUCCAUACCACAAUAACAAAAUGGUUUGGAAAGAAUUAACUGAUAAAUUCAUAAACAAUAUCAAUAUAUCUCAACCUUUGUCCAAGCGAAGUAAUGGUAUUGACAUACUUUCAAUAUAACUUUUAUUCAAGAUAGAAAAGUUGAUAUACUAUUCUUUUGAAGCUGAUUGGAAUAAAAAGGCUAUUUAACCUUAUAUUAUUCAUAAAUAAGGACAAACAGUUCAGAAAUUAAAGAACCUGUCCACUGCAGAAUAUUUGCUCAAUAAAGAGUAAGGAUUAGAAACUUGCCUUGUUUGUAGUCUAUCGUUUAGGAUUUCAGCUUAAUUGAAGUAUUUCUCAAAGUCCUACACAGUUAUUUGUAUUAACAAGCAUGUUAAUCACAUAGCUAUGUUAUAUAGUUUGUAAGCUCACAUAUCACAUAAUUUCAGUGAUUAUGGUUGUAGUUAAAUUAUUAUUUUUGAUACAUUUUUCAAAUAUCUCAUCCAUGCUUUCAAGAGACAUUUUUCACUUUGAUGGGUUUCAACAAGCUUUCAACAAGUAAUAGAAAUCAUAUUACAGUCAUCAUUUGCAUUAACCAAGUAUGUUAGCCACAUAGCUAAGUCAUAUAUCAUGUAGUUUUAAUGGUCAUGGUUAGAUUUCCUAUAUUUGAUACAUUUUUCAAAUACCUCAUCCAUGCUUUCAAGAGACAUUUUUCACUUUAUUAGUGUUCAAUAUGCAAUACUUUACAACUACCAUCUCCAUUUCCUUAGUAACAUAGUAUAUAAUCAUUUUAUGUUUCCUUUACUUAAUUUCUAGCAUAUAAGGUGUUUUCAUAGCUUAUUGUCGGUUUUGAAGGUAUUUCUUAUAUGUAUGGUUAACCUAUAGUCUUCCUCAUAGUUUAUAGAUUCAUUUUGACACACCAGUGUAUCAAUUAUCACUGUUUUCACCUAUGAUGCUAAAACAGCCCUUUGAGGCUUUAAUUUUUUUAAACAUGACUUAAUGAUCCCAAUUUAGGUUUACUGUUUAUAUUAGAUUUCAUUUAGAAUUUUUCUCCUACACUUGCUUGCAUCAUAACUCUACUCAUUUAGAGAAACAUAAUCUAUCCUUUAUAGAUAAUCUGGUUACUAAAACUAAAUUUGGAUUCAAACAUGAAUUUUACAAAACAGUCAUUAUUGUAGCUGCUAUACCACAACUGUUGUUUCCCAUUCUACUUGUUGUGGCUAUUGGUAUCAGCUAUAUGCUGCCACUAUUAGGCAGUAAGUCACAUCACUCAUGCCCAAAAAUGCUUCUAAAUUAACCUUUUCAGCUGGCUUUGCAGGCUUUGCAGCCCUUAAUUGAGCCUUACAGCUCAAUAAUCUCUGUAACACAUUUCAGUUAUUAGUCUUAUCUUAUAACUUGCUAUUCCAUUAACAUUUUCUAUGUAUGAAUGCACUGCCAACUGCUACUGCUGGUGUUGCUGUUGCUGCCAAUGGGCAGCGACUAUUAUUUUCUUACCAUAAGCUGUUUGGUCUGUUUCAAGUGCUGCAGUCACAUGUCAUCAUGCUCCAUCAACUAGAGUAAACAAAAAUGCAUGAACUUAACUUACUAACUGCAGCCCAAGAAAAACAAACUCAGCUGUCAAAAUGACAGUGCAGUCAUCUACUUGAAGUUGCCAAGGACAACAGCUAUCCGAAGCUUUUUGCUACUGUCAUUAGCAGCCUCCCUUGCUCCUUAACCCAUUCCCAACAAUCCUCUAACCUCAGUUUUGCUAUAUUUCUAGGAAUAGGCCUCAUGGCUAUAAUCUUUUAGAGUUAUAAGGUUAUCCCAGUUGGCCUAUUAAGCUUUGGCUCCUUGGUUUAGUGACUGUUUCAACAGAGUAGGCAAAGGAGUUUGUCAAGCUAGAAUUACUUAGCCUAAAAACUGAACUAUGCUAAAAAUUUCUAUGCCAAAACAUUACAGUCAUCACAUAUGUUGGGUAAAUCAGGUAAAUAGUGUACUAGUUCUACUAUUCAGUUUCUUUUUACUAAAACAGUCCUCUUAGGUCUUUUAUCAAACAGUUGGUGGGCAUGGUUAUAAGCUACUAGUUCCAUAGCCAUUUGUUUAUAUUCCAACUCAUAUUUUCCCCUUAUUACUCCACAGCCCACUUAUCUCCUUGUGCUUAAAUUAUAACAAUAUCAUAAUGGCAUAACAAUCAAUGAAAUGUUACAACAGUUUAUAUAUAGCAGCUUAACACCCACAUAGCAGUCCUCAAAUCCAUACUAGGCCUUUUAGGCUAAAUGAUCAAAACAGUCCUUAAGUUUUUAACACAAGGAUUAAUAUAACAUGUACAUACUAUGUUUUAUGGUUUAAAGACCCCAAUACCAACCAUCCUGUCUUGACACUAUAACAGCUUUAGACUAGCAAUUUGGUCAUGGUUUAUCACACCAAACCAAUAGCAAGCACUGAUAUGUAUGCCUUUCUAACACUAAAACAUUUUACCUACCAUAUUUUCAUGGUUUAAAGCAUCUAGAGGCAAGGUCCUUAAGUUUAAAAUCAAAACAGCCUCUCAUAGGCUUUUAAAGUAAUAUAAGAUAGCAUGCUUGGGCAACAUGAAAACAAGGACUGCCUACUAUGAAUAUAUUAGAAGUAAGGCAUGAUCAUCAUAAUAAACUUCUAAUAACAGUCCACAUAAUGCAAUAACAGUUCAUAUAAGGCAAUAAUAAUUUAUAUAGCAACUAAAGUCCUUCUAACAGUCAUUUAUGCUUAUUCUAGUCACCACAACAAGUAUACUGUCUUAGUCCAUUCUGUAUACUAGUUCUGGGCAUGGUAAUAUAUUUUACAAUCAUAAAUAACCAACCAUCUUGGACUCCUUUCCAGCCACACUGUUUUGCCAUUAUAGCAGUUUUAGACUAGCACCUUAGGCACAGUUCAUCACAGCAAAACAGUAGCAACAUAGCAUAGCGUAUCAGUCCAGUUAUUACAAUAACAGUUGGUAUAUCACAAGGAUGAUGCUACAGCUAUUCAAGUCUCUUUUAGGCCAUUUUGGCAAGGUUUUAGUAAUAAGUUAUCAAAGCGGUCAUUAGUGUGCAAUACAAAGAUUAUUACCUCAUGUACAUGCUAUAGAAUAUAUGUUCAUGUUUUAAGAGCCUAUAUACAAGGUUUCUUGCUGUUAGUUCAUAACAAUCCCUUAUAGGCUUCAAUUUAAUACACGGAAGCAUGAUCUGAAAAAUUUAGUUAUCAAAAUAACAUGUUUAAACAUAAACAUAUACUCGAGGUAUUCUUUUUCUUUCUAUAUAAUCAAGUAGACAUGCUAUUAGGCUCUAUUUACAGCUAGCAUACCUUGAUACCAUAACAGUCCAAUUAGAGCAAUAUUUUAGGCAUGGUCUAUUACAACAAAAUGGUAGCAAGCACUGACAUGUUUUCCUUUCUAACACAGGCACCUUUUAUUUAUCAUAUAUUCAUGAUUUAAAACAUCUAAAGGCAAAAUCUCUUUGCUUUAAGCCAACACAGCCCUCUUUAGGACCCACUUUCCAAAAAUAACCAUGGUUUACCCUUAUGUUUACAAGGAUAACAUGGAUGUGCAACAUAGAAGUUUAGACUAUCUUCUUUAUAUGGUAUUUAAGAUGCAAAAAUAUAUUUGGAUGUCAUAGAAUGCCUUACCCCAUAUAUAUCAGUCCUUAUUAAGCCUCAAAUCUAGCAUACCAGUUUCUCAGAAUAGUGGCCAAGUCUUGGUUAAUUGCUUAGAUUACAUAUAUGCUAGUAUACAAUAGUUAUACCCAAUACAUCAUGCCACAUAUAACAUAUAAGCAGUCCUUUAUUAAUAAUCAUAGCAUAACAGUCCAUUUAACAUCAUAGCAAUUCAUAUGGUAACACAGAUCAUGCUAACCGAAAUCAUAAUAUCAUUAACUUUUUAGCAGCUCCUUAGCUUGACAAAUUAUCAAACACCUAGAGUGCAGUCUAUAUACUUGCACUUAAUACAUAAUUUCUAGCCCUCUGCCCCCAGCCGUAUGGCUUAAACAAUAUCAAGCAUAAGACCACACUUAUCAGUACCAAACCCAGCAGUUCAAAUAACAUGAAAGCAGUCAGUUAUCAUAACAGCCAUACACGUUUUUGGUCAUUGACAAUUCAUUUUACUAAUUAAUUUAAUAGCCAUCCUAAUCAUUUAUCAAUUCAGUUGUUACCCGGAAUGAAUGGAAAGAUUAGAAAGGCCAGAAUUGGCUUACCUUGCUGAUUCGAAGGUAUCAAGUGGUUGAGCUGCUUAAUUCCUUUUCCCCUCUAGCCGAACUCUUCACUCUUACUCUAUAUGACCGUUGCUGCUAAUUCUUUUGGACUCAGUUAAGUGAUGAGGCUAAUUGAUUUUGGGUAAUAACCUGGCCUUUUUAUGGCUGAGCUUAGCUUCCUUACAGUUGAUCGCAUCACCUUCUACUUGCCCCCUAACAUAUAAUCUAUUACCUCUAGCAGUUAGACUGCUCUGCAGCCACCCUACAAGACCCUAGUCUCUCUGCCAUGCCUUAUCUGUUGCUAACCUGUCUACUAACUAAUAACUGACUAACUUAUAGACUAACUACUGCUAACAACAGAACAGCCUCAGCUCCUAAGUUUACCCCUGUGGGCUGUUGGAAAAAAUCCUAAGGCAAGGCUGGGCAGUGGUUUCAUUUUGGGCCUAGUCCCUUUAACCCAAAGUUUUACUUGUUAAUUUGCUAUACUCCAAUGGGUUUACAGGAUUGGGUUUUGGACAUCCAUUUCACUCUUUAACACUUGGAGCUGCCGAAUUGGGCUAGCAAAUAGACUACAUGCAACGAUCAUGGCAAAAUUAUUAAGGCCCAAUAUUUUAAUAUGGACUCUUGUUACAUUAAAACACAUGGACUAUUAUUUUCUCUAGCAACAAUAGUUAUAACAUAUAUCAUUAAAAUGACUAUUCUAUGUAAUCUUAAAUAAUUCAUGAUGGCACAUAAUUUCUUUGCCCUUUAUAACUCAAGAUGCUAAACGAACUAUUAAAUAAAUAAUAUUUUUAUCACAAUGAGAAUUAACAUAUCAUAAAAAAAAAUUUAUACUCAAAAAUUGACAUUACAAUAAUUAAAUAUUACAUAGGAUGAACUACAGGCCAAUGAGGACUUUUACCACAUCAUUCGUCACAUUACGGUCAUUAUUAUACCGAAUCAUCCCUGGUCAUAAUCAUACCAAGUCCAUCUAUGCACGUAAGCCAAAGAUGACUUUCAUCACAAUAUAAGCAUGAGGAUGAUGACAAUAAUAUAAGCAUUAAUCAAACGAAAAUAAUGAUAAAUUUUAAAGACUUUAAAUUUAUCCAAAUGUUUAUCAAUCACUUAAUAAACUCAUAAUCUAAUAUUAUUAAUAUUAUAACAAUAUUUUAAUCACUUCUUGAACUUAUAAACAAUUUAUUCUAAUUGUUUACACUUUCCCAAAUAAUACAUUUUAAUCAUUCAAAAAUACCAUACUCAUAAGAUUUCAUCACCAAUGAUCAAAUCCCUUAUCAAAAAUCUGCAUAUACCUUAUAUAGGAUUUCCAAGCCAUAAAAUCCAUUUUACCAAUUUUUCAACUUCACAUAACAUAUUUAAUUCAUAUGUUCGUAACUAAACUAUUUUCAUGAAAAAUACCAAAUCAGUCCAAAAAAUUAUUCUUUUUUGGGAUUUAGCAGAAUAUAGUCCCAUAUUGAACAUAUAUUUUUCUCAUAAUUUUUAAAAUUCAUUUACUAUUUUUCAUAUGGCCAAAACUGCCGAAUAUUUAGACAUUUAUCAUAAAUUGUACUUUUGUCCAAAAAUUCCGAAAUUUACAAGGUAUACUCCUAUUAUAUAUGUGUACUCCCAAUAAAAAUUUAACCAAUUUUGGAGUUAACCACAAGGAGUUAUAAGGGUUUACUUUUAAAAUAGUUUUUUCCCAUAAAAUUCAUAACUCCUAAUCUAUACAUCCAAAAAUUGCCAUUUUUGGACACAAUCUAGAAAUCUCAACAAACUAUCAUUUCAAAUGUUUCCAAAAUUUUUGAGGGUCAGAAAAAUUACGAAACUGCAAAUAGAUUUUCACCCGUCAUUCGGUAAUCCAGGUAGACAGAUCAUUUCCACAAUUUAAUAAGGAAUGAAUACAAAGGAUCAUUCACCAUGCAUGCGGUAAUCCACAUAGACAGGUUAUUCCAACAGAAUAAUAAAAAAUAGAAUAACAACAGAAUUCACCAGGCAUACGGUAAUCCGCGUAUACAGGUUAUUCCAAUAGAAUAAUAAAUAAUGGAACCAGGUCAUGCGUAAUCCGCAUAGACAGGAUAUUCCAACAGAAUAAUAAAGAAUGGAAUAACAACAGAAAUUCACCAAGCAUACGGUAAUCCGCGUAUACAGGUAAUUCUAACAGAAUAAUAAAGAAUGGAAUAACAAUAGAAUUCACCAGGCAUACGAUAAUCCGCGUAUACAGGUUAUUCCAACAGAAUAAUAAAGAAUGGAAUAAUAGAAAAUUUUCACCACGUAUGCGGUACUUCGCAUAGACAGGUUACUCCAAUAUAAUAAUAAAGAAUGAAAUAACAAAAGAAUUUCACCAUGUAUGCGAUACUUCGCAUAAACAGGUUAUUCCAACAUAAUAAUAAAGAAUGGAAUAACAACAGCUCUCUUCAUGAAUACGAAAGAAAUAAUAAUACCCCUUACCUUAGAAGAAACUGGAUACUGGAAUAGUGAGGUAGCAGGCUUCUCUUCUUCUUUCUCUCUAUAAUUUCUCUCUAUAAUAAUUGCUCUAUAGCUUUAGUGAAUUGGUGAGAAAUGAAGGAAGAAUGAGCUUCUGUUUAUAGGAAAACAUAGUUUCAAUAAUUGCACAUUUUGGGGCUCGAAAUAUUACAUUAUAAUACCUUCCUCUUUUUCUUUAUUUUUAAUUUAGCCCUGCAAGUAUUAUCAAACUUGCACCACCUCCUCUAAUAGUAAAUCAUGUGAAUUAAUAGUAAAUCAUGUGAAUCAAUAGUUCUAGACAUGUGAAAAUACGAAUUACAGUAUAGUACCUCCAUCUAUACCUCUAUUUUUAACUUAGUCAUGCAAGUAUUAUCAAUCUUGCACCAACUCCCCUAAUAGUACCAUAAUGUGAAUCAAUAGUACACACAUGUGAACAAAUAGUUAUAAUCAUAUGAAUUAAUAGCAAUUAAAAGCUCAUUUAUCCGGAUAAUUACCCGAUUGGUCAAUAUAACCUCCAGACAUCAAUUAUCAUCGAAAUAAAUGUCGAUUCCCACUAACACUAAUAAUUCCAACACAAUGGAACUAUCAAUUUCAUCUUUAAUCAACACAAAUUUAUUCAUCAUUAAUAUUAUAACUCAUAAUAUUUAACAACAAGAUCGUUCCCAGGAAAGAGGGGGCCUUCCGGUAAGGAUUUCUCCUCACUGGUGCGCAAUUACCUAACCUCUCCUUGACAGAACUUCUAGACAUUGUCAAUAUUGCAAUUUAAUAAUAUUAAUAAGUUUACCAUCUUAAUUAUUUAUUUAAUAAUAUAACAUAUUAUGCAGAUGAUACUGUGACAAUAAUUGAAUCAAUAAUAUGAGAGAUAUGAUGUAAUAAUUACUGUAGCAAUAAUUGAGUAUAACUGAGUGACUUCUUACGUAAGCAUUAAUAAUCAAUACCGUGUGCUACUCAAUUCGUCAGCUACCACGUUCGCUCUUUCAUGAUGAUAUUGAAUGGUACGAUCGUAAUCUUCUACAGCUCAAGCCAACGUCUUUGGCACAUUAUACGAUUAUUUUAGGUAAAGAAAUAUUUGAGGGUUUUAGAAAUGAGUUUUGUACUUGGGUCAAUACAAAAUAUGAUUUCACGCUCUGGGGUAGGCAAGGAAGUUCUUCGAGAAUACGUCAGAAUAUUUAUUAACAAUAGAAAUAUCAUUUAAAAACUGUGACUCUCAUCCAAGACUUGGACAACACAUGAAAUGAAGGUUUCUACUAACGAAGUUUCAACCAAUAAGUCAAAGUCUAACUUCUCUGGGGUCAAAUUUAAAUGUUGAGCGCAAGCAAGAGAGAUAAAAGAAUGGGUAGAACCGGUAUCUAAUAAGGUAUAGACUUCGCAAAAAUUUAUAAUUAACUAACCCGUGCUAACUUCGUUCGGGUUACUCGCUUUUUGAGAAGUCAUGAAAAACGCUCUUCCUGAAACCACCGACUUUGUUUUGUCCAUAUCCGCCUUUGGUGCCACCGUCCCAGCUGGACUUGACUUUGGUGCACGACAAAAUCGGGCUAAGUGUCCUUUUCCAUAAUUAUAACAUGUUUUGGACUGCAUCACGCAGUUUGGACUGAUAUGUCCCUCCCCUCCGCAUUUGAAGCAUACAAUUGGUGGUCGUUCUCCUUCCUUGAAAACGGGUGUUGGUGCUGCUGUCUUUGCAUCUUUGUUGAACCUUCUCUUCUUGAAAUUUCCACUCCUAUUAUCUUGGUCAUGAUUACCACCGAAGUGGUUACCAUUCUUGGUGUAAGACCCCAACUUUUAUGAAUAAAAAAUGAAUUUUCUAUAAAUAUCAUUUUUGAAUAUUAUGGAGUAAAUUUGAUAUAAUGUUAUAGUUGUGGGUAAUAUUUAUAAAUUUUGAAAAGUACGCAAGUUGUUAUAUAAUAUUCGUUUGGUCGGAAAAUAUUCUUUUUGUCGGGAAUAUCCGUACGACGACACAAUCAUUGGUGGACCCCCACAACGGAAGUAUUGUCGUAGUAAGAAAACGACAGAAUUAUCUUUUUAUAAAAAUAACGGCUAAAGUUUUACCGUUAAAACUGUUGAACUACUCGGUAGUAAAAGUACAGUAAUACGUGUGGUUGCAUAGUAGCACACGAUAUUGAUUAUUAAUACUUACGUGAGAAGUCACUCAGUUAUACUCAAUUAUUGCUAUAGUAAUUGUUGCAUCAUAUCUCUCAUAUUAUUGAUUCAUUUAUUGUCACAGUAUUAUCUGCAUAAUAUGUUAUAUUAUUAAAUCAAUAAUUGAGACGACAAAGUUAUUAAUAUUAUUAAAUUGCAAUAUUGACAAUGUCUAGAAGUUCUGUCAAGGAGAGGUUAGGUAAUUGCGCGCCAAUGAGGAGAAAUCCUUACCGGAAGGCCCCCUCUUUCCUGGGAACGAUCUUGUUGUUAAAUAUUAUGAGUUAUAAUAUUAAUGAUGAAUAAGUUUUGUUGAUUAAAGAUGAAAUUGAUAGUUCCAUUGUGUUGGGAUUAUUAGCGUUAGUGGAAAUCGACAUUUAUUUUGAUGAUAGUUGAUGUCUGGGGGUUAUAUUGAUAAAUCGGGUAAUUUAUCGGAUAAAUGAGCAAUUAAUUGCUACUAAUUCACAUGUUUAUAUAACUAUUUGUUCACAUGUGUGUACUAUUGAUUCACAUUCUGGUACUAUUAGGGGAGUUGGUGCAAGAUUGAUAAUACUUGCAUGACUAAGUUAAAAAUUGAGGUAUAGAUGGAUGUACUAUACUGUAAUUCGUAUUUUCACAUAUCUAGAACUAUUGAGUCACAUGAUUUACUAUUAAUUCACAUGAUUUACUAUUAGGGGAGUUGGUGCAAGAUUGAUAAUACUUGCAGGACUAAAUUAAAGAUAAAGAAAAAGAGGAAGGUAUUAUACUGUAAUAUUUUGAGCCCCAAAACGUGCAAUUAUCAAAACUAUAUUUUCCUAUAAAUAGAAGCUCAUUCCUUCAUUAUUUUUCACUAAUUCACUAAAGCUAUAGAGCAUUUAUUAUAGAGAGAAAUUAUAGAGAGAAAGAAGAAGAAAAGUCUACACUUCACUACUCCAGUAUCCAAUCUUCUUUGAGGUAAGGGGUAUUAUUCUUUCGUAUUCAUGAAGAGAGUUAUUUUUUUUCAAUACUCGUUAUUCCAUUCCUUAUUAUUAUGUUGGAAUAACAUGUCUAUGCGAAGUACCGCAUACAUGGUGAAAUUCUUCUAUUAUUCCAUUCUUUAAUAUUCUGUUGAAAUAUCUUGUUUGUGCGUUUUACGCAAGACCUGGUUCCAUUAUAUAUUAUUCUGUCAGAAUAUCUUGUCUGUGCUUUACGCAUGACCUGGUUCCAUUAUUUAUUAUUCAGUUUGAAUAACAUGUAUACGCGGAUUACCGUAUACCUGGUGAAUUUUGUUGUUAUUACAUUCUUUAUUAUACUCAGUUGGUUAAAGUUUUGGCUUUUAUACUCUAUGAAAUUAGUGGAAUAUCCUUGAUAUUUGCGCUUCAUCCAAUAUCUUUUCAUGGAAAUAUUCUUCUGAGCAUUCUUGAAUUUUACAUCACAAAGCAGUAUCAUGUUGACAUUUUGGACGUUAUUGGUUCCUGGAUAAAUUAAUUCUUGAACUUGUUUUAUUGAAUUCUUAUAUCAUUAUCAUCAUCCUCAUGUUUAUAUUCUGUUGAGAGUCAUCUGUGGCCUGUAGUGCAUAGAUGGACUUGGUAUGAUUAUGACCAGGGAUUAUUCGGUAUAAUCAUGACUGUAAUAUUACAAAUAAUAUGGUAAAAGUCCUCAUUGGCCGUAGUGCAUUGUUGGACAAUUGUUGGUAUGAUCAUGACCAUUGAUGAAUACACGAAUAUCCUUGGUCGUAGUGCAGGGAUGAUGUUGAUUAUUUAUUAACCUGAGUCUCAGCGAUGAAAAUGAUGAAAAACCUUUUUAAAUCAUAGAAGAUAAUAGAUUUUAUGCUCUAUUUGACUCUUUUAAUGGAUUGCUUAUUUUCGCUGCAGUUUUUGAUCUAAAACUUGUUGUUUAUUAUAUUCUAUCAGUUGUUAUACUGUUGAAGGCUAAGGAUAAUUUAUUCUGCAUUAACUUAGUCAUAAUAUUUCUUACUGGGCUUGUUGAGCUCACCCUUUUCUUUCAUGGUUCUCUUCAGGAAAUGAGAACGUAGCUGAGACUAGUCAGGGAACAGAGUGACGGCCCAGAUGUUUGCAUUAAUUGUCCUCACUAUUCUGUGAAAUAGUGUGAUAAUAAAUGUAAUGAGGACUCCAUUGAGUGUGGAUAUUGUCUAGAUGACAAUAUUCUUCUUAAAACUCUUAGAUUAUGUUUUGUCGUAUUUUACACGACUGUUGUAUAAUUAAGUUGUAUUUGAAUUUUGUACCAUAUAUCCGGCGACUCAAGAUGGGUGAUGUAUACCUAUUUUGAGGGCAUCAUAGUUGGUAUCAAAGCUUAGGGAUAUGAUCCCUGGUUGAGAUGUGAGAUAAGAACUAGGAGGGGAGAGACGGGGAAUUCCUUUGUUAGUAUAACCUACCUAAGUUUAUUUGGUAUUUAAUUGGUCGGUCACAAUAUAUGGAUAAUAUGUGACAUGUCAAUUAACCCUUGUUUUGUGACAGUAUUUGAAAAUGGCAUCCGAAAAUGUUGAGAAUAGCAAUGGAGCACAGGAGACCGUUGAGUCACCAUAGAUUAAUACCCAGGAUAAUGUGUAACAGGAAGAAAAUAAUCCUCAGGUAAACAAUAACACCGAUGAAAUGGGGAACGAUGGGAUGUUCAGAGGCUUUAUGCAAUUCAUGCAACAUCAGGCGAGGGCGGCUCCUGUCCAAAAUGCAGGUGGAAACACUGACAACUCUCGGACGGUCACCGCUAAGCAGUUCAAGGAGCUGGGACCACCGGAGUUUUUUGGAGAGCCAAAACCACUUAAGACAGAGACGUGGAUAAAGAAGAUCAACAGGAUAUUUGAUGUCUUGGGAUGCUCCGAGGAACAAAAGGUUCCUUUUGUCACCUUCAUGUUGCGAGCAGAGGCAGAUUACUGGUGGGAAUCCGUAAAGCGUACUCAACUUGCCGCACUGAAAAUGUCUUGGGAGAAGUUCCAAGAACUGUUCAACGAAAAGUACUUUCCCGAAAGUAUUCGUCAAAUGAAAGAGGUAGAGUUCAUCAAGCUUGAGCAAAAAAAUAUGACUGUGGCGCAGUACAAAGCUAAGUUUGUCGAGUUAUCUCGGUUUGCGUCCCACUUGAUUGAUAAUAAGGAGAGAAUGACGCGGAUGUUUUCAAAGAGGUUUGAAACCCGAGAUACGUCAAUACCUAAUUUCUCACAAACCGUGUUUGUAUUCAGAUGUUGUGAAUAGGGCUCAGUUAUUGGAGCGCGAUAAUGAAUCAACCCAACCAAGAGAGAGCAGCCGACAAGUCGAUAAUACCAGUGGUAGCAGUCAUCGAAGCGGUGACAACAAGCGUGGAGGGAAUCAACAUGCCAAAAAUGGUAAUCACUUCGGUGGUAAUCAUGGCCAUGACAAUAAGAGUGGACAUUUCAAGAAGACGAGAUUCAACAAUGAUGGAAAGACGUCAGCACCAGCACCUGUUGUUAAGGAAGGAGAACAAUCGCCGGUCGUAUAUUAUAAAUGCGGAGGGGAGGGACAUAUCAGUCCAAACUGCGUGAUGCAGUCCAAAGCAUGUUACAAUUGUGGAAGAGAAGGUCACCUAGGCUGAUUUUUUCGUGCACCAAAGUCAAGUCCAGCUGGGAUGGAGGCAUCAAAGGCCGUCCCAGACAAGACAAAACCGGUAGUUCAACGGAGAGCGUUUGUCGUAACCUCCCAAAAAGUGAGGAAUCCGAAUGAGGUGAUCACGGGUAAGCUAAUCAUAAACUCUAGCAAAGUCUAUACCUUAUUUGAUACCGGCUCUACCCAUUCUUUUAUUUCUCCUAUUUGCGCUCAACGUUUAAAUUUGACUCCGAAGAAGUUAGACUUUGACUUAUCGGUUAAAACUCCAUUGGGAGAAACCUUCAUUACAUCCACUAUUUAUAAGUCUUGUUUGAUUCAAAUCGGUAACCGUACAUUACCUGUCGAUCUUUUUUCUUUGAAAAUACUUGCAUUUGAUGUGAUUUUAGAGAUUAAUUGGUUAACUACUCAUCAUGCUAAAAUCGAUUGUUUUCGUAAGGUUGUUAGCUUUCAUAUUCCUAACCAACCUAUUAUGCGAAUUCAAGCAACCAAACAACUAAAAUCAAUCACUAUCAUAUCAAGCCAUAAAGCUAUUCAUUUAUUAAAAAAUGGAUGUCAAGCUUUCUUAGCCCAUGUCACGGAUUUAAAUAAAAAUACGUCAGAUUUGAAUGAUAUUUCUAUUGUUCAUAAAUUUCCUGACGUAUUCCUUGAAGAAAUUCCUGGCCUACCCCUAGAGUGUGAAAUUGAAUUUUGUAUCGACCUUGAAUGUGGUACAAAACCCAUUUCCAAAGCCCCAUAUCGAAUGGCUCCUAUUGAACUUCAGGAGUUAAAAACCUAACUACAGGAAUUAUUAGACAUCAGUUUCAUUCGUCCUAGUACAUCUCCUUGGGGUGCUCCUGUUCUAUUCGUGAAGAAGAAAGAUGGAAGUAUGCAACUUUGUAUUGAUUAUCGGGAGUUGAAUCAUGUCACCAUCAAAAAUAGGUACCCGUUGCCUCGCAUUAAUGACCUGUUUGACCAGUUGCAAGGAGCUAAAUUCUUUUCAAAGAUUGAUCUUCGUUCCGGAUAUCAUCAGUUGAAGAUUAAAACUGAUGACAUUCCAAAGACUGAUUUCAGAACUCGGUAAGGGCAUUAUGAAUUUCUAGUCAUGUCUUUUGGAUUGACUAAUGCUCCUGCUGCCUUCAUGGACAUGAUGAACCGAGUAUUCAAGGAAUAUUUGGAUCACUUUGUGGUCGUCUUUAUUGAUGACAUCCUCAUAUACUCCAAAAGCCGUGAAGACCAUGAUCAACACUUGAGGCUGAUACUUCAAAAACUUCGUGAGAACAAGCUUUAUGCCUAGUUAAAGAAAUGUGAGUUCUGGCUUGAGGAAGUUGCAUUCCUUGGGCACGUGAUAUCAAAUCAUGGAAUAUCUGUUGAACCAGCAAAGAUUGAAGGAAUCCAAAGCUAGGAGCAACCAAAGUCAGUGACUGAAAUACGUAGCUUUCUUGGCUUAGUUGGUUAUUAUCGGAGAUUCGUGGAAGGAUUUUCUCGAAUCGCUACUCCAUUAACUCAGCUGACUCGAAAAGAUACAAAGUUCAGUUGGAGCGAGAAAUGUGAGAAGAGUUUUCAAGAACUCAAGAGAAGACUCAUUUCAGCACAUGUUCUGACAAUACCAUCUGGCUCGGAGGGAUUUGUCAUCUACAGUGAUGCUUCAGGCAAAGGGGUUAGGAUGUGUUCUCAUGCAACAUGGAAAAGUCAUAGCCUAUGCCUCACGACAACUCAAAGAAUAUGAGAGGAAUUAUCCUACUCAUGAUCUAAAGUUGGCAGCAGUCGUUUUUGCGCUUAAGAUUUGGAGGCAUUACCUGUAUGGAGAGAAGGUGGAGAUCUAUACGGAUCAUAAAAGCCUCAAAUAUUUCUUCACUCAAAAGGAACUCAACAUGCGGCAAUGACGAUGGCUUGAGCUGUUAAAAGAUUAUGAUCAUACCAUCCAAUACCAUCCUGGAAAAGCGAACGUAGUAGCUGACGCAUUGAGUAGAAGAUCAUAUGCGGGUACGAGUGCAAUAUUGUCAACGCUAAGACCCAUUUUGUAUGACUAACGAAGGAUGGAGAUAGAGUUAAAAACUCCAGGGACCCAUGUGAUAAUGACGGAUAUACGAGUAGAACCGACUUUAAUCAAUAAAGUUAAAGCUGCUCAAGCUACAGACCUGGAGCUGAUGCAUAUGAGGAAGAAAGUGCAAGAAGGUGCUAUUCCAGAAGCAAGAAUCGAUGAAGAAAGAAUACUUCGAGUCAACUCCAGACUUUGUGUUCCUAACGAUUUUGACUUGAAGUAUAAAAUCAUGAUGGAGGCAAACAACACACCGUUUGCAAUCCAUCACGGGAGUACCAAAAUGUAUCGUGAUCUUCGACAUACAUUUUGGUGGAGCAAUAUGAAGAGAGAGAUAGCGGGGUUUAUCUCAAGGUGUCUAACUUUUCAACGAGUCAAGGCGGAGCAUCAAGUGCCAAAAGGUCCAUUGCAACCACUUGAAAUUCCAGAAUGGAAGUGGGAGCACAUUACCAUGGAUUUCGUUACUGGUCUUCCCAAGGUUUCCCAAGGCGUAGAUGCGAUUUCGGUCAUUGUUGAUAGAUUGACCAAGUCUACUCAUUUCUUACCGAUACGAGAAACUUAUACACUUGAACGUCUUGCUAGUAUGUACAUAAAUGAGAUUGUAAGAUUGCAUGGCAUGCCAGUAUCCAUAGUUUCUGAUCGAGACCCAAGAUUCACUUCAAGAUUUUGGGUUAGUGUGACGCCCCCAAAAUAGGUCCACACGAACCAUUCUGAGUCGCCAGAUAUCACACUAUAAAAAUCAAAUACAAACUUUAUUUAUACAACUGUUGAACUGUCGUGCAGAGUACGACAACAGUUAACUGUGAGUUUUAAUACAAAUAUUGUCAUCGUAGACAGUAUCCAAACUCAAAUUGUUACAAUGCCAUAUAAAAUACAGCAGCAAAUAUUUUAAGACCCCAAAGAAGAACGAGAAGAUUACUAUCAUAUUCAUUCUAAUGAGGUGCACUUUUGACGCUUUCAAAGUCGGGUUCUCAUCACCCUUAUUGUUGUUCACCAACAUCAAUUAUUAAGUGACGUAUAAAAUACAACACACACAUCUUAGGUCUUUAAUACAAUUAUCGGUUGCAUAUCAUGCCGUUUUAUAAUGUAUUGAGAAAUUUCGACAGUCUCGGACCAUCACACUAUUUUCCUGUUAUCCCCGCUCGACCCAGCUACACUCUUAUUACCUAAAAGGAAUUGUGAAGCAAAAGGGUGAGCACAAUUAGCCCAGUAAGGAAUAUCAUGGCUAAGAUAAUUAAUUUAUCAACAGCCUUUAUCAGAAUAAAUCAGAGAUUUAGAACAUAUGGUAGAUAAUAAAACGUUUCAACCAUAGUUGCAGCGGAACGAGUAAUCCAUUAGAUGAGUCAAGUAGAACAUAAUGUCUACUAUCUCCUCUAGAUUAAAAGUCCAUCGUUGAUAUUUUAUUCCUGUAAUACUCAUCAACAGUUCUUUGUUAUACUUAAGACAAAUAAAACUUUCAACACUUGUCUUCACCUGAACCACCAAAGAUGUUAGUUAAAUUCACAAUUCAUAUUUAUAAUAAUGUGAAUUAACAGUUCCUUCUUUCCACCAAGACUUAAUAGAAUGUUUACUCAAUAUCUUUACCCCAAAGGCUGAAGGUAUUCAAAUGUAAUAACAAUGAUCAUACCAAUCAGUUGUCUAUCUUUGCAUUACGGGCCAAAGAUAUUCAACUAUAGAACCAAUGGUCAUGAUCAUACCAAUCACAUCAUUGAAUUAUCCAUGCACUACGGCCAAGGAUAUUCGUUAGUAUCACUAGUGGUCAUGAUCAUGUCAUACACCUGUCCAUCUUCACACUACGGGUCAAAGCUAUCAAAUAACAGAUCAUCUUUGCACUACAGGCCAAAAAUAUUCAACAACAUAUCGUCUUUGCACUACAGGUCAAAGACAUACUACUGUAAAACCAAUAACCAACAAUAUAAUAAAGAAUGGAAUAAUAAAAGAAUUUCACCAUGCGUGCGUAAUCCGCACAGAAAGGUUAUUCCAACAUAAUAAUAAAGAAUGGAACCAGGUCAUGCGUAAAUGCACAGACAGGAUAUUCCAACAGAAUAAUAAAGAAUUGAAUAACAACAGACUUCACCAAGUAUACGGUAAUCCGCGUAUACAGGUUAUUCCAACAGAAUAAUAAAGAAUUGAAUAACAACAGACUUCACCAGGUAUACGGUAAUCCACGUAUACAGGUUAUUCCAACAGAAUAAUAAAGAAUUGAAUAACAACAGACUUCACCAGGUAUAUGGUAAUCCGCGUAUACAGGUUAUUCCAACAGAAUAAUCAAGAAUGGAAUAACAACAGACAUCACCAGGUAUACGGUAAUUCGCGUAUACAGGUUAUUCCAACAGAAUAAUAAAUGGAACCAGGUCAGGAGAAAUUCGCACCGACAGGAUAUUCCGACAGAAUAAUAAAGAAUAAAAUAAUAGAAGAAUUUCACCAUGUAUGCGGUACUUCGCAUAAACAGGUUAUUCCAACAUAAUAAUAAAUAAUGUAAUACAUAAGGAUUUCACCAAGUAAAGGGUAUGACGCUUAUACAGUUUAUGUAUAGGGUAUGCCUCAUAUACAGGUUAUUCCAACAGAAUAAUAAAGAAUGGAAUAACAGAAGUUCUCUUCAUGAAUAAGAAAGAAUAACACCCCUUACUAUAAUAAUAUUAUCCCUUACCGUAAAAAAACUGAAAAUAGAGGUAGUGAAGUAGCAGAAUAGUCUUCUUCUUUCUUUCUAUAAUUUCUCUCUCUAGAGUUUCAGUGAAUUCGUAAGAAAAUAAUGAAGGAAUGAGCUUCUAUUUAUAGAAGAAUGGAUUGCAUAGUAACUAACUCAUGAACGGUCCAAAUUGAUUUACUUUAAUCUGACGGUCCAUAUUUAAAGCAAAAUCUUUUAAAUAAAAUAUAAUAUAUUCUAUUUAUAAUCUAAUAAAAUAAAUAACUUUAUGUAAAUACUAUGCAGGCACUAUGCAAAUACUAUGCAUAAUAAAAUAUAAUAUAAUCUAAUUAUUGUCUAAUAAAACGAAUAACUUUAGAAAAGUAUUAUGUUUUAUAUAAAAAGAUUUUACUAUUAGUCUAAUAAAAUGAAUAACUUUAUAAAAGUAUUCUGUUUUAUAUAAAAAGUUUUUCUGUUUUAUUACGUUAAUAAUACGAAUAAAACAAAACUUCAUCAUCGCUUACUUUGAAAAUUUUUCAAAUGUCACCCUUAACUUUAAACUUUUAUCAAUUUAAUCAUUUACCAAAAUAGAAAAAUUGAAUACUUUUAUUUCAUAAAAUUCGGGGUCUCACAGUUAGUUUGCAAAAAGCUAUGGGCACGGAUUUACGAUUUAGUUCGGCAUAUCAUCCUCAAACGGAUGGGCAGUCGGAAAGGACUAUUCAAACUCUUGAGGAUUUAUUAAGAUUAUGUGUCCUUGACUUCAAGGGAAGUUGGGACAAGUUCUUACCAUUGGUGGAGUUUUCCUACAACAAUAGUUAUCAAGCAAGUAUUGGCAUGACUCCAUUUGAAGCGUUGUAUGGAAGAAAGUGUCGUUCUCCAGUAUGCUGGGAUGAGGUGGGUGAAGCAACGUUGUUGGGACUGGAGUUGGUACGUAUGACUACGAAAAAGAUUCAAACGAUCCGACAACGUAUAAAAACCUCACAAGAUNNNNNNNNNNNNNNNNNNNNNNNNNNNNNNNNNNNNNNNNNNNNNNNNNNNNNNNNNNNNNNNNNNNNNNNNNNNNNNNNNNNNNNNNNNNNNNNNNNNNUAUAUAUAUAUAUAUAUAUAUAUAUAUAUAUAUAUAUAUAUAUAUAUAUAUAUUGUCCAAAAUUAAUUUUUAGUUUUUGAGAUGGCAUGUAACCAUCACAUAUAUAUUUCUCCUUAAUGUGAUUGCAUUUAAGCCAUAACAAAGAAAAAAGUUUAAAAUAAUCUUUGGUGACAGCCAAGACCAUCACGAAAAGAAAACCACAUGUGAUGGACCUUUAUGAUUACAUUUAAAGUAAUCUCAACAAAUGGUAUUAUAUGAUGGACUUUUUCAACAAUCACAAAAUAAUAAUAUACAUGACGGCUCCUAGUAGUGGUUAUUUUUUCCAUCACCAUAAACUAUUUGUGACGGACAAGACAAUCACUAAAAAACAAGCAUAUAUGAACAACAAAUAUAUUAGGCGAGGAAUUUACUAGCAAUCACAAAAUAGUAGUAUAUAUGGUAGAUGUUACUCAAUGUCUAAUUGUGCCAUUAUUAUUAAAUAUUUAAGACAAUCAUUACAAUCACUAAAUUUUUCGCGUAAAUUGUACAUCUCUUUUUUAAGUCCCCAUUAAUCUUUAUUUUGCUUUGUUCUCUUUGUAAACUCAUUGUUUUUAUUGUGAAUUCAAAGGAUUUAGAGUUUAUCUCGUUUUUAUAUAACUAACUAUUUACGUUUGUUCUCUUUGUCUCGGUUGGUAUAUAUCUACUUCUUUCUAUGCAAGAAGUCUAGAGUCCAAAUCUCCACCCAAAAAAGAAACAGUGCAAAUGAUGGAGCAAAAUUCUUGCUGUUGGGGAAGAGCAGAUGGACUAAUUGAUGUAACCUUCAAAUUGGUGGGAAGAAAUCUGAAAUGGAAGGAGCAGUAAGCAGGAUUUUUUUUUUUACUAAAUUUAAAUUGUAUUAAAGGAGAAAGAAUGUACAAAAAUCAUGGGAAAACCCAAUCAGAAUAUAGUAUAUACAUCACCUCAAUCAGAAUAUAACAUAGACAUCAUAGGACAUGCCAUAUGAUGUCAUGACUAAAAAAGAAAAUAAGGCCAGAUGCCCAAACAAAAGAGAAACAAUCUCAACAUUCAUGAGAAUACAAUGCAUAGAAAUCAGACACAAAACCAAGAAAAACCUCAUCCAAAGUAGCAGCAGCCCACAAUAGCAGCAAAAGAAAAAUCAGUCCAAAGACCAAAAGGCAUCAUCCAUAACAGAACCGAAAGAGCCUACUGCAGACUAGCAGCACAAUAGAGCACAAGGCCCAACAAGAGAAGCCAACAACAGUUUAGCAAAGCAAAACAGCAGACAGGACAUGGAAAGCAAGAGCAACAAACCCCAAGAGCCCAAUGGCAGCCAUAGAAGUGCAGCAGCUGCAGCCGACAUCAAAUAAAACAGCAGUAAACGAUAGCAGCCAUAAGUACAGCACCACCCCCCAAAUCUGCAGCAUCAAGACAUAGAAAUAGUCACAAUACUGCAGACCAAAACACGCAAACAAUGCAGCAUAAGCAACAAACAGAGCAGCAAAUAGGUCUAUUUUCCUGCUUGUUUUCAAGGUUGUGUAGUAUUUAUUGUCAUUUUAGUAUUUUACAUAUAUGUCCAUUAUGGGUAAAAUAAGUUGUUUGGCAUGGGCAAUGAUGCCAGUGAAGGUUUUCUUUCUUCAGUGCUUGAUGGAAGCUCUCGAGCUGUAGUCACUACAAAGAUGAGGAGAUGCUGAAACCAUUUUCGAGCACAGUGAGAUAUAAUAGUUACAUAUAUGAAUAUGCCAUCUCAGAUGAUCAUGUUGGUGUAACACAGAAGCAUGUCUUCCAUGUGCUGGUACCAUUUCUCCUUCCUUUUCUGACAGUAGGCCUAUGAUUUCUUCUGGGAGUGCUGAGAAAGAGACUGCUAGACUAGAAUAUUGUAUACGGCACUAGAAAUAGGGCAGUCUUUCUGUAAACUGCAGAGCUAUGGUUCCUUGGAAUGAUCAUUGCUUUACAACGCAUUGAGUUUUUUUUUUCUACAUUUCUUUUUCCUGGAAAAGCCUAUUUGAGGGAGGAAAUAGGAGAAGUAGAAAUUUGUUGUGGGUAGAGAUGUUUUGGAUUUGUCCUUGGUUUCAGUAAUUAAACAUCUGCCAUUUUUAUUUGCGAUUAUAUCCGGAGGAAGCUUUUAUAUACUAGAUUCAUAAAUCAAGAAGUUCAAUAUAGGGAGCACCAGCUGCAACAGCAGCAGAGCAUGAGCAGCAACAUUAAUGUAGGUGGAAGCAUUGAAAGGACGUUCUAUUUGUUCAUGCCAUUUAAUCAUGGCAAUCAUUCUAUUUAUUCAUGGUAAUCAUUUUAUUUGUAUAUGCUUGUUCUUAUAUAGCUUAUAUUGACAGAAAAUUUAAAUGGAAGCUAUGAGAACCACAUUUUAUCAAGUCUUUCAGGUGGGUUAGCCUCUGCAUAGCUCUUACUAUUUCUUGCAGCUCGAGGAGCUAAAGCUUCCUAAAGUAUAGAAAUCACAAAACCAAGCAAAUAAGUUUAAAAAAAAAAAAGAACUAAAGAUAGAGUCGCAUGUCUUUCAAAUAUGUUUCAAAAAAAAAACACAUUCUCUAAAACACUGGUAACAGAGCUUCUCUAAAACUGAAUUUCAUGUCCAAGUUCAUGUUAUCAACUUAUAGUCUUAUAUGUAAUCAACAUAACUCAAACGACUUCCUCUUUUUCUAAUAAUUAAUAACAGGGAAAAAAUUUAAAAAUAUGGGUGAAUUGGAGAAAUAUAUCUUACAAUAACAAAGAAAAAGGGAAUCCUAGUCCAGAAACUUGUGCGCGCUCUCACGAAAGAUGUCUCAUGAGUAAGCCUGAAUCUUGACGGAUCUGCAUGUUCAUUGUAGGAGAAAUUUAACAUAAAGAGAUAGCCUCAUGUACACAAAUAUUAAAAUGAAUACUAAAUUCAAACUACAGAAUGAUAAAUAGUCAUUUCUUGAUCGUGCAGCGACAUAACAAUGGAAAACUCGGUCCUGAGAGGCAGUUUCCUGCUCCCAGACCUUCCAGCCACGAAUCUGUACAAGUUAAAAACUUAUUAGCAUUAUAUGUAGAAUCAAUCAGGUGAUAAUAUGAAGAGUGAUAGUGUUUUAUAGAAAAUGAAAAUAUUCGAAAAUUGUUUCGAACAUAUAUUAAAAUAAAUUAUUGUCCUUUUAUUUUAUUAAAUAAAAUAUUAAAAAAAUCAUUGUCUUCUUUAAUGCAGUUUAUAAAGAAACACGGGAAAAUGAAUAUAGGCCAAGUUAGUGAUAAAAGAAAGUGAAUGACAGACUUGGCAGGAACUCUAUUACUGUAGAAAAAUAAAGCAACAAUUGAAAGGAUUCUUAUUUCGAUAAUGAAAGGAAAUAAUAAUCGACUGAUAAUUAUCUGGAACAUGCCAACUACUAUAUAUAUAGGAAAACAUAACUAAAAAACUCAGCUACGUAGGCCUAAAUAUCAUCAUCUUCUUCUUCUUCUUCGAAAUAUUCAUCAUCAUUAAAAUAUUCAUUAUCAUCUUCAUCUUCAUCACUACAUUCUCUAUCUUCAUUUUCUGCUUCCGCUAAUGAUGGAUCCACUUCCGCCCACAUUAGGAUUACUCGUCAAUGGUUGAUCAAAUUUGAUAGAUUCGCCUUCUGAAACAAGAAGUUCUGGCCCUGGAGGGAUAAUAUCAACCACUUGACGUCCAUCCGAUGCAUCCGUUAUGGUUAUUUCGUAACCCCCCUUUUCUUUUCGUAUUAUUUUGCCUACUAUACCUGCUGCUGUAGCAUUAUAAACCGUAUUGUUACUCUUGCUCCCGUCGGGAUAAAUCUGACCCCUUCCCCUGUUUCCGCCUACGUAUAUAGGAUAUUUUAAGAAGUGAACAUCUUUCUUAGUAGCGGGGUCCGGGGAAAGAAUAGGAAAGGUGAUUUCACUAUAUUUUUGACCAGGAACAGGGCCUAUCACAAGAAUAUUUUUUUUAGUGGGGCGAUAGCUCUGAAAAGAAAGAUUGCCUAUCCUUUCUUUCAUCUCGGGAGAAAUCCGAUCAACAGGAGCUAAUUCAAAACCCUCCGGUAAAAUAAGAACAGCCCCUACAUUCAAAGCCCCCUUUUUACCAUUAGCAAGAACUUGUUUUAGUUGCAUAUCAUAAGGGAUUCGAACAACUGCUUCAAAUACAGUAUCAGGAAGUACGGCUUGUGGAACUUCAAUAUCCACGGGCUUAUUAGCUAAAUGGCAAUUGGCACAUACAAUACGCCCAGUCGCUUCUCGUGGAUUUUCAUAACCCUGCUGUGCAAAAAUGGGAUAUGCACUUGAAAUGGAUGUCCGAGUUAUGAUAUAUAUCAUGAGCGAUGCGGAAAUGGAUCGAGUAAUCUGUUCCUUUAUCCAAGAAAAAGUCUUUCUAGUUUGCAUGGUCCAACCAUUGAUCCCGAAAAUUUCUACAAUAAAUUGGGUAGGUCGCUAAUAUAGUUCCCUAUCCGCGAUUCUGCUAUUUACUGGAAUAAUAUAUNNNNNNNNNNNNNNNNNNNNNNNNNNNNNNNNNNNNNNNNNNNNNNNNNNNNNNNNNNNNNNNNNNNNNNNNNNNNNNNNNNNNNNNNNNNNNNNNNNNNGAGAAUCAUCAAGCAAUAUCAAAUUCUGAGUUUGCUCCUCAAUAUUAUAUAAGUCAAAAUCAUGAAACUCUUCCUCUUGAUAUGUCUCUUCAUUACUAUUUUCGGCAACAUCAUAUGUGUUUCUUGCUUUUGUUGUGAUUACAGUAGACCAACCUUUAGCUUUAGUCGACACUGGAUUAGCAUAGAACACUUGUACAACUUGUGAUGCAAUAACAAAUGGCUCAUACGGCUUGUGCCUUGAAUUUGUAUCAAUUGUAGUUAUCCCGUACUUGUUAAUAACUACCCUUUUUUCAGAAUCAUACCAUUCACAUUGGAACAAAAAUACUGAAUUCUCUUCUCCAUAGUAUUCUAGUUCAACUACUUUAAUUAAUUGUCCAUAAUAGUCUCGUUCUUGGCCUUCAAAAGUACAUCCCUAGACUAAAACACCACUAUUUUGAGUUACCUUUCUUGACUCCAAUUCUUUUGUAUGGAACCUAAAGCCAUUGACAAUGAAUCCAUCAUAACAUGUUACCUCUCUAGACGGACCCAUAGCGAGCGCUUUUAGACGCGUAUCAACGACAUCAUCAUUCUUGACUCUCUUUUCAAACCAUUUUAUAAAUGUCGAAUUAUGUUCCUUUUAUAGCACUUUAUCCGACAUGUUUGGACGUAAUUCUUUCAAUAAAUGCUUGUGCUCCCUAGAAGUAAUGAAAUAAAUUAGUAGAUAUAGAGUAAUGAUUUACAUAUCUAAAAGUAAUAAACUUUAUAAGAAUUAAAAUGUCAUACUCGAUGAAAUCAAAGACUUCCUCAUAAUUAGACAAGAUGUAUAAGGUUGCUGCCUCGAGUUCUUUAUCAGAUAGAUCUUCACGUUUUCGUUUUCCUCCAAUUGGACGACCAGGCCUAGGGUGGCUAAAUAUUGAUAACUUUCCAUUAGUUUCAGCUUGACCGCCAUCGUCAUUUCGAUCAGCUCGGUUGAACUUGGUUUGCACCCUAAGAUCAAAAUAUCGAGAAGAAAAGUAAACUAGUUCGUCUAUUAUGUAUGCCUCAGCUAUUGAACCCUCGGGGCAAGCCUUGUUACGCACCCUUUUCUUCAAAGAACACAUGCACCUAUAAUUAUAUUGAAGUUAGGUAAUCACUUUAACUAUAAAAAAGCCUUGGCAAGAAAAGAGAUAUAAUUUAUUAAAACAUCACCUCUCGAAAGGGUACAUCCAACGAUAUUGUACUGGCCCUCCGACCUUGGCUUUAUAUGCCAAAUGAACAAGUAGAUGCUCCAUUGAAUCAAAGAAAGAUGGUGGAAAAAUCAUCUCAAGAUUGCAUAAUAUUUCAGCAAUAAAUAGCUCAAGCUUCUCUAACUCAGCUAACUUAUACACCUUAGAGCAUAUGUCUCGAAAGAAUUUGCACAAAGCAUUUAUUGGUUCCCAUAUAGAGUUUGGUAAGAAAUCACGAAAGGCCAAUGGCAAGAAUCUCUGCAUGAGAACAUGGCAAUCAUGGCUCUUUAGCCCAAUUAUUUUGCAAUUGUCAAGGUUAAUACAAUGAGAGAUAUUUGAAGCAUAACCGUCUGGAACUUUCAACGAUUUAAGCCACUUGCAAACUUGCUUGACUUCUUCGCUUUUUAAAGAAUAUUUAGCUUUUGGCAAUUUAAAUUUCCCAUUACCACUCUCUUCAGGAUGUAAUUCAAAUCUUAUACCAAGCUCUUGCAAAUCUAAACGAGCUUUAAGGUGGUCUUUUGAUUUUCUAGUAAUGUUCAUCACAGUGUAAAAUAAAUUAUCAAAAAUAUUUUUCUCAAUAUGCAUCACGUCUAAGAAAUGUCUUAUUAGAAGCAAACUCCAAUAAGGCAAUUCAAAGAAGAUACUUUUCUUUGUCUAGUUAUGCUCGAUUCCAAACCCAGGAGUCUUAUCGGUACUAUUGUUUUUAUCCUUUCCAAAGAUGACCGAACUAAAUUGAGAUACAAAAUUUAACUCCUCAACACCUGUUAGUCGAGGCGGGGGAUUUCUCCGUUCGGUUUUAUUAUUGAACUUACUCUUCUCAGCUCGAUAUUUAUGAUUACGCUUCAACCAACGACGAUGGCAUCCAAAAUAACUCGGCUUCCUCCCAUGUUUAAGGUUAAAAGCUACACUUGGAUCCAUACAAGGACAUGACAAGGCCCCAUGUGUACUCCAACCCUUCAAUAUGCCUAGCGCAGGAAAGUCACUGAUUGUCCAUAUUACAGCUGCUUUCAUAUAAAAAUUUUGCUUUGAGAAAGCAUCAUAUGUAUCAACUCCAACAUCCCACAAAGUCUUUAGUUCUUCUAUAAGAGGUCGCAAAUACACAUCAAUCUCUCUUCCAGGUCCAUGUGGACCUGGAAUAAGCAGUGACAUAAACAUGUACUCCUCUUUCAUACACAUCCAAGGGGGGAGAUUGUAUGGAACAAGGAAAACUGGCCAUGUCGAAUGAGGUUUGCUAGAAUGCCCAAAAGGAUUAAAUCCAUCAGUAGCUAAGCCAAGUCUUAUACUACGAGCAUCUUCAGCAAAAGAUGGGUAAUUGAGGUCAAAAUAUUUCCAAGCCUCACUAUCAGCAGGGUGCCUUAGCUCACCUGGAAUAUCACAUCAUUUUUCUUUGUGCCACCUCAUAGGCUCGGCCGUUUUUGAUGACAAAUAAAGCCUUUGAAGCCUUGGUAUAAUUGGUAAAAAAACUUAAGACCUUCCUUGCUAUUGGUUUAUUCUUUUUCCCUUUAACACUGCCAUGGUUUUUAUACCUAGAUUCGUUACAAAUUGGGCAAGCAUCUAAAUCUGCAUAUUCUCCUCGAAACAAGAUACAAUCAUUAUUACAUGCAUGUAUUUUUUGUAGAGGUUGCCCAAGGUCCUUCAUUAAGGCCUUGCAGUGAUAAAAUGACUCGGGUAAUUUAUUCUUUUUAGGCAACAUUUCCUUGAAAGCUGAAAGAAAAGCAUCAAAUCCAGCAUUAGACAAACAAUACUUGGAUUUUAGGUGCAACAACAAAGUUACGGCUAAUAACUUGGUGUGAUUUUGACAACCAUCCCACAAGGGCUCGUCUGCAGCCUUUAGAAGGUCAUAGAACUUCUUUGAUUCGCUAUUAGGAUCCUCAUCAAAUUUAGGGCUAAUGCAGCUUGUAAUAUCCCUUAACAUGUCUUUAGGCCAAUUUGCAAUUCCCUCAUCAAUAUCGUCAUCUUAAUUCCCUACUUUCUUAAGUGACUCCCCAUGCUCCGUCCAUGUAGUGUAGUUUGGUACAAAUCCAUGCUUAUAAAGACACAUUUCUACAUCUUCACGUGAUUUAUAGUUUAUGAAAUCACACUUGGCACAAGGACACCGAAUCAUGCCAUCAUCUACGCACUCAGGAUUAGAAAAUGCAAAAUCAAGAAAUGUAUUGACCCCACUCAUAAAUUCAUGUAUAUGUUUAGACUUUUUCCCAACAUGCCUAUACAUCCAACUUCGAUCAUCCAUCUACCAUUUGUAAUUCAAAUAAUUGAAAAAUGUUCAUUUAUGGUGAUAAUUAACCCUUUUAUGAAAUAGAAAAGAAAAAAAAAACUGUACUGACUUUACAACUUAUUUUCUAGCACACUGUUCUUAACAUGGUCACAACUUAUAAUUAAAGAAAACAACAUAUACUACCUGAAUUCAAGAUAAUAUUGGUUAUGAGGUAGUAAAUCAAACAGAGAAAGCGUAAUCAGAGAAAGCAUAUUAGAUUUUCUAAUUAAUGUUCCUAAUUAGUUUUAUAUUAGAUUUUUUACAUGCUACACAGGAAUUGGGGCCAAAUUCGAACAGAGAAAGCAUAAUCAAAAUUCUAAAAUAAUUGGGGCCAAAUUGGAACAGAGAAAGUAAAGAGGGAGACAAUAAACACCCAAGGAAGAGAGGAUUUACCUUCAAAAUCACAAAGCUUAACUUGGAUCACAACUUUGGUACGUAGAAGAAAGGGAGAUGGUUUUAGUUACCGUCUAUGGAGAAGAUGGGAAGAGUUGUUUAGAGCCGCAGAGAGCACUGGGCAGAGGCCGUCGACUGAGAGGGAGUAGUCGACUGUCGACUUUGUCAAGAAAGAGGCAAGCAAGUAGCAACUGAAGCAAUCAAACAAAGAGUGAAGAAGGAGAACUGAAGAUAAGGGCUAGGGCAAAUGUCAAAUGUGAAAGUGAAAUCAGAAAUGGACCGCCGACUCGGUCACUUAGGAUUAUAGAUAGGAGUGAGAUAUAAUAAUAUUAUAAAAUUGUUUUUUUUAAGAAUUACGGUUCGGUUAUUCGGGUAUCCAAAUAACCAGUUUUUGAACACCGAAUCUGUAAUCGAAUACUAAAUAAUAAUUCGGAUAUAACUGAAAUUGUAAAAAAACCGAAAAACCGAAAUAAUUCGGUUAAAAAAUUUCGAUUCGGUUCGGUAAUUCGGUUUUAUUCGUUUUUUGCUCACUCCUAGUCACUGGACAUUUAAUUUUUGUUGGCUUGUUGUUGCUGACUUGCUGUAUUUUGGACAGUUAAUUAGGCUUGCAUUAUUAAGUCAUAAAUUUCAUGUUGGCUUGUUGUUGCUGCUGGACAAGUAAGUUAACAGUUGCUGCCUGCUGGGCAGUUAAUUUGCUAAAUAGUUAACAGGGAAUUUAUGUUGUAUGAUAUUUCGGUUAUUACCCGAAUAUCCGAAAUUACAAUUCGGUAUUCGGUAAUUCGGUUAUUUUCACAUUUCGAUUAGAAUUUUGGAUAGUGGAAUUGUCAUUAAUUCGGUUUUCGGUUAUAACCGAAUAGCUUAUUCGGUUCGGUUAUAACCGAAUGAUCACUCCUACUAAUAACUUGGUAUUUUGAAUCAAAUAUCGGCAUCGACACAUAAGGCUGUAAAAUGAGCAAACAGUUCGGGGUCGAUUCGUACUCGCUCGACUAAAAGUUCAAUUCGAGCUCGACUCUAAAUAUAAAUGAGUCAAAUAUGAGCAAAUUUUAAAGUUCUAUAAAUUACUCGAACCUCCUCAAAUUAUAAUUUUCUAUUGAUACUCGGAUCAUAUUCGUUCGAAAAGUUCAAACUGUUCAGGCUCGAUUCGGAAUCGUACUCGACUCGAUAGCUAAAUGAUCCUCAAUCAAACCUUAUAAUAUACUUGAUAAAAUUUGUGAACCAAAUCUGAUAGAAAUACAUUACGAAAAUUUAAAAAGAUUAUAAAAUGAGUUUUAGUUUUAGUUGGACCAGAUUAAGUAAUCUCAAGUACAUGAAAUUAAAAAUAAAAUAAAAUUAACAAAUUGAAAAAAACAACAACUAGUAGACUCGGGCGUAAAUUAACUUUUAAGGGUUUAAUACACUAUUUGUACGUUCCAAAUUUUAUAUUUGACUUUGUACCAUUGACAUUUAUUUUUUCGUGGGCAUAUAUUUUUAUUAUUAUUAGUUAUUGUCAAUUUUGGUGGAUAAAUUAUUUAAUGUUUGAAGACUAUUUGGGGGAUAUUAAAUAUAUCAUUACUCAUAAUGAUAUUAAAUAUAGUGGGUGCAGAUGAUAGUAAUGUUAUAAAAAAAUUUCAGGCUUCACAAAGAAGAAUAUAAGUUAUUGUAUUAAGCUUCAAUACUUUUUGUAAGAGUAAUAAUUGAUAUUAAAACAUCAUUUUUAUUAAUAAUAUUAUUUUAAAAUAAUAAAAGAGAGGAGACUUAAUUUGUAGCUUAAUCUAAAGAAAGUAUAUAAAUUUUUAAUAUUAUUUUAAUUUAUUUUACUUUUUUGAAUAACAAAUUUGUACUUAAUUACUAGUGGAUCAAUUAAUUCAUAUCUCACAAAUUUACUAAAAAUAAUAAUUAAAUGAUACUCUUUUUUUUGUAGAACAAAGGGUAUAUCAAAAGAUAAUUAAAUCAAAAGAAAUUUAAGCUAAUUAAAUUUAAUUAAAAGAUAAUUAAAAUUUAAACAAACAAAAAUAGACUAAUUUAGUGGCAUAUUCCACUCAUUUUGAAGAAAUGGCGGGAUCUCUGUUUCUAUCUUUAAUUUCAAGUACCAUUGUAUAAACUUCCCCAUCUUUUCCAUAGGCAGCAAACUGAAACCCUACAUCCAUCUUCUACCAAAAUUGUGAUCCCAGUUAAGGUUGUGAUUUCAAAGGUAAGUCCUCUCUUUGGGUGUUUAUUCUCUCCAUCUUUCCUUUCUCUGUUCUAAUUUGUCCCCAAUUCUUAUUUUAGAAUUGUGAUUAUGCUUUCUCUUUUCGAAUUUGGCCCCAAUUCCUGUUUUUAUAGAGAUGUUUUACGAACUGUUAUUGACAAUUUGAUUGUUCAUGUGUUUGUGGAGAUUUAAUAUAUAUAUAUAUAUAUAUAUAUAUAUAUAUGAUUUUGAUAGCGUAUUUACUAAUUUUAANNNNNNNNNNNNNNNNNNNNNNNNNNNNNNNNNNNNNNNNNNNNNNNNNNNNNNNNNNNNNNNNNNNNNNNNNNNNNNNNNNNNNNNNNNNNNNNNNNNNNNNNNNNNNNNNNNNNNNNNNNNNNNNNNNNNNNNNNNNNNNNNNNNNNNNNNNNNNNNNNNNNNNNNNNNNNNNNNNNNNNNNNNNNNNNNNNNNNNNNNNNNNNNNNNNNNNNNNNNNNNNNNNNNNNNNNNNNNNNNNNNNNNNNNNNNNNNNNNNNNNNNNNNNNNNNNNNNNNNNNNNNNNNNNNNNNNNNNNNNNNNNNNNNNNNNNNNNNNNNNNNNNNNNNNNNNNNNNNNNNNNNNNNNNNNNNNNNNNNNNNNNNNNNNNNNNNNNNNNNNNNNNNNNNNNNNNNNNNNNNNNNNNNNNNNNNNAUAUAUAUAUAUAUAUAUCCCUCGAUUUAUAUAUGUAUGUUAAUUAGGUACGUAUAUGUAUGCAUGAAUAUAUAUGAAACUUUGUUAGUUAAUUACUUUGGUUGAGAAUGGAUUGUAGUUUGUAAACAAAUCUAAUAUGAAACUGAUUAGGAAAAGACUUAAAUUGGAAUUCUUCUUUUGGUUGAAUGGAAGGGUUACUCAUUACUUCAUUAAUUUGACAUUAAUUUUGUAUUAUUUUGUUUAAUUAUGUUUUGGUUGGUUAUGUUUUUCAUUUAUUUUAUUCUAUUCCAAGUCAUUAAGAGCACAUGAUGUUUUAGGUAAAACACUGAUUCUACUGGACAGAUGAUUCAUGUACAAAACCAAAGUUAGUGCACACACCCUAUUAUUUAAUAUUCAAAACAUUGGGUUGCUGUUGGGGUGGGUCUGUAGGAGGGCAGGGGUGGAGUUGCAGGGGAGGCGAAUGGAAGAGGGCAAAAGUGCUGGAUGAAGGAGGGACGUUGGCAUGUUCUUGAAUGAUGGUAACCCAUUCUUUAUACAUUUUGAAUGAGAGUGGUUAAUUGCAAAAAAGCACUUGCAAUAGCUACAUUGAAAUUGGUUCCAUUUAUGAGGGACAAGAAAAGCAGCAGUGGGCAGUAAGGAACUGCUAUAACAGUUUUGGGUAUAUCAUUCUAGCUCUAGAAUCUAGUUUGAAGACUUAACCAUAGAGUUUUAGUUUUAGUUGGAGCUGUACAUUCUUUACCAUUAAUGAUUAGUGAUUCUAUUCAAAGUUACCAUGCUUUUUUAAGUUCUCACUUGGGUUUUUGUAAAUGGGUCAAGCUUUGCUUAUUGUGUGCAAGAAAAUCUGAUAUCGCUGUGAAAUCUAUAGUAAGAAAAUUAAAAAUGGUCACUUUGAUAUACUUGCACUUAAUUGAUGCCCACAAUUGUCGUCUUUAAUUGUACUAAUCCAUCAAAGGAGCAUGUCAAUAUUGUUCUAUUCAGCAGUACUAUGAUUUAAUUGAUGCCCUCAUAGUAUCCAUCAAAAGAACAUUUAAUCUUGAUGUAACCAGCAUGCCACGGAACCUGACAUGUGUAGCAAAAAAGCUUUUUACAGUUCAGACAUAUUAGAAAUGAUUGUUCCAUUGAAAUGAUUGUUUGGCAUAUUAGAGGAUCUAACAAGUGAUUACAGUCCAAAGUGGACGACAUUUAAUGCUGGCUACAUUGUCUUCAACUUUUACUUCGAUGUACUUGGUGAAGCAAUCCACACAAAAAGGAUGAAAACAUUCAUCAUUCUUCUUGAAAACAUUCAAUGCAUAUCUCACAAGUGAAAGUUGAACUCUCUUCUUCACCUGAUUUAUCCUCUUCUGUUUUCGCCAAACUCACCUCUUGUUUUUAGCUGUGUGUUCCCCAUUGUUUGUUCUGUUUCUGUUGCAAAAAAAUCAUCAGCUCAUGUGAGAAACAAUUAGAGAAAGUGGAAUUGUACAACAGAAACAUGCAUGAAGUUGUAUAUUAUUGCAAAAUAAAUGGCAACUCUUUCUACAAUUACAAAGAAAAUGCCAAACACAUUUUGAAUUUGCAGCUACAACUAUUACAUGUGUUAUACAAGAGAUGAGAAUACAUUUUGAACAUGCAUGUGUCAAUUUGUGAUCUACAACACAUUUUGAAAAUGCCUAACACAUUUUGAACAUGCAUGUGUUCUACAAUUACAUGAAUUAAUUUGCAUGUGUUGUACUUUGUGUUGUGCAUAUAGUAAUAGGUUCAAUUAAAUGUUGUGUCAAGUGAUAGUGCUAAUUUAUUUAUUUUUUGAUAAAAAAAUGUACAUGCUUGUGGUAUAAUUUCAAACUAGUUUUCCAAUGAGUCAUGAUUAAUUAUUGCUGAUUAAUAUGUUGGGUAUAUAAAUUGUUCUUUGUACGGUUGAAUGUUAUUGUCUUGACAGGUAAGAUGCUAAUUGAUUUUGGAGCUAGUAGAGUAGUGAAUAAUUUUGAAAUUGUAUUACAACAUCAUCUUGAAUAAUUUCUUUUAUUUAUCCUAUAUUUAAUUAUAAGUUUUUUUUCUUCUCCAGCUAUGGUGAGAACUAGAGGUGGGAGUAGUCUUUCCGGUAGGAGAUCAACUCUUCCUCAUAAUAGUGGCGAGACUGUUAACAUGAACAGAAUGAGAGAUGAGCCUAUUGUAUCUCAUGAUAGUGGUGAGAGUAUUGAUAGGGCUACACCGAAUACUACACAAGCCGAAAGGUUAUCUCGUAAGAAAAGGGGGCCAACUCUAGGGAUAAUAAAGCCUAAAACAGGCCAAACAAAGAUGCUUGUUAAUAUCAUUGGACAAAAGUAAGUUUUUACUAAUCUACUCGUGCUUGUCAAUAUGCAAGUUACAUACAAUCAAUUCUGGAUACGUUAAAGAUUCAUUUUCUGACACAUAAUAUAACGUCCGUUUUAACUAUAACAGGGUAAUCUAUGUAGCACAAUGUAAUCCAAAGAACAUAAAAGCAACUAAUCAUAUCAUGUUACUAUAAAAAGCAAUUAAUAGGGGUUCCAUUUAACAAGAUUUGAUUAAUCCUAUUGUGACAACUUUGUUUCUACUUUUCAUUAUUGUUGUACUAAUCAUAUCAUGCUAUGUUACCAUAUCUUGUAAUUAGCUUCCUUGAACCUGAAGCUCGAAGCAAGACUCACAUAUUAUUUCAAAAACGUUUUAAAGAAGCUCGAACCAAAUUCGAGCAAUGGCCAAAACAUGAAAUUGAACUUCUUUGGGGAGAAUAUUUGGUAUGUUUUAAUGAACACACAUUUUAAUUGUAGAAAAAAGUUUAUCAAAAAGUGUAUUAUUCAUUAUAUAUUAAUUAUUAUUUUUACUUGUGGAUGGUGUUAUAGAAAUAUUUUCGUUUCUCUUCAUCGAAGGAGGAGGGAAGGGGUCGAAUCAUAUGGGAGGAAAAUGCACGAAAAAGCUACCCAAACUAUUUAUGGAGAUGGAAAGAUGAUGCCAUUAAGAAGUUUGGCUCCAUUGAGGAAGCAAGGGAUAAAAAGCCUAAUUGGACAACUCUUGAUGUGUGGCAGGAGAUGUGUGAUUAUUGACUGAGUAAAGACUUUUUAGACUCUAGUGAGCUACAAAAAAAGAACAGAAACAUAACUACGUAUGUUCCUCACACAUCAGGCUCCAUAUCGUACGCCGUUAGGAGGGAACAAGAGGUAAAUUAUAAGUUGAUAAAAUCAAAUUAAUAAUAUGCGUAGUCGAUAAAUGCACAUGAUAAUGGUAAAAGAUUCAUAUCAUGAUGCUCUGUUUGGAGUUUUUAAGUGUUCAUGUGGUAUGUAUUGCUUAUUUUUAAUAUUAAUGUUUAUAAUUAAAAUAAUUAUUAUUUUGCUUGUUUUGUCUUAGAAACAAAGACUGCAUCGUCCGCCAACGCAAUAUGAGUUAUAUAAACAAACUCAUAUGAGGAAGGAGAAGGGUAGCGAGGAAAAAACGUGGGUUUGUGAUGAAGCAAAGAGGAAUUUGGUAUGAUUUUCUCUUGUAAAAUUAUAAACUUUGUUUACUCAUGCGAAAGUGAAGAUUGUUGUUCGUUCUUUUCAUAAUUAGUUAUGAGUAUUGUUAAUUAUAUAUACAUAUUUUAUGCAUUGUAUAGGAUGAUUAUGAGAGAAGACUCUUAGCCAAACAUGGUGAUACAGAUAAGCCCGUGAAUGAGUUAGAUGAUCCAAAUUUGGAGACAUGGCAGAAAACUGUUGGAGGCGUCAAAAAGGGUAGACUUGUUGGUCGACCAGGGGAAAAAUGGAGUUCUCGUCGUGGUUCGUAUUGUCCAUCUUUGGUUGCAGAUGAGAACUAUAUUAAAUUAAAGAAAAUGGAAAGCUACAUGACUUAUAUUCAUCAAUACACAAAAAAUAUGGCCGAAACACUUGCACUUGAUCCUCCUAUAGACUUUUGUGAUUUGUUUGCUUCAUCAAAUGCAUCAGCUGAUAUUCCAACGAAUAACUCAACCACGCAUGCUGAGAAUGACAACGGAGAUGAUGACGACUCUCAAGAAAACUUCAUGGAGAAUUCAGGAUGAUUUAGCUCUGCUUUACUUAUCAAUUUUAUUAGUUUAGGGUUCUUUGAUAGAUGUUGGGUUUGUUAAUUGUUUGAUGAACCUAUGACAUGUAGUUACCUAUUUAAGUAGUUGGUAAUGAAUUUAUUUUUAAUUAAAUGGAUCAGAUUUCUUCAUUUUAAUAAAUUUGUAUGAUUUUACGUUUCAAAUUUAUUGUAAUUUAUGUCAUUUAUAAAUUUGAAAUAUAAAAUUGGCAAUUAAAUAUAUUUUAAUAUAGGAAUUUGGUGAUGGCUUUACUAUCACCAAAACGUAUAAAAAGGUUACAAAAAUAGGAAUAAUUGUGAUUGCUUUAGCCAUCACAAGAGACUUAUGCCAUCACAAAAGAAUGUGAUUGUUUUGGCCAUCACAAAUAAUUGGUGAUUGUUUUGGCCAUCACAAAAAGAUGUGAUUGCUUUGGCCAUCACAAAUAAUUGGUGAUUGUUUUGACCAUCACACAAAGAUGUGAUUGCUUUAGCCAUCACAAAUAAUUGGUGAUUGUUUUUACCAUCACAAAAAGAUGUGAUUGCUUCGGCCAUCACAAAUAAUUGGUGAUUGUUUUGACCAUCACAAAAGAUGUGAUUGCUUUGACCAUCACAAAUAACUACUAUGCUAUCGAGAUUACUUUCGCCAUCACAAAUAACUUGUGUGAUUUCGUGAUGGUCAAACUAAUCACAAAAUACAUGUGCGCUAAUGUGACUGAUUUAGUCAUCACAAAAGGAUCGAAUGUUUUGGUGAUUGCCAAAACCAUCACGUAAAACCUUUCAUGAUGGACGUAUACAAAACGGCCAUCGUGAUGCUUAAAAUCAUCACGUAAACCUUUCGUGAUGGUUUUUUUAGUUUUUGUGAUGGAUUUUUGCCAUCACAAAUGACCAUUUUUUUAGUAGUGAUCGAAAGGACGUGGAAUUUAAUAUUGGAGAUCACGUGUUGUUACGUGUUGCUCCAUGGAAAGGAGUUACGAGAUUUGGAAAGAGAGAAGCUCAAUCCUCGAUUCAUUGACCCAUUUUUAAUCCUCGAGCGAGUAGGAACUAUGGCCUAUAGACUCGCCUUACCGCAAAGUAUGUCUCGUGUUCAUAACGUUUUUCACAUAUCUAUGUUACAUAAAUAUGUGAAAGACCCGAACCACAUUAUUGAAUUAGAACCAGACAAGAUAGAGGAAGAUUUAACAUAUGAAGAGUUACCUAUUAAAAUCUUGGAUAAGAAGGAUCAUAUUCUACGCUCCAAGGUUAUACCUCAAGUCAAAGUUUUAUAAGAGAAACCACGAUGUGGAGGAAAUGACCUGGGAGUUAGAAUCUGAGAUGAAGUCAAGAUAUCCUCGUCUCUUCGAUAUACCAGGUACGUACCCUAGUUUCGAGGAUGAAAUUUCAUAAGAAGGGGAGGUAGUAAGACCCCAACUUUUAUGAAUAAAGAAUAAUUUUCUCAAAAUAUAUUUUUGAAUAUUAUGGUGUGGAUUUGAUAUAAUGUUAUAGUUGUGGGUAUUAUUUACAAAUUUUGCAAAGUAAGCAAGUGGUUAUAUAAUAUUCGAUUGGUCGGGGAAUAUUCGUUUUAACAGGGAAUAUUCGUACGACGGUACAAUCAUUGGUGGACCCCACAAAGAAAGUAUUGUUGUAGUUAAAAAACGACAGAAUUAUCUUUUUAUAAAAAUAAUGGCGAAAGUGUUGCCGUUAAAACUGUUGAACUAACCGGUAAUAAAAGUACAGUAAUACGCGUGGUUGCAUAGUAGUACACAGUAUUGAUUAUUGAUGUUUACGUGAGAAGUCACUCAGUUAUACUCAAUUAUUACUAUAGUAAUUGUUGCAUCAUAUCUCUCAUAUUAUUGAUUCAAUUAUUGUCACAGUAUCAUCUGCAUAAUAUGUUAUAUUAUCAAAUCAAUAAUUGAGACGACAAAGUUAUUAAUAUUAUUAAAUUACAAUAUUGACAAUGUCUUGAAGUUCUGUCAAGGAGAGGUUAGAUAAUCUAAUUGCGCGCCAAUAGGGAGAAAUCCUCAUCGGAAAGCCCCCUCUUUCCUGGAAACUACCUGGUUGUUAAAUAUUAUGAGUUAUAAUAUUAAUGAUGAAUAAGUUUGUGUUGAUCAAAGAUGAAAUUAAUAGUUCCAUUGUAUGGAAAUUAUUAGUGUUAGUUGAAAAUCGACAUUUAUUUCGAUAAUAAUUGAUGUCUGGAGGUUUUAUUGACCAAUCGGGUAAUUAACCGGAUAAAUGAGCAAUUAAUUGCUAUUUAUUCACAUGCUUAUAACUAUGUGUUCACAUGUGUGUACUAUUGAUUCACAUGCAUGUACUGUUAGGGGAGUUGGUGCAAGAUUGAUAAUACUUGCAUGACUAAAUUAAAAAUUGAGGUAUAGAUGAAGGUACUAUACUAUACUUAAUUUUUUCACAUGUUUAGAACUAUUGAGUCACAAGAUUUACUAUUGAUUCACAUGAAUUACUAUUAGGGGAGGUGGUGCAAGUUUGAUAAUACUUGCAGGACUAAAUUAAAAAUAAAAAAAAAGAGGAAGGUAUUAUACUGUAAUAUUUUGAGCCCCAAAAUGUGCAAUUAUUGAAACUAUAUUUUCCUAUAAAUAGAAGCUCAUUCUUCCUUCAUUUCUUACCAAUUCACUAAAGCUAUAGAACAAUUAUUAUAGAGAGAAAUUAUAGAGAGAAAGAAGAAGAGAAGUAUGCUACCUCACUACUCCAGUAUCCAGUUUUCUUCUAAGGUAAGGGGUAUUAUUUCUUUCGUAUUCAUGAAGAGAGUUAUUUCUUUCAAUACUCGUAAGGGUUGUUAUUCCAUUCUUUAUUAUUCUGUUGGAAUAACCUGUAUAGGUGGAUUACCGAAUGCGGUGUGAAAUUCUUCUGUUAUUCCAUUCUUUAUUAUUAUGUUAGAAUAACCUGUCUGUGCAGAUUAUGCACGCCUGGUGAAUUCUUUUGUUAUUCCAUUCUUUAUUAUUUUGUCGGAAUAACCUGUCUGUGCGGACUACGCACGCCUGGUGAAUUCUUCUGUUAUUCCAUUUUUUAUUAUUCUGUUGGAAUAACCUGUCUGUGCGGUCUAUCGCAUGCCUAGUGAAUUCUUUUGUUAUUCCAUUCUUUAUUAUUUUGUUGGAAUAACCUGUCUGUGCGGUCUAUCGCAUGCAUGGUGAAUUCUUCUGUUAUUCCAUUCUUUAUUAUUCUGUUGGAAUAACCUGUCUAUGUGGAUUACCGCAUGCAUGGUGAAUGAUCCUUUGUAUUCAUUCCUUAUUAAAUUGUGGAAAUGAUAUGUCUACGUGGAUUACCGCAUGGCGGGCAAAAAUCCAUUUGCAAUUUUAUAUAUUCUAUUAUACUCAGUUGCUUAAAGUUUUGGCUUCUAUACUCCAUGAAAUUAGUAGAAUAUCCUGGAUAUUUGCGCUUCAUCCAAUAUCUUUUCAUGGACAUAUUCUUCUGAGCAUUCUUGAAUUUUACUCCACAAAGCAGUAUUAUGUUGACAAAUUGGAUGUUAUUAAUUUCUGGAUAAAUUAAAUUAUAAAUCUUUAAUAUUUAUCCUUGAACUUGUUUUAUUGAAUUAUUAUGUCAUUGUCAUCAUCCUCAUGCUUAUAUUGUGAUGAAAGUCAUCUUUGGCUUACGUGCAUAGAUGGAUUUGGUAUAAUUAUGACCAGGAAUUAUUCGGUAUAAUCAUGACUGUAAUGUGACGAAUGAUGUGGUGAAAGUCCUCAUUGGCCUGUAGUUCAUUGAUGGACAGUUGUUGGUAUGAUUAUGACCAGGGAUUAUUCGGUAUAAUUAUGACCAUUGAUGAUUACACGAGUAUCCUUGGCCAUAAUGCAUGGAUGAUUCGAUUUUAUUUAUUAAGCUGAGUCUCAGCGAUAAAGUUGAUGAAAAACUUUUUAAGUCAUAGAAGAUAGUAGAUUUUAUACUCUAUAAUUGACUCUUCUAAUGGAUUGCUUAUUCCGCUGUAGUUUUUUAUCUAAAACUUAUUGUCUAUUAUAUUCUUUCAGUUGUUAUACUGUUGAAGGCUAAGGAUAAUUUAUUUUGCAUUAUCUUAGUAAUAAUAUUUCUUACUGGGCUUGUUGAGCUCACCCUUUUCUUUCAUGGUUCUCUUCAAGAAAUGAGAACGUAGCUGGGACUAGUCGGGGAACAGAGUGACGGUCCAGAUGUUUGGAUUAGUAGUCCUCACUAUUCUGUGAAAUAGUGUGAUAAUAAAUGUAAUGAGGACUCCAUUGAGUGUGGAUAUUGUCUAGAUGACAAUAUUCUUAUUAAAACUCUUAGAUUAUGUUUUGUCGUAUUUUACACGACUGUUGUACAAUUAAGUUGUAUUUGAAUUUUGUACCAUGUAUCUGGCGACUCAAGAUGGCUGAUGUAUACCUAUUUUGGUGGCGUCACAUUAACCCUAUUGUUAUAUAUAUUAUAUCCGAUUAUUGUUUAUCAACAUAAUAUUAUACUAUAUAAUUCAGAUAUAUAUUCUGUUCAUUAAUUUCUAAAAAUGAUUAUACAAGUGUCUCCACCUGGAUAAUCAUUGUAUUUAAUCACAUGUUGAUAUAUAUAUAUAUAUAUAUAUAUAUAUAUAUAUAUAUAUAUAUAUACCUAUUGAACCCCAGUAUGUAUACAUUAAGUAAAAGUCGUCUAAGCUAUUCGACCAGCUAGACACAAAUUUAGUUAUAUCGUUUAAUAUGACAAAACUUUUUUGUAUCCAAUCAAAUUAUUUUGGUUCGGAUUCCAGACUAAGUAUGAACAUCCCGAACAUGAGAAAACUUUUAUGCGCCCAAGGCGGACAGAGUAAACGAUAAUAUCUUUCUUUCAUGCAGUAUUGAUCAAUACAGGGUCCAUGGGAUGUAUACCCUCGUGCCCGUAAGUUAUGACGGUUUGCAGAUGAAGUUCUGUUUAACCUUUUUGAAAAUAGAAAACAAUGUGUAUGUCACCCUAACCCUAUAUAUAGUCAAUACAUAGUUUCAAAAAUGUGAGAUAGAGUUGAUAUGUUAUUAUUAUCAGUUUAGUUUACUUCACAACUAUUGAAUCGUUGUAGAAGUAAUGUACAAAGAAAACAUUUAAUUCUUUCAGAUAAUUAUAUUUAUAAUUGUUAUUACUUGCUGGGCACUCAAAUGCUCAUCCUUGCUUAAUUUAAAUGUUUUCAGCUAAGCGUGAUCAACCUGAAGGUUUAGACAAUAAUAAGUGAAAAGGAAAGCAAACAGAAUAUGUUUAACGGUAUCUUUUGUAAUAGUUAAACUGUAUUAAGAUAAUGAUAUGUAUUAUCUAUCAUGUAAAGAAUUAUAGUAAAUGUUGCGUACUUGGGAUUAGACUAUGAUAUUUGUAAAUUAAGUUUGAUUUUUAUAUUAUUGUUAUUAUUAUUAUUAUUAUUAUUCUGCUCAUAAAAAUGGUAUCGUGAAGCACCGAGUUCGGGUUUCAAGUACCUAAAUUUGGGGGCGUCACAGUAUGGUAUUAGAGCUAUAGGUUAGAAACCUUAGGUGGGUUAAACCUUAGGCUAUAACCUUAGAACAGAGGGGAACGUUGAAAAUACAAAUAACUCAUAUAGAGUUUAUAAGGAGAUGAAUUUAAUAAAUUCAUCGUGAAACAAAAUAAAAGAUAACUAAUAAAACUAUUAUUUGCUAUGUGUUUAUACUUAGUGUUAAUCCGGAUAAUUUAUUUGUAUAGAUGUCAGAUAGAAAAAGAAUUAGAAUACCCUCAGAUCAUAAAGAAAGAGCAAAUCUCCAUGACCGAGCCAAUAUUAAAGCUAAUAGCUGAAAUAGAGGCACACAUUGAAAACUACCUCAAAGAGGAGGUUAUUUUGGAAAGUAUAAUACCAGAUCCAGAGACGAUAGUAUAACAGAUAGGUUGAGUGUAGUUAAAGAAUAUAUGGUGAAGCUUGAGUUCUUAAACUCAUUUAUUUGUGGUAAGUUCUUAAACUCAUAAUGUGUAGUAAGAAAAAGGGAAGUAUUUUAGAAUACCUCAUAUCAUUCUCGAAUUACUACUUCAUCUCCUCACCAGCUCUUGAACCCUUGACCUCUAGAAACUCAAUAAUCAAACGAGUACCAAAUGUCUACAAGGAGGACUAGUAUAGUUAUGUGUUAAUGGAUUAUUGAGGAUAAUAGAAUAUAUAGAAUGCUAAGCAAUUGAUCAUUAGUAAAGACGUAAGAAAUAGAUAGUGUUAGUAUUACUUGAAUAGGUAUGAUUCUAUGUGGUGUAAAUGAUAAGUAUGUCUGUGUAAGGAAAUAUUCUCAACUUUUGUAUAAGUUAUGGCUGCGAUUCCUGACUUGUGUGUUAUAAAGGAAUAGCGGAUGUUUAAAGCAGUAUGUGCUAUGGUAUGUCAAGUGAUAUGAAUAUGAGUCUAUGUUGGAUUAACGAAAUAAGUUGAUAUAAAGAUAGUAAUUAUUUAUCUGAACACUGGUUAAUACAGUAAACCGAAUUUUCAAAAUCUAAAAUUUUGAGUACAUGAUUAUUUGAAUAGAAAGUUUUGCGUUAUUUGAGAUGCAUGUACGAUAAGGCUUAGAAUGUAAGUUAAUAAGAAUAAUUUAUGAUAAUGCCAUCGAGAAGAAGAACCUGUCAAUAAAGCUAGAAGAUAACCAGACCCGCCAUAUAAUUUUGCGAAUGUGGACGCUCAAGCUAUGCAGAACGGAAUCCCAGCCGCGGGAAAUCGGCCAGAUAAUCGAUCGACAAACUUUAGAGACUUCAAGGCAAUCGUACUGCCAAGAUUUAGAAGAUCAACUGAUCCUGUUGACGCGUUUGUGAUAGUUAGGGUAACAUAGGGGCAAAAAGACAGCUUUUGCCACCUAUACGAUGAAAGGAGAUAGUUUUGAUAAUACCUGAAAUAAGCCAAGAGUGUGAUGGAAAGGAAAGUUUGUGUGUUGCAAAUGUGGACAGGAGGGAUAUAUCUCUCCUAACUCUCCCAAUCCAAAAGUGUAUAGUGGGUGUUUUAUUUGUGAGUUAAGGGAGCAUAAGGUGAAAGACUGUUUAAGAAAGAGAAGGGAGGCAAGGAAUGCGAAUACGAGGAGAGGCAGCAGGACAUUGACGACAACGAGACCAACUUCAACAAACAAACUGACGGAAUCAACCGCAAGAGUCAUCAACAUGACUGUUUAGGAUUCGGUAGCAGCCGGGGAUGCAACUCCAAGUAUUACUCGAACCAAUUUUAUUUUCUUAUAUAUGAUUUUCUUAUAUAUAUAGUAAAUUAUUUUAUAAAUUAUUUUGAAGGAGGAAUUUGAGUUCUUUUAGAAAUCAAAUUUCUGUUUAUGAAGAUAGAUAAGCUUUUUGCUGAAUAGUUAAAGAUCAGUUAGAUCAAUUAUGAUCGAGAUCUACUUGCAAUGAUUGUAUAGGUUAUGUACCCUUAUAUGUAUAGGUUUUAAAACGGUGAUUCCGGGGACGAAAUCUUUAUAAGGGAGGGUGAAUGUAAUAACCCGAUAUUUUCUAUAUAAUUAAAUCAGAAAUUUUGUGUAUGAAUUUAUUUAUUUAUUUAUUUAUUAAAGUUGGAAAUAUGUGCCAGGUAAUGUGUAUAUGUAUAUAUGUGAUAAAUAAAAUAUAUUUAUUGCAUGAAUAAUUACCAAUAGUUUUAUUUUAGAAUUAUUGCUCAUUAUAAAUUAUAUUAUAAUAAUAAUUAGUUUUAUAGUAGAAAUGUUUUUAUUAAUUCUAUUCUAUGAAAAUGUGUUUAUAUAUUAUUUAAAAAUUAUAUGAAAUGAUUAAAGACUUAUUAUAAUGAUUAUUCUGUUUUAUUAUAUGAAUUUUAGUUCAGAUUAUUUAAGUUAAUUAUUUUAACUUAAUUAUUAUUGUUAUGUAUGCAAGAUAAAUCAGAUAUGGAAUCCAAAUCCUAAUUUUGGAUUUUGAACAACGAAUGAGAAUAAUAAUAUAAUAUUAAUUAUAUUUUUAUUCUUCAGUGCUAUAAAUAUGUAUGUUAUGUUUGUAAGGUUAAUCUGGGGAGCAAUUUCCUUAUGACCUGAUAAAACCCUAAUUUGAAAGUCAAUUACGACUGUAAAAUCUGUUAAGUCAUUGUGAUAUGUGGUAUAUGAUUUGUAUUAUAAGUAUUAAUGUUAAUUAUAUAAAACCCUAAUUAGUAAUUUAAAACUCUAUUUUUCUUAUAUUAGAAACCCUAAACAGUAAUUAGCUAUCCGCUAAGUGGAAACCCUAAUUUAAAACUCAACUAUGAGUUUGAGACUAUUAUGUAACUGUGUUAUUAUGUUUAAGGUUAAGUAUUAUAGAAUUUUAUAUUAAUUAGAGAAACCCGAAUUAACAUUUAGAAAUCCUAAUUUCCAGAAACCCUAAUUUCUAAAUUAGUAAACCUAAUUUCUAAAUUAGUAACCCUAAUUUACUAAAAUAAAAUCCUAAUUGUUAAUUUAGCACGCUUAAUGAUAAUUAGUAAAAUCUAAACCUAAUUUUCAAGUCUAUGUAAUGAGGAAACCAAAUUAAUUACGAAACCUUAAUUUGUAUUUUUAGAAACUAAAAAUUUCAAUUUUUGUUUAAAUUAGAAAUCCUACAACACUUUGUGCUAAACCUUAUGGUCAAACCCUAAGGGUCAAACCCUAAGUGUUUGAUAAGUUACUAGUUUGCCCUUAAAUUGGUUAGCCAAAUGACAAAAAUACCCCUCUUGCAUUAUUGGACAUAACUUGUAAGACUAACCAAUUUUGAGUUGCUCAACAACUCUUACCAGCCCCAUUUGACUAAAAUGCCAGCAAUUAGCCAACUUGAUUUCAUGUUAUAUAUAGAGAGAUCAGGAAAGAGAAAUUUCAUUUAUUAGCCACAUUUGUACAAAAAACUCCUUACCAACUCUCUCUCUCCCAAAACCCACGAAAUGUUGUAGUAGAUCAGUCCCAUAUUAAAGCCCCACUAACACACUUAACCAAAUCAGCAGCCAGAAUCAAGAAUUGAUGUUUAAAGGUAUAAAAUCCUAAGUUAAAGUUUUGAUCUUGUAUGCUAUAUUGGAUUUAUGGUUUUUAUGUUUAAUCAUGUAGAAUAAGGUGUUAAUAGGUGAUCUGGGUUGGCACAUGUUAGAUCCAUAACAUCAAAGUGCUCGAAAUCUAAGUUUUUCAAAAUCUGGAAUUUUUUGUUUUUGUUGUCUGACAGCGAAUGUCAGGCCUUGUAGAUCUGUGCUUGUUUAUUGUUUUGAUGAUUUAAAGGUUUGAAGUGGUAGUUUGGUAUGAGGUCUUUCAUAUGAAAGUGGAAUCACUGUUAUUGGAUGUCUAGAUCGAAAGUUAUUGAUGGUCAAAAGUCGUUGACCAACCAUGACCGAGUGUAAAUCUGGGCAACCCAGAAAGCUUUUUCAGCGUCUGACAAUGUUUUGGAAGGCUUAGAUCUGUCAGUGUGUAAAUGAUUUGAUGAUGUUAUAAUAUACAGUUUAUAGCCUGUCAUAUGUACUUUAUAUUUGUGGCUUUAGAUCCUUUAAACAAACAAUUGAUCAAACUUAGUGGAUGGUCAAACUUGGCCCCUCGGUCACGAUUUCAUUUCUGGGAAUUUCCAGAAAAUCGGAAGAACAGCCCUCUGACAGGGUUUGACCAAGUUAUAUCUUGUAGAUCUGUUGAUGUUAAACUGAUUUGUUGUUAUAUUAUUGUUCCUGGACAUAAGGACUACAUCUUUGAGGCAUUAGAUCACUUGAAUCAUGAACGGAACCUAGAUUAAAUCGAGGAUGAAAGUGACUGGUCGACCACCUGGGUUUCUGGAAAACCCAGGAAUGCUCUGACAACAUAUUUGCAAGCCUAGAUCUCCUUGUGUGUUUGUUGUAUGACCUAGAUAUUGAUUGCUAGUUAUAGUGUUGUAUAAUGACUUCAAUAUUGAUGCUUAAGUUUGCCCAGAAACGAAUUAGACAGAGAAUUAUUAGUGGUCAAAGUUGACCCCUCAAACACAAAGCUAUAAGUGUUCUUGAGCUCAAGAACACCAACAGCGACGCUUACUGUCGCUAAAAGCCAAUAACGACGGUUUCUAAUACUUUUAAUUUCUGAUUUUUCGAAAAAUACUUAAAAAUAGAAAAUAAAUUAUAAAAAUUACAAAAAUGGUUUUAAAAAUUAUUUUCAAUUAUGAAAAAUAACUUUUAAUUAUUUGGGAUAUUUUUCAUUAAUAUUUAUAUAUUUUUUAAUAUUAAUAAUAUUUAAUUUAUUUAAUUAGUGUAUUAAAUAAACUAGAGAAAAAUGAUUUUAAUGUUAUAAAAAUCAAUUGAAAUAAGAAUAAAGUGUUUAAAAAUAUUUUUGAGUUAUAUAUGUAACUUUUAAUAUUUUUGUGAUGAAUUUCAUUAAUUAAUUAAUAUUGGUGAUAAUUAAGUAAUUUAAUAAAUGUAUUAAAUAAAUUAUGAAAAAUAGAAUUUGUGAUUUAAAAAUCAUAUAAAAGUGAUUUAAAGAUUAUAAAAAAAUAUUUAAAGUUAUAAAAUAUAACUUUUGAUAUUUUGUCAUGAAAAAUAUUAAUAAUUUAAUAUUAAUAAUAUUAGAUUUAUUUAAUGAUUAUAUUAAAUAAUUUAGUUUAAAAAUAAUUUUAUUAUUAUAAAAAUCAUUUUAAAUGAAAAUAAAGUGUUUAAAGAUAUUUUAAGUUAUAAAAUAUAACUUUUAAUAUUUAAAGGAUAAUUUCAUUAAUAAUUUAAUAUUAAUGAUAUUAAUUUAAGAUUUAUUGAUAUUAAAUUUAUUUAAUAAUUAUAUUAAAUAAAUAUUUUUAAAAUGGUUUUAUUAGUUUAAAAAUCAUUUAAAAGGAUAUAAUUGAAUUAAAAAUAUUUUAAGUUGGAAUUAAUGACGUUUAAUAUUUGGAUAAAUAGUAAAUUAAUAUUUUAAUAUUAAUGGUAAUUAUUUAAAAAUGAUUUUAAAUGUUUUAAAAAUCAUUUAAGGGUAGUAUUAGUACUUUAAAAAUAUUUUGAGUUAUUAUCAAUAACUUUAAUAUUUUGGUAAUGAUUAUAUUAAUAAUUUAAUAUUAAUUAAAUAUUAAUGAUAAUAUGAUUAUGUACUAUUUAAAUCAUUUAAUUAUGAUUCCAGUGUUUGAAAUUUCAUAAUAAAUUAUAAUAAAUGUUUAAAAAUUAUUAUAAGUCAUUUAAAAAUAAUAUGAUUGAUACUUGUAGAUAUUGAGAUACAAUAUAGAGUCUUAGACUCGAUAUUUACCCAAUAAAGCCGUCGGUAGACCGACAUAUUUUAAAAAUUGAUCUAGACUUAGAUAUUUGACUGUAUUAAUGUUUGUUUGUGAUUUAAUGAUUGUUGAAUAUGUGUGACAAUGUGAUUAGGUUAUGUCCUAACUGCAAUAAGAAGUGCUAUGUGUUAUAGUAUGUUAUUCUAAUCGAACAAAUGAUUUUAUUAAUGAUAGGUUUUGGUAUUAAAGAUAAAACUAAGUUGUGUAUUGUAAGUAGCAGACCAGACAAGUAUCCUAUCUUUGCAUUUUCAUUAUGCAAUGGACAUGAGUAAGAAGUUUAGAACUGUAUUACUACUGUAUCAGAUUAUUAACCCUAUUGUUAUAUAUGUUAUAUCCGAUUAUUGUUUAUCAACAUUGUGACGACCCCAAAAUAGUUAUACAACACCCAUUCUGAGUCGCCAUAAUACAUGGUACAGAAAGAAAACUACAACUUCACUAUUACAAUUGUCAUGCAAAAUACGACAACACAUACUGUGAGUUUAAAUACAAAUAUUGUCUUCUAGACAAUAUCCACAAUCAAAUAAGUCCUCAAUACAUUUAUUAAUACAUUAUUUUACAAAAAUAGUGAGGACUGCUAAAAUAACUAUCUUGAAUCAUCACUCCAUACCCCGGCUAGUCCCUGCUAUAUUCUCACCUCCUGAGAAGAAAAAUGGAACAACAAGAAAAAGGGUGAGUUCAACUAGCCCAGUAAAGAAUAUUAUGACUAAGAUAAUAUACAACAAAUUAUCAUUAGUCCUCAACAGGGAAAAAUCUGAUAGAAUAUAAUAGACAACAAGUUUUAGAUCAGCAAAUGCAGCGGAAACAACAAUCCAUUAGAAGAGUCACGUAGAGAAUGAGUUCUACUAUCUUCUAAGAUUUAAAAGUCCAUCAUCAAUAUUUUAUCCCUGUAACAACAAUCAAUAUACAUCUUUACACUACAGGCCAAAGAUAUUCAUUUAAAUCACCAGUCGGUCAUGUUCAUCUCAACACCUGUUCAUCUUUGCACUACGGGCCAAAGAUAUUCAUCAGUUUAUCAUUCAUCUUUGCACUACAGGCCAAAGAUAUUCAGUAAUAUCAUCAUUUAGGACUGAGGAUGAUGAAAAAUAUUUUUUUUUAAAGAAACGAAUCCAGUGAAACAAAAGGACAAGGAUUAAGAAUUCGUACUUUAGUUUGUCCAAAUUCAAAAAUACUCCAUAAUAAACAAUUAUGGGACAAAUUUUAAGAAUGAAGAUCAAAACAUGGAUAUAAUCAAAGCUAGUAUCAUAAUGGACAUUUUGGAUAAAAAGGAAAUUUUUUAUUUUUCGGUGAAUAAUGUCGUAUUCGUGAAUAGUGCUGUAUACGUGAAUAGUGCCGUAUACGUGAAUAGUAACCCCGACACAAAAAGUUCCAAAUUUGAUAAAAAGAUCAGAUCAAUAUUUCGACGUAAUGAUAUUGACGAAAAUAAUAUCAUUCAUGAAGAAAAUAAUAUUCCUUACCUCAAAGAAGCAGUACUUCGGAAUGAAAGGUCGGAAGUGAUGCUGAAUGAAACUUGUACUGAACAACAACUCUCAAAGUAUCUAAAUACUCACAAAAUACGCUCGAUAAUAUAGAGAGAAAGAGAGAAAGCUUAUGUUUCUUGUGUGAUUUUCAAUUCUAACUUAGCCAUCUAUUUAUAGAAAAAUGUUAACCCGCCGAAGCAGACUUGACCUGCUACCUGAUGGCUUUACCUGUUACUAUUGCCACCCACCACAUUUAAAAUUCAAUUUGAGCACAUUUCUCACCAACCACAAGUGGGGCCCAUUCAAUUCUAGAAUUUUCCACCAAAAUCAUUUAUAACCCUAAUUUCCGAAGCAGUCACCUCUUAAAAUUCAUAACAAAUCAUUCGUUCAUUUUUAACGGUUCAAAAUUUGUGGACAUAUACCCAACUUAUAUAUGUAUAACAUAACCAAAAAUCACAACAAUCCAACGGUCAGAGUAAAAAUUAUAACUCACGCAAUAUAUCGUAAAAAUACUGAUUUGAUUUUUAAUACCUCCAUUCCGACAAAAAUAUAGAUAAAACACCUCAACAUUAACUCCUUCAAUUAUAAUCACAUAAAAUAAACAAAUCCAUCAUUUAUAUAAAAUAAAUAUUUCCUUAUCAUAUAAAUCAAUAAUUAAUUAUUCACAAAUAAUAUUAUAGAAUCACAAUUAUGACAACCAAGCCGUUUCCAGGAAAGAGGGGGCUUUCCAAUAAGGAUUUCUCCUUACUGGCGCGCAAUUAGAUGACCUAACCUCUCCUUAACAGAACUUUCUAGACAUUGCCAAUAAUGCUAUCUAAUAAUAUUAUUAAAGCAAUAUGAAUUAUUGAUCUGAUAAUGGGAAAUACUGUGCAGUAACAAUAAUUGAAAUAAUAAUAAUAUAAAAUAUCAACGCAGCAAUUAUUGAAUCAAUAAAAUAAAAUAUUAAACAGUAACUACUGUAACAAUUAUUGAGUAGUGCCUUCUUACGUAAGAAUCAAUAAUUCAACUAUACUGUGUAAUACCGUGUGCUACUGUGCAACUACGCGUAUUACUGUAUUUUAACCACCAGGUAAUCCAACAGUGUUAACGGUAACAACUGCGCCGUUAUUUAUAAAAACACAUACUUGUCGUUUUCCUUCAUCCAACCAUUUUUCAUUAUGGGGCCCACAAAUGGCUGCGCCGUCGUACGAAUAUUCCCUGACAGCAAGAAUAUUCCACGACGAAACGAAUAUUCCCCGACAACAAUGAAUAUUUUAUAACCACUUGCUUAUUUUGCAAAAUUUGCUUAUCUCAUCCAUAACCAAAAUAUUAUAUCAAAUUAACACCUUAUUAUUCACAAUAAUAAUAAUUAGAGGAAAUUCAAUUUCAUUUAUAAAAAGUUGGGGUCUUACAAACAUGAUAUUAUAUUAUAUAAUUCAGAUAUAUAUUCUGUUCGUUAAUUUCUAAAAAUGAUUUAAUCACAUGUUGAUAUAUAUAUAUAUAUAUAUAUAUAUAUAUAUAUAUAUAUAUAUAUACCUAUUGAACCCCAGUAUGUAUACAUUAAGUAAAAGUCGUCUAAGCUAUUCAACUAGCUAGACACAGAUUUAGAUAUAUCAUUGAAUAUGAUAAAACUUUUUUGUAUCCAAUCAAAUUGUUUUGGUUCGGAUUCCAGACUAAGUAUGAACAUCCAGAACAUGGGAAAACUUUUAUGCACCUAAGACGGACAGAGUGAAUGAUAAUAUCGUUCUUGCAUGCAGUAUUGAUCAAUACAGGGUCCUUGGGAUGUACACCCUCGUGCCCAUAAGUUAUGACGGUUUGCAAAUGAAGUUCUACUUUACCUUUUUGAAAAUAGAAAAUAAUGUUCAUAAUAUGUCACCCUAACCCUAUAUAUAGUCAAUACGUAGUUUCAAAAAUGUGAGAUAGAGUUGUUAUGUUAUUAUUAUCGGUUUAGUUUACUUCACAACUAUUGAAUCGUUGUAGAAGUAAUGUACAAAGAAAACAUUUAAUUCUUUCAGAUAAUUAUAUUUAUAAUUGUUAUUACUUGCUGGGCACUCAAAUGCUCAUCCUUGCUUAAUUUAAAUGUUUUCAGCUAAGCGUGAUCAAUCUGAAGGUUUAGACAAUAAUAAGUGAAAAGGAAAGCAAACAGAAUAUGUUUAACGGUAUCUUUUGUAAUAGUUAAACUGUAUUAAGAUAAUGAUAUGUAUUAUCUAUCAUGUAAAGAAUUAUAGUAAAUGUUGCGUACUUGGGAUUAGACUAUGAUAUUUGUAAAUUAAGUUUGAUUUUUAUAUUAUUGUUAUUAUUAUUAUUAUUAUUAUUCUGCUCAUAAAAAUGGUAUCGUGAAGCACCGAGUUCGGGUUUCAAGUACCUAAAUUUGGGGGCGUCACAAAUAUGGCUCAGUUAUUGGAGCGCGAUAAUGAGUCAACCCAACCAAGAGAGAGUAGCCGACAAAAUGAUAAUACCAGUGGUAGCAGUCAUCGAAGCGGUGUCAACAAACGUGGAGGGAAUCAACAUGCUAGAAAUGGUAACCACUUCGGUAGUAAUCAUGGCGAAGAUAAUAAAAAUGGAAAUUUCAAGAAGAGGAGAAUCAACAAUGAUGGAAAGACGUCAGCACCAGAACCCGUUGGUAAGGAAGGAGAACGACCAGCGAUCGUAUGCUACAAAUGCGGAGGGGAGGGAUACAUCAGUCCAAACUGUGCGCAGCCGUCCAAAAUGUAUUAUAAUUAUGGAAGAGAAGGUCACCUAGCUCGAUUUUGUCUUGCAAGGAAGCCAAGUCAAGCUGGGAUGGAGGCACCAAAGGUCAUCCCAGAAAAGUCAAAACCAGUAGUUCAAGGGAGAGCGUUUUUCGUGACCUCCCAGAAAGCAAGGAACCUGAACGAGGUUAUCAUGGGUAAGCUAAUCAUAAACUCUAGCGAAGUAUAUACCUUAUUUGAUAACGGUUCUACCCAUUCUUUUAUUUUACUAUUGGCACUCAACGUUUAAAUUUAACUCUGGAGAAAUUAGACUUUGACUUAUCUGUUAAAACUCCGUUGGGAGAAACCUUCAUUACAUCCACUGUUUAUAAGUCUUGUUUAGUUCAAAUCGGUACCCUCACAUUACCUGUCGAUCUUAUUUCUUUAAAAAUACUUGCAUUUGAUGUGAUUUUAGGGAUUGAUUGGUUAACUACUCAUCAUGCAAAAAUUGAUUGUUUUCGUAAGGUUGUUAGCUUUCAUAUUCCUAACCAACCUAUUAUGCGAAUUCAAGCAACCAAACCACUAAAGUCAAUCACUGUCAUAUCAAGCCAUAAAGCUAUUCAUUUAUUGAAAAAUAGAUGUCAAGCUUUCUUAGCCCAUGUCACAAAUUUAAACAAAAAUACGUCAUAUUUGAAUGAUAUUUCUAUUGUUAAUAAAUUUCCAGAUGUAUUCCCUGAAGAACUUCCUGGCCUACCCCCAGAGCGUAAAAUUGAGUUUGUAUUGACCUCGAACUCGGUAAAAGACCCAUUUCCAAAGCCCCAUAUCGAAUGGCUCCUAUUGAACUUCAGGAGUUAAAAACCCAACUGCAGGAGUUGUUAGACAUCUGUUUCAUUUUUCCUAGUACGUCUCCUUGGGGUUCUCCUGUUCUAUUCGCAAAGAAGAAAGAUGGGAGUAUGCGACUUUGUAUUGACUAUCGGGAGUUAAAUCAUGUCACUAUCAAAAAUAGGUACUCGUUGCCUCGCAUUGAUUACCUGUUUGACCAGUUGUAAGGAGCCAAAUUCUUUUCAAAGAUCGAUCUUCGUUCUGGAUAUCACCAGUUAAAGAUUAAAACUGAUGACAUCCGAAAGACUGCUUUCAGAACUCGGUACAGGCAUUAUAUAUGAAUUCCUAGUCAUGCAUGUCCGUUGGAUUGACUAAUGCUCCUGCUGCUUUCAUGGAUAUGAUGAACCGAGUAUUCAAGGAAUAUUUGGAUCAUUUUGUGGUCAUUUUUAUUGAUGACAUCCUCAUAUACUCCAAAAUCCGUGAAGAUCAUGAGCAACACUUGAGGUUUAUACUUCAAAAGUUUCGUGAAAACAAGCUUUAUGCCAAGUUGAAGAAAUGCGAGUUCUGGCUUAAGGAAGUGGCAUUCCUUGGGAACGUGAUAUCAAUUCACGGAAUAUCUGUUGACCCAUUGAAGAUUAAAGCAAUUCAGAGCUGGGAGCAACCUAAGUCAGUGACCGAAGUACGUAGCUUUCUGGGCUUAGCUGGUUAUUAUCGGAGAUUCAUGGAUGGAUUUUCUCGAAUUGCUACUCUAUUAACUCAGCUGACUCGAAAAGAUACAAAAUUCGGUUGGAGCGAGGAAUGUGAGAAAAGUUUUCAAGAACUCAAGAGAAGACUCAUUUCAGCACCUGUUCUGAUAAUACCAUCUGGCUCGUAGGGAUUUAUCAUCUACAAUGAUGCUUCAGGCAAAGGGUUAGGAUGUGUUCUCAUGCAACAUGGGAAAGUCAUAGCCUAUGCAUCAUGACAACUCAAAGAAUAUGAGAGGAAUUAUCCUACUCAUGAUCUAGAGUUGGCAGCUGUCGUUUUUGCGCUUAAGAUUCGGAGGCAUUACCUGUAUGGAGAGAAUGUGGAGAUCUAUACGGAUCAUAAAAGCCUCAAAUAUUUCUUCACUCAAAAGGAGCUCAACAUGCGACAACGACGUUGGCUUGAGCUAUUGAAAGACUACGAUCAUACCAUUUAAUACCAUCUUGGAAAAGCGAACGUAGUAGCUGACGCAUUGAGUAGAAGAUCAUAUGCGGGUACGAGUGCGAUAUUGUUAACGCAAAGACCCAUUUUGUAUGACUUACAAAGGAUGGAAAUAGAGUUAAAGACUCUAGGGACCCAAGUGAUGAUGGCAAAUAUACGAUUAGAACCGACUUUAAUCGAUAAAGUUAAAGCUGCUCAACUUACGGACCUGGAGCUGAUGCGUAGUAGGAAGAAAGUACAAGGUGCUAUCCUGGAAGCAAGAAUCGAUGAAGAAGGAAUACUAUGAGUCAACUCUAGACUUUGUGUUCCUAACGACCCUAAUUUAAAGUAUAAAAUCAUGAUGGAGGCGCACAACACACCGUUUGCAAUCCAUCCUGGGAGUACCAAAAUGUAUCGUGAUCUUCGACAUAUAUUUUGGUGAAGUAAUAUAAAGAGAGAGAUAACAGAGUUUAUCUCAAGAUGUUUAACUUGUCAACGUGUCAAGGCGGAGCAUCAAGUGACAAAAGGUCCAUUGCAACCACUUGAAAUUCUAGAAUGGAAGAGGGAGCACAUUACCAUAGAUUUUGUUAUUGGUCUUCCCAAGGUUUCUCAAGGCAUAGUUGCAAUUUGGGUCAUUGUUGAUAGAUUGACCAAGUCUGCUCAUUACUUACCUAUACGAGAAACCUAUACACUUGAACGUCUUGCUCGUAUAUACAUAAACGAGAUUGUAAGACUGCAUGGUAUACCAGUAUCCAUAGUUUCUGAUCGAGACCUAAGAUUACUUCACGAUUUUGGGUCAGUUUGCAGAAAGCUAUGGGCACGGAUUUGCGAUUCAGUUCUUUGAUGCCCCCAAAAUAGGUAUACAUCACCCAUUUUGAGUCGCCAGAUACAUGGUACAAAAUUCAAAUACAACUUAAUUAUACAACAGUCGUGUAAAUACGACAAAACAUAAUCUAAGAGUUUUAAUAAGAAUAUUGUCCAUCUAACAAUAUCCACAAUCAAUGGAGUCCUCAUUACAUUUAUAAUCACACUAUUUCACAGAAUAGUGAGGACUACUAAUACAAACAUCUGGACCGUCACUCUGUUCCCCGACUAGACCCAGCUACGUUCUCAUUUCCUGAAGAGAACCAUGAAAGAAAAGGGUGAGCUCAACUAGCCCAGUAAGAAAUAUUAUGACUAAGAUAAUGCAAAAUAAAUUAUCCUUAGCCUUCAACAGUAUAACAACUGAUAGAAUAUAAUAGACAACAAGUUUUAGAUCAAAAACUGCAGCGAAAUAAGCAAUCCAUUAGAAGAGUCAAGUAGAGCAUAAAAUCUACUAUCUUCUAUGAUUUAAAAAGUUUUUCAAAAUUUUUAUCGCUGAGACUCAGCUUAAUAUAUAUAUAUAUAUAAAAGCAAUAAACGCACCGGAUGUAGACUUACAGUGGACUGCCAAAGUAGACUUCUUGGACUGCAAAUGGAUGAACACUCGUCUCUCGCCGGACUAAAAGUAGCUAUAUACGAGCUAACUAGUGUUUAAAGAAAAGGAAACACUCAAAAGAUGUGUAUGCAGAGCUAAACGGACAGGGCUUCCUCGCCUUUUUCCCUCUCUUCCUUCUCUCAAAUGGCUGACCCCCCCUCUAUAUUUAUAGACGGAUGGCCGCAGGUCUACCUGCGGCUGGUCGUGGUGGGCCCGGGCAUCGCGGGUCUCGUCGUCUUGUAGUACGUGCACUUGCGCACGGUAAUGUCCAAUCGAACUUUCAGAACUUCAAUCCUAGCAUCCAAACGAAGCGUGUCUGUACUUCUUCGGACCGCUGGUGUCGAGAGUUACGUAAUGACAUGGAUUAGAGGUUGUACGAAGUCAGGAAGCGGGGUAUAUGCCCAUGGUCUUCAGGCUUCAAAUUCUAUCCAAAGUAUUGUCACAGGUAAUAGUCACUCGGGAUUGUCAUUCCUCGGUUAUUUGGGACAUUGUUGUAUGUAUGUAUGUCUGAAAGGUUGAGACGACGUGCCAUUUGUUGGACGAACAAGAUGAUGUUUGACUCUUUGCCGGAGUUAUCGCCUGGUUGAGCUGAAAGUAACCGUUGCUCAGGUUACAUCUGAGAUUGGACUACUUGUUGGUAUGCUGCUAUAUCAUCUUGUUACGAGAUGACGUUGGUGACUCCUCACCGGGUUUAUCGCCGGUUUAAGCGGAAAGCAGACGUUGAUCAGGGUUACAGCUAAGAUUGGACCGCCUAUUUGUAUGCCUCACUGUCAUCUGUGAUUGAAGCUGAUUGCAUGUGUUUGCAACAAGCAAUUCUGGAGUUAUCGCCGGAACUGCGAUGGCAUCACUUGGGGUUAUCACCAAGGAUGGGACUACUACUCCCAAUGUUGUCUCUGGGACUGGAACUGAACGUCGCGGUGUCAUCACCGAGACAGGACUGUCCUCUCCGGUGUUGUUGCCGGUCUUUUGAUCUGCACAUCUCGGGGUUAUCUCCGAGAUUGGAAAUGACGUGCCCGGUGUGUGUUCCGGGUUUGGAACCGAUGCUCCCGGUUUGUGUUCCGGUUUGGAGCGAAACUUCCGGUAGUAUCUGGACUUGUUGUGAGCUGUCUUUCAGGGUUAUCUCCAAAAGACGAAUCUACCCUCCUGCAAUGUUAGUAAUAGGAGUGCAGAAAAUUUCGAGUGUCUACAACACCUAGCAACCCAGAUCAUCACUAUAGACUAAAAACAACAUAUUCUAACACCCAAACAUAACAUUUAACAACAUAUCAAAGGUCAGAUUUUUAGGUUUAGUGUUAUACCUUCUUGCUCAAUUUCUUGAUUUUAUGUUACUGAUUUGUUAUGGGAUUUCGUGGGGCUUGAAAAUGGGACAAAAAUGCUAUAGAUUUUCGUUGGUUCUAGUGAGAGAAGCUCUUGGUUGAGUGUUGUGCAAUUUUUAGUGAACAAAUGCAUUUUCUCUAUCCUUAAAUCUAUUUAUAGACAAAUUAGAUACAUGAAUGGCUGAGCUAGAACUUGUUGUUGUCAAUUUAGUGUCACAUGGCUACUCUAGGGUUAGCCAACCACUCCAUCUAGACCUAUUUCUACAAGCAAGCUUCAAUAAUACAAUAGGGCACAAAAGUCUUUUGGCUAGCAAUUUUAAGGGCAUUUUUAUAACUUGUCAAACCCUUAGGGUUUAACCCUUAGGGUUUAGCACAUAACACAAAUGAUUUUUAGCAACUUAGGGUUUGAAUAAAAUAAAAUUAUUUUAGCUUCUAAAAUUUGAAAAUCAAGAUUUGUUAAUUAGAUUAAGUUAGUAAUUAUAUUAUACAUGAACAUUAGGGUUUAGUACCACUAAUCAUAAUUAACCUUGCCAAAAUAGCAAUUAGGGUUUAAGAUUUUAAUAAUUAGGAUUUCUAAAACUCAAUUAGGAUUUUCUAAUUAUCCAAUUAGGGUUCUGAACAUUAGGGUUUUAAUUUAAUAAUUAUGUUUACCAUAAUUAGCAAUUAAAGUCUAUUGUACGUGUUAUUAAUCACAGUAACAUAAUUUUUGACAGAUAAAAUUCUUCAGUUUAAGUUUUGAUUUAGGGUUUCUAAUAUCAGAAAUUCAAAUCUAAUUAGGGUUUGACAUUUAUAAUUAGGGUUCCCUAAUUGGCAUAUCAUUAUGUAACACAACAUAUAACACAGUUAUAUAACAGUCUCAAAUUUCCCAUUUAAAUUGAAAAACAGGGUCAAACCAAUUAAUGCUAGGGUUUGGUCAAUAUACACCAUAAUUGACCAACCAUCAACAGUACGUACAUACAGUACAUAUUUAUGGCACUGAGAAAUUAAAAUAUUAUAAUAUUAUAUAUUAUUCUCAUGCCUUGAUCAAAACCCAAAAUUAGAGUUUGGAUUCCGUAUCUGAUUUAUCUGCCAUAAAUAACCUUAUUAAUUAAGUUAAAAUAAUUAACUUAAUAAUCUGAACAAAAUUCAUAUAAUAAAAUAAUUAUUAUAAUUAUUCUAACAUCAUUUCAUAUAUUACUUAUAUUUUCAAGGAAAAUAAUUAAUAAAACAUUUCUAAUAUAAAAUUAACUGUUAUAAGAAUAUAAUUUAUAAUAAUUAAUAUUUCUAAAAUAAAUCAAUUUGUAAUAAUUAAUGUAAUAAAUUUUAUUUAUCACACAUAUAAUUAUACACAUAUUACCUUGGCACAUAUCACCCAUAUUUAUUUUAAUAAAUAAUAAAAAAAAAAUUUAUACGCAAAAUUUAUGAUUUAUUUAUAUAGAAAAUAUCGGGUUGUCACAUUCUUCACAUUCAUCAGAUUCGGGUGUGUAGCUUGAGCGGCUUUAACUUUAUCGAUUAAAGUCGAUUCUGCUCGUAUAUUCGUUAUCUUCACGUGGGUCCUUAGAGUCUUUAACUCUAUCUUCAUCAUUUGUAAGUUAUACGAAAUGGGUAUUUGUGUUAACAACAUCGCACUUGUAAACACAUACGAUCUUCUACUCAAGGCGUCAGCUACUACGUUCGCUUUUCUACGAUGAUAUUGAAUGGUAUAGUCGUAAUCUUCAAUAGCCCGAGCCAACGUCUUUGGCGCAUGUUACGUUCGUUUUAAGUGAAGAAAUAUUUGAGGGUUUUAAAAAUGGGUUUUGUACUGGGGUCAAUACAAAAUUUGAUUUCACGCUCUAGGGGUAGGCUAAGAAGUCUUCAGGAAUACGUCAGGAAACUUAUUAACGAUAGAAAUAUCAUUCAAAACUGUGACUCUCAUCCCAAGACUUGGAUAGCCCGUCAUAUUGAUACCUAUCAACUUGCCACCGUUAUUCACGGCGUCCCCUACGGAUAGUCUGGCUUCGGUGUAUUCCAAGACUUGGAAGUCAUCAGCGAAAGGCUUAGGUCUCUUUACUUAUGGCUUGAUAUGACAAUGAUUGGCUUUAGUGGUUUGGUUGCUUGAAUUCGCAUAACAGGUUGGUUAGGAAUAUGAAAGCUAACAACCUUACGAAAAGCAUGAUGAGUAGUUAACCAAUCGACUCCUAAAAUCACAUCAAAGGCAAGUAAUUUCAAAGAGAUAAGAUCGACAGGUAACGUGAAAGUGUCGAUUUGAAUUAAACAAGAUUUAUAAACAGUGGAUGUAAUUAACGAAGGUUUCUCCUAACAUAGUUUCAACCGAUAAGUCAAAGUCUAAUUUCUCCGGAGUUAAGUUCAAACAUUGAACACAACUAGGUGAAAUAAAAGAGUGAGUAGAACCGGUAUCUAACAAGGUAUAGACUUCGCAAGAGUUUAUGAUUAACUUACCCGUGAUAACUUUAUUCAGGUUUCUCGUCACGAAAAACGCUCUCUCUUAAACUACUGAUUUUGACUUGUCUGGGACAUCCCAGUUGGACUUAACUUUGCUGUAGAGUACAUUCCACCCUUAAUUGCUUCAUCACAUUCCUGAUCCAUGAUUCGAAUCAUUACUCUCUGAUCCAUAUCGAAUUGGGGUUAACCGCUCUGCACAGGGUAAUUUCGAAUUCGAUGUUGGAUUCUCCCAAUUGUUGUCCAAAAAGCAAAAUCCAUUUCAUCUAUUUUAGCCUUAUUGGAUCUGACGUCUUUUUCUACAAUAUCUACACGUCGUGCGACUUUUACCCAUGCAUCAUCUAUUCUCAUUCGUUCAGUUGUUUUUUCUUUCAUCAGAACUUUGAUCAUAGCAUUCUUAAAUUCCAGCUCUAAUAUCUUAUACUCUGCCAAAGAGUGCUUCUGUUCGAGCAUCGUACAUCGGGUAACACAAUUUUGAAUUGCUACAUCUCUUUGCUCCACGACCGCCUGUCGUUCUUCAGCCUGCUCUUCUAGCUCAUGAAUACAAUUUUGUAAUUCUAAAUUUCGAUCAUAAAAUUCUUCUAAUAAAUUCACCUCAGGUUCCUCUUCUUCCUCACUCUCAGCUGCUACCUCUGCAACUAGCUCGAGUGCAACUAUUAGUUCUUCACUCACCAUGUAGAUAUCUCUAAUUUCUUCUUCGUUUGACAUCACAUUAACCUGGUUAGUGAUUAAAGGUGUCUCAACGAUCUCAUUCACUGCAUUGUUAAUAUUUUUAGCCGCCAUUUUUAAAUACUGUCAUAAAACAAGGGUGAAUUAACAUAUCACAUAUUAUCAAUAUAUUAUGACCGACCAAUUAAAUACCAAAUAAACUUAGGUAGGUCAUACUAGCAAAGGAAUUCCCCGUCUCUCCCCUCCUAGUUCUUGUCUCACAUCUCAGCCAGGGAUCAUAUCCCUAAGCUUUGAUACCAACUGUGACGCCCCCAAAACAGGUAUUCAUCACCCAUCUUGAGUCGCCAAAUACAUAGUACAAAAUUUAAAUACAACUUAAUUAUACAACAGUCGUGUAAAAUACGACAAAACAUAAUUUAAGAGUUUUAAUAAGAAUAUUGUCAUCUAGACAAUAUCCACACUCAAUGGAGUCCUCAUUACAUUUACUGUCACACUAUUUAACAGAAUAGUGAGGACUACUAAUGCUAACAUCUGGACCGUCACUCUGUUCCCCGACUCGUCCCAGCUAUAUUCUCAUUUUCUGAAGAGAACAGUGAAAGAAAGGGUGAGCUCAACUAGCCCAGUAAGAAAUAUUAUGACUAAGAUAAUGCAAAAUAAAUUAUCAUUAGCCUUCAAUAGUAUAACAACUGAUAGAAUAUAAUAGACAACAAGUUUUAGAUCAAAAACUGCAGCGGAAUAAGCAAUCCAUUAGAAGAGUCAAGUAGAGCAUAAAAUCUACUAUCUUCUAUGAUUUAAAAAGUUUUUCAUCAUUUUUAUCGCUAAGACUCAACUUAAUAAAUAAAAUUGAAUCAUCCCUGCACCACAGCGAAGUUUAUUCAUGUAAUCAUCAAUGGUCAUGACUAUACCGAAUAAUCCCUAGUCAUAAUCAUACCAACAACUGUCCACCAAUGAAUUACAUGCCAAUGAUGACUUUUACCACAUCAUUCGUCACAUUACAGUCAUGAUUAUACCGAAUAAUCCCUGGUCAUAAUCAUACCAAGUCCAUCUAUGCACGUAAGUCAAAGAUGACUAUCAUCACAAUAUAAGCAUGAAGAUGAUAACAAUGACAUAAUAAUUCAAUAAAACAAGUUCAAGGAUAAAUUUUAAAGAUUUAUAAUUUAAUUUAUCCAGGAAUCAAUAACGUCUAAUUUGUCAACAUGAUACUGCUUUGUGGAGUAAAAUUCAAGAAUGCUCAGAAGAAUAUUUCUAUGAAAAGAUACUGGAUGAAGUGCAAAUAUCUAGGAUAUUCUACUAAUUUUAUGGAGUAUAGAAGCCAAAACUUUAACCAACUGAGUAUAAUAGAAUAUAUGAAGCUGUAAAUGGAUUUUCGCCCGCCAUGCGGUAAUCCAUGUAGACAGAUCAUUUCCACAUUUUAAUAAGGAAUGAAUACGAAGGAUCAUUCACCAUGCAUGCGAUAAUCCACAUAGACAUGUUAUUCCAACAGAAUAACAAAGUAUGGAAUAACAGAAGAAUUCACCAUGCAUGCGAUAGACCACACAGACAGGUUAUUCCAACAGAAUAAUAAAGAAUGAAAUACUAAAAGAAUUCACCAGGUGUGCGUAGUCCGCACAGACAGGUUAUUCCAGCAGAAUAAUAAAGAAUAGAAUAACAGAAGAAUUUACCAGGCGUGCUUAAUCCGCACAGACAAGUUAUUCCAACAGAAUAAUAAAGAAUGGAAUAACAGAAGAAUUCUCCAGGCGUGCGUAAUCUGCACAGACAGGUUAUUCAACCAGAAUAAUAAAGAAUGGAAUAAUAGAAGAAUUUUGCCACGCAUACGGUAAUCCGUGUAUACAGGUUAUUCCAACAGAAUAAUAAAGAAUAGAAUAACAGAAGAAUUUCACCACACAUACGGUAAUCCGCGUAUACAUGUUAUUCCAACAGAAUAAUAAAGAAUGGAAUAACAACCCUGACAAGUAUUGAAAGAAAUAACUCUCUUAAUAAAUACGAAAGAAAUAAUACCCCUUACCUUAGAAGAAAACUAGAAUAGUGAGGUAGCAGACUUCUCUUCUUCUUUCUCUCUAUAAUUUCUCUCUAUAAUAAUUUCUCUAUAGCUUUAGUGAAUUGGUGAACAAUAAUGAAGGAAUGAGCUUCUAUUUAUAGAAAAAUAUAGUUUCAACAAUUGCACAUUUUGGGGCUCAAAAAAUUACAGUAUAAUAUCUUCUUCUUUUUCUUCAUUUUUAAUUUAGUCCUGCAAGUAUUAUCAAACUUGCACCACCUCCUCUUGGAAGUCCUUGAAUCAAUCAGCUCGAAACAAUCCUUCUUGGACUCAAAUUCUAGUUAAAAUUACCUUUUCUACGCGUACCCAAGCCCCAGCUUGGGUAUUGCCUUGUAAAUAGUAAGCCCCGGCUUGCUAUGCUUCUGAUUUUGAACUCAGGACCCCAAGCCCCGGCUUGGGUAUAAAGCUUAAAAGAGCAAGCCCCGACUUGGGUGCAAGCUGCUAAUAGUUUUUUCUGCUGCAGUGUCCUCAGGUAAAAUGGCCAUAACUUUUGAUCCGGGAGGAGUUACGGGGCCUGCCACCUAUCAAAUCAAAGAUAUCGACGAGAUCUACAACUUUCAUUCUUUGAGAAUUGAGUAAUAACGAACGAAUGAAGGUAGAAAUUGGACUAGAAAUGACUGUUAUGCAAAUGGCCACCCAAAAUAGCGAAGUUAUUCAACAGUCUCCUGUGCUCCAUUGAUAUUCUCAACAUUCUCGGUUGUCAUUUUCAAAUACUGCCACAAAACAAGGGUUAAAUAACAUCACAUAUUAUCUCUAUACUCUGACCGACCAAUUAAAUACCAAAUAAACUUAGGUAGGUCAUACUAGUUCCCCGUCUCUCCCCACCUAGUUCUUAUCUUACAUUUUAGUCAUGGAUCAUAUCCCUAAGCUUUGAUACCAACUGUGACGCCCCCAAAAUAAGUAUACAUCACCUAUUCUGAGUCGCCAAAUACAUGAUAUAAAAUACAAAUACAAUCUUAAAUAUACAACAUAAGUUGUGAGUUUUAAUACAAACAUUGUCUUCUAGACAGUAUUAAAACUCAAAAUAAGUCAUCAAUACAUUUAUUAACACACUAUUUCACAGAAUAGUGAGGACUACUAAUGCUAUCCUCUGGACCAUUACUCCAUUCCCCGACUCGUCCCAGCUAUAUUCUCAUUUCCUGAAGAGAACAAUGAAAGAAAGGGUGAGCUCAACUAGCCCAAUAAGAAAUAUUAUGACUAAGAUAAUGCAGAAUAAAUUAUCAUUAGUCUUCAACAAUGUUAAACUGAUAAAAUACAAUAACUGCAGCGAAAUAAGUAAUCCAUUAAAAGAGUCAAGUAGAGAAUAAAAUCUACUAUCUUUUAUGAUUUAAAAGGAUUUUCAUCACUUUUAUCGCUGAGACUCAGUUUAAUAAAUAAUCCACAUCAUCGAAUCACCCCUGCACUACGGCCAAGGAUAUUCUUUAGUAUUACAACCAUAAAUAUCCAUGCACUACGGGCCAAGGACAUUCGUGUAUUCAUUAAUGGUCAUGAUCAUGCCAAAAACUGUCCAACAAUACACUACGGUCAAUGAGGACUUUUACCACAUCAUUUGUAACAUUACGGUCGUAAUUAUACUGAAUAAUCCCUGGUUAUAAUCAUACCAAGUCCAUCUAUACACUACAGGCCACAGAUGACUUUCAACAGAAUAUAAACAUGAGGACGAUGACAAUGAUAUAUGAAUUCAAUAAAACAAGUUCAAGAAUUUAUUUGUCCAGGAACCAAUAACGUCCAAAUUGUCAACAAGAUACUGUUUUGUGGGAUAAAAUUCAAGAAUGCUCAGAAGAAUAUUUUCAUAAAAAGAUAUUGGAUGAAGCGCAAAUAUCAAGGAUAUUCCACUAAUUUCAUGGAGUAUAGAAGUCAAAACUUUAACCAACUGAGUAUAAUAAAGAAUGAAAUAACAAAAGAAAUCACCAUGCACGUGGUACUUCGCAUAGACUGGUUAUUCCAACAGAAUAAUAAAUAACGGAACCAGGUUAGGCAAAAUUCGCACCGAUAGGAUGUUCCAACUGAAUAAUAAAGAAUGGAAUAACAACAGAAAUCACCAUGCAUACGGUACUUCGCAUAGACAGGUUAUUCCAACAGAAUACUAAAUAACAGAACCAGGUCCGGCGUAAAACGCACAGACAGGAUAUUCCAACACAAUAAUAAAGGCGGAACCAGGUCCGGCGUAAAAGUCACAGACAUGAUAUUCCAACAGAAUAAUAAAUACGGAACCAGGUCCGGCGUAAAACGCACAGACAGGAUAUUCCAACAGAAUAAUAAAGAAGAAAAUAACAGAAGAAUUUCAUCAAAUAUAGGGUAGCCCGCGUAUACAGGUUAUUCCAACAGAAUAAUAAAGAAUGGAAUAACAGAAGUUCUCUUCAUGAAUACAAAAGAAAUAAUACCCCUUACAGUUACAACAAAUAAUAUCCAUUACCGUAAAAGAAACUGGAUAUAGGAAAAUAAAGUUAGCAGACUUCUCUUCUUCUUUCUCUCUAUAAUUUUCUCUCUUUAAAGUUUCAGUGAAUUCGUAAGAAAUAAUGAAGGAAUGAACUUCUAUUUAUAGAAGAAUGGACUGCAUAGUAACUAAUUCAUGAACGGUCCAGAUUGAUUUACUUUUAAUCGAACGAUCCAUAAUUAAAGCAAAGUUUUUUAAAUAAAAUAUAAUAUAUUAUAUAUAUAACAUGUGCAAGAAAAGAAAAAUCACGGGUGGAAGACCCGUGAAUUCAUCUUACUCCCUCUGUCCAUUUUUUCAAACUUACAUAUAUAUAAUAUAAUAUAAUAUAAUAUACAUAAUAAUACUCCUCCCGUCCAUUUCAUCCAUACCCCCCCACCCAAGACUUUUCAUCACAUAUAUAAUAUAAAACAUAUAUAUAUAUAUAUAUAUAUAUAUAUAUAUAAUACUCCCACUAACUUUUCCUUCAACCAACCCGUGACAAACAUAACAUUUCACCCAAGACUUUCCUCCACAAAUGGGCCCCACCCGUGGCCCUCCUAAAAUAACUUCUAUCGAUUAUUUUGAAAACUGGAUAAAUAGGGAUCCAUAAAAUACGUCAAAAUUCACAACAAUUACUAUAACAAUAAUUGAACAAAACUGAGUAGUUCAACAGUAUUAACGGUAAAACUUCCGCCGUUACUUUCAAUAAAAUAUUUUUGUCGUUUUCUCAAUCCGACAAUAAUUCUGUUGUGGGGUCCACCAAUGAUUGUACCGUCGUACGGAUAUUCCCUGACAAAAAGAAUAUUUCCCGACCAAUCGAAUAUAAUAUGACAACUUGCAUACUUUGCAAAAUUUAUAAAUAUUACCCACAAUUAUAAUAUUAUAUCAAAUUAUUCCAUAAUAUUCAAAAAUGAUAUUUAUUGAAAAUUCAUUUUUAUUCAUAAAAGUUGGGGUCUUACAGUAGUUAAAUUCUUAUUUUUGACAUUUUUCAAAUAUUUCAUCCAUGCUUUUACAAUAGACAUCUUUCACUUUGAUGGCGUUUGACAUGCUUACAACAAGUAAUAGAAAUCAUUUUACAGUCAUUAUUUGCAUUAAUCAAGCAUGUUAGUCACAUAGUCAAGUCGUAGUUUCAAUGGUAAUGAAUAGAUUUCUUAUAUGUAAUACAUUUUUCAAAUAUCUCAUCCAUGCUUUUAUCAUCACCAUUUUUCUCUUUGAUGGGGUGUAGUAUGAUAAUAACAUGCAACCAUACAUAUGUAUAGUUACACCAUAUUAAGAACUUAGUUACAUGAAGUUUUCAUGCUUUGCUUAGAGACUUCUAGCAUACAAGGUGCUUUUGUAACUUAUUUUAUGCCUUUGAAAAUAUUCACAACUUGGUUGAGUAAUUUAUAGUUCUUAUAACACUUUUUAGCUUUAUUCUUGUAUACAAAAGUGUAUCAUUCUUGAUUUUCCUCUCUUUCCCAAAAUAGUCCUAACAUGAUCUAUUUGGGGCAAUCAAGCUAGCUUCUCUUGACCAUUUGGGCUUAGUCAGGCUUGGGGUAGCCUAGAUUGGCCUUGCAGUCCCAAUUGGCCUCUAUCUAUGGCAUGAUUUUAUUAAUACCCUCUUCUAUUAAGGUUUACUCUCACCUAUAUCACCAUUUGAUUCUGUUAUUUAUAGGUGAGGAUUUCUUUGAACUGCUACAUGUUUGCUACUUACUUGAUUUUGUUUUCUUUCCGUUUGUAGCUAACUACUCACUAGUAGCAGCUCUCUACUUUAGAUACUAAAUUUACUAGCUUUUAAUCUCCCACUAAACUUUUGGGUCAGCAGCUAGGGGACACAACUCCCUAAUAAUAGAGCAUAUUGGUUAAUUAUCUUAAGCAAUAUAGUUGUAUUGUCUGAAGGUCUAAAGGACAAGUUCAUUACCCAGCUCAGCUACUGUUGCUAUUAGUUGUUAUUUUUCAGUAAUAGAUUGACAGUCUUCAAACUUACCAUGUUUCUUCUUUAAUAACUUUUGUCUAGAAAAUUUCUAUUGCACUAUGUGCACCUUUGAAUACUUGCUUAAAUAAGUAACAAUUACACUCUAUUUAAUUCUGCAGUUUGCAUUUCAAAUCCAAACUACGUUGCCUAUAGCAGUUUAUUGAGGAUGUUUAUUAUUGCCUUAUAGCAACAACCCCCCCUAUUUUGUAAAAUUUCCCAAAUCACAAUUUUAGAUUAACCUAGACUGCCCAAAACCAUUUUAGUAAUGGCUCAUAGCUACAGUUUUAAGCCAACUGUUGCUGCUCCUAGGUAGCAGCUACAUUUGAUUUUGUUUCAUGCCUUGAACUCUCCCUAAUUUUGGUUUACUUGCACUUUAUUUGAAAGUUAUAUAACUAACAUUUUCAACUAAUAGGGAAACUUUAAAUCAAUAGUGAAAUUAUAAUCUAUAUGAUCCAACAUGUUAGCUAAACUGACCCUAGCGAGUCCAGAACAAUGGUCUACAGUCUUCUUUUGUUUUUCUAUGCCAGCAACCAAGCUUGGCUUGGCCCUGUAAGGCUGAUCACCUAAGCUUGGUGUGGCCCUGCUUGGCCUCACGGUCCCUAAGUCAAAUCCAAAGUUGUUAUAGCAGCUGCUAUCUUGGCAACUGCUGCCAUCAAGGAAUAACAGCCCUGCCACUCUUCUUUAAUUCUUAUACUUGCAAACCCCAGAGGAAUGUUUAUACACUAACUUCAACCAUACAUCCUAGUUAGCUCUUAUAAAGUUAUAUUAAUUUGUUAAACAGACUGCCCAAAACUGCUUUAGCAGUCAUUCACUUGUCGACUGUCGCUGCUUGUUUCUAUAACCAGUAGGCAGCCGUCCCAAGUCUUAUGCCACUAAAAGCUUUUACCUCUUAGAUUGAUAUGAAAUCUUGGCAUGUUAUAGGUGAUUCAAAUUCUGAUUAUUUUUAGCUACCAACUAGACUAGGAGAAAAGCUUGCUAGUGCCACUAAAGGUUAAUAUUUCUGCUGCUGCGACAUGCUUUUUGCUGCUGCUUGCAGCUAAUUGCUGCUGCCAAUGGGCAGCUGCGCCCCUUACUUCAGGCCAUUUUUGGCUUCACAUCAAUUAGCCUAUUCACAACCCACUUUCAUUGAUCAAUAAAUGGUACACCUGCCUUCUAAGCUAACUUAGCAACUGUGGCCCAAAUGUACUAUAUGUAAAUCAAAAUGGUGUGCUAACCUUCCUGCUCGGCUCUGCAGAGCAGUGCAGCACAACGCUGGGCGUUUACUGCCAAUGCCUGCAGUAGCCUCAGCUAGCUUUGCCCAAGCUCAAACAUUUUUUUUUCUUAAAAUUUGUUUUUCUUUCCAUUAAUAUGUCAAAACAUAUUUCCUAAUCUUAUAUAAGACGUCCAUAUAUAACCCCAACUUUAAUUCCCUCUAGAAUUCUCUUUUUAGCCAAAACAGUCCACUUGGGACUUUUAACAAAUAUAUGGUGUGCACAGUUUUAAUUUACUCUUUCCAUAGCCAUUUACUUGUGUUAUAAUCUCAUGUUAGCCUCCUUAUUACUCCACAGCCACCUAUCUCCUUGUGCCUAAAUUACAUACAUCUAGCAUGCUAGUGAAUAACCUUUACAACAAUAAAAAAGUAAAAUAAAUGCUAUGUGACUUUACCAGGCCAUUCGGCCAUAACAGUCCAUCACAACUUGCACGAAAUAGUGUUAAACAAGAUAGUUUAUUACUUGAUAACUUUUCCUUAAAAGUUUGAUAUCACAACUUUUACAGAAGAUUACAAUUACCCAUGACAAGUAUAAUUUACUAACACAUCUACAUUACAACAUUAAUAAUACUAACAAUAUAGCAGCCCCUUCUUUUUUCUUUUCAGGCCAUUCGGCCACUGUAGAUUACUAGCAGCAAGAAACUAAAGUGGAAAAGGAUUGGAAAUCUUACCUUAUUGAUUCGAAGGAAACAAAGAAGUUAUACUGCCCAGCUUCUCCACCUACUCUUAGCCGAACUCUUCCACCCUCUCUCUAUAUGACCGAAUUGCUAUAGCUAUUUUGUCUCUACUAAGUGAUGAAGCUAAACUAGUUAAUAAGCUUGGCCCCUUUUUUAUGGCUGAGCUUGGUUCCUUCUACUGUUAACUGCAUCACCUCCUAGUUGGCCCCUACACAGUCAUCAUUCCUAACCUAGCUUCACAGCCACCCUAGCAGACUCUACUUACCUGCUAAGCCUUAUCUUCUGCAAGCUUAUCUAACAUAUUCUUUGUCUGUUAUACAAACUAACCUACCUGUUAACUAGAACCAACUUAGAAACCAUAUGCUUACAGCCUGACUAUGUACUCACGUUAUGCCACUGCUUUUCUUAUUUAGUCUGAAACAGUUAGCUUGUUAUACACCACUGGGUUUACAGGAUUGGUUUAGGUAGGAGUUUGAUAAAUACUUAAUUUGGGCUUAAACCAAUCCUCAAUGGUGGCUGCCGAAAUUGGGCUAGAAAAUGAGUUAGAAUUGGCUUUAUAUUAGACCCAAUACCAUAACCCUUAUUCCUACAUUAAUUAAAGGAGACUUGCAAACAUACAAUUGCAAAAAUUUAUUAUGGCCUAAUAUUUUAAUAUGGACUCUUGUUAAAUUAACACAUGGACUUUUAUAUAUUAUUUUCUCUAGCAACAAUAGUUAACACAUAUAUCAUUAAAAUGUCUAUUCCAUGUAAUCUUAAAUAAUUCAUGGUGGUACAAUAUUUCUUUAUCCUUCAUAAUUUAAGAUGUUUAAUAACCUAUUAAAUAAAUAAUAGUUUUGUCACAAUGAGAAAUAACAUAAUUAAAAUAAAAUAAAAAAUAUACUCACAAAUUGACAUUAUAAUAAUUAAAUAUUACAUAGGAUUUUUUGAGUCAUUACAUACGCGAUAACUCUGCCGUUCUGCAAAAGCACACAGCCUUGUCCUUUAUGCGAUGCAUCAUUGUAUACCACAAAAUUCCCUGUAUCAUCAGGCAAUGACAACACAGGUGUUGAACUCAACCUUUUCAUUAAUUCUUGAAAACUUUCCUCCCACUUCUCUGUCCAAACAAACUUAACCGUUUUCUAGUUAAAUUCGUCAACGGAGUUGCGAUCUUGAAAAAGUCUUGAAUGAAACGCCUAUAGUAACCCGCCAAUCCUAAGAAACUCCUUACUUCUGACGGUAUCUUCGGCUGAUCCCAGUUUAUUACAGCUUCAACCUUUGAUGGAUCUACCGAAAUUUCGUCCUUAUCAAUAACGUGUCCGAGAAACUGUACACGUUCCAACCAAAACUCACAUUUUGAAAAUUUUGCGUACAACUUUUCUUUUUUCAACGUCUCUAACGUCAAUCUCAAGUGUUCAACAUGUUCCUCUUUGGUCUUGGAAUAUACCAAUAUAUCAUCGAAUCAAAUCCAUGAUAUAUUGGUAUGAACAGGGUGUUUAUAUCAUUUGUCUAAGAAUGGUUUAAACACCUUGUUCAUCAAAUCCAUGAACGCUGCAGGUGCAUUGGUUAAACCAAAAGACAUAACCAGAAACUCAUAAUGACCAUACCGAGUUCUGAACGCUAUUUUUGGUACAUCCUCUGGCCUCACCUUUAACUGAUGAUAACCACUCCUCAAGUCUAUCUUUGAGAAAUAGCUUGUUCCCUUCAGUUGAUCGAACAUGUCAUCGAUUCUAGGUAAUGGAUACUUAUCUUUAAUCGUGAUCUUAUUCAAUUCUCGAUAGCAAUGCAGAGCCGUAUCGAUCCAUCUUUCUUCUUAACAAACAACAUCGGCGCUCCCCAUGGCGACACACUCAGUUGAAUAUACUUUUUGUCGAGUAAUUCUUGCAAUUAUACCAUCAACUCCUUCAUCUCUACUGGGGCCAUUCUAUAUGGUGCAUUAGAUAUCGGGGUCGUUCCUGGUAAUAAGUCAAUUACGAACUCGAUUUGUAGAUCCGGCGGAAGACUCGGCAAAUCGUCUGGAAAUACGUCUGCAAAAUCUCUUAUGAUUGGUAUCUCUUCUAACUUCGCACUCUUCUUUUGUGUAUCGACUAUGUAGGCUAAGUAUCCUACACAUUCUUGUCUCAACAACUUCUUGGCUUGCAUCACCGUUAGACAACUUGCUUGUCGAGGUGACUUGCUGCCGUAGAACACAACCUUUGAUGGAGUCAUAAGGUUAACACAUUUCCUUUCGCAAUCAAUUACUGCUCCGUAAUUGAAUAACCAAUCCAUUCCCAGUAUAACAUCAAACUCACAAAGUCUAAUUGGUAUCAAAUCUACCAUCAUCUCGUGACCUUUUAUAACCACCCUACAAUUCCUAUAUAUAAAUCUAACAGGAAUCACUUCCUUAUUCGCAAUCUCUAUGCUUAAGGGAAAUUCUAAUUCUUCCUGAGGCAAAUCUAAAUUUUGAGCAAAUUCAUUGGAUAUAAAUGAAUAAGUAGCACCCGAAUCAAAUAGUACAUAAGCAUUAAUACCAUUAAUCUAAAUGAUACCUGAGACCACAUCCUUAGACUAUAUAACAUCCUGCACGGUCAUAUUAAAAGUCCUCGCAGUAGGUCGACUUUGUGACGCCCCCAAAAUUAGGUAUACAUCACCCAUCUUGGGUCGCCACUUACAUGGUACAAAAUACAAAUACAACUUAAUUAUACAACAGUCGUGUAAGCUACGACAAAAUAUAAACAAUGAGUUUUAACUCGAAUAUUGUCAUCUAGACAUUAUUCAAACACAAAUAAGUCCUCAAUACAUUUAUUGUCACACUAUUUAACAAAAUAGUGAGGACUACUAAUGCUAUCAUCUGGACUGUCACUCCGUUCCCCGACUCGUCCCCGUUACGUUCUCAAUUCCUGAAGAGAAUAGUGAAAGAAAGGGUGAGCUCAACUAGCCCAACAAGAAAUAUUAUGACUAAGAUAAUGCAGAAUAAAUUAUCAUUAGUCUCCAACAAUGUUAAACUGAUAAAAUACAAUAGACAUCAAGUUUAACUGCAGCGGAACAAGCAAUCCAUUAAAAGAGUCAAGUAGAGAAUAAAACCUACUAUNNNNNNNNNNNNNNNNNNNNNNNNNNNNNNNNNNNNNNNNNNNNNNNNNNNNNNNNNNNNNNNNNNNNNNNNNNNNNNNNNNNNNNNNNNNNNNNNNNNNNNNNNNNNNNNNNNNNNNNNNNNNNNNNNNNNNNNNNNNNNNNNNNNNNNNNNNNNNNNNNNNNNNNNNNNNNNNNNNNNNNNNNNNNNNNNNNNNNNNNNNNNNNNNNNNNNNNNNNNNNNNNNNNNNNNNNNNNNNNNNNNNNNNNNNNNNNNNNNNNNNNNNNNNAAUAAUUAAAACGGAACCAGGUCCGGCGUAUAGCACAGACAGGAUAUUCCAACAGAAUAACUGAAUAAUUAAAACGGAACCAGGUCCGGCGUAGCACAGACAGGAUAUUCUAACAGAAUAACCGAAUAAUUAAAACGGAACCAGGUCCGGCGUAUAGCACAGACAGGAUAUUCCAACAAAAUAACUGAAUAAUUAAAACGGAACCAGGUCCGACGUAUAGCACAGACAGGAUAUUCCAACAGAAUAAUAAAGACAGAAUAAUAGAAGAAUGUCACCAAGUAUAGGGUUGCCCGCGUAUACAGGUUAUUCCAACAGAAUAAUAAAGAAAUGGAAUAACAGAAGUUCUCUUCUUGAAUACAAAAGAAUAAUAUUCCUUACCAGAAAAGAACUUAAUAUAAGAGUAGUUUCAGUAGCAGAAUACUUUUCUUCUUUCUCUCUUACAAUUUAUCUCUCUAGAGUUUCAAUGAAUUUGUAAGAAAAUAAUGAAGGAAUGAGCUUCUAUUUAUAGAAAAAUGGAAUGCAUAGUAACUAAUUCAUGAACGGUCCAGAUUGAUUUACUUUUAAUCGGACGGUCCAUAAAAUAUAUUAUAUAUAUAUAAUAUAUAUAUAUAUAUAUAAUAACAAUAAUACUCCCUCCGUAUAAACCAAAAAAAUAAUUUGACAACUUUGAAAAAAACUCCCAACCUUUCAAUUUUCAAUACCGUGGGCCCCACAUGUUCCCCUCCCCCCAACAUGUCAAUAUCACAAGGGUCUCAUUAUAUGUAAAUAACUUUCUAUCAAUAAUAUUGAAAAAUAGGUAAAUGGGGGUCUAAAUAAUACGCCAAAUUUACAACAACUACCUCAUAAAAAUCCCUUCAAUAUUUUUAACAAUAUUUAUCAUCUUUAUUACAAUUCACAAUAUUAAUCGACCAGGUCGUUCCCAGGAUAGAGGGGGCUUUCCAAUAAGGAUUUCUCUCUAUUGGCGCGCAAUUAGAUUAUCUAACCUCUCCUUGACAGAACUUCUAGACAUCGUUAAUAUUGCAAAUAAUAACAUUAAUAACUUUGUCGUCUCAAUUAUUGAUUUAAUAAUAUAAAGAAUAUCAACAAUAAUUGAAUCAAAUAACGUGAGAUACUAUGCAACAAUUACUAUAACAAUAAUUGAAUAAAACUGAAUGACUUCUCACGUAAGCAUAAAUAAUCAAUACCGUGUGCUACUAUGCAACCACGCGUAUUACUGUACUUUUACUACUGAGUAGUUCAACAGUAUCAACGGUAAAACUUCCGUCGUUAUUUUCAUAAAAAUAUUUUUGUCGUUUUCUCAAUCCGACAAUAAUUCUGUUGUGGGGUCCACUAAUGAUUGCGCCGUUGUACGAAUAUUUCCUGCUAAAACGAAUAUUCCCCAACCAAUCGAAUAUAAUAUAGCAACUUGCAUACUUUGCAAAACUUAUAAAUACUACCUUCAACUAUAACAUUAUAUUAAAUUUAUUGCAUAAUAUUCAAAAAUGAUAAUUAUAGAAAAUUUAUCUUUAUUCAAAAAGUUGGGGUCUUACAACCCCCCCUUCUUAAGAAAUUUCGCCCUCGAAAUUAGGGUACGUACCUGGUAUAUCGAAGAGGUAAGGAUACCUUGAUUUCAUUUUAGAUUCUAACUCCCAGGUCAUUUCCUCAACAUCGUGGUUUCUCCACAAAACUUUGACUUGAGGUAUAACCUUGGAGCGUAAAAUAUGUUCCUUGUUAUCCAAGAUUUGAACAGGAACCUCUUUAUACGUUAAAUCUUCCGCUAUUUCGUCUGGUUCUAGCUCAAUAAUGUGGUUCGGGUCUUCCACAUAUUUACGUAACAUGGAUAUGUGAAAAAUGUUAUGAACACCAGACAUACUAGGCGGUAAAGCGAGUCUAUAGGCCACAGUUCCUACUCGAUUGAGGAUUAAAAAUGGGCCAAUGAAUCGAGGAUUGAGCUUUCUUAUCUUUCCAAAUCUCGUAACACCUUUCCAUGGAGCAACAUGUAACAACACAUGAUCUCCAAUAUCGAAUUCCACGUCCUUUCGAUGAAGAUCAGCAUAACUCUUUUGUCGAUCUUGUGAGGUUUUUAUACGUUGUCGAAUCGUUUGAAUCUUUUCCGUAGUCAUACGUACCAACUCCGGUCCCAACAACGUUGCUUCACCCACCUCAUCCCAGCAUACUGGAGAACAACACUUUCUCCCAUACAACGCCUCAAAUGGAGCCAUGCCAAUACUUGCUUGAUAACUAUUGUUAUAGGAAAACUCCACCAAUGAUAAGAACUUAUCCCAACUUCCAUUGAAGUUAAGGACACAGAGUCUUAAUAAAUCUUCUAGAGUUUGAAUAGUCCUCUCUGAUUGUCCGUCCGUCUGAGGAUGAUAUGCUGAACUAAAUCGUAAAUCUGUGCCCAUAGCUUUUUGCAAACUAACCCAAAAUCAUGAAGUGAAUCUUGGGUCUCGAUCAGAAACUAUGGAUACUGGCAUACCAUGCAGUCUUACAAUCUCGUUUAUGUACAUACGAGCAAGACGUUCAAGUGUAUAAGUUUCUCGUAUAGGUAAGAAAUGAGCAGACUUGGUCAAUCUAUCAACAAUGACCCAAAUUGCAUCUAUGCCUUGAGAAACCUUGGGAAGACCAGUAACGAAAUCCAUGGUAAUGUGCUCCCACUUCCAUUCUGGAAUUUCAAGUGGUUGCAAUGGACCUUUUGGUACUUGAUGCUCCGCCUUGACUCGUUGACAAGUUAGACACCUUGAGAUAAACACCGCUAUCUCUCUCUUCAUAUUGCUCCACCAAAAUGUAUGUCGAAGAUCAUGAUACAUUUUGGUACUCCCAGGAUGGAUUGCAAACGGUGUGUUGUGCGCCUCCAUCAUGAUUUUAUACUUUAAAUCAGGGUCGUUAGGAACACAAAGUCUGGAGUUGACUCGAAGUAUUCCUUCUUCAUCGAUUCUUGCUUCCGACAUAACACCUUCUUGCACUUUCUUCCUCAUACGCAUCAGCUCCAGGUUUGUAGUUUGAGCAGCUUUAACUUUAUCAAUUAAAGUCGAUUAUACUCGUAUGUUCGCCAUCAUCACAUGGGUCCCUGGAGUCUUUAACUCCAUCUCCAUCCUUUGCAAGUCAUACAAAAUGGGCCUUUGUGUUGACAAUAUUGCACUCGUACCCACAUAUGAUCUUCUACUCAAUGCGUCAGCUACCACGUUCGUUUUUCUAGGAUGGUAUUGGAUGGUAUGAUCAUAAUCUUUCAACAGUUCAAGCCAACGUCGUUGUCGCAUGUUGAGUUCCUUUUGAGUGAAGAAAUAUUUAAGGCUUUUAUGAUCCGUAAAGAUCUCCACUUUCUCCCCAUACAAGUAAUGCCUCCAAAUCUUUAGUGCGAAGANNNNNNNNNNNNNNNNNNNNNNNNNNNNNNNNNNNNNNNNNNNNNNNNNNNNNNNNNNNNNNNNNNNNNNNNNNNNNNNNNNNNNNNNNNNNNNNNNNNNNNNNNNNNNNNNNNNNNNNNNNNNNNNNNNNNNNNNNNNNNNNNNNNNNNNNNNNNNNNNNNNNNNNNNNNNNNNNNNNNNNNNNNNNNNNNNNNNNNNNNNNNNNNNNNNNNNNNNNNNNNNNNNNNNNNNNNNNNNNNNNNNNNNNNNNNNNNNNNNNNNNNNNNNNNNNNNNNNNNNNNNNNNNNNNNNNNNNNNNNNNNNNNNNNNNNNNNNNNNNNNNNNNNNNNNNNNNNNNNNNNNNNNNNNNNNNNNNNNNNNNNNNNNNNNNNNNNNNNNNNNNNNNNNNNNNNNNNNNNNNNNNNNNNNNNNNNNNNNNNNNNNNNNNNNNNNNNNNNNNNNNNNNNNNNNNNNNNNNNNNNNNNNNNNNNNNNNNNNNNNNNNNNNNNNNNNNNNNNNNNNNNNNNNNNNNNNNNNNNNNNNNNNNNNNNNNNNNNNNNNNNNNNNNNNNNNNNNNNNNNNNNNNNNNNNNNNNNNNNNNNNNNNNNNNNNNNNNNNNNNNNNNNNNNNNNNNNNNNNNNNNNNNNNNNNNNNNNNNNNNNNNNNNNNNNNNNNNNNNNNNNNNNNNNNNNNNNNNNNNNNNNNNNNNNNNNNNNNNNNNNNNNUCAAAAUCCAAUUUCUCCGGAGUCAAAUUUAAACGUUGAGCGCAAGUAGGAGAAAUGAAAGAGUGGGUAGAACCAGUAUCAAAUAAAGUAUAAACUUCGCUAGAGUUUAUGAUAAGCUUACCCGUGAUGACCUCGUUCGGGUUCUUUACUUUUUGGGAGGUUACAACAAAUGCUCUUCCUUGCACUACCGACUUUGACUUUUCUGGGAUGGCCUUUGGUGACUCUAUCCUAACUGAACUUGUCUUCGGUGCACGACAAAAUCGAGCCAGGUGACCUUCUCUUCCACAGUUGUAACAUGCUUUGGAUGGCAUCGCACAGUUGGGACUGAUGUGUCCCUCUCCUCCACACUUGAAACAUAUGAUAGGUGGUCGUUCCCCUUCCUUAACGACAGGUGCUGAUGUUGACGUCUUUCCAUCAUUGUUGAAUCUCCUCUUUUUGAAAUGUCCAUUUUUAUUGUUUUGGCCAUGAUUACCACCGAAGUGGUUACCAUUUCUGGCCUUUUGAUUUCCUCCACGCUUGUUGUCACCGCUUUGAUGACUGUUCUCACUGGUAUUAUCAUUUUAUUGGCUGCUCUCUUUUGGUUGGCUUAACUCGUUAUCACGCUCCAAUAACUGAGCCCUAUUAACAACAUCCGAAUACAAACACAGUUUAUGAGAGAUAAGAUAUUGACGUAUCUCAGGUUUCAAACCUCUUAAAAACAUUCGCGUCAUUCUCUCCUCAUUAUCAACCAAAUGGGACGCAAACUGGGACAACUCGGCAAACUUGGCUUUGUACUGCGAUACUGUCAUGUUGUUUUGUUCCAGCCUGAUGAACUCUACCUCUUUCAUGUGACGAAUACUUUUGGGAAAGUACUUGUCGUUGAACAAUUCUUUGAACUUCUCCCAAGUCAUCUUCAGUGCGGCAGGUUGAGUACGCUUUACAGAUUCCCACCAGUAAUCUGCCUCUCCUCGCAACAUGAAGGUGGCAAAGGAAAUCUUUUGUUCCUCGGAGCAUCCCAAGACAUCAAAUAUCUUGGUAAUCUACUUUAUCCAUGUCUCCGCCUUAAGUGGUUUUGGUUCUCCAAUAAACUUCGGUGGUCCCAGCUCCUUGAACUGUUUGGCGGUGACCAUCCGAGAGUUGCUAGUGUUUUCACCUGCAUUUUGGACAGGAGCCGCUCCUGCCUGAUGUUGUAUGAAUUGCAUGAAUCCUCGAAACAUUUUGUUGUUCAAUAUUUGGUCAGUGUUGUUGUUUGCAUGAGGAUUUUUGCCUUCCUGAUGCACAUUGUCCUGAUUGUUGAUCUGUGGAGACUCAACGGUCUCCUGUGCUCCAUUGAUGUUCUCAACGUUCUCGGAUGCCAUUUUCAAAUACUGCCACAAAACAAGAGUUAAUUAACACAUCACAUAUUAUCCCUAUACUCUAACCAACCAAUUAAAUAACAAAUAAACUUAGGUAGGUCAUACUAGCGAAGGAAUUCCCCGUCUCUCCCCUCCUAGUUCUUAUCUCACAUCUUAGCCAGGGAUCAUAUCCCUAACCUCUGAUACCAACUGUGACGCCCCCAAUAUUAGGUAUACAUCACCCAUCUUGGGUAGCCACUUAUAUGGUACAAAAUACAAAUACAACUUAAUUAUACAACAGUCGUGUAAGAUACGACAAAAUAUAAACAAUGAGUUUUAACUCGAAUAUUGUCAUCUAGACAGUAUUCAAACACAAAUAAGUCCUCAAUACAUUUAUUGUCACACUAUCUAACAGAAUAGUGAGGACUACUAAUGCUAUCAUCUGGACUGUCACUCCAUUCCCCGACUCAUCCCCGCUACGUUCUCAAUUCCUGAAGAGAACAGUGAAAGAAAGGGUGAGCUCGACUAGCCCAGUAAGAAAUAUUAUGACUGAGAUAAUGCAGAAUAAAUUAUCAUUAGUCUCCAACAAUGUUAAACUGAUAAAAUACAAUAGACAUCAAGUUUAACUGCAGCGGAACAAGCAAUCCAUUAAAAGAGUCAAGUAGAGAAUAAAAUCUACUAUCUUUUAUGAUUUAAAAGGUUUUUCAUCACUUUUAUCGCUGGGACUCAGCUUAAUAAAUAAUCCACAUCAUCGAAUCACCCCUGCACUACGGCCAAGGAUAUUCUUUAGUAUCACGACCACAAUUAUCCAUGCACUACGGGCCAAGAAUAUUUGUGUAUUCAUUAAUGGUCAUGAUCAUGCCAACAACUGUCCAUCAAUGCACUACGGGCCAAUGAGGACUUUUUCCACAUCAUUUGUAACAUUACGGUCAUGAUUACACCGAAUAAUCCCUGGUCAUAAUCAUACCAAGUCCAUCUAUGCACUACAGGCCACAGAUGACUUUCAACAAAAUAAUAACAUGAGGAUGAUGACAAUGAUAUAAGAAUUCAAUAAAAUAACUUUCAAGAAUUAAUUUGUCCAGGAAUCAAUAACGUCCAAAUUGUCAAUAAGAUAUUGUUUUGUGGUGUAAAUUAUUCAAGAAUGCUCAGAAGAAUAUUUUCAUGAAAAGAUAUUGGAUGAAGUGCAAAUAUCAAGGAUAUUCCAUUAAUUUCAUGGAGUAUAAAAGUCAAAAUUUUAACCAACUGAGUAUAAUAACGAAUGGAAUAACAAAAGAAAUCACCACGCAUGCGGUACUUCGCAUAGACAGGUUAUUCCAACAGAAUAAUAAUAACGGAACUAGGUCAGGUGAGAUUCACACCGACAGGAUGUUCCAACAGAAUAAUAAAUAAUUAAAACGGAACCAGGUUCGGCGUUUAGCACAGACAGGAUAUUCCAACAGAAUAACUGAAUAAUUAAAACGGAACCAGGUCUAGCGUAUAGCACAGACAGGAUAUUCCAAAAAAAUAACUAAAUAAUUAAAACGGAACCAGGUCCGGCGUAUAGCACAAACAGGAUAUUCAAACAAAAUAAUAAAGACAGAAAAAUUGAAGAAUGUCACCAAGUAUAGGGUUGCCCGCGUAUACAGGUUAUUCCAACAGAAUAAUAAAGAAAUGGAAUAACAGAAGUUCUCUUUUUGAAUACAAAAGAAUAAUAUUCCUUACCGUAAAAGAACUUAAUAUAAGAGUAGUUUCAGUAGUAGAAUAAUUUUCUUCUUUCUCUCUUACAGUUUAUCUCUCUAGAGUUUCAAUGAAUUCGUAAGAAAAUAAUGAAGGAAUGAGCUUCUAUUUAUAGAAAAAUGGAAUGCAUAGUAACUAACUGAUGAACGGUCCAGAUUGAUUUACUUUUAAUCGGACGGUCCAUAUUUAAAGUAAAAUCUUUUAAAUAAAAUAUAUUAUAUAUAUAUAUAUAUAUAUAAACAAUAAUACUCCCUCCGUAUAAACCAAAAAAAUAAUUUGACAACUUUGAAAAAAACUCCCAACCUUUCAAUUUUCAAUACCGUGGGCCCCACAUGUUCCCCUCCCCCAACAUGUCAAUAUCACAAGGGUCCCAUUAUAUUUAAAUAACUUUCUAUCAAUAAUGUUGAAAAAUAGGUAAAUGGGGGUCUAAAUAAUACGCCAAAUUUACAACAACUACCUCAUAAAAAUCUCUUCAAUAUUUUUAACAACAUUUAUCAUCUUUAUUAAAAUUCACAAUAUUAAUCGACCAGGUCGUUCCCAGGAUAGAGGGGAUUUUCCAAUAAGGAUUUCUCCCUAUUGGCGCGCAAUUAGAUUAUCUAACCUCUCCUUGACAGAACUUCUAGACAUCAUUAAUAUUGCAAAUAAUAACAUUAAUAACAUUGUCGUCUCAAUUAUUGAUUUAAUAAUAUAAAGAAUAUCAACAAUAAUUGAAUCAAAUAACGUGAGAUACUAUGCAACAAUUACUAUAACAAUAAUUGAAUAAAACUGAAUGACUUCUCAUGUAAGCAUCAAUAAUCAAUAUCGUGUGCUACUAUGCAACCACGCGUAUUACUGUACUUUUACUACCGAGUAGUUCAACAGUAUCAACCGUAAAACUUCCGCCGUUAUUUUCAUAAAAAUAUUUUUGUCGUUUUCUCAAUCCAACAAUAAUUCUGUUGUGGGUUCCACCAAUGAUUGCGUCGUUGUACGAAUAUUCCCCGCUAAAACGAAUAUUCUCCGACCAAUCGAAUAUAAUAUAGCAACUUGCAUACUUUACAAAACUUAUAAAUACUACCCACAACUAUAACAUUAUAUUAAAUUUAUUCCAUAAUAUUCAAAAAUGAUAAUUAUAGAAAAUUCAUCUUUAUUCAAAAAGUUGGGGUCUUACAGACUUGACUGUGCUGAUCCAGAGAUAGUUAAUGUACCACCAACGUUGUUGUUUCCUUUUCCACCACUUGCACUUCCUGCUGGCUUCUUAGGGCAAUCACGAGCCAUGUGAUCCUACGAACCGCAGGUAAAACAUGCUCCUUUAUUUGGACUAAAACAGUUCAGUGUAAUGUGUCCCUCCUGACCACAGUUGAAACACACCCGCUUUCCCUUCAAACAUACUCCAUUAUGAUUGUUUCCAUAAGUCGCAUAAGCUUCAAACUUUUUCUUCUGCUGAUUUCCUUGUUGUCCUCCCGCAGUCGAAUUUUCACUCCACUUCCUCUUCUGAUUGUUAUUUCCAACGUUACUUCCACCAGCCUUAUUUUCAUUCUCAGUCUUCCUCUUCUUAUAUUCUUGGUUGUACUUGGUCAAGGCAUCGCUUUCACCUUCUGCGAUAAUUGCCUUUUCCAGUAUAACCGCAAAUGUAUUUAACUGAAAUAUUGAAACCUUGCUAUACAGCCAGGGUUUCAAUCCAUGUUCGAACCUUAUCGCCUUUCGUUCAUCAGUAUUGACUUAAUAAGUGGCAAACCUUGCCAAUUCAUUAAACUUCGCAGCAUAUUCUGGCACCGUCAUAGUUCCUUGUUUCAGUUCCAGAAAUUGCAUUUCCAACUUAUUCUGAGAACUCGCUGGAAAGUACAUUUCAAAAAAUAUCUCCUUAAAUCUAUCCCACGCUAUCACUCCUUGUCCCCCACGAACCUUAUUUGCCUGCCACCAGUAGCUAGCUUCAGACUUCAGCAUGAACGUUGUGAACGCAGUCUUCUGAUCCUCGUUGACUCUAGAAACGUUGAACACUUUCUCCAUUUCCAUGAUCUAGGUUUGGGCUUCUACUGGAUUCAUAGACCCUUGAAACUCUGGCGGUCCAACCGCUUUGAAUUCCUUAAAGGUCAUGACUUGAGCUUGCGGUUGAUUCGCAAGUGCACCUGUUAACAAGGUUACCAACUGCUGAACCGGGUUAGCAUUGGCCUCGUUAUUAUUUUUAGUAGACCCCUCAGGAGGUGGUUGUUGACGUGUUUUUCUUCUUCUAGGAGGCAUUUUCUGUUAAGAUAUACGCUCAUUAGUUCAUUACUCAACUUCUUGAUUAUUUGAAGUUUAACUUAAAUAUUCUAAGAUUAAAGUUAUAACACAUAACAUUUCAAAUAAACUCUGGUAUUUUAUUCAUUCAUAAUGUUUUAAAACAUAUUAAAGAUAGCAUAACCGCUAUUAACAUUCACUUUCCUGAACUAAGCAAGUUUUAGGAUUACAUAUUCAUACUACCCCUUUAUUUAUCUCAAAAUAAGGGAUUCACAGUUUAUAUACUCACUUACUUAACCACGUAUUAUUAUUCUCAUUCUUUCUAUCUAGACAUAUUAAGAUGUCGUAAGGCUUCUCUAUGUUCUUCCUCCAUAAUUCGAUACAUCGUUCUACGAUCCAUCAUGAACUACAACGAAUCUUCAAAUUGAGGUGGAUAAUAAAAGACUCGAUCCUGGGCCCUAUCAAUUGCAGAAUUAAAGGCAUAAUCCAUCCCAUUCAUCUUGGCCUUCUUCACUUGAACUUUAUCCUCGGCACGGUCUGCACGUUAAGUCACCUUUAUCCAAGCGUCCUCUGCUCUCGUACGUUUAGUUGAAUCCUCUUUCAAGUCAUCUUUUAACUUCUCCACAUCAGUCUUCAUCUUCUUGUUCACUGCCAACAAAUCUUCAUGCUGACCCUUGGUAUGAAAUAGGUCCCACUCCGUGUUUCCAAGUCUUGAGUCGAGUUCUUGAAUCUCCGCAUCCUUCUGCUCUAUCGUAGCGUGAUGCAUCUCAACCAACUCCUUCAGCUCCUGAACUUUGUCUUGUAAUUCUAUGUUACGAUCGUACAGAGCAUCAUACAUCUCAGCUGAUAUGGAGCUUUGUGGAAACGCCACAGGAUCCUCUUCCUCAUCAUCCAACUCUAUCUCUUCAGAACUAUCCUCCUCGGGAUCGGUCACAGGUUCAUCCUCCUGGAUCAACUGUUCACGCAUAACAUGAAUAUCCCGGGGUUCCUCAUCUCUAGGUAUCUGAGGUAUUACUUCCCUAGCUGGAAUGGAUCCUCCUUCAUUAGACAUCCUAACAACAAAAUAUUUUAAGUUUACUUAACAUUUUUCGAUACUCGCGAGCACAUAAGUUAUUACACAUAGCACAUAAUGUCUUUUAUUAUUUAUCUUCAAUGGAUAGCUUAAUCCAUUCAUUAAAACUCGAUAAGAGUUAGACACCUCUAUAUUUUCUGUCUUCUUAAAGGUUACUUCCUAAGGUUUCCCCACCUAAGGUUCAUAACCUAAAGCUCUGAUACCAACAUGUGACACCCCCAAAUCUGGGUAUUCCUUUUCCACAGGAUUUGGUGCUCACUAUCCAAAACCAUUACAUCUAACUACCCAUAACAAAGGAUAAAGACAUAAUUUAAAUAACUUAACAAUAAUCUUCCCAUUAAAGGGUUACAUCGUCAUAAAACAAUCCCAAAUAAUUUAAUCUUAAAUUAUUACAUAAGUUUGCGGAAUACAUCAUAAAAUAAAACAAGUCUUAUAACAUAAACAUUUAAAUAAACUUUCAUAAAUCUUCAACACUUGGACAUCUUUCCCUUUUCUUUGCUAGUAGAUGGCUCAUCGACUUUCUCAACUUUAGCUGCAGUGUUAAAUGCAAGAGUGAGCAAACAAUUGCUCACUGAUAUAGAGAGUAGUAAUGAUAACAACAUAAGAUUAAACAACGAAUGCUGAACAAUAAUGAAAUUGUUCUAUGAAUAAAAAAUAGAAAACAAGUUCAAAUUUAAUAUCUGAGGGUCUUAAGACCACGAACUAUGUCCCCGAUAUUUAGGUAUUAUUACCCAACCUUAACAGUCAUUUAGACUAUACAAACCCUUCUUAACGUACUUAGGGGGAUCAGCCCUUUGUACCAUGUAUUGUGCACAAACAUCUAAACGUUACACGUACAAAAUCCCCUAUGUUAGGGUUGUUCGUCUCAGCUUGAAUUUAGAAUUUCUGCACUAAAGAGAGUUUAGCUCGGAACUAACUUAUCAAUGGUUCUAGAAUUUUAGAACACUACUCAAUUAUAGACUAAUUCAAUCAAUAAGAGUUUGCUUGCUACUUGAAGAUUUAAUAUAACAAAAAUAGAAUUGAACAAGGCUAUCAAAGUCAAAGAUCGAAUAUCAACAAUAUACAGUUGAGCACUACAACAAAAAAGCUUAUCAGCGACCGCCUAUCAGCGACCGCCUGUGGUCGCUGAUAUCUAUCUGCGACCGUCUACUCGAGUAAACAUGAUAUACAUGCAAAGUACUAUAUCCAAAAGAGUUAGAAUAAUCUCCUUUGAAUCAAUGUAUUAGAACAAUAUAUUCUUUUGAAUAACAAUAUCAAGAUUUAGGAAAGUGAAACUCGCUCAAUGUAACAAACUAGAUUACAAGAGAUUGUACGAUACACGAGAUAGAAUCAAUAGGCUUGCUGAACUUUAAUGUAAAAUUUAGAAUUAGAAAGCUUGUUUGACAUAAAAGAUAACAUAGCUAUGAAACUUGCAUUCAUUAAUAAAAGAAUGAAGUUAGAAAACUUGCUCAAUAAAAGUUUAGGAUAAGAAACUUGCCUUGUAUGUAAGCUACACAAGUGUAAUAAUGUUCGCCAAUUACCCUACACAUAUCAUUGGAAUCGCAAUAACAAUUAGUUGUAUUAUUAUUAGCUUUAAGGGUUUAAACCACCAUUUAGGUCAUAACCUUAACUUAACAUCUAACCAUGUUGGUUAACACCUUUAACAAAUCUAAAAUCCCUCUAUAAACUAACAUAAACUUUAUCAUUCAUUUCUUACUUUCAUAAACAUUAUUUUUUUAUUCAUUACAUAACUUAAUUAAAUAAUCACUUAAAAUCUUCAUACUUUAUAUUACAUCACGUUGAAAUAUGUUAUUGUAGUUCACGUUAACAUGUAUGCCAAACUAGAUUAAGUCCAUUAAUCAUAACCUAUAAAUAAGCAGAAGUCAUUGCCUAGGCUCAGGGCACGGCGCAGCUGCGCUGUCCCAAGCCUUGGCAUCGGCACAGCUGCGCCGUACACGGACAGGAACUGCAGCAGCAGCUCUGUUACACAGCACACACCAAAACUCAAUCAAAUUUCACAGAAAUCAUAAAACUCAACAUCUAAAACUUUGUGAUAACAUUAAUAAUGAUGUUAUUCAUCAUUCUCACUACCUAAACAUUAUAUAUAUUAAAUUUUAAAAGAUCAAAACCCCAAUUUUUCCAAUUUCAUCAUUUUUUUACGCUUUUAGCGAAUUCGAUUGCUACGAAUUCAUUUCUUAAUCAAUUGACACAAUUCAAACUACGUUGUUUUCGUUUCUUAACAUACUAACACAUUCUAACAUCAAAUUACAGAUUAUAGCAAGUAUUGAUCAUGAAAUUUCGUACUUUCUAAAGCCAUUUUUCAAAAAUAAACACUAUUAUUAUAACUUCUUCCUUACAAAGCCAAUUCUCACAUGUUUGGAAAUCAAAUAGCACUCACAUAUAAUGAUUAACAGAUUAUAAACCAUAUAUACAUGUAUUUGUAUUAAUCCAUCGUAAUUAUCAAUAGAAAUUUCAAACAUAAAAGUUAGAAUUAGAGUUAUACCUUACUCCUUUGAUUGUUUGCUAGCAAAAAGAUGGUGACUAGGUUUAGAAAUCCCUCUCCUUGACAAUCAUAAAGAAUUCAAACUCACUGUGUUUUCCUCUCUUGCUCUCUCUCCAAGCUCUCUGUUCUUCACUAAUAUCUAGCCUUAGGGAAAGGAAUAAUACGCGUAAAAAAAUAUACUAACUCCCACUUUCCCCACUAAUGUCAGGUCACAAACCCAAAAGUUUGUGUCAGUUAGAAAUAAGCCAAAGGCCACAGGGCCUUGUUUGGCUAACCACAAUUUCUCCUCUACUAGAUUAUUUUUAUAUUAUUUUUAUUAUAUAGUUUUUAUUUGUCACACUUGCCACCAAUUUAAAUAGCUUACAAUAAUAAUUAUAAUAAUUAUAAUUUUUAUUAUAAUUAUUCUGAUGAUUAAUAAAUAAUUAUAUAUAUAUAAUUUAAUUAAUAAAUUUGACUUAAACAUUACUUUAUUUAAUUUACCUAUUUUCUUUAAUAUAAAAAAAAAUUUAAUUUAAUUUAAUUAUUUCAUUAAAUUAAAUCUUUCAAAUAAAAAAUAGCAUUAUUCAAUUUAAUUAACAUUAAUCAAUUUAGUCACUAAAUUAAUGCACCACAAUUCAUCAAUUAUUUAUUUUUCUCAAUAAAUAAAUUAUUUAAAAUAUUUAUUUAAUUCAAUAAAUAUUUAAAUUAAAUUACAAAUUUCUCGAUCGUUACACUAUUCAUUCGGUUAGUAUUUACCCGGGGUACUAUUCAUGACAAAAAUUGAUUUCUUUUAUGUCCAAAUUAUUUUUGAUACAAUAUUAUUCUUGAAUUUUACUCCACAAUUGGUGAUCAUGUUGACAAUUUAGAUAUUCUUAAACUCUGGAUAAAUUUAAUUAUAAAUAUUUAAUAUUUAUCCUUUAUCUCGUUUGAUUGAUUCUUUAUAUCAUUGUCAUGAUCCUCAUGCUUAUAUUGUGAUAAAAGUCAUCUUUGGCCCGUAGUGCAUAGAUGGACUAUUGGUUAUUGGUUUUACAGUUGUUUUUCUUUGGCCCGUAGUGCAAAGAAGAACUGUUGAUUGAUAUCUUUGGUCGUAGUGCAAAGAUGAAUUGUUGAUUGAUAGCUUUGGCUCGUAGUGCAAAGUUGGACAGGUGUAUGACAUGAUCAUGACCACUGGUGAUACUAACGAAUAUCCUUGGCCGUAGUGUAUGGAUAAUUCAAUGAUGUGAUUGGCAGGAUCAUGACCAUUAGUUAACAGUUGAAUGUCUUCGGCCGUAGUGCACUGACAGACAAUUGAUUGGUAUGAUCAUUGUUAUUACACUUGAAUGUCUUAGCCUUUGGGGUAAGGAUAUUGAGUAAACGUUCUAUUAAGCCUUUGUGGCAAGGAGAAACUGUUGAUUCACAUUAUUAUAAACAUGAAUUGUGAAUUUAUCUAAAAUCUUUGGUGGUUCAGGUGAAGACAGGUGAUGAAAUUUCUCUUUGUCUUGGUAUAAUAAAGAACUGUUAAUGGGUAUUAUAGGGAUAAAAUUGAUGAUAAACUUUUAAAUCAUAGAAGAUAGUAGAUAUCAUGCUCUACUUGACUCUUCUAAUAGAUUGCUUAUUCCACUGCAGUUGUUGAUCUAAAACUUGUUGUCUAUUAUAUUCUAGCAGUUGUUAUACUGUUGAAGGCUAAUGAUAAUUUAUUCUGCAUUAUCUUAGUCAUAAUAUUUCUUACUGGGCUAGUUGAGCUCACCCUUUUCUUUCAUUAUUCUCUUCAGAAAAUGAGAAUAUAGCUGGGACGAGUCGGGGAAUGGAGUGAUGAUCCAAGAUAAGUGGCUUUAGUAGUCUUCACUAUUCUGUGAAAUAGUGUGAUAAUAAUUGUAAUGAGGACUCCAUUGAGUUUGGAUAUUGUCUAGAAGACAAUAUUUGUGUUAAAACUCUCAGCUUAUAUUUUCUCGUAUUCUACACGACAGUUGUAUAAUUAAGUAGUAUUUGUAUUCUGUACCAUGUAUCUGGCGACCCAAGAUGGGUGAUGUAUACAUAUUUUGGGGGCGUCACAUCAACAACCACCACAAAUAUAAAACCUUUGAAGCCAAGCCUGUGAGACCCCAAAUUUUAUGAAUAAAGAUUUAAAUUUCUCGAAAUAUUUUUUUUGAAUAUUACGGUGUGGAUUUGAUAUAAUGUUAUAGUUGUGGGUAAUAUUUAUAAAUUUUACAAAGUAAACAAGUUGUUACAUAAUAUUCGUUUGGUCGGGGAAUAUUCUUUUUGUUGGGGAAUAUCCGUACGAUGGUGCAAUCAUUGGUGGACCCCACAACGGAAGUAUUGUCGUAGUAAGAAAAUGACAAAAUUAUCUUUUUAUAAAAAUAAUGGCGAAAGUGUUACCGUUAAAACUAUUGAACUACUCCGUAGUAAAAGUACAGUAAUACGUGUGGUUGCAUAGUAGCACACGAUAUUGAUUAUUAAUACUUACGUAAGAAGUCACUCAGUUAUACUUAAUUAUUGUUAUAGUAAUUGCUGCAUCUAUCUCUCAUAUUAUUGAUUCAAUUAUUGUCACAGUAUCAUCUGCAUAAUAUGUUAUAUUAUUAAAUCAAUAAUUGAGACGACAAAGUUAUUUAUAUUAUUAUUUGCAAUAUUGAGAAUGUCUAGAAGUUCUAUCAAGGAGAGGUUAGAUAAUCUAAUUGCGCGCCAAUAGGGAGAAAUCCUUAUCGGAAAGCCCCCUCUUUCUUGGAAACUACCUGGUUGUUAAAUAUUGUGAGUUAUAAUAUUAAUGAUGUAUAAGUUUGUGUUGAUUAAAGAUGAAAUUGAUAGUUCCAUUGUGUUGGGAUUAUUAGUGUUAGUGGAAAUCGACAUUUAUUUCGAUAAUAAUUGAUGUUUGGAAGUUAUAUUGACCAAUCGGGUAAUUAACCGGAUAAAUGAGCAAUUAAUUGCUAUUAAUUCACAUGCUUAUAACUAUGUGUUCACAUGUGUGUACUAUUGAUUCACAUGAUUUACUAUUAGGGGAGUUGGUGCAAGAUUGAUAAUACUUGCAUGACUAAAUUAAAAAUAGAGGUAUAGAUGAAGGUACUAUACUGUAAUUAUUUUUUUCACAUGUUUAGAACUAUUGAGUCACAUGAUUUACUAUUGAUUCACAUGAUUUACUAUUAGGGGAGGUGGUGCAAGUUUGAUAAUACUUGCAGGACUAAAUUAAAAAUGAAGAAAAAGAGGAAGGUAUUAUACUGUAAUAUUUCGAGCCCCAAAACGUGCAAUUAUCGAAACUAUAUUUUCCUAUAAAUAGAAGCUCAUUCUUCCUUCAUUUCUCACCAAUUCACUAAAGCUUUAGAGCAAUUAUUAUAGAGAGAAAUUAUAGAGAGAAAGAAGAAGAGAAGUCUGCUACCUCACUAUUUUAGUAUGCAGUUUCUUCUAAGGUAAGGGUAUUAUUUCUUUCGUAUUCAUGAAGAGAGUUAUUUCUUUCAAUACUCGUAAGGGUUGUUAUUCCAUUCUUUAUUAUUCUGUUGGAAUAACCUGUCUGUGCGGACUACACACGCCUGGUGAAUUCUUUUGUUAUUACAUUCUUUAUUAUUCUGUUGGAAUAACCUGUCUGUGCGGACUACGCACGCAUGGUGAAUUUUUUUUUAUUCUAUUCUUUAUUAUUCUGUUGGAAUAACCUGUCUACGCAGACUACCGCAUGCAUGGUGAAUGACCCUUCGUAUUCAUUCUUUAUUAAAUUAUGUAAAUGAUCUGUCUACGUAGAUUACCGCAUGACGGGUAAAAAUCCAUUUGCAGUUUCAUAUAUUCUAUUAUACUCAUAUGCGAUAUCAUUUCUUUUGUACUCGUCAUAUAAUAUCAUUUUCUUUGGAAUUUUUCUUUUACGAGUUACUAUUGACAGAUUACUAUUCACCUGAUUAUUAUUCACUCUAGUAUUAUUCACUCAGGUAUUCGGGGCACUUUUCGUGUCAGAGUAUUAUUCACGGGUUACUAUUCACCCGAUUACUAUUCACUCUAGUAUUAUUCACUCGGAUAUUUGGGACACUUUUCGUGUCGAGGUACUAUUCACGGAGUACUAUUCCUGAAGUACUAUUCAUGAAAUACUAUUCACCCAAAAAAUAUAUUUCUUUUCAGUCCAAAUUAUUUUUGGGUACAAUAUUAUUCUUGAAUUUUACUCCACAAAACAAUAUCAUGUUGACAAAUUGGACGUUAUUGAUUCUUGGAUAAAUUAAAUUAUAAAUCUUUAAAAUUUAUCCUUGAACUUUUUUUAUUGAAUUAUUAUGUCAUUGUCAUCAUCCUCAUGCUUAUAUUGUGAUGAAAGUCAUCUUUGGCUUACGUGCAUAGAUGGACUUGGUAUGAUUAUGACCAGGGAUUAUUCGGUAUAAUCAUGACCGUAAUGUGACGAAUGAUAUGGUGAAAGUCCUCAUUGGCCUGUAGUUCAUUGAUGGACAGUUGUUGGUAUGAUUAUGACCAGGGAUUAUUUGGUAUAAUCAUGAACAUUGAUGAUUACAUGAGUAUCAUUGGCCGAGAUGCAGGGAUGAUUCGAUUUUAUUUAUUAAGUUGAGUCUCAGCGAUAAAGUUGAUGAAAAACUUUUUAAAUCAUAGAAGAUAGUAGAUUUUAUGCUCUACUUGACUCUUCUAAUGGCUUGCUUAUUCCGCUGCAGUUGUUGAUCUAAAACUUGUUGUCUAUUAUAUUCUGUCAGUUGUUAUACUAUUGAAGGCUAAGGAUAAUUUAUUCUGCAUUAUCUUAGUCAUAAUAUUUCUUACUGGGCUAGUUGAGCUCACCCUUUCUUUCACUGUUCUCCUCAAGAAAUGAGAAUAUAGCUGGGACGAUUCGGGGAACGGAUUGACGGUCCAGAUGGUUGUUUUAGUUGUCCUCACUAUUCUGUGAAAUAAUAUGAUAAUAAUUGUAAUGAGGACUCCAUUGGGAGUGGAUAUUGUCUAGAAGGCAAUAUUCUUGUUUAAACUCUCAGUUAUGUUUUGUCGUAUAUUACCCGACAGUUGUAUAAUUAAGUUUGUAUUUGAUUUAUGUACCAUAUAGUUGGCGACUCAAGAUGGGUGAUGUAUACCUGUUUUUGGGGUGUCAAAGUUGGUAUCAAAGCUUAGGGAUAUGAUCUCUGGCUGAGAUAUGAGACAAGAACUAGGAGGGGAGAGACUGGGAAUUCCUUCGCUAGUAUAUAUGACCUACCUAAGUUUAUUUGGUAUUUAAUUGGUCGAUCAGAGUAUAGGAAUAAUAUGUGAUAUGUCAAUUAACCCUUGUUUUGUGACAGUGUUUGAAAAUAGCAUCUAAAAAUGUUGAGAUCAGCAAUGAAGCACAUGAGACCGUUGAGUCACCAACGAUUAAUACCUAGGAUAAUGUGCAACAGGAAGAUAAUAAUCCUCAGGUAAAUAACAACACCGAUUAGAUGAUGAACGAUGGGAUGUUCAGAGGCUUUAUGCAAUUCAUGCAACAUCAGACGAGAGAGACUCUUGUUCAAAAUGCAGGUGGAAACACUGUCAACUCUCGGAUGGUCACCGCUAAGCAGUUUAAGGAGUUGGGACCACCAGAGUUUUUGAGAGAGCCAGAACCACUUAAGGCGGAGACGUGGAUAAACAGAUCACCAAGAUAUUUGAUGUCUUGGAAUGCUCAGAGGAGCAAAAGGUUCCCUUUGCCACCUUCAUGUUGCGAGGAGAGGCAGAUUACUAGUGGGAAUCAGUAAAACGUACUCAGCCUGCCGCACUGAAGAUGUCUUGGGAGAUGUUCCAAGAACUGUUCAACAACAAGUACUUUCCUGAAAGUAUUCGUCAUGUGAAAGAGGUAGAGUUCAUCAAGCUUGAGUAAAACAAUAUGACCGUGGCGCAGUACGAAGCUAAGUUUGCCGAGUUAUCUCAGUUUGCGUCCCACUUGGUUGAUAAUGAAGAGAGAAUGACGCGGAUGUUUCUAAGAGGUUUGAAACCCGAGAUACGUCAAUAUCUAAUUUCUCACAAACUGUGUUUGUAUUCAGAUGUUAUGAAUAGGGCUCAAUUAUUGGAGUGUGAUAAUGAGUCAGCACAACCAAAAGGCAACGACCAACAACACGAUAAUAAUCAUACCGGUGGCAACGGCCAUCGGAACAAUGAUAACCAUCGUGGGGGAAAUUAUUAUGCCAAGAAUGGUAACCACUUCGGUGGUAAUCAUGGCCAAGUUAAUAGAAGCGGAAAUUUCAAGAAGAGAAGGUUCAAUAAUGAUGGAAAGACGUCAUCACCAGCACCCGUUGUUAAGGAAGGAGAACGACCGCCGGUCGUAUGUUACAAAUGCGGAGGGGAGGGACACAUAAGUCCAAACUAUUCACAGCCUUCCAAGGUAUGUUUUAGUUGUGGAAAAGAUGGUCACAUAGCUCGAUUUUUUUCUUGUAGCGAAAUCAAGUCCAGUUGGGACAGUGGCACCAAAGGCGGAUACGGACAAAACAAAGUCGGUGGUUUCAGGAAGAGCGGUUUUUAUGACUUCUCAAAAAGUGAGUAACCCGAACGAAGUUAACACGGGUUAGUUAAUUAUAAAUUCUUGCGAAGUCUAUACCUUAUUAGAUAUCGAUUCUACCCAUUCUUUUAUUUCUCUUGCUUGCGCUCAGCGUUUAAAUUUGACUCCAGAGAAAUUAGACUUUGACUUAUUGGUUGAAACUCUGUUAGGAGAAACCUUCGUUACACCCACUGUUUAUAAAUCUUGUUUUAUUCAAAUCGACACUUUCACGUUACCUGUCGAUCUUAUCUCUUUGAAAAUACUUGCCUUUGAUGUGAUUUUAGGAAUCGAUUGGUUAACUACUCAUCAUGCCAAAAUUGAUUAUUUUUGUAAGGUUGUUAGCUUUCAUAUUCCUAACCAACUUGUUAUGCGAAUUCAAGCAACCAAACCACUAAAGUCAAUCACUGUCAUAUCAAGCCAUAAGUAAAGAGCCCCGAGCCUUUCGUUGGUGACUUCCUUGUGUGGAAUGCAUCGAAGCCGAACUUUCUGUAGGGGACGUCGUGAAUAACAGUGGCAAGUUGAUAGGUAUCAAUGUGACGUGUUAUCCAAGUCUUGGGAUGAGAGUCACAGUUUUGAAUGAUAUUUCUAUUGUUAAUAAAUUUCCUAGCGUAUUCUUGAAGACUUCUUAGCCUACCCCUAGAGCGUGAAAUCGAAUUUUUUAUUGACCCCAAUACAAAACUCAUUUAUAAAACCCUCAAAUAUUUUCUUUACCCAAAACGAACGUAUAAUGUGCCAAUGACGUUGGCUCGAGCUGUUGAAGGUUACGACUAUACCAUUAAAUUCCAUCGUGGGAAAAGCGAACGUGGUAGCUGACACAUUAAGUAGAAGAUCGUAUGCGUUUACGAAGUGUGACGUUGUUAACACAAAAACCCAUUUCGUAUAACUUAUAAAUAAUGAAGAUGGAGUUAAUGACUCUAGAGACCCACGUGAAGAUAACGAAUAUACGAGUAAAAUCGACUUUAAUCGAUAAAGUUAAAGCCGCUCAAACUACACACUCGGAGCUAGUGAAUACGAAGAAGAAGGUUCAAGAAGGCGUUAUUCUAGAAGCAAGAGUCGAUGAAGAGAGAAAAUCUCAAUCCUCGAUUUAAUUGGGCCAUUUGAAAUCCUCGAUGGAGUAGGAACUGUGGCCUAUAGACUUGUUUUACCGCCAAGUAUGUCGCGUGUUCAUAACAUUUUUCAUGUAUCGAUGUUACGUAAAUAUGUGGACGACCCGAACCACAUUAUUAAAUUGGAACUAGACGAGAUAGCAGAAGAUUUAACAUAUGAGGAUAUACGUGUUAAAAUCUUGGAUAAGAAGGAUCGUAUUCGACACUCAAAUUUUAUACCUCAAGAGUUAGAAUCUGAAAUAAAGUCAAGGUAUCCUUAUCUCUUCGGCAUACCAGGUACGUACUUAAAUUUUGAGGGCGAAAUUUCAUAAGAAGGGAAGAUUGUGAGAUCCCAAAUUUUAUGAAUAAAGAUUUAAAUUUCUUGAAAUAUAUUUUUUGAAUAUUACGGUGUGGAUUUGAUAUAAUGUUAUAGUUGUGGGUAAUAUUUAUAAAUUUUGCAAAGUAAGCAAGUUGUUAUAUAAUAUUCGUUUGGUCGGGGAAUAUUCUUUUUGUCGGGGAAUAUCCGAACGACGACACGAUUAUUGGUGGACCCCACAACGGAAGUAUUGUCGUAGUAAGAUAAUGACAAAAUUAUCUUUUUAUAAAAAUAACGGCGAAAGUGUUACCGUUAAAACUGUUGAACUACUCGGUAGUAAAAGUAUAGUAAUACGCGAGGUUGUAUAGUAGCACACGGUAUUGAUUAUUGAUGCUUACGUAAGAAGUUACUCAGUUAUACUCAAUUAUUGCUACAGUAAUUGUUGCAUCAUAUCUCUCAUAUUAUUGAUUCAAUUAUUGUCACAGUAUCAUCUGCAUAAUAUGUUAUAUUAUUAAAUCAAUAAUUGAGAUGACAAAGUUAUUCAUAUUAUUAUUUGCAAUAUUGACAAUGUCUAGAAGUUCUAUCAAUGAGAGGUUAGAUAAUCUAAUUGUGCGCCAAUAGGGAGAAAUCCUUAUCGGAAAGCCCCCUCUUUCCUGGGAACGACCUGGUUGUUAAAUAUUAUGAGUUAUAAUACUACUGAUGAAUAAGUUUGUGUUGAUUAAAGAUGAAAUUAAUAGUUCCAUUGUGUUGAGAUUAUUAGUGUUAGUGGAAAUUGACAUUUAUUUUGAUAAUAAUUGAUGUCUGGAAGUUAUAUUGACCAAUCGGGUAAUUAACCGGAUAAAUGAGUAAUUAAUUGCUAUUAACUCACAUGCUUAUAACUAUGUGUUCACAUGUGUGUACUAUUGAUUCACAUAAUUUACUAUUAGGGGAGUUGCUACAAGAUUGAUAAUACUUGCAUGACUAAAUUAAAAAUGGAGGUAUAGAUGAAGGUACUAUACUAUAAUUAAUUUUUUCACAUGUUUAGAACUUUUAAGUCACAUGAUUUACUAUUGAUUCACAUGAUUUACUAUUAGGGGAGGUGGUGCAAGUUUGAUAAUACUUGCAAUUAAAAAUGAAGAAAAAGAGGAAGGUAUUAUACUGUAAUAUUUUGAGCCCCAAAACGUAUAAUUAUUGAAACUAUAUUUUUCUAUAAAUAGAAGCUCAUUCUUCUUUCAUUAUCACCAAUUCACUAAGCUAUAGAGCAAUUAUUAUAGGGAGAAAUUAUAGAGAGAAAGAAGAAGAUAAGUCUACUACUUCACUAUUCCAGUAUCCAGUUUCUUCUAAGGUAAUGGGUAUUAUUUCUUUCGUAUUCAUGAAGAGAGUUAUUUCUUUCAAUACUCGUAAGGGUUGUUAUUCCAUUCUUUAUUAUUCUGUUGGAAUAACCUGUCUGUGCGGACUACACACGCCUGGUGAAUUCUUUUGUUAUUAUAUUCUUUAUUAUUCUGUUGGAAUAACUUGUCUGUGCGGACUACGCACGCCUGAUGAAUUCUUCUAUUAUUCCAUUCUUUACUAUUCUGUUGGAAUAACCUGUCUACGCGGACUACCACAUGAUUGGUGAAUUCUUCUGUUAUUCCAUUCUUUAUUAUUCUGUUGGAAUAACCUGUCUACGCGGACUACCGCAUGCAUGGUGAAUGACCCUUCGUAUUCAUUCUUUAUUAAAUUAUAGAAAUGAUCUGUCUACGUAGAUUACCGCAUGGCGGGUGAAAAUCUAUUUGCAGUUUCGUAUAUUCUAUUAUACUCGUAUGAGAUAUCAUUUCUUUUGUAUUUGUCAUGGAAUAUCAUUUUUUUUGGUAUUUUUCUUUUACGAGUUACUAUUCACGGGUUAGUAUUCACCUGGUUACUAUUCACUGUAGUAUUGUUCACUCGGGUAUUCGGGACACUUUUUGUGUCGGAGUACUAUUCAUGGGUUAUACUAUUCACGGGUUACUAUUCACCCGAUUACUAUUCACUCUAGUAUUAUUCACUCGGGUAUUUGGGACACUUUUUGUGUCGGGGUAUUAUUCACAGGGUACUAUUCUCGAAGUACUAUUCACGGAGUACUAUUCACCAAAAAAAUAUAUUUCUUUUCGAUCCAAAUCAUUUUUGGGUACAAUAUUAUUCUUGAAUUUUACUCCACAAAAUAGUAUCAUGUUGACAAAUUGGACGUUAUUGAUUCCUAGAUAAAUUAAAUUAUAAAUCUUUAAAAUUUAUCCUUGACUUGGUAUGAUUAUGACCAGGAAUUAUUCGGUAUAAUCAUGACCGUAAUGUGACGAAUGAUGUGGUGAAAGUCCUCAUUGGCCUGUAGUUAAUUGAUGGACAGUUGUUGGUAUGAUUAUGACCAGGGAUUAUUCGGUAUAAUCAUGACCAUUGAUGAUUACAUGAGUAUCCUUGGCCGUGAUGCAGGGAUGAUUCGAUUUUAUUUAUUAAGUUGAGUCUCAGCGAUAAAGUUGAUGAAAAACUUUUUAAAUCAUAGAAGAUAGUAGAUUUUAUGCUCUACUUGACUCUUCUAAUGGAUUGCUUAUUCCGCUGCAGUUGUUGAUCUAAAACUGUUGUCUAUUAUAUUCUAUCAGUUGUUAUACUGUUGAAGGCUAAGGAUAAUUUAUUCUGUAUUAUCUUAUUCAUAAUAUUUUUUGCUGGGCUAGUUGAGCUCACCCUUUCUUUCACUGUUCUCUUCAGGAAAUGAGAAUAUAGCUGGGACGAGUCGGGGAACGGAUUGACGGUCCAAAUGGUUGUUUUUGUAGUCCUCACUAUUCUGUGAAAUAAUGUGAUAAUAAUUGUAAUGAGGACUCCAUUGGGAGUGGAUAUUGUCUAGAAAGCAAUAUUCUUGUUUAAACUCUCAAUUAUGUUUUGUCGUAUAUUACCCGACAGUUGUAUAAUUAAGUUUGUAUUUGAUUUAUGUACCAUAUAUUUGGCGACUCAAGAUGGGUGAUGUAUACCUAUUUUGGGGCCGUCACAAAGCCCAUACACUCCCAUUUUAGAUCAUAGCUCCUAUGCCCAGACCCAUUAAGAGCAUACCCAGCCCCUACUAAUAUGCACAAUCUAAGCUCCCAUGAUCUAAAGCCCCUGACUUUGCAAAUAUAGAUCGAUAGAUAGAUUUUCGGGAAGGAUCACAUUUUGGUAGAUAGAUGGUUUAAUUUGUUUAACUAUUUAUUAUAAAAUUGAGUAUAAUUUAAUAUAAUUAAUUAUUUAGCUUACCUUCUCUCUCCUUGUCUGCAUUGACACAUAGAUUUAUUGAUUGCCACGUCCUUCUUCUGUUAAAUGGUUAACAGACAUAGACGACAAAAUUAAUUUUUGUAAAUAAAGUAUAGUUCAAUGAGUUGACCGUAAAAAAAUUUAGUUUAGUGAUGCAUUUGUAAACCGAUGUUGAGUAGAGUGGAGAAAAGUGUAUUUAAUCCGCUCCAAAAGUCACCACUUUACAAGUCUCGUCAACAAUCAGCACCAUGUAAACACUCACCCUCUUUGGUGAACUUGAAGAGUUUGAAAAUCAACUUAGGAGGUAUGAUGAUGAAAAUGAGGCACCAAUAAAGAAGACAUUGACACUUCAAGCUGAGAGUAACAAUGAAUGUGAUAACGAAGAUUUUGAUAAAGAAAUUGAAAUGCUCUCAAGAAACUUGAGAGACUAUUUCAAAAGAAAAUAAAAAAGGUAGCUCAACUCCAGUGGGUAAGUUCAAAACAGAACAAGAAGAAGAAAUUGUCCAACUCUAUUUCAUAGGACUAGAAGAUGAUGAUCAACUUGAGGUAACAAAUUUUCAUGAAGCUUUUGAAAUAUCUAUGCCUGAUUAUAUUGCUUUACAAAAUGAAAAUCAACAACUCAAAAAAAAAACUGUUUAUUUUAAGAAUUGCGUAAAUGCUAAUGAAUGAAGUUAAGUCAUUUAUUAAAGAGAGAAAAGAAAAUGAAUAUCUUAAAAAUGAAAAUGAAGUUUUAAAAGAAAAUUUAAAAAUGAGAGAUGAAUGCAUAAAUGCUUUUAAUGAUGGAAAAAUGAUGAAUGUGCAACAUGAUGAUAAUGUCACAAAUGCAAAAAUAACAUCUUUAAAAAAUGAUCUUGCUAAAUUUGUGCAAUGAGAAGAGAACCUAAAUGUUAUGUUAGGGGCACAAAGGUCUAGUCUUGAUAAAUAAGAAAUUGGGUAUAAUCCUAUUAAAAUGUGAAAAAUAGAACUAAUAAUAAUAUUAUAAUGAUUAAUAGAAAACCAAUGCAUAAACCACUUUAUUGUUCACCGUUUGUUACUUGUAAAAAAUAUGGUUUUAAAGGUCAUUUUAAAAUGUGGCUUUAUUAGAAUAAAGCAAAUUUGGGUAAAGAAAUGUGAUUUAUAUGCUACUAACCUAAUAGGACCCAAGAAGAUUUGGGUACCAAAAUGGUAGAGACUAUUUGUUCAUUUUGUAGAUGUCUCAAGGUCAAAAAGGAGACAGAUAAUACUUAUAAAUUAUUUGGCAAAAUUCGCAAGUACCUUAUUUUUUUAAAUAGAUUUUUAAUUAGAUAUAUUAUGAAAACUCUAUGGAUUUCGUAUCAUAUGGCUUCAUAACAUCAUUUAUUAUAAAGUUUUUAUUGUGCUAAAUGCUCCAUAUUUAAUACAAACGACAAUCUUGAUGAGGAAUAAGUGAAUAUUAUUUUUGAUGAACUUAACCAUGAUCUGUUAAAGGAAGAGAAUGAGGUUUCUGCUGGAAAUGACUAUCUGAAUUGUGGAACCCAAACAGUUCAAUCCGGAUAGUCUAAGCCGUCUCUAUCAGAAGGAAAGAUAGAUGAAAUCAGACAAUUUGACCCGUCUGUUUUAGAAGAAAACUCAAAUUUACAAACACCUAAAUCCAAACAGAUCGAGUCGUCUACUUUAGAAGACAAAACAUAUGAAUAUUCGGAUGCAGUAACUUAUAUUCCAGAGGAUGAAUCUCAAAAGCAAAUGACUACUGCCAGGCUUCCUAAAUCUUCUAGAACUAUGGGAAAUCAUCAUCCAAGUCUGAUCAUCAGAAAUUUCAACAUUAGGAUGUCCACAAGAAGAGGUUUUGAAGAAAUUUGUUUGCUACACUAAGGAGCUUAUCUAUUAAGCUUAUUGUUGGUAACAAAAUUGUGGAUAUAUAGGUAACAAAUCACAAAGGUAUGGUCAUUUUAUUUAAUUGCUAUAUGUGAUAUUGUUAUAAGCUUGCUCCCGUGUCUUUAUUUUAUGAAUUAUUUUUUGUUUGUCACAAAUGGGAUAGAGAUAUAACUAAAUUGAUGAUUUUUUUUUUUUUGAUAAUAACAAAGGGGAGAAAUGUUUAGAAAAAUUGAUGAUUAUGAUAUCUGAUGGUUAUAUUGAUUAUAAUAUGUUUAGAUUUUUUUGAUAUCAUAUUGAUGAUAAUGGUUGGAUAUUUUGAUUCAUUAUCUGUUAUAGCUUAUCAUUAUGCAUUAUUUAUCAUAACAGUUAUGUGAUCUUUAUAUCUCCUAUAGGCAUAAAUUUAUGGGGAGCAUGAUUGCAAGGAAUAAUAUAUUGUCAUCAUCAAAAAAGAGGGAAAUUGUUAGUUUUAUUAUUUGUGAUUUUAAUAAUGACAAUAUAUUUGUAAAUAUAAUUUAUUUAAUGUAUUGAAUUAAUUUUGUAAUGGUUUGUUGAAUAUGAUAUAUAGUAAGUUUGGUUCAUGAUAAUUUAAUUUGGUUAUAAUUCAAAUUGUUAUUACGUGCAGGAUUGAAUUGAAAUAUUUUCUUCCAGGUUGUUAUUUUGUUAAAACAGGUUGUUUCAAUUUUGAAUUGGAAUAUGUUAAGGAGUUUGUUUAGCAGUGUAAUCUAUCUAUUAAAUAUAUUAAAAUGCAGUACAUGAUAUCAUAGCUUGACAUAUGUCAUUCUCACAAUUCAACACGUGUCCUGUCUAAUUAAUAUUCCUUAAGACCCUUAACAAAAGUGCCCAGCUAACAUAACAAAUGAGGAUGAAAACAAACUUUAAUUCAUUCCCCUAAAUUUUAGAUUUAUAAUCCCCUAAAUCAUGCUACAAAUCUAAACUAUUUUGAUAAUAUCAACUGUUUUGAUAUUAUCCUUUGUAAUUUAAUUAUUAUUUAAUAAAAUUACUUUUUUAUGCUAUUAAUUAAUUUUUUAGAUUUAUAAUCUUCUAAAUAACUACAAAUCUAAACAGUUAAUAACAUAAUGUCAUUCUCUUAAUUUUUUAAAUUUACAAUCCUCUAAAUCACUACAAAUCUAAACUGUUUUGAUAAUAUCAACUGUUUUGAUAUUAUCCUUUGUAAUUUAAUUAUUAUUUAAUAAAAUCAUUACUUUAUCUCAACACCACCCCCUACAAUGUAUAUUCAUUUGUUUUUCUGUGUAAAAUUUGAUCAUCGCACAACAAUCUACCAUCUUCUUAUUAUAUUUUAAUUUAUUAAUUAUACAUACAUAUUUAUUGAAUAAUUCCGCCCGCAACGCACGAGUUUGUAUCUAGUGUGGUCUAAUUUGGAGUCUUUAAAUUAACUGGUUUAGAUAUUUGUGUAGAGUAUGGGCUCUAUCUACUCGUUAAUUUUAGCCUAUGUUGAUUACGUAUCUUUGAUUUUCUAAUUUUGAGAAUAUUUUAAGCUGUUAGCUAUAUCUAUAGUUCUGAAAUAUCAAAUUCUCGAAAUGAAAGACCAAGUCAUGCUAACCAUUUCAUAUAGUCGUUGGACUGAGUUCUAUAUAUUUUCUUCAUGUUUGUCUAUAGUGAGCAGGACUCUUGAAGCUUAUAGCAGCCAUAUUACACAGAUUAAUCAAGAGCUUUUCAAAGUUAUUUUCAGCUACUCAUUAUAUUGUUAAUUUAUUUCAGUUAAAAAUUAAGAGUCUAUUAUAAUCUAUAUUUAUUGUAUUAAAUUUUAGUUCAAGUCUUGUUUGGCUUGAUCGAUCCAAUAGUGGAUAGGUUUGUUCGAAGAAAACUUUUAAGGUUGCAGAGGUGCAAAUGUCUCAGUGGUGAGAAAGGUUGCAAUGAUGCAAAGGGGCAGAGGUGUUCAUCGCAGUGGAAAAUUUUAUUUGAACAGGGAGUUCUUUUUAUUAUACUUAAUGGAGUCUUAAAAGUUUAAUAAAAAGAGUCCAAUACCGGUUGGUUUUGAACGUGGAUUAAGCCGUUAGAGUUUAAGGGCAGAACCACGUAAAAAUUCUUGUCUGUGGUUUGUUAAUUCUUCUGGGUUGAUAAUUUAUUUCUCACGUUGCAUCUAAUCUCAUUCAUAUUACAUUUUAUUGUUGGUAGGAAAAGUAUACUAAUCUAGACACUAUCUUCUGUCUUUAUAACAAAAGUAAAAUUGACUCUAAAGCAGACACUUUUAUUUGUCUGUUUUAAGUUUAGCAGCAAGUUCAGCAGCAGGAAAAUAAAAUUAGUCAUUGUUAGUGUGCUUAUUUAUAGAAUUACAUCCACAUCUGUAAUUCUACUGAGAUUUAAUGAAUGUUUAUUUUGCCGAUUAAAAAACAAAGGAAAAAGAAUAAAAGUAAUAAGAUGUUCGAAACAUUUGAUUGUAUUAUUAUAUUUUUGUGAGCCAAGGUGAAAGCAAAGCCACCUAGUGGUAGUUGUUUUAUUUAUAAUAUGGUAAUAACAACCAUGAACUGAUAGUUGAUUUAUUUAUUAUAUGCUAAUAACAGCUAUCAGCUAGUGGUUGAUUUAUUUAUUAUAUUCUAAUAAACAGCCAUCAACUAGUAUAUAGUUUCUUGAUCAACUGUUCAUAGGAAGAUUACUGAUCGUUCAUUUAGGCGUUGGGGGGACUAAUUUGAACACCAUAGAUAACUAAACCCGUCUCCAUAGUCGUGUUUUCACUCCCGUCGAGAGCAAAUUUGAAAUCUCCAGAGUCAAAGCUAUUCAAGAAUUCCCCAGCUUUGAGUGAAAUCGGUGUGUUCCUCGGACAAUCCAUCAACCUAUAUCCAUUCACUUGCGUGGACCCAUCCGGAGGAGUAAGUGUAAGACUCACCGGACUUUCUAUGUUAAGGUUGUCUUUCAGCAGCACCACAAAAGACACCUCAUAAGUUCAUUUUUCAAGAGUUUCUGUCGGAUAUUUUCCAUCAACAUGUAGGACUAAGCUACCAAUUAAUUCAGCACUGGCAUCACUGAAAAAAAAUGAUAGUAGAAUUAAAGUCAGAAACUUUUGAUAUAAGGAGCUUAAAUUCAUUAAGGUGAUUUUAUUGAUUUUUUUUUCUGGAAAAUUUUUAAUGUUAAGUCCUUCUAUCUGACUAGAGUCUAGACUUCAAUAAAAUUUCUAUAGUCCUUCUAUCACUUUAAUUUAAUGACAUAGUUGCUUAUAUAUCCCUAUUUUUAACUGAAUAAAAUUCAGGUGUUUAAACACAAAUCUUGACCUUUGACAUCAAUUAAGUUAACUAAGUCUUAUUUCUACUUACGUAAACUUCCAGCCUGAAGGGUUGGCAUAAUUGAGUUCCUUUGCAUGCACAAAAGCCCAACUGCUCUGAAUAAGUCAACAGAAAUUUACAUUAUUAUAUGGAUAGAUAAGGCAAACCAGCGGUGACCAAUAAAUGAUAUGUCGAUGCCUUUAUAAAUAUAUAUAUAUAUAUAUAUAUAUAUAUAUAUAUAUAUAGAAUAUUGACGGUUGACAUUGUCAAAAUAACAAUUAUAAAAGUGUUGCCAAAUGUAUAUUUACUCUGAUAGCGAUGACAUUAUCAACCACCUAUAUAUAAAUAGCAAAUGUUUCAUAGCAAAAGUUUAUUACAGAAUAUGUAUCACUCAAACCAUCUUAUAUCAAUCAUGCAUUACAACAUCAGAUAGAUGAGAUCUUAAAAUUUUUGAACACUCCGCGACAUUAUGUUGCAAAUGGUACCAAAUUUUAAAAAUCCCAAAGGUGUAAGAUGGUCUAAAUUUUGCAAAAAUGUAUCACUUGCAAAAUUUACAAAUAUUAAGGAUUAUUUUUGUUCUGUAGACAACUUUAGUGUGUAUAUAUAUUUGAUGUUUGUUUCCAAUUUCAGUGGACUUACCUUCUGGCCCGGGUCCUUUUUGAGCAACGCAUUUUCCUUAGCUUGAGACAACAAUGUCUUGAGGUCAACCUUGUGAUACCUCACUACUUGUGCCAUUUCGCCUUUAAUUCUGCUAUAUAUAUUUUUUGUUUUUGUUCUUGAUGUCUAUAUAUCUCUCUUCCAAAGGCUAGCUCUAUUUAUAGAUAGCACAAAAGAGGGUAUAUUCAAUAAUAACCUAUCUUCAAAUAUUCCUUCCUUUUUCACAGUGGGGAUCCUGAUAAGUUUAACAUCAUCAUCAUCAUCGCCAAGGAUAUAGAGCAUCAGAUUCUGUUUAAUAAUUUUGUUGGAAUAUUUCUUUUCCAUUUCUCAGUUCAAUAAUUCUUUCUUUAGCUUGUUGCGCUGGCAAAAUUCGAUGAAGGCGAAAGGUACGUAGGCAUUCAAGUAAGUGAUGAUUUUCUUCUAACCAGAAGUAUGAGCAGGUUGAUGAUACAUAUGUCAUGCCAACAUAACAAACUUUAGAGGAGCCGAGUUCGAAAAAGAGAGGGUACUGGUAUAAUUGCCUUAAUUCGAUCUUAUCACCCAAGCACGGGUGCCAUCUAUUUUGGUUCAAUAUAAUGGAGUAUAUAUUCAAAUCAACAAAACAAGGCAAGAACAAAAAAUAAAUUUAAAGUGCAUAUUUUAAUAGGAAUAUCUAUUAAUAUAUAUAGGUAUGUUACUCAAAUAUCUAUACCAUCUAUACCAAUUUAUAGCAAGAUAAAUACGAGUUAUUUAAGUUGGUCUUGAGCCAAUUUAGUAAUCCAAUUUUGGUGACUCCGUAACUCAAAAUGUUUUUUUUUUGUUUUUUUGUUUGAUUUUUAUGUAUUCUUGGUCAUAAAUUUUGAUAUUCCCAAAAGUCAACUAAAACACUCAAAAGUUAUAUAUUUUCACAAAAUUUUAGUACACAUUUAUUAUUAAAGAUGGAAUAUAUUAUCUAUCAUUAAGAAUUGAGUAAAUAUAUAAAAAUAAAAUAAAAUUAAUGAAAUAACUUUUGAGCUAUCAAGUCAUCAAAUUUGGAGAGCUGAGUUGACUUGAGUUAUAUUAAAAUGUCAUUCAAAAAUAUUAUAUAUAUAAUUUACCAAAUAAAUCGUUUUUAAACUUAUCCGUACUUCGUACGGAUUAUUAAUUUUGUUUGUAUUAAAAGUAGAAGUAUAAGCAUCUCGCAGGCCAAAAAUAAAAAAAGAAAAAAAAAAAGAAAAGAAGAGCAAGACUACUUCUUUUUCUUCCUUUUUAUCUCCUUUCUUUCUUUGUUUCUUUUUAGACGGAGGACUUCAUUUCAUCUUUGAAAAUAAACAUAAGAAUUUAUCAAAGGAAAUACAAGAUAGACGAUACAAAUAUUGAGAUCUAAUGGAACUUUUGUUGUCUAAUUAUUAUUAUUUUUUAUUUUCAAAUAUACGCAUACAUGAUAAAGAUUCACAAUUAUAUAUAAUAGGCUAAAAUCAACAAUCCGCUAAAAAAUUUGCGGUCUGUCAAAAUGUUUAGUUGUCGAGCUAGUAUAAAUUACCGUCUACCAAAUCGUUAUUAGUUAACAAACUAGUGUAAAAAUUUCACUUUGGAAGCUAAUAUAAACUAUCAUCUAUCAAAUUGUUAUUAAAUGGGGAGCUACGAAUGUAAACUAUCGUCUAACAAACUUUAUUAGCUGAUGAGCUAGUGUAAAAUAUCAUUUAUCAAACUGUUAGAUAGAGUGUUGGUUACAGUUAAAUGUGUCUUUGGAUCAAUUCCUAUACAGUCCGCUUCUCCAACGGACCGGUUUGUCAGCGAACCAACUAUAGUGACGGUUCAAUCCGUCGUUAUAGCAUAGAAAAAUGUUAACGCCAAGAUUCGUCCACGUGCAAAAACGAAAUCACACAGAGGAACUUGUCGGCUUGGGCCGCCAGGGGAUAGCUCUGGUAUAAGAAUAAGUACUGACUGAAUAAAGUUAACAAUGGAGGCUUAUAAUUUUAGUGCUGAAAAAAUAAUAAGAUAUUGUGUGCAUGUGAACCAGGGUAUAUAUAGCCUUGUAUUUAUAGUGAUCACACCUCUUUAAAACGCAUCAUCUCGUAUAGGAGUAGAAUUCCUCAUUAAGAUGGAUACCUUAAUGGGACAUGAUUGAAUCUCCUUAAAAAAAGAAAGUCGGAUACUAUCCUGACUCUUUCCUUAGAAGUUAGAAAUUAAAUAUAAUUAGGAAUCCUAGAUUCCUUAAAAUUCUCCCACUGCCCGUGGGGAGACUUCCUCCACGUGGACUAUGGCCCACCGAAUUCUGUGGUCCCAAAUAAUCAUGUUCCAACAUUGUCCCCCAUUGUAAUACCUAGAAAAAUAAUUAAAAAAAUAAAAAACAUUUAAGUUUAUAUUUUAAAAUAUAUUAGUUGGAUUUUAUUAUUUAUUUGGGUCAAAGUGGUCAUUAAUUUAUGUGGGCUAAUAAAUAUUAAUAAAUUAGGGAUAAAUUAAUUUGAUAAAAUUGAGCCUUAAAACUAAUUGGGUCUAAUUUAUAUUUGUGUAAUAAUAAAUCUUAUUAAAAUUUUAUUAAAAUUAAAAGAAUUAAUAAAACAUAUUAAUUAAUGAAUAAAUAACAAACCUAAUCUUACUUUUAUUAUACAAACUGAGGGAAAGAAAAAGAAGAGAAGUAGGUGAGGCGACUUAAGAGUGAAGAAUGAAAAUUUGUCACUCUUGAUAUUUGGCAAGACACAUUUAGUAAGUUGUUACUAUUUGUUUUUUAAAUUGUUAGAUCCAUCAUGUAGAAAGCCAGUGAUUCAUAAGAAAGUUAAAAUACAUUAUAUAUGAAGUAUACUUUUAGAAGUUUGAUACAUUAUUGGUUAAUGUGGAUAGCCUUUAAGGCAGAGUAUCCAUGUGAAUUGGAUAUCGUGAAUGGCAUACUAAAAUAAUAUACGCUUAGUAUAUGGCGUGAAUCAGAUAAGAUCAAAAGGUAUUUACUGAUUAAAUGUAUCUGAAUAUAUCUAAAUAUAUCUGAAUGUAUCUGAAUUGUAUGUUCUCCAAAAUCCUAGCACCCAUAUUUAUAGGCCAUAGAAAAAUCCAUAACCAAUUAAAUAGGAUUUUUAAUAUAAAAUUGAGUAUAGAUAGAAACGAUAACUUUUCUAAAACAGAUUCUAGGUAAUACCUAAACCCAAAUCCAAUAAGGAUUCAUGUUAUACCCAACAAAUGUCCACCUUGACUUGAAUCCUCCGAAUAUUGCACAAACAGUAAACUUUUUCCUCUUCUCAAAAUGCACAACUCAAGUGCAUCGAACACUAACCACGUCCAAGCAAUGUUUGAACUUGGUAUGUGUUAACGGCUUCGUUAACAUGUCAUAUGGAUUUUCUGCUGUACCAAUCUUCAAGACCUUAUUGUCACCAUCUUCAACAAUGUCUCGAACAAAAUGAUACCUGACAUCAAUAUGUUUCCCCCGAGGACAAUACUCACAGAAGUCAAACUUUAUUAUUUUUUGUAUAGACAACUCGCUAGAUUUCUUCGUCUCCUAAUCCGUAUCAGACAUAUCUACAGGCUUCAUUGGCUUCCCUACAAUGGCUUUCUUCAAGCCUUGCUGAGUAAAAACAGCCUUCAUCCGAACCUGCCAAAGACUGAAACUAAUUUUCCCAUCGAAUUUGUCAAUAGAAAAUUUUGUUGAUGAAGUCGAACUCAACGUCAUAGUAUAUAUCGAUAAUAACCAAGCUCUGAUACCAAUUUAUUAUGACAAACUAUGACAAACACAAUAAAUCAAUGCAGAAAGAUAAAGACAAUAACACAAGGUUUUACAUGAAAACUCAAAUUGGAAAAAAACUACGGAGAAGGCAAAAGAAAUCCACUAAAUAAAUAUCUGAAGAGUACAAGAUAAAAAAAGAGAAUACUAAAUUGAGUAUAGGUAAAAAAGAUAACUUUUCUAAACCAAAACAGAUUCUAGGUAAUACCUAAAUCCAAAUUCAAUAAGGAUUCAUGUUAUACCCAACAAAUCUCCACCUUGACUUGAUCAUUCCUCCAAAUAUUGCACAAAUAUUGAACUUUCUCUUCUUCUCAAAAUGCACAACUCAAGUGCAUCGAACACUAACCACAUCCAAGCAAUGUUUGAACUUGGUAUGUGUUAAUGGCUUCGUUAACAUGUCAUCUGGAUUGUCUACAGUACCAAUCUUCAAGAUAUUAAUGUUACCAUCUUCAACAAUUUCUUGAAAAAAAUGAUACCUGACAUCAAUAUGUUUUCCCCGGGACAAUGCUCACAGAAGUACAACUUUCUUACUUUCUGUCCAGAUAACUCGCUAGUUUUCUUCGUCUCCCAAUCCGUAUCAGAGAUAUUUACAGGAUUUAUUAGUUUCCAUACAAUGGCUUUCUUCAAGCCUUACUGAGUAAAAACAGCCUUCAUCCGAACCUACCAAAGACUGAAACUAAUAUUCCCAUCGAAUUUGUCAAUAUCAAAUUUCGUUGAUGAACUCGAACUCAACGCCAUAGUUUGGAUCGAUAAUAACCAAGCUUUGAUGUGACGCCCCCAAAACAGGUAUACAUCACCCAUCUUGGGUCGUCAAAUACAUGGUACAUAAUACAACUACAAACUUCUUUUAUACAACUGUCGUGUAAAAUACGACAAAACAUAGCUGAGAGCUCUCAAUGGAGUCCUCAGUACAUUUAUUAUCACACUAUUUCACAGAAUAGUGAGGACUACUAAAACAACCAUCUGGACCGUCAAUCCGUUUCCCAAUCAGUCCCAGCUAUAUUCUCAUUUCCUGAAGAGAACAGUGAAAGAAAAUGAUGAGCUCAACUAGCCCAGUAAGAAAUAUUAUGACUAAGAUAAUGCAGAAUAAAUUAUCCUUAGCCUUCAACAGUAUAACAACUGAUAGAAUACAAUAGACAACAAGUUCUAGAUCAACAAAUACAGCGGAAUAAGCAAUCCAUUAGAAAAGUCAAGUAGAACAUAAUGUCUACAAUCUUCUAUGAUUAAAAAGUUUAUCAUCAAUUUUAUCGCUGUAAUACCCAUCAACAGUUCUUUAUACCAAAGACAAAGAGAACUUUCAUCACCUGUCUUCACCUGAACCACCAAAGAUUUUAUUUAAAUUCACAAUUCAUGUUUAUAAUAAUGUGAAUCAACAGUUCCUCCCUGCCACAAAGGCUUAAUAGAACGUUUACUCAAUAUCCUUACCCAAAGGAUAAAGAUAUUCAAAUGUAAUAACAAUGAUCAUACCAAUCAGUUGUCUAUCUUUGCACUACGGGCCAAAGAUAUUCAACUAUAAAACCAUUAGUCAUGAUCAUACCAAUCAAUUGCAUGUCGGUGCACUACGACCAAAGACAUUCAACUGUUAACUAAUGAUCAUGAUCCUGCCAAUCACAUCAUCGAAUUAUCCCUGCACUACGGCCAAGGAUAUUCUUUAGUAUCACCAGUGGUCAUGAUCAUGUCAUACAGCUGUCCAUCUUUGCACUACGGGCCAAAGCUAUCAAUCAAUAGUUCAUCUUUGGAUUACGACCAAAGAUAUCAAUCAACAGUUCUUCUUUGCACUACAGGCCAAAGUCAUACAACUGUAAAACCAAUAACCAACAGUCCAUCUAUGCACUACGGGCCAAAGAUGACUUUUAACGCAAUAUAAGCAUGAGGAUCAUGACAAUGAUAUAAAGAAUCAGUCAAAUGAGAUAAAGGAUAAAUAUUAAACAUUUAUAAUAUAAUUUAUCCAGAGUUCAAGAAUAUCCAAAUGUUAUCAAUCACUUAAUAAUCUCAUAAUCUAAUAUCAUUAAUAUUAUAACAAUAUUUUAAUCAUUUCUUAAACUUAAUUAUAAACAAUUUAUUUUAAUUGUUUACACUUUACUAAUUAAUGCAUUUAAUCAGCCUAAAAUGCCAAACUCAUAAGAUUUCAUCACCAAUAACCAAAACUCUCAUAAAAAAUCUGCAUAUACCUUAUAUAGGAUUUUCAAGCCAUAAAAUCCUAUUUAUCAAUUUUUUAACUUCACAUAACUUAUUUAAUUUAUAUGUUCGUAACUAAACUAUUUUCAUGAAAAAUAUCAAAUCAGUCUAAAAAAGUUUUCUUUUCUGAGAUUUAGCAGAAUAUAGUCCCAUAUUGAACAUAUAUUUUUCUCGAAAUUUUUAAAAUUCAUUUACUAUUUUUCAUAUGGCCAAAAUUACCGAAUAUUUAAACAUUUAUCAUAAACUAUACUUUUGUCCAAAAAUUCCAAAAUUUACAGGGUAUACUCCUUUGAUAUAUAUGUACGCCCAAUAAAUUUUUUAUCAAUUUUGGAGUUAACCACAAGGAUUUAUAAAGGUUUACUUUUAAAAUAGUCUUUUCCCAUAAAAUUCAUAACUUCUAAUCUAUACAUCCAAAAAUCACCAUUUUUGGACACAAUCUAGAAAACUCAUCAAAUUAUCAUUUCAAAUUUUUCCAGAAUUUUUGACGGUUAGAAAAAUUACGAAACUGCAAAUGGAUUUUCACCCACCAUGCGGUAAUCCACGUAGACAGAUCAUUUCCACAAUUUAAUAAAGAAUGAAUACGAAGGGUAAUUCACCAUGCAUGCGGUAGUCUGCGUAGACAGGUUAUUCCAACAGAAUAAUAAAGAAUGGAAUAACAGAAGAAUUCACCAUGCAUGCGGUAGUCCGCGUAAACAGGUUAUUAAUUCCAAUAGAAUAAUAAAAAAUGGAAUAACAGAAGAAUUCACCAUGCAUGCGGUAGUCCGCGUAGACAUGUUAUUCCAAUAGAAUUAUAAAGAAUGGAACAACAGAAGAAUUCACCAUGCAUACGGUACUCCGCGUAGACAGGUUAUUCCAACAGAAUAAUAAAGAAUGGAAUAGCAAAAGAAUUCACCAUGCAUGCGGCAGUACGCGUAGACAAUUUAUUCCAACAGAAUAAUAAAGAAUGGAAUAACAACCCUUACGAGUAUUAAAAGAAAAUAACUCUUUUCAUGAAUACGAAAGAAAUAAUACCCCUUACCUUAGAAGAAAACUGGAUAAUAGUAAGGUAGCAGACUUCUCUUCUUCUUUCUCUCUAUAAUUUCUCUAUAUAAUAAUUGCUCUUGUGAGACUUAGUGAAUUAGUGAGAAAUGAAGGAAGAAUGAGCUUCUAUUUAUAGGAAAAUAUAGUUUCAAUAAUUGCACAUUUUGUGGCUUGAAAUAUUACAGUAUAAUACCUUCCUUUUUUUCUUCAUUUUAAUUUAGUCCUACAAGUAUUAUCAAACUUGCACCACCUCCCUAAUAGUAAAUCAUGUGAAUUAAUAGUUCAUUCAUGUGACUCAAUAGUAUAAUCAUGUGAAAAAAAAACUAAUUAUAGUAUAGUACCUCCAUCUAUACCUCCAUUUUUAAUUUAGUCAUGCAAGUAUUAUCAAUCUUGCACCACCUCCCCUAAUAGUACUUGCAUGUGAAUCAAUAGUACACACAUGUGAACAAAUAGUUAUAAGCAUGUGAAUUAAUAGCAAUUAAUUGCUCAUUUAUCCGAUUAAUAAUCCGAUUGGUCAAUAUAACAUCCAGACAUCAAUUAUUAUCGAAAUAAUUGUCGAUUUCCACUAACACUAACAAUCCCAACACAAUGGAAAUAUUUUUAUCAACAAAUUUAUUUUUGAAAUUUUGAAGUUUGACUUUUUCUGCAAAAGUCAAAUGUUGACUUUUUGACCAAAAAGUCAACCCCAGUAAAUUUUGUGUUUAUAGUCUAUUUUUACUAAUUUUAUCGUUCUGGACUCAAAUAUCACGUUCGCGUCUCCAAAUUUAAUUCUGAACUCAAAUUCUAGUUUUUAAUAACAUUCAUAAUUAAUAUUAUAACUCACAAUAUUAACAACCAGAUCGUUCCCAAGAAAGAGGGGGCUUUCCGAUAAGGAUUUCUCCCUAUUAGCGCGCAAUUAUAUUACCUAUCCUCUCCUUGACAGAACUUCUAGACAUCGUCAAUAUUGCAAAUAAUAAUAUGAAUAACUUUGACGUCUCAAUUAUUGAUUUAAUAAUAUAAAAUAUUAUACAUAUGAUACUGUGACAAUAAUUGAAUCAAUAAUAUGAGAGAUAUGAUGCAGCAAUUACUGUAGCAAUAAUUGAGUUUAACUAAGUGACUUCUUACAUAAGCAUCAAUAAUCAAUACCAUAUGGUACUAUGCAACCACGCGUAUUACUGUAUUUUUACCACCAAUUAUUAUAUGACAACUUACUUACUUUGAAAAAUUUUCACAUAUCACCCUUAACUUUAACAUUUUAUCAAUUUAACUAUUUACUAAAUAGAAUAAUAAUUAUAAAAAUUGAAUACUUUCAUUUCGUAAAAUUCGGGGUCUUACAAUCUCAUCUCCUUAUGAAAUUUUGUCCUCGAAAUUUACGUACCUAGUAGUUCGAAGAGAUGAGAAUACCUUGCUUUCUUUUUCGUUUUGUACCUUCCCGGUUAUUUCCUCUCUAUCAUGAUUUUCCCAUUUCUCAUCUCCUGUAUUUCAGAUAUCAUUCUAGAAUAUAGAUUCAAAAUAAGGGUUAAUUAACAUGCCACAUAUUAUCUCUAUAUUCUGACCAACCAAUUAAAUAACAAAUAAACUUAGGUAGGUCAUACUAGCGAAUGAAUUACCCGUCUCUCCCCUCCUAGUUCUAGCCUCACAUCUUAGCCAGGGAUCAUAUCCCUAAGCUUUGAUACUAAUUGUGACGCCCCCAAAACAGGUAUACAUCACCUAUUUUGAGUCGCCAAAUAUAUGGUACAUAAUACAACUACAAACUUCUUUUAUACAAUUGUCGUGUAAAAUACGACAAAACAUAGCUGAGAGUUUAAACAAGAAUAUUGCCUUCUAGACAAUAUCCACUCUCAAUGGAGUUCUCAUUACAUUUAUUAUCACACAAUUUCACAGAAUAGUGAGGACUACUAAAACAACCAUCUGGACCGUCAAUCUGUUUCCCGACCAGUCCCAGCUAUAUUCUCAUUUCCUGAAGAGAACAGUGAAAGAAAAGGGUGAGCUCAACUAGCCCAGUAAGAAAUAUUAUGACUAAGAUAAUGCAGAAUAAAUUAUUCUUAGCCUUCAACAGUAUAACAACUGAUAGAAUACAAUAGACAACAAGUUUUAGAUCAACAACUGCAGCGGAAUAAGCAAUCCAUUAGAAGAGUCAAGUAGAACAUAAUGUCUACUAUCUUCUAUGAUUAAAAAGUUUAUCAUCAAUUUUAUCGCUGUAAUAUCCAUCAACAGUUCUUUAUUAUACCAAAGACAAAGAGAACUUUCAUCACCUGUCUUCACCUGAACCACCAAAGAUUUUAUUUAAAUUCACAAUUCAUGUUUAUAAUAAUGUGAAUCAACAGUUCGUCCUUGCCACAAAGGAUUAAUAGAACGUUUACUCAAUAUCCUUACCCAUAAGGAUAAAGAUAUUCAAAUGUAAUAACAAUGAUCAUACCAAUCAGUUGUCUAUCUUUGCACUACGGGCCAAAGAUAUUCAACUAUAAAACCAAUGGUCAUGAUCAUACCAAUCAAUUGUAUGUCAGUGCACUACGGCCAAAGACAUUCAAUUUUUACCUAAUGGUCAUGAUCCUGCCACUCACAUCAUCGAAUUAUCCCUGCACUACGGCCAAGGAUAUUCUUUAGUAUCACCAGUGGUCAUGAUCAUGUCAUACACCUGUCCAUCUUUGCACUACGGGCCAAAGCUAUCAAUCAACAGUUCAUCUUUGGAUUACGACCAAAGAUAUCAAUUAACAGUUCUUCUUUGCACUACAGGUCAAAGACAUACAACUUUAAAACCAAUAUCCAACAGUCCAUCUAUGCACUACGGACCAAAGAUGACUUUUAACGCAAUAUAAGCAUGAGGAUCAUGACAAUGAUAUAAAGAAUCAGUCAAAUGAGAUAAAGGAUAAUUAUUAAAUAUUUAUAAUAUAAUUUAUCCAGAGUUCAAGAAUAUCUAAAUGUUAUCAAUCACUUAAUAAUCUCAUAAUCUAAUAACGUCCAAGUUGUCAACAUGAUACUUCUUUGUAGAGUAAAAUUCAAGAAUGCUCAGAAGAAUAUUUUCAUGAAAACAUACUAGAUGAAGCGCAAAUAUUAAGGAUAUUCCACUAAUUUCAUGGAGUAUAGAAGUCAAAACUUUAACCAAUGGAGUAUAAUAAAGAAUGAAAUAACAAAAAAAAUCACCAUGCAUGCGGUACUUCGCAUAAACAGGUAAUUCCAACAGAAUAAUAAUAACGGAACCAGGUCAGGCAUAAUACGCACCGACAGGAUAUUCUAACAGAAUAAUAAAGAAUGGAAUAACAACAAAAAUCACCAUGCAUGCGGUACGUCGCAUAGACAGGUUAUUCCAACAGAAUAACAAAUAAUGGAACCAGGUCUGACGUAAAACGCACAGACAGGAUAUUCCAACAGAAUAAUAAAGACGAAACCAGGUUCGACGUAAAACGCACAGACAAGAUAUUCCAACAAAAUAAUAAAGACGGAACCAGGUCUGACAUAAAAUGCACAGACAAGAUAUUCAAACAGAAUAAUAAAGAAUGGAAUAAUAACAGAAUUUCACCAUGUAUGCGGUACUUCGCAUAGACAUGUUAUUCCAGCAGAAUAAUAAAUAAUGGAAUAACAAAAGAAUUUCACCAAGUAUAGGGUAGUCCGCGUAUACAGGUUAUUCCAACAGAAUAAUAAAGAAUGGAAUAAUAGAAGUUCUCUUCAUGAAUACAAAAGAAAUAAUACCCCUUACAGGUACAACAAAUAAUAUCCCUUACCGUAAAAGAAACUUGAUAUCGGAGUAGUGAAGUAGCAGAAUACUUUUCUUCUUUCUCUCUAUAGUUUCUNNNNNNNNNNNNNNNNNNNNNNNNNNNNNNNNNNNNNNNNNNNNNNNNNNNNNNNNNNNNNNNNNNNNNNNNNNNNNNNNNNNNNNNNNNNNNNNNNNNNUAACUUUAUAAAAGUAUUCUGUUUUAUAUAAAAAGAUUUUACUAUUAGCCUAAUAAAACGAAUAACUUUAUAAAAGUAUUCUGUUUUAUAUAAAAAAAAAUUCUAUUUUAUUACAUUAAUAAUACUAAUAAAACAAAACUUAUAUAUAUAUAAUAUAUAUAACAAUCAACAAUAAUUGAAUCAAAUAACGUGAGAUACUAUGCAGCAACUACUGUAGCAAUAAUUGAACAAAACUGAGUGACUUCUCACGUAAACAUCAAUAAUUAAUAUCGUGUGCUACUAUGCAACCACGCGUAUUACUGUACUUUUACUACCGAGUAGUUCAACAGGUUUAAUGGUAAAACUUCCGCUGUUAUUUUCAUAAAAAUAUUUUUGUCGUUUUCUCAAUCCGACAAUAAUUCUGUUGUGGGGUCCACCAAUGAUUGUGCCGUCGUACGAAUAUUCCCUGUUAAAACAAAUAUUUCCCGACCAAUCGAAUAUUAUAUAACAACUUGCAUACUUUGCAAAAUUUAUAAAUACUACCCACAACUAUAACAUUAUCUCAAAUUCACACCAUAAUAUUCAAAAAAAUAUUUCGAGAAAAUUAAAUCUUUAUUCGUAAAAUUUGGGAUUUUACAUUGUCGGCUCACAAUCUCCAGAAGACUAAAAGCCUCCUAUAAUUUUUCAUUAUAAUGUGUUUUUACCCGGAGAUAACUUAACGAAAGAGCCAGCCAUAGUUCAGAAUACAUGGAUCAAUGAUAUUGGAUGGGGGAAGAAGGAAAGAUGCCCUGACCAUCGAUCCACUAACAUUGUGAAAUGUACAUUAUAUACAUUCUCCUUGCUAGCUUUUGUUGGUAACCAAACCUUCACACCAAGGUAACCAAACUGUCAUACCAAGGUAACCAAUCCACACCUCCAUACCAAGGUAACCAAACCUUCAUACCAAGGUAACCAAUCCACACCUGUAGUUUUUUCAUAAUGCAGUUGGUAACCAAACUUUCAUCUCAAGGUUACCAAACCUGCAGUUUUUUUAUAGUGCAGUUGGUAACAAAACUUUCAUACCAAGGUUAUCAAUCCACCUCCACACCUUCAGUUUUUCAUAGUGCAGUUGGUAACUAAACCUCCAUACCAAGGUAACCAAUCCACACUUGCAGUUUUUUCAUAGUGCAGUUGGUGACCAAAUAAACUAUCAUACCAAGGUUACCAAACCUGCAUACCAAGGUUACCAAUCCACCUCCACACCUGCAGUUUUUUCAUAGUUCAGUUGGUAACCAAACUUUCAUACCAAAGUAACUAAACUGUCAUACCAAGGUAACCAAUCCACUUCCACACCUUCAGUUUUUUCAUAGUGCAGUUGGUAACCAAACCUUCACACCAAGGUAACCAAACCUUCAUACCAAGGUAACAAACCUUCAUACCAAGGUAAUCAAACCACAUCCACACCUGCAGUUUGUUCAUAGUGCAGUAAUUGGUAGCCAAACAUUCAUACUAAGGUAACCAAUUCAGUGUUAUUAGGUUACCAAUUUAUUUUGAAUGUGAUGCAGUUGGUAGCCAAACCUUUAUGCAGUGGGUAGCCAAACAUUCAUACCAAGGUAACCAAUUCAGUUUUAUUAAGUUACUAAUUUAUUUUGAAUGUGAUGCAGUUGGUAGCCAAACCUUCAUGCAGUUGGUUGCCAAACUUUCAGUCCAAGGUAACCAAUUCAUACUGUAGGCGUUGAUGUAGAUUGGUUACCUUAGUAUAAAGGUUUGGUUACCUUGGUAUAAAAGUUUGGUUACCUUGGUACGAAGGUUUGGUUAUCAACAUUACAUUACACAUCACUCUCUUAUCUCUCUCUUUUCUAUUCAGAAAAUAAUUUUUUUUUAUAAAACUAGAACUGAAGGUGUUCCAGUACUAUUAUUAAGUAGCUAGCUAGCUUAUUACAUGAUGACACCAAUUAUGCCUUUAUCUCCGUUCAUGUCAUGAACUCUAAUUGCUCUCUGGUGCCAUGACAUUACUAAUGAUCUUCUCCUCUGCAGUAUCUCGUGAAUUUUCUUUUCUUACCGGAAAACGGUUGCUCCCGCCACCACUGCCCCACCCUCCACCUCCACCGUCUCUGUAACCACCACCUGAGCCACCACCGCCAACUCCNNNNNNNNNNNNNNNNNNNNNNNNNNNNNNNNNNNNNNNNNNNNNNNNNNNNNNNNNNNNNNNNNNNNNNNNNNNNNNNNNNNNNNNNNNNNNNNNNNNNNNNNNNNNNNNNNNNNNNNNNNNNNNNNNNNNNNNNNNNNNNNNNNNNNNNNNNNNNNNNNNNNNNNNNNNNNNNNNNNNNNNNNNNNNNNNNNNNNNNNNNNNNNNNNNNNNNNNNNNNNNNNNNNNNNNNNNNNNNNNNNNNNNNNNNNNNNNNNNNNNNNNNNNNNNNNNNNNNNNNNNNNNNNNNNNNNNNNNNNNNNNNNNNNNNNNNNNNNNNNNNNNNNNNNNNNNNNNNNNNNNNNNNNNNNNNNNNNNNNNNNNNNNNNNNNNNNNNNNNNNNNNNNNNNNNNNNNNNNNNNNNNNNNNNNNNNNNNNNNNNNNNNNNNNNNNNNNNNNNNNNNNNNNNNNNNNNNNNNNNNNNNNNNNNNNNNNNNNNNNNNNNNNNNNNNNNNNNNNNNNNNNNNNNNNNNNNNNNNNNNNNNNNNNNNNNNNNNNNNNNNNNNNNNNNNNNNNNNNNNNNNNNNNNNNNNNNNNNNNNNNNNNNNNNNNNNAGAGUGUUGGGAGAUAGCAUUAGAUAUACAUAAUAUUUUUACAUAUUUACUAAUACACAAAAUCAUUUUCUAAUUUCUCUUUCAUCUUUCAUUCUAAACUAGCUAUCAAAGCAAAACAAAAAAGAGAGAGGGAGAGCAUAGAUUUGAUAGCCUUAAGGAGGUAAAGGGGAAGAAUUUUAAUCUUCAUGCACCCUAAGUUCAUCAAUUACUUUGGUAAAAGAAGAAGAACAUCCCAAAGAACAAGGUAAAGACCCUAAAAAAUUUCAAGUUUUGUUACUUUCUUUUGAUAAGUUUUGAUGAAAUAAAGAGCUUGUGUUCUUGAACUUUAAAACUCUUGAUCUACAUGUGUAUGCUUUUUUCACAUGUAGGUCUAGUUAUUUUUGAAGUUAAAAGUUUUUAAAAAAAAGAAAAAAGAAGAAGAAAUGAAAGUAUGUUCAAAAGGGGCUAAACACCCUAAAUUAACUAUUUUUUUUAUUUAGUUUUUUUUGAUGAAAUGUAAAGAUGAUGUUUCUAAGUUCUAAAAUUUUUUAUCUUUAUGUUUUCUAGUGUUUCAUAUAAAGAUCUAACCAUUUUUUAUGUUAAAGGUUUGAUCAAAGGUAAGGAAAGGAAACUAGUUUUUUUUUAACGAAUAAAAACCCUAAAACUUUUUAUUCACUUUGAAAUGCUAUCAUUUAAAAUCUACAUCUCCUAUUUAUGAUCCGUCAAAGAUGGGUGCUAGAUAUAGGAGUUAGCUUUCAAACCUAAGUGGUAUCACUCAAAUAUGUUGAAUUUACAAGCUUUGGUGACUGUUUUAACAAAGCUAUCCAGAUUUUUAAAAGAGAAAAAUGGAACAAUCUCAUUAUACUACAAAACAAUAUUAUUAAGGUUUAUUUACACUAUUUUAAGAGAAGCUAGAAAUGAGUUGCUGUUUGUCCAUAAGCAACAGCCACAAAGGUACUGUCUGAGAGCCUAGGAAGAGCUCCCAGACACUGUUUGUAUGCCUACUGCUACUGCCGAGGCAGUAGCCCUGCACCAAGUUCACUUUUAGCAACUUCUGAUAUUCUACUUUGCUUAGGCUAAAUUUUUAGAGAUGGUAAAGGUACUAUAUUAGUCUCUUUUAGAAACCUACGAGGCUUAAAUUUCACGUUUAUUUACUGUCCAAAAACAAUUGUCAAAGUGACUUAACAUAAUAGGUUUUAAUUUUUCACUUUGGCCUAAUAAUGUAGUUUAUUUCAUUUUAGUAAUGUUAAACUUAUUAAUUAUCUUUAUAUGUGUUGUCUCAACCACACUCAAGCUGCAAUUCCUUCUAAAAUCCCAUUUUUAGUUAAAACAGUUCACCUAGGACUUUUAACAAACAGGUGGUGUGCACAGUUCCAAUUUCUUCUUUUCAUAGCCAUUUAUUUGAGUUAUAAAUCCAUUUUUAUCCUCCUUAUUAUUCCUCAGCCCAACCUAGCUCCUUAUGCCUAAAUCCAGCUCAUAACAGUUAAAUACACGAUUUAAUAUGUGUAUAAUCAAGUAAUUGACAACUAUCUAGUUAUAACUUAGUUAGCUCACUAAUUUUCUUACUUUCAACCUUAUUAACAAUACAUUUCCAGCCCCAACAGUAGGCACAAUCCAUAACAGUUCUAGGCAUAGCAAUAUAUUGUACAAUCAUAAGCAUGUGCAAUCACUUAUUACAAUUAUAGGCAUAAGCAGUCACUUAUUACAACCUAACAAUUUCAAUUCUUGACAUACAAACUUAGUAAACAAUGGUUUUAUUACUCUACAUAAACAAGGUUCACAACUUAUAACUUUAAGCAUGAUAACUAGAAACAACCUCUAUCUUGAUUAAGGUGAAUAUUAAAGCACUUGGAAUAUGUAGUCUCUAAAAGAUAUUUGCAUACAUAGCUUCAAUUGGAUAAAUUCUUAGCUUACAUGUGAUUCUCACAACACAGUUUUUUUAUUAGUUAGUAAUAUAACCAAAUCAAGUCAUGACUUUGAAAUUAUAGGUAGCUAGGGGUUGUUUUGAAUCCUAAUCCAAAACAGGCCCAGAUUUGCCCUACUCUAGGCUCUUUUGAAAACUUCCAUAAACCUUCAUGGUUAGGUUCUUUAGACCCCAUGUUAUAAAGUAUAACCCACUUCAUUUUCAAGGACAGAUAAGUUCUUAUAUAAGUUUAUCAAUCUAGUUAAAAGUGGUUUCAUUUUGCUUAUGUAUAUGAUUGUCAUGGUAUGUAAGUUAUACCAAUACAUGUUAUACUUAGGCAUAGAGGGUACUUGAAGCAUAGCUACCCUUUAAAUGAGAACUUAAACAUAAUUUUGGACUCCAUUCCCAGCCAGCCUAUUUUGACACUAUAACAGUUUUAGAGUAGCAUUUUAGGCAUGGUUUAUUACACCAAAACAGUAGCAAGCACUAACGUAUAUGCCUUUCUAACACAUGAACCUUUUAUGUACCAUAUUUUCAUGAUUUAAAGCAUCUAAAGUCAAGGUCUUUAUGCUUUAGGCCAACACAACCCUCUUUAGUAUUUAAAUUCAAAAACAAACAUGGUUUACCAACAUGUUUACGAAGAUAGCAUAAGUGUGCAACAUAGAAGCUUAUACUAUCUUUUUAUAUAGUAUUUAACAUGCAUAAUAUAUGUUUGGAUGACAUGGAAUAUGUAAGACCCCAACUUAUUAUAAAUAAAAUUGAAUUUCUCUAUUUAUUAUCUUGAAAUAAUAAGGUGAUAAUUUGAUAUAAUACUUUAGUUAUGGGUGAAAUGUGCAAAUUUUGCAAAAUAAGCAAGUGGUUAUAAAAUAUUCAUUUUUGUCGAGGAAUAUUCGUUUGGUCAUGGAAUUUUCUUGUUGUCGGGGAAUAUUCGUAUGACGACGCAGCCAUUUGUUGGACCCAUAACAGAAUAAUUGUCGGAUGAAGAAAACAAUAAGCUUGAGUUUUUAUAAAUAACGGCGUAGUUGUUACCGUUAACACUGUUGGAAUACCCGGUGGUUAAAAUACAGUAAUACGCGUGAUUGCACAGUAGCACAUGGUAUUACACAGUAUUUUUGAAUUAUUAAUUCUUACAUAAGAAGACACUACUUAAUAAUUGUUACAGUAAUUACUGUUCAAUAUUUUAUUUUAUUUAUUCAAUAAUUGUUGCGUUGAUAUUUUAUAGUAUUGUUGUUUCAAUAAUUGUCAUUGCACAGUAUUUCCCAUUAUCAGAUCAAUAAUUCAUAAUAUUUGAAUAAUAUUAUUAGAUAGCAUUAUUGGCAAUGUCUAGAAAGUUUUGUCAAGGAGAGGUUUGGUCACUUAAUUGCGCGCUAGUAAGGAGAAAUUCUUAUCGAAAAGCCCCCUCUUUCCUGGGAACGGCCUGAUUGUCAUUAUUGUGAUUCUGUAAUAUUAUUUGUGAAUAAUUAUUUAUUGAUUUAUAUGAUAAGGAAAUAAUUAUUUUAUAUGGACAUAAAUGAUAUGAGACCCCAGAUUUUAUGAAUAAAUAUUUAUUUUUCUCGAAAUAAUUUUUUAAUAUUAUGGCGUGGAUUUGAUAUAAUGUUAUAGUUGUGGGUAGUAUUUAUAAAUUUUGCAAAGUAUGCAAGUUGUCAUAUUAUAUUCGAUUGGUCGGGAAAUAUUCUUUUUGUCGGAGAAUAUCCGUACGACGGCACAAUCAUUGAUGGACCCCACAACGGAAUAAUUGUUGGAUUGAGAAAACGAUAAAAAUAUUUUAUUAAAAAUAUCGGCGGAAGUUUUACCGUUAAUACUGUUGAACUACUCGGUAGUAAAAGUACAGUAAUACACGUGAUUGCAUAGUAGCACACGGUAUUGAUUAUUGAUGUUUACGUGAGAAGUCACUCAGUUUUGUUCAAUUAUUACUACAUUAGUUGCUGCAUAAUAUCUCACGUUAUUUGAUUCAAUUAUUGUUGAUUGUUAUAUAUAUAUAUAUAUAUAUAUAUAUAAGUUUUGUUUUAUUAGUAUUAUUAAUGUAAUAAAACAGAAAAACUUUUUAUAUAAAACAGAAUACUUUUAUAAAGUUAUUCGUUUUAUUAGGCUAAUAGUAAAAUCUUUUUAUAUAAAANNNNNNNNNNNNNNNNNNNNNNNNNNNNNNNNNNNNNNNNNNNNNNNNNNNNNNNNNNNNNNNNNNNNNNNNNNNNNNNNNNNNNNNNNNNNNNNNNNNNNNNNNNNNNNNNNNNNNNNNNNNNNNNNNNNNNNNNNNNNNNNNNNNNNNNNNNNNNNNNNNNNNNNNNNNNNNNNNNNNNNNNNNNNNNNNNNNNNNNNNNNNNNNNNNNNNNNNNNNNNNNNNNNNNNNNNNNNNNNNNNNNNNNNNNNNNNNNNNNNNNNNNNNNNNNNNNNNNNNNNNNNNNNNNNNNNNNNNNNNNNNNNNNNNNNNNNNNNNNNNNNNNNNNNNNNNNNNNNNNNNNNNNNNNNNNNNNNNNNNNNNNNNNNNNNNNNNNNNNNNNNNNNNNNNNNNNNNNNNNNNNNNNNNNNNNNNNNNNNNNNNNNNNNNNNNNNNNNNNNNNNNNNNNNNNNNNNNNNNNNNNNNNNNNNNNNNNNNNNNNNNNNNNNNNNNNNNNNNNNNNNNNNNNNNNNNNNNNNNNNNNNNNNNNNNNNNNNNNNNNNNNNNNNNNNNNNNNNNNNNNNNNNNNNNNNNNNNNNNNNNNNNNNNNNNNNNNNNNNNNNNNNNNNNNNNNNNNNNNNNNNNNNNNNNNNNNNNNNNNNNNNNNNNNNNNNNNNNNNNNNNNNNNNNNNNNNNNNNNNNNNNNNNNNNNNNNNNNNNNNNNNNNNNNNNNNNNNNNNNNNNNNNNNNNNNNNNNNNNNNNNNNNNNNNNNNNNNNNNNNNNNNNNNNNNNNNNNNNNNNNNNNNNNNNNNNNNNNNNNNNNNNNNNNNNNNNNNNNNNNNNNNNNNNNNNNNNNNNNNNNNNNNNNNNNNNNNNNNNNNNNNNNNNNNNNNNNNNNNNNNNNNNNNNNNNNNNNNNNNNNNNNNNNNNNNNNNNNNNNNNNNNNNNNNNNNNNNNNNNNNNNNNNNNNNNNNNNNNNNNNNNNNNNNNNNNNNNNNNNNNNNNNNNNNNNNNNNNNNNNNNNNNNNNNNNNNNNNNNNNNNNNNNNNNNNNNNNNNNNNNNNNNNNNNNNNNNNNNNNNNNNNNNNNNNNNNNNNNNNNNNNNNNNNNNNNNNNNNNNNNNNNNNNNNNNNNNNNNNNNNNNNNNNNNNNNNNNNNNNNNNNNNNNNNNNNNNNNNNNNNNNNNNNNNNNNNNNNNNNNNNNNNNNNNNNNNNNNNNNNNNNNNNNNNNNNNNNNNNNNNNNNNNNNNNNNNNNNNNNNNNNNNNNNNNNNNNNNNNNNNNNNNNNNNNNNNNNNNNNNNNNNNNNNNNNNNNNNNNNNNNNNNNNNNNNNNNNNNNNNNNNNNNNNNNNNNNNNNNNNNNNNNNNNNNNNNNNNNNNNNNNNNNNNNNNNNNNNNNNNNNNNNNNNNNNNNNNNNNNNNNNNNNNNNNNNNNNNNNNNNNNNNNNNNNNNNNNNNNNNNNNNNNNNNNNNNNNNNNNNNNNNNNNNNNNNNNNNNNNNNNNNNNNNNNNNNNNNNNNNNNNGAUAUUGUUUAGAAGACAAUAUUUGUAUUAAAACUCACAGCUCUCUUGUUGUAUAUUAAAGAUUGUAUUUGUAUUCUGUACCAUGUAUUUGGCGACUCAGAAUAGGUGAUGUAUACCUAUUUUGGGGGCGUCACAGUUGGUAUCAAAGCUUAGGGAUAUGAUCCCUGGCUGAGAUGUGAGAUAAGAACUAGGAGGGGAGAGACGGGGAAUUCCUUCGCUAGUAUGAACUACCUAAGUUUAUUUGGUAUUUAAUUGGUCGGUUAGAGUAUAGGGAUAAUAUGUGUUAUGUUAAUUAACCCUUAUUUUGUGGCAGUAUUUAAAAAUGGCAUCCGAUAAUGUUGAGAAUAGCAAUGGAGCACAGGAGACCGUUGAGUCUCCACAGAUUAAUAAUCAGGACAAUGUGCAACCGGAUGACGAUAAUCCUCCUGUAAACAACAACACUAAUCAAUUGACGAACGACGGUACGUUUAAGAGCUUUUUAGAAUUCAUGCAACACCAAACGAGAGAGACUCCUGUUCAUAAUGCUGGAGGAAACAAUGGCAACCCACGGUUGGUCACCGCUAAGUAGUUCAAGGAGCUGGGACCACCAGAGUUUUUGGAAAAGCCAGAACCACUUAAGGCAGAGACGUGGUUAAAGCAGAUCACCAAGAUAUUUGAUGUCUUGGGAUGCUUGAAAGAGCAAAAAGUUCCAUUCGCCACCUUUAUGUUUCGUGAAGAAGCAGAUCACUGGUGGGAAUCUAUAAAACGUACCCAGCCUGACGCACUCAAGAUAUCUUGGGAGAAGUUCCAAGAGCUGUUCAACGACAAGUACUUUCCUGAAAGUAUUCGUCACAUGAAGGAGGUGGAGUUCAUCAAGCUGGAGCAAAACAAUAUGACCGUGUCGCAGUACGAGGCUAAGUUUGCCGAGUUGUUCCGAUUUGCGUUCCAUUUGGUUGAUAAUGAGGAAAGAAUGACGCGAAUGUUUCUAAGAGGUUUGAAAUCCAAUAUACGUCAAUACCUCAUUUCUCACAAACUUUAUUUAUAGUCAGAUGUUGUGAAUAGGGCUCAGUUAUUGGAGCACGAUAAUGAGUUAGCACAACCAAAAGGCAAUGACCAACAACACGAUAAUAAUUAUAUCAGUGGCAACGGUCAUCGGAACAAUGAUAACCAUCGUGGGGGAAAUUAUCAUGCCAAGAAUGGUAACCACUUCGCUGGUAAUCAUGGACAAGAUAAUAGAAGUGGAAAUUUCAAGAAGAGAAGGUUCAAUAAUGAUGGAAAGACAGUAGCACCAGCACCCGUUUCAAAGGAAGAAGAACGACCACCGAUCGUAUGUUUCAAAUGCGGACAGGAGGGACACAUCCGUCCAAACUGUAUGCAGCAAUCCAAAACGUGUUUUAAUUGCGAAAGAGAAGGUCACCUAGCUCGAUUUUAUCGUAUGGUAAAGUCAAGUCCAGCUGGGAUAGUGAUGCCAAAGGAUGUCCCAGACAAGCCAAAGCUGAUAAUUUAAGAGAGAACGUUUUUUUUCUCGUGACGAGGAACCUGAAUAAAAUUAUCAUGGGUAAGUUAAUCAUAAACUCUUGCGAAGUCUAUACCAUGUUAGAUACCGGUUUUACUCACUCUUUUAUUUCACCUAGUUGUGUUCAAUGUUUGUACUUAACUCCGGAGAAGUUAGAAUCUGAUUUAUCUAUUAAAACUCCGUUGGGAGAAACCUUCGUUACAUCUAUUAUUUAUAAAUCUUGUUUGAUUCAAAUCGACACUUUCAUGUUACCUGUCGAUCUUAUCUCUUUGAAAAUACUUAUCUUUGAUGUGAUUUUAGAAAUCGAUUGGUUAACUACUCAUCAUGCUUUUCGUAAGGUUGUUAGAUUUCAUAUUCCUAACCAACCUGUUAUGCAAAUUCAAGCAACCAAACCACUAAAUUCAAUCAUUGUCAUAUCAAGCCAUAAGUAAAGAGCCCCGAUCCUUUUGUUGUUGACUUCCUUGUGUGGAAUGCACUGAAGCCAGACUUUCUGUAUGCGACAUCAUGAAUGACGAUGGCAAGUUGAUAGGUAUUAAUAUGACGUACUAUCCAAGUCUUGGAUGAGAGUAACAGUUUUGAAUGAUAUUUCUAUCGUUAAUAAAUUUCCUGACGUAUUCCUGAAGACUUCAUAGCCUACCCCUAGAGCAUGAAAUCGAAUUUUAUAUUGACCCCAGUACAAAACCCAUUUCUUACACCCUCGAAUAUUUCUUCAACUAAAAUGAACGUAACAUACGCCAAAGACGUUGAAUCGAGCUGUUGAAGAUUACGAACGUACCAUUCAAUACCAUCGUAGGAAAAGCUAACAUGGUUGCUAACGCGUUGAGUAGAAGAUCGUAUGCGGUUACAAGUGCGAAUAUAAGAACCCACGUGAAGAUAAUGAAUAUACGAGUAGAAUUGACUUUAAUCAAUAAAGUUAAAGCCGCUCAAGCUAAAUACUCAGAGCUGAUGAAUGUGAAAAAGAAGGUUUAAGAGGGUGUUAUUCUAGAAGCAAGAAUCGAUGAAGAGAGGAAAUCUCAACCCUCGAUUUAAUUGGCCCAUUUGAAAUCCUCGAUUGAGUAGGAACUGUGGCUUACAGACUCAUUUUACCGCCAAGUAUGUCGCGUGCUCAUAACGUUUUUAACGUAUCGAUGUUACGUAAAUAUGUGGACGACCCAAACCACAUUAUUAAUUUAGAACCAGAUGAGAUAGCAGAUGAUUUAACGUAUGAGGAGAUACGUGUUAAAAUCUUGGAUAAGAAGGAUUAUAUUCGACACUCAAAGGUUAUAUCUCAAGAGUUAGAAUCUGAAAUGAAGUCAAGGUAUCCUCACCUGUUCGGCAUACCAGGUACGUACGUAAAUUUUGAGGGCGAAAUUCCAUAAGGAGGGGAGAUUGUGAGACCCCAGAUUUUAUGAAUAAAUAUUUAAUUUUCUCAAAAUAAUUUUUUAAUAUUAUGGUGUGGAUUUGAUAUAAUGUUAUAGUUGUGGGUAGUAUUUAUAAAUUUUACAAAGUAUGCAAGUUGUCAUAUUAUAUUCGAUUGGUUGGGGAAUAUUCUUUUUGUUGAGGAAUAUCCGUACGACGGCACAAUCAUUGGUGGACCCCACAACGGAAUUAUUGUCGGAUUGAGAAAACGACAAAAAUAUUUUAUUAAAAAUAACGGCGGAAGUUUUACUGUUAAUACUGUUGAACUACUCGGUAGUAAAAGUACAGUAAUACGCGUGGUUGCAUAGUAGCACACGGUAUUGAUUAUUGAUGCUUACGUGAUAAGUCACUCAGUUUUGUUAUUGGUAUUAUUAAUGUAAUAAAACAUAAAAUCUUUUUAUAUAAAACAGAAUACUUUUAUAAAGUUAUUCUAUAAAUAGAAUAUAUUAUAUUCUAUUAUGCAUAGUGUUUUGCAUAGUAAAAUCUUUUUAUAUAAAACAGAAUACUUUUAUAAAGUUAUUCUAUAAAUAGAAUAUAUUAUAUUCUAUUAUGCAUAGUGUUUUGCAUAGUAAAAUCUUUUUAUAUAAAACAGAAUACUUUUAUAAAGUUAUUCUAUAAAUAGAAUAUAUUAUAUUCUAUUAUGCAUAGUGUUUUGCAUAGUAAAAUCUUUUUAUAUAAAACAGAAUACUUUUAUAAAGUUAUUCUAUAAAUAGAAUAUAUUAUAUUCUAUUAUGCAUAGUGUUUUGCAUAGUAAAAUCUUUUUAUAUAAAACAGAAUACUUUUAUAAAGUUAUUCUAUAAAUAGAAUAUAUUAUAUUCUAUUAUGCAUAGUGUUUUGCAUAGUAAAAUCUUUUUAUAUAAAACAGAAUACUUUUAUAAAGUUAUUCUAUAAAUAGAAUAUAUUAUAUUCUAUUAUGCAUAGUGUUGCAUAGUGUCUGCAUAGUGAUUUGCAUAGUAAAAUCUUUUUAUAUAAAACAGAAUAUUUUUAUAAAGUUAUUCGUUUUAUUAGAUUAUAAAUAGAAUAUAUUAUAUUUUAUUUAAAAGAUUUUGCUUUAAAUAUGGACCGUCCGAUUAAAGUAAAUCAAUCUGGACCGUUCAUGAGUUAGUUACUAUGUAGUCCAUUCUUCUAUAAAUAGAAGCUCAUUCCUUCAUUAUUUUCUUACGAAUUCACUGAAACCCUAGAGAGAGAAAUUAUAGAGAAAAAAAAGAAAAGUAUUCUGCUACUUUACUACUCCGAUAUCAAGUUUCUUUUACGGUAAGAGAUAUUAUUUGUUGUACUCGUAAGGGGUAUUAUUUCUUUUGUAAUCAUGAAGAGAACUUCUGUUAUUCCAUUCUUUAUUAUUCUGUUGGAAUAACCUGUAUACGUGGUCUACCCUAUACUUGGUGAAAUUCUUCUGUUAUUCAAUUCUUUAUUAUUCUAUUGGAAUAUCCUGUCUGUGCGUUUUAUGCCAGACCUGGUUCCGUCUUUAUUAUUCUGUUGGAAUAUCCUGUCUGUGCGUUUUACGCCGGACCUGGUUCCGUCUUUAUUAUUCUGUUGGAAUAUCCUGUCUGUGCGUUUUACGCCGGACCUGGUUCCGUUAUUUAUUAUUCUGUUGGAAUAACCUGUCUAUUCGAAGUACCGCAUGCAUGGUGAUUUUUGUUGUUAUUCCAUUCUUUAUUAUUCUAUUGGAAUAUCAUGUCUGUGCGUUUUACGCCAGACCUAGUUCUAUCUUUAUUAUUUUGUUGGAAUAACCUGUCUAUGUGAAGUAUCGCAUGCAUGGUAAUUUCUGUUGUUAUUCCAUUCUUUAUUAUUCUGUUGGAAUAUCCUGUCGGUGUGUAUUACGCCUGACCUGGUUCCGUUAUUUAUUAUUCUAUUAGAAUAACUUGUCUAUGCGAAGUACCGUAUGUAUGGUGAUUUCUUUUCUUAUUCCAUUCUUUAUUAUACUCAGUUAGUUAAAGUUUUGACUUCUAUACUCCAUGAAAUUAGUGGAAUAUCCUUGAUAUUUAUACUUCAUCCAGUAUCUUUUCAUGAAAAUAUUCUUCUGAGCAUUCUUGAAUUUUACUCUACAAAGAAGUAUCAUGUUGAAAAUUUGGACGUUAUUGAUUCCUGGAUAAAUUAAUUCGUGAACUUGUUUUAUUGAAUUAUUAUGUCAUUGUCAUCAUCCUCAUGUUUAUUUUUUUUGAAAGUCAUCUGUGGCCUGUAGUGCAUAGAUGGACUUGGUAUGAUUAUGACCAGGGAUUAUUCGGUAUAAUCAUGACCGUAAUAUUACAAAUGAUGUGGAAAAAGUCCUCAUUGGCCCGUAAUGCAUUAAUGGACAGUUUUCGGUAUGAUUAUGGCUAUGGAUUCUCUUCGGCCAAGGGUGCAAAAAUGAAUUGUUUUAUGUCAUGAUCAGGACCGUUGAUGAAAACACGAUUUUCUUUGGCCCGUAGUGCAUGGAUAAUUCGUGGUCGUGAUACUAAAGAAUAUCCUUGGCCUGUAGUGCAGGGAUGAUUUGAUGAUGUGGAUUAUUUAUUGGGCUGAGUCUCAGCAAUAAAAGUGAUGAAAAAACUUUUUAAAUCAUAAAACAUAGUAGAUUCUAUUCUCUACUUGACUCUUUUAAUGGAUUGCUUGUUCCGCUGCAGUUAAACUUGAUGUCUAUUGUAUUUUAUCAGUUUAACAUUGUUGAAGACUAAUGAUAAUUUAUUCUGCACUAUCUUAGUCAUAAUAUUUCUUACUGGGCUAGUUGAGCUCACCCUUUCUUUCACUGUUCUAUUCAGGAAAUGAGAAUAUAGCUGGGGCGAGUCGGGGAACGGAGUGAUGGACCAGAUGAUAGUAUUAGUAGUCCUCACUAUUCUGUUAAAUAGUGUGAUAAUAAAUGUAAUGAGGACAUAUUCUGAGAGUGGAUAUUGUUUAGAAGACAGUAUUUGUAUUAAAACUCACAGCUCUCUUGUUGUAUAUUAAAGAUUGUAUUUGUAUUAUGUACCAUGUAUUUGGCGACUCAGAAUAGGUGAUGUAUACCUAUUUUGGGGGCGUCAAAAAUGAUGGGUAGAAAAAUAUUUAUUUUGUGUGGUUAUAAAUGAAGAAAUUAAUUUUGAGGUAUUUUAUAAUUAUUUUGUCAGAAUGGAUGUAUUAAAAAUCAUCCGUAUGUGGAUUUCGGACAUUUUUUGUUUAGAAUUUGGAAAAACUUUCUUCUCUAAAGUUGUAGAGAAUUUGAUUUCCUAUGGAAUGGACAUAAAAUUCAUAUUUUUCUGAUAAAAGAGCUAUUUAUUGUGAAUUAAAUGGAGUAAAGAUAAUCAAAUUGAAUUAGUUUUCAAAUUGAAUUUGAAUUCUUUUAUUUAUUUAUUUUUCAAAAAUAUGUGAUAAAUUAUUGGGGUGGGUGAGCAAAGUUGGACAAUCUUGAUUCAAGUAAGGUGUGCGUAGAAGAGAAGGAAAUAAGAAUAUUAUUUUAUUAUUUUAGUCUCCUUUGGCGUUCUAGCAUUUUUCUAUAAAUAGGUGCUUAAGUUAGAAUUGAAAAUCACACCAGAAACAUAAGCUUUCUCUCUCUAGAUUAUCGAGCGUAUUAUUGUGAGUAUUUUUCUUGAGUAUAGGAAUACUUUGAGCGUAGUUUUCUGCAAGAUUUUCUCAGAAUAAUAUCCAAUAUUCCAGGCAAAUCCAGUUUCUACUAAGGUAAAGGAUAUUAUUUUAUUGCUUUUAUAAUUCCUGAAAUGAUUAGAAAUUUCACUUCAUCUAAUAUCCUUUUAUAGGAAUAUUGGUCUGAACUUUUUAUCAAAUUUAGAACUUUUCAUGACGGGUACUGUUCACCGGUACUGUUCACGGGUACUGUUCAAAAAAGAAAAAAAAAUUUCUCCUUCCCAGUUAUCUGUUGUGACCUUUAAUCCUGAAAUUGAAUCCAUGUUUUUGAUCUUUAUUCUUGAAUUUUACUCCAUUAUGGUUUAUUAUGGAGUAUUUUUAAACUUGAGUUAUCUAAAGUACAAAUCUCUAAACUUUAUCCUUUUAUCUCACUUGAUUCGUUCUCUAAAAUGUUUUUCAUCAUCCUCAGUCCUUAAUGGUGAUACUUGAUAAAUAUCUUUGGCCUGUAGUGCAAAGAUGUAUGAUUACCUGAUGAAUAUCUUUGGCCUGUAGUGCAAAGAUGAACAGGUGUUGAGAUGAACAUGACCAACUGGUGAUACAAAUGAAUAUCUUUGGCCCGUAGUGUAAAGAUGAAUAUUUGAUUCAAGAUGUAUAUUGAUUGAUGUUACAGGGAUAAAAUAUUGAUGAUGGACUUUUAAAUUCAUAGAUGAUAGUAGAUUUCAUUCUCUACUUAACUCUUCUAAUGAAUUGUUGUUUCCGCUGCAGUUGUUGAUCUAAAACUUGUUGUCUAUUGUAUUCUAUCAGAUUUUUCCCUGUUGAAGACUAAGGAUAAUUUGUUGUAUAUUAUCUUAGUCAUAAUAUUCUUUACUGGGCUAGUUGAGCUCACCCUUUUCCUUUUUGUUCCAUUUUUCUUCUCAGGAAGCGAGAACAUAGCAGGAACCAGUCGGGGUAUAGAGUGAUGGUCCUAGACAGUUGUUUUAGAAGUCCUCACUAUUUUUGUAAAAUAGUGCAUCAAUAAUUGUAAUGAAGACUUUAUUUGAGUGUGGAUAUUGUCUAGAAGACAAUAUUUGUAUUUAAACUCACAGUAUGUGUUGUCGUAUUUUGCACGACAAUUGUAAUAAUAAAGUUGUAGUUAUUUUCUGUACCAUAUAUUUGGCGACUCAGAAUGGGUGAUGUAUACCUAUUUUAGGGGCGUCGCAGAAUAGCUUAUACCAUAUCAGUCAUUAUCAAAUCCUCUAGUCUAGCAUACAAAAUCCUUAAAACGGUGGCUAAGUCUUAGUUAAAUGCUUAGCUCAUAUAUAGACCGGUAUACACCAAGUUAUAAUCAUCUUAUGCUCAUGCAAAACUAACCUUUUAAGCACAUUUGCAUCUUUAGAAUUUUAAUAUAGAAUAUUGGCAUAGGAUUAGACUUGGCUGUACUCAUUUUCAACACAGUUGACUCCAAUAGUCUAUUAACAGACAUUUUACCAAACAGUUGGGAUGCGGUUCAUAUCUAUCCAUACAAUACAUAUAUUCUUAGCUUAGUGAUCCCAGCCUUAUGGCUUAAACAAUAACAAGCAUAAGAUGAUACAUAACAACUCCAAUCACGGUAAUCCAAAUAGCAUUGAAACAGGCAUCCUAUUGUACCAAUUCCAAUAUAACAGCCAUACAUGUUACCUAAACUCUAACAGUCCAGUUGCUAUCAUUUAAAGAAACAGGAACGAAUGGAAAAGGAUUGGAAAGGUCAGAAUUGGCUUACCUUGUUGAUUUGAAGGUUACAAGUGGGUUGAGCUGCCCAGUUUCUCCUCCUUCUCUAGCCGAAGCUUUUCCUCUCUUACUCUAUAUGACUGAUACCGUUACUUCUUCCCUUUUUCUUUUAACUUUGCUAAGUGGUGAGCUAAUCGGUUCUAGGCCAUAAGCUUGGCCUUUUAUGGUUGAGUUUAUCUCCUCUUUUCUGGCAGUACUAUCACCUUUAGUUGGCCUCUACACAACCACCCUAUCAAGCUCCCAUCCAUCAUUCCUAUUCUAGUUCACUUGGCCCCUAUAGGGCCUGUCAGACCAUAGCUAUUCUGCUUCCUCUUAUCCACUGCAAGUUUAUCCCACCUGCUAGCUGACUGUUAACUGAACUAACAUGCUAACUAGAAACCAACUUAGAAUUCGUAUAACUUGCUACUUGACUUGGUGCUCAAGCCAUGUUAUUGUUUUUCUUAAUUGGUUUGAAGCAGUUAUCUUGCUAUACAUCACUGGGUUUACAGGAUUGGGCUGGGGGAACAAUGUGACAAUUUUAAUUUGGGUUUAAACUAACCCUCCCUCUUUAACCAUGUAGCUGCCAAAUUGCACUAAGAAAAUAGGUUAAAAUUGGCCCUUUUAAUUUUGUUAUAGACCUAAUACAACAACCCAUACCCUAAAAUAGUUGAAAGGGGCAUACAAGCAUACAUAGCAAAAUUUAAUAUGGCCCAAUGUUUUAGAAUGGACUCAUUUUAAACACAAAAUUUUUUCUAUCUUAUUAAAUUCCUUUUAGGCUAGCAACAAUAGUUGGUACAUAUAUCAUUAACUCUUUUUUUUUACCAUUCAUGAUCUAAGAUACUUAAUAAAAUAUUAAGUAACAAAUAAUUAUAAGGUCAGGAUACAAAAAUAAAAUAAAAUUUAUACACAAAAUUGACAUUAUAACAACUGAAUAUUUUAUAGAAUUUCUGAGUCAUUACAUUUACUUUGUUAAGGACUAAUGAUAAUUUAUUUUACAUUAUCUUAGUCAUAAUAUUCUUUACUAGGCUAGUUGAGCUCACCAUUUUCUUUCAUUGUUCUUUUCAGGAAAUGAGAAUAUAGUUGUGACUAGUCGGAGAAUGGAGUGAUGGUCCAAGAUGGUUGCUAUAGUAGUCCUCACUAUUCUAUAAAAUAGUGUGAUAAUAAUUGUAAUGAGAACUUCAUUUGAGUUUGGAUAUUGUCUACGAAAUAAUAUUUGUAUUAAAACUCACAACUUACGUUUUGUCGUAUUUUACACGACAAUUAAUAAUUGUAUAAAUGCAGUUUGUAUUUGAAUUUUGUACCAUGUAUUUGGUGACUCAGAAUGAGUUGUAUGGACCUAUUUUGGGGGAGUCACGAAUAGGACCCAAGAAGAUUUGGGUACGAAAAAGGUAGACUAUUUGUUCAUUUUGUCAAUGUCUUAAGUUCAAAAAGGAGACGAAUAGUACUUAUAAAUUAUUUGGCAAAAUCUGUAAGUACCUUAUAUUUUUUUCUAAAAUAGUGUUUUAAUUAGAUAUAUUAUGAAAAAUCUAUGGAUUUCGUAUUACAUGGGUUCAUAACAUCAUUUAUUAUAAAGUAUAUAUUGUGCUAAAUGCUCCAUAUUUAAUACAAAUGACAAUCUUGAUGAGGAAUAAGUGAAUAUUAUUUUUGAUUAACUUAACCAUGAUCUGCUAAAGGAAGAGAAUGAGGUUUCUGUUGGAAAUGACUAUUUGAAUUGUGGAACCCAAACAGUUCAAUCCGGACAGUCUAAGAUGUGAGACCCCGAAUUUUAUGAAAUAAAAGUAUUAAAUUUUUCUAUUUUGGUAAAUAGUUAAAUUGAUAAAAGUUUAAAGUUAAGGGUCAUAUUUGAAAAUUUUGCAAAGUAUGCAAGUUGUUAUAAAUAUUCGAUUGGUCGGAGAAUAUUCUUUUUGUCGGGGAAUAUUCGUACGACGGCACAAUCUUUGGUGAACCCACAACGGAAGUACUGUCGUAGUUAGAAAAAGACAAAAAUAUUUUAUGAAAAUAACGACGAAGGUUUUACCGUUAAAAUUGUUGAACUACCCGGUAGUAAAAGUACAAUAAUACUCGUGGUUGCAUAGUAGCACACGGUAUUGAUUAUUGAUACUUAUGUGAGAAGUCACUGAGUUAUACUCAAUUAUUGCUACAGUAAUUGUUGCAUCAUAUCUCUCAUAUUAUUGAUUCGAUUAUUGUCAGUAUCAUCUGCAUUAUAUGUUAUUUUAUUAAAUCAAUAAUUGAGACGACAAAGUUAUUCAUAUUAUUAAAUUGCAAUAUUUAUAAUGUCUAGAAGUUCUGUCAAGGAGAGGUUAGAUAAUCUAAUUACGCGCCAAUAGGGAGAAAUCUUUAUCGGAAAGCCCCCUCUUUCCUGGGAACAACCUGGUUGUUAAAUAUUGUGAGUUAUGAUAUUAAUGAUGGAUAAGUUCGUGUUGAUUAAAGAUGAAUUUUAUAGUUUUAUUGUGUUGGGAUUAUUUGUGUUAGUAGAAAUUGACAUCUAUUCCGAUGAUUAUUGAUGUCUGGAGGUUAUAUUGUUCAAUCGGGUAUUCGGGACACUUUUCAUGUCAGAGUUAUUAUUCAUGAGUUACUAUUCACGAGUUACUAUUCAUGAGUUACUAUUCACUAGUUACUAUUCACAAGUUACUAUUCACCUAAUUACUAUUCACUCUAGUAUUGUGCAUUCGGGUAUUUGGGUACAAUAUUAUUCCAUGAGGAGAUGUGUUAAUUUUUCUGACCGUUGGUUGAAAUUAUAAUAGUAAAUCAAUAUGGAUCGUUGAUUUAAAGUCUUAAUAGUAACUUGUCCCUUCAAUAUUACCAAGAGUUAAUUGCCCCUUCGUAAAUAGUAGUUGUCCCUUCAAUAUUACCAAGAGUUAUUUGCCUCUUCGGUGUUCCAAGAGUUAAUUACCCCUUCGCAAACAGUAGUUGUCUCUUCAAUAUUACCAAGAGUCAUUUUGACCCUUCGUUAAGACCAAGAGCCACUCUCAGUUUUUCUAUAAAUAGAAGCUCAUUCCUUCAUUAUUUCUUACGAAUUCACUGAAACUCUAGAGAGAGAAAUUAUAGAGAGAAAGAAGAAGAGUAUUCUGUUACUUCACUACUUCGAUAUCCAGUGUCUUUUACGGUAAGGGAUAUUAUUUGUUGUACCCGUAAGGGGUGUUAUUCUUUCUUAGUCAUGAAGAGAACUUCUGUUAUUCCAUUCUUUAUUAUUCUGUUGGAAUAACCUGUAUAAGCGGCAUACCCUAUACAUAACCUGUAUAUGCGGCAUACCCUAUACUUGGUGAAAUCCCUUUGUUAUUCCAUUCUAUAUUAUUAUGUUGGAAUAACCUGUUUAUGCCAAGUACCGUAUGCAUAGUGAAAUUCUUCUAUUAUUUCAUUCUAUAUUAUUAUGUUGGAAUAACCUGUUUAUGCGAAGUACCGCAUACAUGGUGAAAUUCUUCUAUUAUUCCAUUCUUUAAUAUUCUGUCAGAAUAUCCUGUCGGUGUGAAUUUCGGCUGACCUGGUUCCAUUUAUUAUUCUGUUGGAAUAACCUGUAUACGCGUAUUACCGUAUACUUGGUGAUGUCUGUUGUUCUUCCAUUCUUUACUAUUCUGCUGGAAUAUCCUGUCUGUGCGUUUUACGCCAGACCUGGUUCCGUCUUUAUUAUUCUGUUGGGAAUAACUUGUCUGUGUGGUCUCUAUCGCAUGCAUGAUGAAUCCUUCUGUUAUUCCAUUCUUUAUUAUUCUGUUAGAAUAACCUGUCUAUGUGGAUUACCACAUGCAUGGUGAAUGAUCCUUUAUAUUCAUUCCUUAUUAAAUUGUGGAAAUGAUCCGGUUACGUUGAUUAUGAUGAGAGUCAUAAUAAAAGUAUUGGACUAAUGAAAAUCAUGGGUAUAUGUGGUAUUAGUAAGUGUUAUGAUGAGUUAUGUUGGUUAUUAUGUGAAAACAUGAAAGUUUCUUAGAAAUCACAAAGGGUUGAAAAUCAGAUUUUGGUGAAAAUAGAACAUGAAAUUCAAUUGACCAUAUCUCCUAUUAUAUUUCAAAUUUUUGGGUGUGGUUAAGUUCUAGAGUUAGGUCUAUGAGUUAUGUAACUUAUCCAAGUGGAAUCACUGGAAAAGGUGUUGUAGAUUUUCGUGUGGACUGAUUUUAGCAAAGGAGUGCAAAGCUGCAAAAACCCAAAACUCUACUGCCCAGAAACUUUAAGGGGCUGUUUCGGCUACUUAAUUUGUGAGAACAAUUCUGGCCUUUUGGGACAUGAAAUUAUAUGAUAUAAAGUACCUCCUGUCCAAAAAUGAGCUCAUUCUGACUUAAAAUGAGCAAGUUAUGACCAUUUCAAUAUUUAGGUUUUUCCGACGAAAAACGCUAUAACCGGAGUUCUAUAACUCCGAUGACCAUGAAAUUUAAAUUGGAAGCUCAUGUUAACAUGUGUAAGAUUAUGCCAAGAUUUGGGAAUUUUUGGAGUUAACCUUGAGGUAGCUAACUUCUUAAGGAAUUAAUUAGAAAUUGAUUUUUGAAAAAUAGUAAAUGAAUUUUAAAAAUUCCGAGAAAAAUAUAUGUUCAUUAUGGGACUAUAUUCUGCUAAAUACCAGAAAAGAAAUAUUUUUGGGACUGAUUUGGUAUUUUUCAUGAAAAUAGUUUAGUUACGAACUUAUGAGUUAAAUAUGUUAUGUGAAGUAACAAAAUUGGAAAAAUAGGAUUUAUGGUUUGGAAGGUAUAUGCAGAUUUUUGAUAAAGAAUUUGAUUAUUGGUGAUGAGAUCUUAUGAGUAUGGCAUUUUGAAUGAUUAAAUACAUUAUAUGGUAAAGUGUAAGCAAUUGAAAUAAAUUAUUUAUAAGUUUGAGAAGCGAUUAAAAUAUUGUUAUAAUAUUAAUAAUAUUAGAUUAUGAGUUAUUGAUAAUAUUUGGAUAAGUUUAAAGUCUUUAGUAUUUAUCCUUGUUUUCGUAUGAUUAAUGCUUAUAUCAUUGUCAUCAUCCUCAUGCUUAUAUGGUGAUGAAAGUUAUCUUUGGCUUACGUGCAAAAAUGGACUUUUGAUUAUUGAAUUGUAUAUCUUUGGCUCACGUGCAGAGCUAGUUUGUUGAUUAUUGGUUUUAUUGUUGUAUAUCUUUGGCUUACGUGCAGAGAUGAAUUUGGUAUGAUUAUGACCAAGGAUUAUUCGGUAUAGUCAUGACUAUUGAUGAUUUAAUGAAUAUCCUUGGCCCGUAGUGUAGGGGUGAUUCGAUGAUGUGGUUUAUUUAUUAAGCUGAGUCUCAAUGAUAAAAAUGGAUGAAAACAUUUUUAAAUCAUAGAAGAUAGUAGAUUUUAUUCUCUACUUGACUCUUUUAAUGGAUUGCUUGUUCCGCUGCAGUUAAACUUGAUGUCUAUUGUAUUUUAUCAGUUUAACAUUGUUGAAGACUAUUGAUAAUUUAUUCUGCAUUAUCUAGUCAUAAUAUUUCUUACUGGGCUAGUUGAGCUCACCCUUUCUUCACUGUUCUCUUCAAGAAAUGAGAAUAUAGCUGGGACGAGUCGGGGAACAGAUUGACAGUCCAGAUGAUAGCAUUAGUAGUCCUCACCAUUCUGUUAAAUAAUGUGAUAAUAAAUGUAAUGAGGACUGAAUUUGAGUUUGUAUACUGUCUAUGAGGACUCCAUUGAGAAUUGAUAUUGUCUAGAAGGCAAUAUUCUUGUUUAAACUCUCAGUUUAUGUUUUACACGACAGUUGUAUAAUUAUGUUGUAUUUGAUUUAUGUACCAUGUAUUUGGCGACUCAAGAUGGGUGAUGUAUACCUAUUUUGGGGGCGUCACAUAAGACGUCUGCAUCAGAAGGAAAUAUAGAUGAAAUCAGACAGUUUGACCUGUCUGUUUUAGAAGAAAACUCAAAUUUACAAACACCUAAAUCUAGAAAAAUCGAGAGGUCUGCUUUAGAAUAAAAAACAUAUGAAUAUUCGGAUGCAGUAACUUAUAUUCCAGAGGAUGAAUCUGAAAAGCAAAUGACUUCUUCCAGGCUUCCUAAAUCUUCUAGAACUAUGGGAAAUCAUCCUCCAAGUCUGAUCAUCAGAAAUUUCAACAUUAGGAUGUCCACAAGAAGAGGUUUUGAAGAAAUUUGUUUGCUACACUAAAGGAGCUCAUCUAUCAAGCUUAUUGUUGGUAACAAAAUUGUGGAUAUAUAGGUAACAAAUCACAAAGGUAUGGUUAUUUUAUUUAAGUGCUAUAUGUGAUAUUGUUACAAGCUUGAUGUCGUGUCUUUAUUUUAUGAAUUAUUUUUUGUUAGUGACAAAUGGGGAGAGAUAUAGCUAAAUUGAUGAUUUAUUUCUUUUUGAUAAUGAUAAGGGGAGAAAUGUUUAAAAAUAUUGAUGAUUAUGAUAUUUGAUGGUUAUAUUGAUUAUAAUAUGUUUGGAUUUUUUGGAUAUCAUAUUGAUGAUAAUGGUUGGAUAUUUUGAUUCAUUAUCUGUUAUAUACAGCUUAUCAUUAUGCAUUAUUUAUCAUAACAGUUAUGUGAUCUUUAUAUCUCCUAUAGGCAAAAUUUAGGGGGAGCCAUAUAGUUAGGGAGAGCAUGAUUGUAAGGAAUAAUAUAUUGUCAUCAUCAAAAGGUGGAGAUUAUUAGUUUUAUUAUUUGUAAUUUUAAUAAUGACAAUAUAUUUGCAAAUAUAAGUUAUUUAAUGGUCUGAAUAUAUUUGCAAAUAUAAGUUUGGUUCAUGAUAAUUUAAUUUGGUUAUAAGUCAAAUUGAUAUUACGUGCAGGAUUGAAUUGGAAUAUUUUCUUUCAGGUCUAAUUUGGAGUCUCUAAAUUAACUGGUUUAGAUAUUUGUGUAGAGUAUGGACUCUAUCUAUAAUAUAUUGUUACUCCUUAAUUUUAGCCAUUGUUAGAUUACAUAUCUUUGACUUUCUAAUUUUGAGAAUAUUUUAUAGCUGUUAGCUAUAUCUAUGUGCUGAAAUCUCUAAUUCUCGAAAUCCAAGACCAAGUCAUUGACGAGCCUACUAAGUUUACACAGCAACCACGAUUUGUUUGUAGACUUGUAGUUAUUCAUUUUAUACCCGAAGUUAACAAAUUGUAUGAAAGGUUCAUCCUUUCAAUUAUCUACAUAAUUUAUUUUUUCCUACUCUAUGCAUUCCUAAGUAUCAGAUCGGAUCAGAUCAUAAACAUCACAAUAAACCAUCUAGUGGUAAUUGUUUUAUUUAUAAUACGGUAAUAACAACCACCUAGUGGUAGUUGAUUUAUUUAUUACAUGCUAAUAACAACCAUGAGCUGAUUGUUGAUUUAUUUAUUAAAUGCUAAUAACAGCUAUCAGCUAGUGGUUGAUUUAUUUAUUAUAUUCUAAUAACAGCCAUCAACUAGUAUAUAGUUUCUUGAUCAACUGUUCAUAGGAAGAUUACUGAUCGUUCAUUUAGGCGCUGGGGGGACUAAUUUGAACACCAUAGAUAACUAAACCCGUCUUCAUAGUCGCGCUUUCACUCCCGUCAAGAGCAAAUUUUAAAUCUCCAGAGUCAAAGCUAUUCAAGAAUUCCCCAGCUUUGAGCGAAAAUGGUGUGUUUCUCGGAUAAUUCAUCAAUCCAUAUCCGUUCACUUGCGAGGAUCCAUUCGGAAGAGUAAGUGUAAGACUCACCGGACUUGCUAUGUUAAAGUUGUCUUUCAGCAACACCACAAAAGAUACCUCAUAAGAUAAUUUUUCAAGCUUUUCUGUCAUAUAGUUUCCGUCAACAUGUAGGACUAAGCUACCAAUUAAUUCAGCACUGGCAUCACUGAAAAAAAAUGAUAGUAGAAUUAAAGUCAGAAACUUUUGAUAUAAGGAGCUUAAAUUCAUUAAGGUGAUUUUAUUGAUUUUUUUUUUCUGGAACAUUUUUAAUGUAAGUCCUUCUAUCUACCUAGAGUCUAGACUUCAAUAAAAUUUCUAUAGUCCUUCUAUCACUUUAAUUUAAUGACAUAGUUGCUUAUAUAUCCCUAUUUUUAACUGAAUAAAAUUCAGGUGUUUAAACACAAAUCUUAACCUUUGACGUCAAUUAAGUUAACUAAAUCUUAUUUCUACUUACGUAAACUUCCAGCCUGAAGGGUUGGCAUAAUUGAGUUCCUUUGCAUACACAAAAGCCCAACUGCUCUGAAUAAGUCAACAGAAAUUUACAUUAUUAUAAGGAUAGAUAAGGCAAACCAGCGGUGACCGAUCGAAUGAUAUGUCGAUGCCUUUAUAUAUAUAUAUAUAUAUAUAUAUAUAUAUAUAUAUAUAUAUAUAUAUAUAUAUAUAUAUAUAUAUAUAUAUAUAUAUAUAUAUAUAUAUAUAUAUAUAUAUAUAUAUAUAUAUAUAUAUAUAUUGACGGUUGACAUUUCAAAAUAACAAUUAUAAAAGUGUUGCCAAAUGUAUAUUUACUCUGAUAGCGAUGACAUUAUCAAUCACCUAUAUAUAAAUAGCAAAUGUUUCAUCGCAAAAGUUUAUUACGGAAUAUGUAUCACUCAAUCCAUCUUAUAUCAUCCAUACAUUACAACAUCAGAUAGAUGUGAUCUUAAAAUUUUUGAACACUCGGCGACAUUAUGUUGCAAAUGGUACCAAAUUUUAAAAAUCCCAAAGGUGUAAGAUGGUCUAAAUUUUGCAAAAAUGUAUCACUUGCAAAAUUUACAAAUAUUAAGGAUUAUUUUUGUUCUGUAGACAACUUUAGUGUGUAUAUAUAUUUGAUGUUUGUUUCCAAUUUCAGUGGACUUACCUUCUGGCCCGGGUCCUUUUUGAGCAACGCAUUUUCCUUAGCUUGAGACAACAAUGUCUUGAGGUCAACCUUGUGAUACCUCACUACUUGUGCCAUUUCGCCUUUAAUUCUGCUAUAUAUAUUUUUUGUUUUUGUUCUUGAUGUCUAUAUAUCUCUCUUCCAAAGGCUAGCUCUAUUUAUAGAAAGCACAAAAGAGGGUAUAUUCAAUAAUAACCUAUCUUCAAAUAUUCCUUCCUUUUUCACAGUGGGGAUCCUGAUAAGUUUAACAUCAUCAUCAUCAUCGCCAAGGAUAUAGAGCAUCAGAUUCUGUUUAAUAAUUUUGUUGGAAUAUUUCUUUUCCAUUUCUCAGUUAAAUAAUUCUUUCUUUAGCUUGUUGCGCUGGCAAAAUUCGAUGAAGGCGAAAGGUACGUAGGCAUUCAAGUAAGUGAUGAUUUUCUUCUAACCAGAAGUAUGAGCAGGUUGAUGAUACAUAUGUCAUGCCAACAUAACAAACUUUAGAGGAGCCGAGUUCGAAAAAGAGAGGGUACUGGUUUAAUUGCCUUAAUUCGAUCUUAUCACCCAAGCAUGGGUGCCAUCUAUUUUGGUUCAAUAUAAUGGAGUAUAUAUUCAAAUCAACAAAACAAGGCAAGAACAAAAAAUAAAUUUAAAGUGCAUAUUUUAAUAGGAAUAUCUAUUAAUAUAUAUAGGUAUGUUACUCAAAUAUCUAUACCAUCUAUACCAAUUUAUAGCAAGAUAAAUACGAGUUAUUUUAGUUGGUCUUGAGUCAAUUUAGUAAUCCAGUUUUGGUGACUCGGUAGUUCAAAAUGUUGUUUUUUUGUUUUCUUUGUUUGAUUUUUAUGUAUUCUUGGUCAUAAAUUUUGAUAUUCCUAAAAGUCAACUAAAACACUCAAAAGUUAUAUUUUUUCACAAAAUUUUAGUACACAUUUAUUAUUCAAGAUGCAAUAUAUUAUUUAUCAUUAAGAAUUAAGUAAAGAUAUAAAAAUAAAAUAAAAAUAAGGAAAUAACUUUUGAGCUUUCAAGUCACCAAAUUUGGAGAGCUGAGUCGACUCGAGAUAUAUUAAAAUGUCAUUCAAAAAUAUUAUAUAUAUAAUUUACCAAAUAAAUCGUUUUUAAACUUAUCUGUAGUUUGCACGGAUUAUUAAUUUUGUUUGUAUUAAAAGUAUAAGUAUAAGCAUCUCGCAGGCCAAAAAUAAAAAGAAAAAAGAAAAUGAAAAGAAGAGCUAGACUACUUCUUUUUCUCUCUAUAGCUUCUCUCUCUAUAAUUACUCUUGUGUGAGUCUUAGUGAAUUGGUGAGAAUGAAAGAAGAAUGAGCUUCUAUUUAUAGAAAAAUAUAGUUUCGAUAAUUGCACGUUUUGGGCUCGAAAUAUUACAGUAUAAUACCUUCAUCUUUUCCUUUAUUUUAAAUUUAGUCCUGCAAGUAUUAUCAAACUUGCACCACCUCCCCUAAUAGUACAUCAUGUGAAUCAACAAUACAUUCAUGAUAAUCAAUAGUUCUAUACAUGUGAAAAAAUAUAGUUACAGUAUAGUACCUUCAUCUAUACCUCCAUUUUUAAUUUAGUCAUGCAAGUAUUAUCAAUCUUGCACCACCUCCCCUAAUAGUACAUGCAUGUGAAUCAAUAGUACACACAUAUGAACAAAUAGUUAUAAGCAUGUGAAUUAAUAACAAUUAAUUGCUCAUUUAUCUAAUUAAUUAUCCGAUUGGUCAAUAUAACCUCCAGACAUCAAUUAUCAUCGAAAUAAAUGUCGAUUUCCACUAACACUAAUAAUCCCAAUACAAUGGAACUAUCAAUUUUAUCUUUAAUCAACACGAACUUAUUCAUCAUUAAUAUUAUAACUCACAAUAUUUAAAAACCAGAUCAUUCCCAAGAAAGAGGGGGCUUUCCGAUAAAGAUUUCUCUCUAUUGGCGUGCAAUUAGGUGACCAAACAUCUCCUCGACAGAACUUUCUAGACGUCGUCAAUAUUGCAAAUAAUAAUAUGAAUAACUUUGUCGUCUCAAUUAUUGAUUUAAUAAUAUAAAAUAUUAUGCAGAUGAUACUGUGACAAUAAUUGAAUCAAUAAUAUAUGAGAAAUAUUAUGUAAUAAUUACUGUAGUAAUAAUUGAGUAUAACUGAGUGACUUCUCAUGUAAGCAUCAAUAAUUAAUAUCGUGUGCUACUAUGCGACCACGCAUAUUACUGUACUUUUACUACCGGGUAGAUCAACAGUUUAACGGUAACACUUUCGUCGUUAUUUUUUAUAAAAAGAUAUUUCUGUCAUUUUCUAACUACGACAAUACUUCCGUUGUGGGGUCCACCAAUGAUUGUGUCGUCGUUCGAAUAUUCCCCGAUAAAAAUAAUAUUCUCCGACUAAACGAAUAUUUUAUGACAACUUACUUACUUUACAAAAUUUUCACAUAUCACUCUUAAUUAACUUUAACCUUUUAUCAAUUUAACCAUUUACUAAAUAAAAUAAUAAUUAUAAGAAAAUUGAAUGCUUUCAUUUCAUAAAAUUCGGGGUCUUACAAUCUCCCCUUCUUAUGAAAUUUCGCCCUCGAAAUUUACGUACGUACCUUGUAUGCCGAAGAGGUGAGGAUACCUCGUUUAGAUUCUAACUCUUGAGGUAUAACCUUUGAGUGUCGAAUAUGAUCCUUCUUAUCCAAGAUUUUAACACGUAUCUUCUCAUACGUUAAAUCUUCUGCUAUCUCGUCUAGUUCUAAUUCAAUAAUGUGGUUCGGGUCAUCCACAUAUUUACGUAACAUCGAUACGUGAAAAAUAUUUUGAACACGCAACAUACUUGGCAGUAAAACGAGUCUAUAGGCCACUGUUCCUACUCGAUCGAGAAUUUCAAAUAGACUAAUAAAAUCGAGGGUUAAGAUUUCCUCUCUUCAUCGACUCUUGCUUCUAGAAUAACGCCUUCUUGAACCUUCUUCUUUGUAUUCAUCAGUUCCGGGUCUGUAGCUUGAACAACUUUAAAUAUAUCGAUUAAAGUCGAUUCUACUCGUAUAUGUGAUAUCACCACGUGGCUCCCUGUCUUUAACUAUAUCUUCAUCAUUUGUAAGUUAUACGAAAUGGGUUUUUAUGCUAACAACAUCAUACUCGUAAACGCAUACGAUCUUCUACUCAAUGCGUUAGCUACCAGGUUCGCUCUUCCACGAUGAUAUUGAAUGGUAUAGUCGUAACCUUCAAUAGCUCGAGCCAACGUCUUUGGCGCAUGUUACGUUCAUUUUGGGUGAAGAAAAAUAUUUGAGGGUUUUAAAAAUGAGUUUUGUACUGGGGUCAAUACAAAAUUCGAUUUCACACUCUAGGGAGGCUAGGAAGUCUUCAGGAAUACGUCAGAAAAUUUAUUAACAAUAGAAAUAUCAUUCAAAUCUGACGUAUUUUUGUUUAAAUAUGUGAUAUGAGCUAAGAAAGCUUGACAUCCUUUUUUCAAUAAACGAAUAGCUUUAUGGCUUGAUAUGACAAUGAUUGACUUUAGUGGUUUGGUUGCUUGAAUUCGCAUAAUAGGUUGGUUAGGAAUAUGAAAGCUAACAACCUUACGAAAAUAAUUAAUUUUUGCAUGAUGAGUAGUUAACCAGUCGAUUUCUAAAAUCACAUCAAAGGCAAGUAUUUUCAAAUAGAUAUGAACUACAGGUAACGUGCGGUUACCAAUUUGAAUCAAACAAGACUUAUAAAUAGUGGAUGUAACAAAGGUUUCUCCAAACGGAGUUUCAACAGAUAAGUCAAAGUCUAAUUUCUCCGAAGUUAAAUUUAAACGUUGAGCGCAAGUAGGAAAAAUAAAAGAAUGGGUAGAACCGGUAUCUAAUAAGGUAUAGACUUCACAAGAAUUUAUAAUUAACUAACCCGUGCUAACUUUAUUAGGGUUACUCUCUUUUUGAGAAGUCACAAAAAAUGCUCUUCCUGAAACCACAUACUUUGUUUUGUCCGUAUCCGCCUUUGGUGCAACCGUCCCAGCUGGACUUGAUUUCGCUACAGGAUAAAAUCAAGCUAUGUGACCGUCUUUUCCACAACUAAAACAUACCUUGGAAGACUGUGGACAGUUUGGACUUAUAUGUCCCUCUUCUCCGCAUCUGUAGCAUCUAACUGGCCGCCGUUCUCCUCCCCUAGAAUUUGUUGCUGGUGCUGGUGCUGCUGCCGACGUCUUUCCGUCAUCAUUAAAUCUUCUCUUCUUGAAAUUUUCACUUGAAUCAUUUCUUCUAUUAUCUUAGCCAUGAUUACCACCGAAGUGGUUACCAUUUCUGGCAUGAUAAUUUCCUCUACGUUUGUUGUCACCGCUUCAAUGACUUCUACCACUGGUAUUAUCGGCUUGCCGGCUGCUCUCUCUUGGUUGGGUUGACUCAUUAUCGCGCUCCAAUAACUGAGCCCUAUUUACAACAUCUGGAUACAAACACAAUUUGUGAGAAAUGAGGUAUUGACGUAUUUCGGGUCUCAAACCUCGCAGAAAUAUUCGCGUCAUUCUCUCCUCAUUAUCAACCAAAUGGGAUGCGAACCGGGAUAACUCGGCAAACUUAGCCUCGCACUGCGACAGGGUCAUAUUGUUUUGCUCCAACUUGAUAAACUUCACCUCCUUCAUGUGACGAAUACUUUCAGAAAAGUACUUGUCGUUGAACAGCUCUUGGAAGUUCUUCCAAGACAUUUUGAGUGUGGUAAGCUGAGUACGUUUUACUGAUUCCCACUAGUAAUCUGCCUUCCUUCUCAACAUGAAGGUGGCAAAGGGAACCUUUUGCUCCUCGGAGCAUCCCAAGACAUCAAAUAUCUUUGUGAUCUGCUUUAUCCACGUCUCUGCCUUUAGUGGUUCUAGCCUUCCCAAAAACUCCAGUGGUCCCAACUCCUUAAACUGCUUAAUAGUGACCAUCUGAGAGUUGCCAGUGUUUUUACCUGUAUUUUGAACAGGAGCCGCUCUCGCCUGAUGUUGUAUGAAUUGCAUAAAGCCUCUGAACAUCCCAUCAUUCAUCAUUUGAUCGGUGUUGUUGUUUACCUGAGGAUUAUUGUCUUCAUAUUACAGAUUAUCAUGGGUAUUGAUUAUUGGUGACUCAACGGUCUUCAUUGUUGAUCUCAACAUUCUCAGACGUCAUUUUCAAACACUGCCACAAAACAAGGGUUAAUUGACAUGUCACAUAUUAUCCCUAUACUCUGACCGACCAAUUAAAUACCAAAUAAACUUAGGUAGGUCAUACUAGUGAAGAAAUUCCCCAUCUCUCCCCUCUUAGUUCUUGUCUCACAUCUCAGCUAGGGAUCAUAUCCCUAAGCUUUGAUACCAACUGUGACUCGUAUCCCUUUACUUGGAUAGCACCUCACAAUGAUACCAAUCAACUUUCCACCGCAGAACGGCUUCCCCUACGGAAAUUCUGGCUUCGGUGCAUUCCAAGACUUGGAAGUCACCAGAUAAAGGCUCGGGGCUCUUUACUAUGGCUUAGAUACCAACUAUGAUGCCCCCCAAAAUAGGUAUAUAUCACCCAUCUUGGGUCGCCAAAUACAUGGUACUGAAUACAAAUACAAACUUAAUUAUACAACAUGAGCUGAGUGUUUUUACACGAAUAUUAUCUUCUAGACAAUAUCCAAAUUCAAAUGAAGUCCUCAUUACAUUUAUUGUCACACUAUUUUAUAGAAUAGUGAGGAAUACUAUAACACCAUCUCGGACCAUCACUCCGUUCCCCGACUAGUCUCAGCUACGUUCUCAUUUCCUGAAGAGAACAAUGAAAGCAAAAGGGUGAGCUCAACUAGCAGUACGAAAUAUUAUGACCAAGAUAAUGCAAAAUAAGUUAUCGUUAGCCUUCAACAAUGUUAAACUGAUAGAAUAUAAUAGACAACAAGUUUAACUGCAGCGGAACAAGUAAUCCAUUAGAAGAGUCAAGUAGAGCAUGAUAUCUACUAUCUUCUAUGAUUUAAAAAGUUUUUCAUCAACUUUAUCGCUGAGACUCAUCUUAAUAAAUAAACCACAUCAUCCAAUCAUCCCUACACCACGGCCAAGAAUAUUCAUGUAAUCAUCAAUGGUUAUGAUUAUACCGAUAAUCCCUGGUCAUAAUCAUACCAACAACUGUCCAUCAAUGUACUACAGGUCAAUGAGAACUUUUACCACAUCAUUUGUAACAUUACGGGUCAUGAUUAUACCGAAUGAUCCCUGGUCAUAAUCAUACCAAUCAACAGUCCAUCUAUGCACGUAAGCCAAAGAUGACUUUCAUCACAAUUUAAGCAUGAGGAUGAUGACAAUGAUAUAAGAAUUCAAUUAAAAGAAAUAAAGGAUAAAUUUUUAAAGAUUUAUAAUUUAAUUUAUCCAGGAUUCAAUAAUGUUUAAAUUGCCAAUAUGAUACUGCUUUGUGGAGUAAAAUUCAAGAAUGAUGUUGUAUCAAAAAUGAUUUGGACCGAAAAGGAAUUAAUUUUUGUCAUGAAUAGUACUCCGGGUGAAUAAUACUCCGUGAAUAGUACUUCAGGAAUAGUACCCCAUGAAUAGUACUUUGUGAAUAGUACUCAUAAAUAGUACUUUAUGAAUAGUACUUUAUGAACAGUACUUUAUGAAUAAUACUUUUGUGAAUAGUACCGUAUAAAUGAAUAGUACUCAUGGACAGUACUCCAGCAUGAAAAGCUUAAAAUUUAACAAGAAUGUGCAGAAAAUAUCCUUGUGAAAUGAUACUAGAUGAAUCGCAAAUUUUAAGGAUAUUCUACUAAUUUCACGGAGUAUAGAAACAAUACUUUAACAAAAUGAGGGUAUAAUCAGGAAUACGAGACGAAUUAAUAUUACUCACAUACUAUAGAUUAUGGAAAAAAAUAUUAUUCCUUAUGAAUACUGAACAAAAAUAAUAUCCCUUACCACUGUUGAACAAAAAUAAUAUUCCAACGAAUAUUGAACGAAAAUAAUAUUCCUUACGAAUAUUGAACGAAAAUAAUAUUCUUUACGAAUAUUGAACGAAAAUAAUAUUCUUUAUGAAUAUUGAACAAAAAUAAUAUUCAUACGAAUACGAAAAAUAAUAUCUCUUCUGAAUAUGAAAUAAAUAAUACCCCUUACCUCAGAAGAAGACUGGAUAUUGGAAUAGUGAAGUAGCAGACUUCUCUUCUUCUUUCUCUCUAUAGCUUCUCUCUCUAUAAUUGCUCUUGUGAGUCUUAGUGAAUUGGUGAGAAUGAAAGAAGAAUGAGCUUCUAUUUAUAAGAAAAUAUAGUUUCGAUAAUUGCACGUUUUGGGGCUCGAAAUAUUACAAUAUAAUACCUUCAUCUUUUCCUUCAUUUUUAAUUUAGUCCUGCAAGUAUUAUCUGUAAGACCCCAAAUUAUUAAUAAAUAAAAUUUAAUUUCCUCUAUUUAUUAUUUUGAAAUAGUAAGAGUUGAUUUGAUUAAUGUGGUUAGUUAUGGGUAAAAUGCGCAAAUAUUUCAAAUAAACAGGUGGUUAUAAAAUAUUCAUAUUUUGUCAGGGAAUAUUCGUACGAUGGCGCAGCCUUGUGUGGGCCCCAUAACGGAAAGUGAUUGGAUAAAGAAAAAGACAAAUAUAAGUUGUUUAUAAAUAACGGCGUAGUUGUUACCGUUAAUACUGUUGAAAUACUCGGUGGUUAAAAAACAAUAGCACACGGUAUUGCACCAAUUAUUGAUUCUUAAGUAAGAAGGCAUUACUCAAUAAUUGUUACAGUAGUUAUUGUUCAGUAUUUUAUUUAUUGAUUCAAUAAUUGAUGCAUUGAUAUUUUAUAUUAUUGUUGUUUCAAUAAUUGUCAUUACACAGUAUUUUCCAUUAUCAGACCAAUAAUUCAUAUUAUUUGAAUAAUAUUAUUAGAUAGAAAUAUUGGCAAUGUCUAGAAAGUUCUGUCUAAGGAGAGGUUAGGUCAUCUAAUUGGGCGCCAAUAAAGAGAAAUCCUUAUUGGAAAGCCCCCUCUUUCCUGGGAACUGCCUGGUUGUCAGUAUUGUGAUUCUGUAAUAUUAUUUGUGAAUAAUUAAUUAUUGAUUUAUAUGAUGAGAAAAAUAUUCAUUUUAUGUGGAUAUAGAUGGAGAAAAUUUUUAAAGUGACAAUUGUUGAAAAUUGAUAUUUUAUCUUUUCUGAUAAAAUAAUAUUUUAUUAUAUUAUUAUAAUAUAAUAAUGGUGAAAUUUUUACAAUGAAUGUGGGAUAUAUGAGUAUAUGAGGAGGAAGAGUAUUUUUGUUGUAAUAAAUGUUAAAAACAUGUUAAACAUGUCGGUGGACCCCAUUUCUUGACUGAAAUUUGAUUAUAGCCUGUAAAAUCGUCCGUUUGUGGAUUUUGGUCAAUUUCUGUUUGGAAUUUGGAAAAACGUUCUUCUGCACAGUUGUAGAUAAUGGAAUUUCCUAUGGAAAGGACAUGAGGUUUGAAUUUUUCUGAUAAAGGGGCUAUUUAUUAUGAAUUAUUGAAGUUCUGAAGUUCCGAAAUAAUUGAUUUUUGGAAGUUUUAGUUAUUUUUUUUAAGAAAAAUGUUUUUUUGUUUCAAAUGAGUGAGCUCACAUGUGUUAUAAAUGGGUUGAAUUCAGUUGGUCUAAGGUGGGCUUGAAAAUUUUUAAUUAUAUUAAUAUUUUAUUAAAUUUUCUGCUUUGGUGUUCUAAUCAUUUUCCUAUAAAUAGGGUGCUUAGGUUAGAAUUGAAAAUCACACCAGAAAUUGAAGUUUUCUCUCUCUUUCUCUCUCGAUAUAUUGAGCGUAUUCUUGUGAGUAUUUUAAUACUUUGAGUGUUGCUAUACGGUGCAAGUUCAAGUCAUAGCCUAUAUCCGGUGUUUCAACUAGAAGUAUUAUAUUCUUUCGAGGUAAGUGAUGUUAUUUUUUUAAAAAAUGAUAUUAUUUCUUCUAAUAUCAUUAUGCCAGAAUAUUGGUAAUAUUUUUUUUGUGAAGUUCUUGUCUUUUGGUGUCGGGGUUACUAUUCACGUAUACGACACUAUUCACUAAUACAACACAAUUCACAGAAAAAUUAAAUUUUUGUUUUUUGUCCAAAAUAUCGUUUAUGGAUACUAGCUUUGAUUGUAUCCAUGUUUUGAUCAUUCUUGAAUUUUACUCCACUAUGAUUAUUUAUGAGGUAUUUUUGGACAUGGAUAAACCGAAACACGAAUCCUUAAUAUUUAUUCUUUUGUUUCACUGGAUUCGUUUUCUUUAAAAUAUUUUUCAUCAUCUUCAGUCCUAAAUGAUGAUAUAAUUGAAUAUCCUUGGCCUGUAGUGAAAAGAUUAAUAAUUUUGUGAUGAAUAUCUUUGGCCCGUAGUGCAAAGACCUGUUGAGAUAAACAUGACCGACUGAUGAAUAUCUUUGGCCUGUAGUGCAAAGAUGAAAAUUUUAUUCAAGAUGAAUAUUGAUUGAUAUUAUAGGGAUAAAAUAUUGAUGAUGGACUUUUAAAUUCAUAGAUUAUAGUAGAUUUCAUUCUCUACGUAACUCUUCUAUGAAUUAUUAUUUUUCGCUGCGAAUAUUGAUCUAAAACUGGUUGUUUAUUAUAUUCACUCAGAUUUUUCCCCUUUGAAGACUAACGAUAAUUUGUUUUAUAUUAUCUUAGUCAUAAUAUUCUUUACUGGGCUAGUUGAGCUCACCCUUUUCAUUUUUGUUCCAUUUUUCUUCUAAUGAGGCGAGAAUAUAGCAAGUACUAGUCGGGGUAUGGAUUGAUGGUUCUAGAAGUUGUUUUAGUAGUCCUCACCAUUUUUGGAAAAUAAUGUAUCAAUAAUUGUAAUGAGGACUCAUUUGGGUGUGGAUAUUGUCUAGAAGACAAUAUUUGUAUUUAAACUCACAGUUUUUAUGUUGUAUUAAUAAAGUUGUAGUUGUUUCUGUACCAUGUUAUUGACGACUCAAAAUGGGUGAUGUAUACCUAUUUUGGGGGCGUCACAGUUGGUAUCAGAGCUUAGGGAUAUGAUCUCUGGCGGAGAUCGGAGAAUAGAACUAGGAGGGGAGAGACGAGUAAAUUCUUCGCUAGUGUGUCCUACCUAAGCUUAUUUGUUGGUGGGUCAUAAUAUAGGGGUAUUAUGUGAUCUGUUAAUUUGUUUAAUUAACCCUUGUUUUAUGGCAGUGUUUAAGAAUGUCGACUGAGAAUGUUAACAGUGGAGUACAUGAGACUGUGGAGACGUCUGUACUCACCAAUGAGGAGAACGUGCAACAGGCUGGCAAUGUUCCUCCUGUGAACAACACCACUGAGCAGAUGAUGAAUGACGGGAUGUUUAGAAGCUUUUUGCAGUUCAUGCAAAAUUAGUUGAGGGAGACUCGUGUUCAAAACACUGGUGGAAAUGAUAACAACGCACGGUUUAUCACAACCAAGCAGUUCAAAGAGUUGGGACCACCAGAAUUCUUGGGAAAGCCGGAUCCGAUUAAGGCAGAGACGUGGGUCAAACAAAUUACCAAGAUAUUCGAUGUCUUGGGAUGCUCAGAAGAACAGAAGGUUCCAUUCGCCACCUUUAUGUUUCUUAAUGAGGCAGAUUACUGGUGGGAAUCUGUGAAGCGUACCCAUCUUGCCGCACUUAGCAUGUCUUGGGAAACGUUUCAGAAACUGUUCAAUGACAAGUACUUUCCUGAAAGUAUUCGUCAUAUGAAGGAGGUGGAAUUUAUUAGACUGGAGCAAAACAACAUGACGGUGUCCCAGUACGAGGCGAAGUUUGCAGAGUUAUCCAGGUUUGCACCUCAUUUGGUGGAGAAUGAGGAACGUAUGACGCGGAUGUUUCUGAGAGGUUUGAAACCCGGCAUACGUCAAUAUCUCAUUUCUCAUAAAUUUUCCCUCUAUUCAGAUGUUGUCAACAUGGCUCAAUUAUUAGAGCGAGAUAACAAGUACGUUCAACCGAGGGACAACAACUAGGAUCAUACUGGUGGUAGCAGUCAUUAGAACAACGAUAACCAGCGGAGAAAGAAGAAUACGAACAAAGGCGGUAACCACUCUGGUGGUAAUCAUGACCAUGAUAAUAGAAGAAGCGAAUCGGGGGGAGAUUUUAAAAAGAGGAGAUUCAACAAUGACAAUGCGAAGACUUCAGAACCAGCAGCAACUGGUUCUAAGGGAGGAGAACGACCACCGGUCGUAUGCUAUAAGUGUGGGAAAGAAGGACAUAUCAGUCCAAACUGUCCACAACAGUUUAAGGUAUGCUAUAAUUGUGGAAAGGAAGGACAUAUCGCUCGAGAUUUUACAGUAGCGAAACCAAGUUCAGCAGGGACGGUGACUCAAAAGGCUGUCCCAAAAAAGUCAAAGUCAACGGUUCCUGGAAGAGCAUUUGUCGUAACUGGUCAAAAUGCGAGGAACCCAAACGAGGUAAUCACGGGUAAGCUAAUCAUAAAUUCUUGCGAAGUUUAUACAUUACUAGAUACCGGUGCUACCCAUUCAUUUAUCUCUCCUGCUUGAACUUAACGUUUAAAUUUGACUCCGUAGAAAUUAGACUUUGACUUAUCUGUGGAGACUCAGUUAAGAGAAACUUUCAUCACAUCCACUGUUUAUAAAUCUUUUUUGAUCCAAGUUGGCACCAUCACAUUACCAGUUGACCUUAUCUCUUUAAAGAUACUUACUUUUGAUGUGAUCUUAGGGAUUGAUUGGUUAACUACUCAUCAUGCCAAAAUUGAUUAUUUUCAUAAGGUUGUUAGUUUUCAUAUUCCUAAUCAACCUUUUGUUCGAAUUCAAAUAACUAAACCACUAAAAUCAAUCACUGUUAUAUCAAGCUAUAAAGCCAUUCGUUUAUUAAAAAAUAGAUGUCAAGCUUUCUUAGCCCAUGUUAUGGAUUUGAAUAAAGACACGUCAGAUUUGAAUAAUAUUCCUGUUGUUAAUAACUUUCCUGACGUAUUUCCUGAAGAACUUUCUGGUCUACCCCCAGAACGUGAGGUUGAAUUCUUUAUUGAUCUUGAACCUGGUACAAAGCCCAUUUCUAAAACCCCAUAUCGAAUGGCUCCUAUUGAACUUCAGGAGUUAAAGGUUCAACUACAGGAGUUGUUGGACAUCGGUUUUAUUCGUCCUAGUACAUCUCUUUGGGGUGCUCUUAUUUUAUUCGUAAAGAAGAAAGAUGGGAGUAUGCGACUUUGUAUUGACUACCAGGAGUUAAACCAUGUCACUAUCAAGAAUAGGUAUCCGCUACCUCGUAUCGAUGACCUGUUUGACCAGUUACAAGGAGCACAAUUCUUUUUAAAAAUCGAUCUUUGUUCUGGAUAACAUCAGCUGAAGAUUAGAACUGAGGAUAUUCCAAAGACUGCCUUCAAAACUCGGUAUGGGCAUUAUGAAUUCUUAGUCAUGUCUUUUGGAUUGACUAAUGCUCCUGCGGCUUUCAUGGAUAUGAUGAACCGAGUAUUCAAGGAUUAUUUGGAUCAGUUCGUUGUUGUCUUUAUUGAUGACAUCCUCAUAUAUUCUAAAAGCAGUGAAGAUCAUGAGCACCAUUUGAAGCUGGUACUCCAAAGGCUUCGUGAAAACAAGAUUUAUGCUAAGUUGAAGAAAUGCGAGUUCUGGCUUGAGGAAGUAGCAUUCCUUGGGCACGUGGUGUCAAAACAUGGAGUAUUUAUUGAUCCGGCGAAGAUUGAAGCAAUACAAAGUUGGUAGCAACCGAAGAUGGUGACUGAAGUACGCAGCUUUCUGGGCUUAGCUGGUUAUUAUCGGAGAUUCGUGGAAGGGUUUUCUCGAAUCGCUACUCCAUUAACUCAGCUAACUCGGAAGGAUACAAAAUUCGUAUGGAGCGAAGAAUGCAAGAAGAGUUUCCAAGAACUUAAGAGGAGACUCAUUUCGGCACCUGUUCUGACAAUACCAUCUGGUUCGGAUGGAUUUGUUAUCUACAGUGAUGCUUCGGACAAAGGGUUAGGGUGUGUUCUCAUGCAACAUAGGAAAGUCAUAGCCUAUGCCUCGCGACAACUUAAAGAAUAUGAGAGGAAUUAUUCUACUCAUGAUCUAGAGUUGGCAGCAGUCGUUUUCGCGCUAAAGAUCUGGAGGCAUUAUCUAUAUGGGGAGAAAGUGGAGAUAUAUUCAGACCAUAAAAGCCUCAAAUAUUUCUUCACCCAAAAGAAACUCAACAUGCGGCAACGACGUUGGCUCGAGCUAUUGAAAGACUACGACCAUACCAUUCAAUACCAUCCUGGAAAAGCGAACGUGGUAGCUGACACGUUGAGUAGAAGAUCAUAUUCGGGAGUGCGAUGUUUACAACACAAAGGCCCAUUUUGUGUGAUUUACAAAAGAUGAAGAUAGAAUUCAAGACUCCGAGGACCCAUGAAAUGAUGUCAAGUAUACGUAUAGAACCAACUUUAAUCGAAAAAGUUAAAGUUGCUCAAGCCACAGACCCGAAGCUGAUGCGGAUGAAGAAGAAAGUGCAAGAAGGUGCUAUUCCAGAAGCAAGAAUCGAUGAAGAAGGAAUACUUCGAGUCCACUCCAGACUUUAUGUUCCUAACGACUUUGUUUUGAAAUACAAGAUCAUGACGGAGGCACAUAAUACACCAUUUGCAAUCCAUCCUGGAAGUACCAAAAUAUAUCGUGAUCUUCGACAUACAUUUUGGUGGAACAAUAUGAAGAGAGAGAUUCCAAAGUUUAUCUCGAGGUGUUUAACUUGUCAACGUGUAAAGGCGGAGCAUCAAGUACCUAAGGGUCCGUUGCAACCACUUGAGAUUCUGAAAUGGAAGUGGGUACACAUUACCAUGGAUUUCGUUACGGGUCUUCCCACAGUUUCUCAAGGCAUAAAUGCUAUUUGGGUUAUUGUUGAUAGAUUAACCAAGUCUGCACAUUUCUUGCCGAUACGGGAGACUUAUUCCCUUGAACGUCUUGCUCAUAUGUAUGUAAAUGAGAUUGUGAGAUUGCAUGACAUGACAGUAUCCAUAGUUUCGGAUCGCGACCCAAGAUUCACUUCAAAAUUUUGGGUUAGCUUGCAAAAAGCUAUGGGCACGGAUUUACGAUUCAGUUCGGCAUACCAUCCUCAAACAGAUGGACAAUCAGAGAUGACUAUUCAAACUCUUGAAGAUCUAUUAAGACUCUGUGUCCUAGACUUCAAAGGAAGUUGGAAUAAGUAUUUACCAUUGGUGGAAUUCUCCUACAACAACAGUUAUCAGGCAAGUAUAGGUGUGGCCUCAUUCGAAGCAUUGUAUGGACGAAAGUGUCGCUCUCCAAUAUAUUGGGAUGAGGUGGGUGAAGCAACUUUGUUGGGACCCGAGUUGGUACGUAUGACGACGGAAAAGAUCCAAAUGAUUCGACAACGUAUACAAACGGUACAGGAUCGACAAAAGAGUUAUGCGGAUCUUCAUCGAAAGGACGUGGAAUUUAGUAUUGGGGAUCAUGUAUUGUUGCGAGUUGCUCCAUGGAAGGGAGUUACAAGAUUUGGGAAAAGAGGAAAGCUCAAUCCACGAUUUAUUGGUCCAUUUCAGAUUAUUGACCGAGUAGGAAAUGUGGCCUAUAGACUCGCGUUACCUCUAAGUAUGUCUCGUGUUCAUAAUGUUUUUCAUAUAUCUGUGCUUCGUAAAUAUGUGAAAGACCCGAACCACGUCAUUGAGUUAGAACCAGAUGAAAUAGCCGAAGACGUAACAUACGAGGAGGUACCUGUCAAGAUCUUGGAUAGGAAGGUACAUGUCCUACGCACAAAGGUCAUACCACAAGUUAAAGUUUUAUGGAGGAAACAUGCUAUUGAAGAAAUGACCUGGGAAUUAGAAACAGAAAUGAAAACGAGGUAUCCUCACCUUUUCGAAACACCAGGUAUGCACGUCAAUUUCGAGGACAAAAUUUUAUAAGGAGGGGAGGUUGUAAGACCCCAAAUUAUUAAUAAAUGAAAUUUAAUUUCCUCUAUUUAUUAUUUUGAAAUAGUAAGGGUUGAUNNNNNNNNNNNNNNNNNNNNNNNNNNNNNNNNNNNNNNNNNNNNNNNNNNNNNNNNNNNNNNNNNNNNNNNNNNNNNNNNNNNNNNNNNNNNNNNNNNNNUAUUAAAUUUUCUGCUUUGGUGUUCUAAGCAUUUUCCUAUAAAUAGGGUGCUUAGGUUAGAAUUGAAAAUCACACCAGAAACUGAAGUUUUCUCUCUCUUUCUCUCUUGAUAUAUUGAGCGUAUUCUUGUGAGUAUUUUAAUACUUUGAGUGUUGUUAUACGGUACAAGUUCAAGUCAUAGCCUAUAUCCGGUGUUUCAACUAGAAGUACUAUUCUUUCGAGGUAAGGGAUGUUAUUUUUUUUUUAAAUGAUAUUAUUUCUUCUAAUAUCAUUAUGCCGGAAUAUUGGUAAUAUUUUUUUUGUGAAAUUCUUGUCUUUUGGUGUCGAGGUUACUAUUCACGUAUACGGCACUAUUCACAGAAAAAUUAAAUUUUCAUUUUUUGUCCAAAAUAUCGUUUAUGGAUACUAGCUUUGAUUGUAUUCAUGUUUUGAUCAUUCUUGAAUUUUACUCCACUAUGAUUAUUUAUGAGGUAUUUUUGGACAUGAAUAAACCGAAACACGAAUCCUUAAUAUUUAUUCUUUUGUUUUACUAGAUUCGUUUUCUUUAAAAUAUUUUUCAUCAUCCUCAGUCCUAAAUGAUGAUAUAAUUGAAUAUAUUUGGCCUAUAGUGCAAAGAUUAAUGAUUUUAUGAUGAAUAUCUUUGGCCCGUAGUGCAAAGAUAAACAUGUGUUGAGAUGAACAUGACCGACUGAUGAAUAUCUUUGGCCUGUAGUGCAAAGAUGAAAAUUUAAUUCAAGAUGAAUAUUGAUUGAUAUUACAGGAAUAAAAUAUUGAUGAUGGACUUUUAAAUUCCUAGAUUAUAGUAGAUUUCAUUCUCUACGUAACUCUUCUAUGAAUUAUUAUUUUCCGCUGCGAAUAUUGAUCUAAAACUGGUUGUUUAUUAUAUUCACUCAGAUUUUUUCCCGUUGAAGACUAACGAUAAUUUGUUUUAUAUUAUCUUAGUCAUAAUAUUCUUUACUGGGCUAGUUGAGCUCACCCUUUUCCUUUUUAUUCCAUUUUUCUUCUCAGGAGGCGAGAAUGUAGCAAGUACUAGUCGGGGUAUGGAUUGAUGGUUCUAGAAGUUGUUUUAGUAGUCCUCACCAUUUUUGGAAAAUAAUGUAUCAAUAAUUGUAAUGAGGACUCAUUUGGGUGUGGAUAUUGUCUAGAAGACAAUAUUUGUAUUUAAACUCACAGUUUUUAUGUUGUAUUAAUAAAGUUGUAGUUGUUUCUGUACCAUGUUAUUGACGACUCAAAAUGGGUGAUGUAUACCUAUUUUGGGGGCGUCACAUUAUCAAAUUUGCACCACCUCCCUUAAUAGUACAUUAUGUGAAUCAAUAGUACAUUCAUGUGAAUUAAUAGUUCUAUACAUGUGAAAAAAAAUAGUUACAGUAUAAUACCUUCAUUUAUACCUCCAUUUUUAAUUUAGUCAUGCAAGUAUUAUCAAUCUUGCACCACCUCCCCUAAUAGUACAUGCAUGUGAAUCAACAGUACACACAUGUGAACAAAUAGUUAUAAGCAUAUGAAUUAAUAACAAUUAAUUGCUUAUUUAUCCGAUUAAUUAUCCGAUUGGUCAAUAUAACCUCCAGACAUCAAUUAUCAUCGAAAUAAAUAUCGAUUUCCACUAACACUAAUAAUCCCAACACAAUAGAACUAUCAAUUUCAUCUUUAAUCAACACAAACUUAUUCAUCAUUAAUAUUAUGACUCAUAAUAUUUAACAACCAGGUCAUUCCCAAGAAAGAGGGGGCUUUUCGAUAAGGAUUUCUCCCUAUUGGCGCACAAUUAGAUGGCCUAACCUCUCCUCAACAGAACUUUCUAGACAUUGUCAAUAUUACAAAUAAUAAUAUGAAUAACUUUGUCGUCUCAAUUAUUGAUUUAAUAAUAUAAAAUAUUAUGCAGAUGAUACUGUGACAAUAAUUAAAUCAAUAAUAUGAGAGAUAUAGAUAUUAUGCAACAAUUACUGUAAUAAUAAUUGAGUAUAACUGAGUGACUUCUCACGUAAGCAUCAAUACACUACACCAAAAAUGGCCUCUAGUGAAGGACAAAUCCUUCACUACAGGUCAUAUAUCUCUCACAAGUGAUUUAUUGUAAAGAAAUAUUUUCUUCACAUGAGUGCUCGCAUUAGACCUCCUCGCAAUUGGGUAUCCUUCGCAAAGUAGUAACUAAAUAUUUUUUGUGAAGGAUAUAUUGUGAAUAACUUAUUCCUUCACAAAUUAUAUUUAGUAAUGGAAUAUUUUUAUUUAGUGAAAGAUUGGUUUCCUUCACAAAUAAUAUUUUAAGAAGGACUAUUUGAAAUUAGUGAAUAACUUGAUUCCCUCACAAAUAAUAUAUUGUGAAGAACAAAUUUAUUUAACGAGAGAAUAUUUUCCUUCACUAAUUAUAAAUUGAGAAUCUUUUUUCAAAUUAGUGAAAGAAAAAUUCCUUUACAAAUUAUAAAUUUGUAAAUAAAAAAUUAAUUGCUAAAUAAUCAAAAUUCAUUCAAAAUUAUAAUUAAUUUUCAAAUCAAUGAUUUCAUAUUUAUUAUUAUUACUAUUAUUUUUAGUAAUUGCUAUAAUAAAUAUUAAAUUUAAUAUUUUAAGUUAAUAUAAAUAUCAUACCUAUUUCAAACAAAUUGAUAAACUAAUGCAUAAAGAGCCAAUAAUUAAAACUAAUACUCCAUAUAUAAAUAGAUAAUACUCAAGUCACGAUAAGUACAAAUUUUGUUAUUAUGUCUUUAUCUCCUAAAGAUCAUAGUACUUACAAUAUUUAAUAACUAACACAAGAAAACUGAAAGAAUAACAUCGAACUAGAUAGAAUGAAGUGUACAUCAUGUUAGGUCCACUUCAUCAUCAUUUUUUUCAAGGAAAUCAAGGUUGGACAUGUAAAUUUUCUGUUGCAAAAGAAACACCAAAAUUCAAUUUCAAUAAGAUGAGGAAUAAGAAAAAAUGAGCCUGGUGAACUUAUGCUCUAAUGUGUUGAAUGUGUACUGAUCAAUUUGUACGUUACCUGCUUCAGGAAAAGAGCUGCAGUAAUGGAACCACCCUGACGACCACCGGUGUUGACCAUAUCAACUAACUCCAGAUUCAUGGAGUCCCAACAACUUUCUUCUAAAGGCAACCUCCAAAGUUUUUCUCCAGCAACUUAAAAGGAAAUACAAACAAGUUAUGUUACACAAACUCUUCCCUUUGUCCUAAAGUACCCGUGUCCGACACUCGAUAAUUAGACAAGGACAUGGGCACGGGACACUUUACUUAAGUGUAAAAAAUUUAUAAAACUAAGGAAUACUUGUGUCAAACUCUUCAAAUACCGUAUCCAACCGAACACUCUAUCCAAGUCCGUGUAACAUAGCAAACAAGGGUUGGUAUGAUAAAAUAUUUUUCUUAUAACGGUCAAUAAAAUAUGAUACUAAACUUCAACUCAAGUUGAUUGGAUAUUAUCAAAUUUGAAGGAAUCCGUUCAUGUAAAUUGANNNNNNNNNNNNNNNNNNNNNNNNNNNNNNNNNNNNNNNNNNNNNNNNNNNNNNNNNNNNNNNNNNNNNNNNNNNNNNNNNNNNNNNNNNNNNNNNNNNNNNNNNNNNNNNNNNNNNNNNNNNNNNNNNNNNNNNNNNNNNNNNNNNNNNNNNNNNNNNNNNNNNNNNNNNNNNNNNNNNNNNNNNNNNNNNNNNNNNNNNNNNNNNNNNNNNNNNNNNNNNNNNNNNNNNNNNNNNNNNNNNNNNNNNNNNNNNNNNNNNNNNNNNNNNNNNNNNNNNNNNNNNNNNNNNNNNNNNNNNNNNNNNNNNNNNNNNNNNNNNNNNNNNNNNNNNNNNNNNNNNNNNNNNNNNNNNNNNNNNNNNNNNNNNNNNNNNNNNNNNNNNNNNAUAUAUAUAUAUAUAUAUAUAUAUAUAUAUAUAUAUAUAUAUAUAUAUAUAUAUAUAUAUAAGAAGUCAAUAUCACGAAUUCUGCCUAAAAAAGAAGGAUCAUAGCUUGUUAUUAGACAAUUAUUUCAUGUAUAGUGUGAAGCCAUCAAUAUCAAUGCAUAGUCCCAGAAAUAGUACUUUUUACUAACUGAAGGAAUUAUUGCAACAUUCCUUUGUAUUUUCUUUUAUUUUCCCAUAGCGCAAUAUAUUUAGGGGCUCCAAGCUCCAUAGAGGUUCUGCAAUUCUGCAUAUAGUGGGGACAAACUUGAAGCAUUUUCAUUCCCAAAAGAUAUUUUAGCUAGGGAACCCCAAAAAUCGAAUAUUUACAACAAAAAAAUCACAUGGAACAUCAGGUUUACAAAUUUAGAAGAAUAACUUAAGACAAAACCUUUGUGUCAAUGAUAUGUUACCUUACGUGUGGCCUGUUGUAUGUCCCCAUGCAAAGCAUGUGCUCCAGGUAAUAUCCCAGCUAGUUGAGAAGCAGAAUCUUUUGUCUUCGUGAAAAUGAUUGUACGACCCCCACUGAAACAACACAGCCCAUUAGAUAAGAAAUUGAGAGAAUUAUUAACUUUGUACAAAAUGUCAGAAGAUCAUAAUUCACAAGUUUCAAGCUCUAAAAAGAUUAACCUGCUAUAACAGCAAAUAAUGUCAGGAAUAAACUGUGCUCUGGCAGAAAAAAAAUUGGGCACCACAGCAGUAGCCUUAAUACAAAAAAGAACUGCAAACUAGUGCAUAAGUAACAUUAUUCUCUAGCCAUAGCAUCAGGCAUAGCAGUAACUAUAUUGGCAACACAGAUUCAAGUGGAAGCAGAAUGGAAUUUUCUUGCCUGUAAUAAAAGAGAUUGCACAUUUAGAAGUGAACCAAUUAAAAAACUCUCAUGGAAAAGUAAACUUAUUGCAAUAUAUGCAUAAAUUGAUAUUUCCAGACAAAAAAAUAAUCAUGAUUAAGAGAGAAGUAAACCUUAAAAAGAUCACCCAUCAAAGAAAAGUGUACUGUUGCAGCCUCUUUCCCCAAGCUGUGAACGUCAUGUCACCUAUUGUAAAAUUUUCAGUUCAAAAGAAGAUUUGAAUGUGAUAGCGUCUGCCAGCCACUACCUACUGCUGAUCAUGUCCAUUAAAUAGCAUACAUGUCACCUUUACUAGUUGAAAGAACAGUGUCUGGAGCUAUAAUGCUGCCAGAAGAACCUCCCCUCUUUGUAUGAGGAUGUGUAACCAUGCCCUCCAAGAAUCUUCCAUUCAUCUCCAAGUCAGGUUUUCCAACUAAAUUAUUUUCAAAUUGAUUUUCAUUAUGCGGAGAAGAACCCUACGAGAUUUGUUGUUCAUGGGAUGAACUCGCUAUGCUCAUGUCAUCAUUGGAUUUCUCAUAUUUAGCUCUAGAAAAUAAAAUAGGACAACUCAACCAAUAUUUUUUUUCACAACAAGGUCAGAAGAAAAAUAUCAAAUGGACAACUUCAAGAUUUUGUUUAUGCACUGACACUAAUCCUUUAUAUCCUUGUAAGUGAAUUCCAAAUAAAUGUAAUUAAAAAAUGGUAUACUACAUCUCACUAAAAGGUGAAUUAUUGACUUAGACUAACGUACAUGUUAAAAGUUCCAGUAGAGUCGGUUGAUGAAAGAGGAGCAACUUGAUUCCGUAUUAGGUUAUUUUCUUCCUGUGAAGUAUAUUAUCAGUAUGCAAAUAAAGGACUCCAAACCAUGAACACUUAUAUGCCACCAGCAAAAGAAAAUUGACAUACUAUAUCUGCAGCUUCAAAAGAUUGGCUCAGAGAAUAAUAUUGAUACUGAUGUUGCUUCUCUUGCCUAUCUGACCCAGAAAGAGAACUUGAGCCAUCUCCUAGAUCUUUGUCAGAUAUAGUAUAUGUGUUUCCGAGGAAAGGAAUAGAAGAGAAGUACUAAUUGCUAUACCAAGGGUGUUUGGGCCUUCACAUCUUCAAGGUUGAAAUUCCACCCACUAAUCCCUCGUUUAUAUUCAUUAUGCGCAAAAGUUGUAAGCACGCUAAAUAUCAUUAACUAAUAGCAUAAUAAGAACCAUCAUAUUCAUGCCCAUUGAAAAACAAUUCCACCUAAGGAAAAUCCUAGAAGCAAUGCUCAAGAAUUAAAUUAGUACAGAAAAAAAUGGUUUGCUUGGGAAAAAACCUGUAAGAUGGUUCUAUCAAGUCAUUGAAUAACUUGUCAUCUGUAGGGAAAGUAUAGCAUCACAAAACAUAGUUUUGUAAUGAUCCAUAAUUGAAUAAGAUAUCUUAGGAAAGCAUGAUAGUAGAAAAGAGUUUCAUAUCAUGAUAUCAAGCAUAUAAGUAACAUAAAACUGCUUUUGUUCUUAAUUCUCGAAGAUAUGAUAUUGCAGCUCUGCAUGAAUUAUAGCAUAUUUUAAAAGUUGUAAUCUCCCUGGCAAUAUUUAGUAUAAGGUUAAUCAAUAUAAGGUUUUUACUUACUUACCAUAUUUGACCAAAUCAAGUGUCAAGAGGGUCUUCAUGCCUCUAGAAACCAUAUCCAACAACUUAAAUCUCAUCAUAAUUUUACCAACCCUCUUUUUAUAUGCUGCUUUUAUAACAUACUUUACUUCAAACAAAUGAAGUACCAAUUUUCAACAUGCUGGUGUACACAGAAGAUCACAUUACUCUAGAAUAAAGGCAACCCAAGAGCAGAGUCAAACUGUGAGACCCCAGAUUUUAUGAAAAAAUAUUUAAUUUUCUCGAAAUAAUUUUUUAAAUAUUAUGGUGUGGAUUUGAUAUAAUGUUAUAGUUGUGGGUAGUAUUUAUAAAUUUUGCAAAGUAUGCAACUUGUCAUAUUAUAUUCGUUUGGUCGGGGAAUAUUCUUUUUGUCGAGAAUAUCCGUACGACGACACAAUCAUUGGUGAACCCAUAACGGAAGUACUGUUGUAGUUAGAAAACAACAAAAAUAUUUUAUGAAAAUAACGGCGGAGGUUUUACCGUUAAAACUGUUGAACUACCCGGUAGUAAAAGUAUAGUAAUACGCGUGGUUGCAUAGUAGCACACGGUAUUAAUUAUUGAUGCUUACGUGAUAAGUCACUCAGUUAUACUCCAUUAUUGCUACAGUAAUUGCUGCAUCAUAUCUCUCAUAUUAUUGAUCGAUUAUUGUCACAGUAUCAUGUGCAUAAUAUGUUAUAUUAUUAAAUCAAUAAUUGAGACGACAAAGUUAUUCAUAUUAUUAAAUUGCAAUAUUUACAAUGUCUAGAAGUUCUGUCAAUGAGAGGUUUGGUCAUCUAAUUGCGCGCCAAUAAGGAGAAAUCCUUAUCGGAAAGCCCCCUCUUUCCUGGGAACGACCUGGUUGUUAAAUAUUGUGAGUUAUGAUAUUAAUGAUGAAUAAGUUCGUGUUGAUUAAAGAUGAAUUUGAUAGUUCCAUUGUGUUGGGAUUAUUAGUGUUAGUGNNNNNNNNNNNNNNNNNNNNNNNNNNNNNNNNNNNNNNNNNNNNNNNNNNNNNNNNNNNNNNNNNNNNNNNNNNNNNNNNNNNNNNNNNNNNNNNNNNNNNNNNNNNNNNNNNNNNNNNNNNNNNNNNNNNNNNNNNNNNNNNNNNNNNNNNNNNNNNNNNNNNNNNNNNNNNNNNNNNNNNNNNNNNNNNNNNNNNNNNNNNNNNNNNNNNNNNNNNNNNNNNNNNNNNNNNNNNNNNNNNNNNNNNNNNNNNNNNNNNNNNNNNNNNNNNNNNNNNNNNNNNNNNNNNNNNNNNNNNNNNNNNNNNNNNNNNNNNNNNNNNNNNNNNNNNNNNNNNNNNNNNNNNNNNNNNNNNNNNNNNNNNNNNNNNNNNNNNNNNNNNNNNNNNNNNNNNNNNNNNNNNNNNNNNNNNNNNNNNNNNNNNNNNNUACUAUUCAUGAGUUACUAUUUAUGAGUUACUAUUCACGAGUUACUAUUCAUGAGUUACUAUUCAUAAGUACUAUUCAUGGGAUACUAUUCACCCGAACAAUAUAUUUAUUUUCGGUCCAAAUCAUUUUUGGGUACAAUAUUAUUCCAUGAGGAAAUGUGCUAAUUUUUCAUACCGUUGGUUGAAAUUAUAAUAGUAAAUCAAUAUGGAUCGUUGAUUUAAAGUUUUAAUAGUAACUUGCCCUUUCAGUUUUCCAAUAGUUACUUGUCUCUUCGGUGUUGUAAGGGUUAAUUUCCCCUUCGUAAAUAGUAGUUGUUUCUUCAAUAUUACCAAGAGUUAUUUGCCUCUUCGGUGUUCCAAGAGUUAAUUGCCCCUUCGCAAAUAGUAGUUGUCACUUCAAUAUUACCAAGAGUCAUUUUGACCCUUCGUUAAGACCAAGAGCCACUCUCAGUUUUUCUAUAAAUAGAAGCUCAUUCCUUCAUUAUUUCUUACGAGUUCACUAAAACUCUUGAGAGAGAAACUAUAGAGAGAAAGAAGAAAAGUAUUCUGCUACUUCACUACUCCAGUAUCCAACUUCUUUCUAAGGUAAGGGAUAUUAUUUGUUAUACCUGUAAGGGGUAUUAUUUCUUUCUUAUUCAUAAAGAGAACUUCUGUUAUUCCAUUCUUUAUUAUUCUGUUGGAAUAACCUGUAUACGUGGAAUACCCUAUACUUGGUGAAAUCCUUCUGUUAUUCCAUUCUUUAUUAUUAUGUUGGAAUAACAUGUUUAUGCGAAGUACUGCAUACAUGGUGAAGUUCUUCUAUUAUUCCAUUCUAUAUUAUUAUGUUGGAAUAACCUGUCUAUGCGAAGUACCGCAUACAUGGUAAAAUUCUUCUAUUAUUCCAUUCUAUAUUAUUAUGUUGGAAUAACCAGUUUAUGCGAAGUACCACAUACAUGGUGAAAUUCUUCUAUUAUUCCAUUCUUUAUUAUUCUGUCGGAAUAUCCUGUCGGUGCGAAUUUCGCCUGACUUGGUUCCAUUUAUUAUUCUGUUGGAAUAAUCUGUAUACGUGGAUUACCGUAUACCUGGUGAUUUCUGUUGUUAUUUCAUUCUUUAUUAUUCUGUUGGAAUAACCUGUAUAUGCGGAUUACCGUAUACCUGGUGAUUUCUGUUGUUAUUCCAUUCUUUAUUAUUCUGUCGGAAUAUCCUGUCUGUACGUUUACGCCGAACCUGGUUCCAUUAUUUAUUAUUCUGUUGAGAAUAACCUGUCGGUGCGAUCUAUCGCAUGCAUGGUGAUUUCUUCUGUUAUUCCAUUCUUUAUUAUUCUGUUGGAAUAACAUGUCUAUGUGGAUUACCACAUGCAUGGUGAAUGAUCCUUUGUAUUCAUUCCUUAUUAAAUUAUGGAAAUGAUCUAUAUACGUGGAUUACCGCAUGGCGGACGAAAAUCCAUUUGCAGUUUCAUAUAUUCUCUUAUAUUCAGUUCGUUAAAUCUUUGACUUCUAUACUCCGUGAAAUUAGUGGAAUAUCCUUGAUAUUUGCGCUUCAUCCAGUAUCUUUUCAUGGAAAUAUUCUUCUGAGCAUUCUUGAAUUUUACUCUAUAAAGAAGUAUUCCGUUGACAAUUUGGACAUUAUUGAGUUCAGGAUAAAUUAACUUAUAAAUCUUUAGAAUUUGUUCUUGAACUUGUUUUAUUGAAUUAUUAUGUCAUUGUCAUGAUGAGUUAUGUUGGUUAUUAUGUGAAAACAUGAAAGUUUUUUAGAAAUCACAAAGGGUUGAAAAAUCAGAUUUUGGUGAAAAUGGAACAUGAAAUUCAAUUGACCAUAUCUCCUAUUAUAUUUCGAGUUUUGGUCAAGUUCUAGAGUUAGUUCUAUGAAUUUUGUAACUUAUCCAAGUGGAAUCACUGGAAAAGAUGUUGUAGAUUUUCAUGUGGACAGAUUUUAGCAAAGGAGUCAAAAGCUAUAAAAAACCAAAAAGUUGCUGUCCAAAAUUUUGCAAGGGCUGUUUCGGCCACUUAAUUUGUGAGAAAAUUUCUGACCUUUUGGGACAUGAAAGUAUGUGGUAUAAAGUACCUCCUGUCCAAAAAUGAGCUCAUUCCGACUUAAAAUGAGCAAGUUAUGACCAUUUCAAUAUUUAGAUUUUUCCGACGAAAAACGCUAUAACCGGAGUUCUAUAACUCCGAUGACUAUGAAAUUUAAACUGGAAGCUCAUGUUAACCUGUGUAAGAUCCUGCCAAGAUUUGGGUAUUUCUGGAUUUAACCUUGAGGUAGCUAAUUUCUUAAGAAAUUAAUUAGAAAUUGAUUUUUGAAAAAUAGUAAAUGAAUUUUAAAAAUGUCGAGAAAAAUAUAUGUUCAAUAUGGGACUAUAUUAUGCUUAAUCCCAGAAAAGAAUAAUUUUUGAGACUGAUUAGGUAUUUUUCAUAAAAAUAGUUUAGUUACGAACAUGUGAGUUAAAUAUGUUAUGUAGAGUUGAAGAAUUGGUAAAUAGGAUUUUAGGGCUUGAAAAUCCUAAAUAAGAUAUAUGCAUAUUUUUGAUGAGUGAUUUGAUCAUUAGUGAUGAAAUCUUAUGAGUAUAGCAUUUUUGAAUGAUUAAAUGCAUUAUUUGGUAAAGUGUAAAUAAUUAGAAUAAAUUGUUCAUAAGUUUAAGAAGUGAUUAAAUUAUUGUUGUUAUAUUAACAAUAUUAGAUUAUAAUUUUAUUAAGUGAUUGAUAAUGUUUGGAUAAAUUUAAAGUCUUUAAUAUUUAUCCUUGAUUUAGUUUGAUUAUUGCUUAUGAUGUUGUCAUCAUCCUCAUAAUUAUAUUAUUUUGAAAGUCAUCUGUGGCCUAUAGUGCAUAGAUGGACAUGGUAUGAUUAUGACCGGGGAUUAUUCAGUAUAAUCAUGACGGUAAUGUUACAAAUGAUGUGGUAAAAGUCCUCAUUGGCCCGUAGUGCAUUGAUCGACAGUUUUUGGUAUAAUUAUGGCUAUGGAUUCUCUUCGGCCAAGGUUGCAAAGAUGAAUUAUUUUAUAACAUGAUCAGGACCGUUGAUAAAAACACGAUUAUCUUUGGCCCGUAGUGCAUGGAUAAUUUGUGGUUGUGAUACUAAUGAAAAAGUCCUCAUUGGCUCGUAGUGCAUUGAUGGACAGUUUUUGGUAUGAUUAUGGCUAUGGAUUCUCUUCGGCCAAGGAUGCAAAGAUGAAUUAUUUUAUGGCAUGAUCAAGACCGUUGAUGAAAACACUAUUAUCUUUGGCUUGUAGUGCAUGGAUAAUUCGUGGUCGUGAUACUAAAGAAUAACAUUGGCCUGUAGUGCAGGGAUGAUUUGAUGAUGUGAAUUAUUUAUUGAGCUGAGUCUCAGCGAUUAAAGUGAUGAAAAACCUUUUAAAUCAUAGAAGAUAGUAUAUUUUAUUCUGUAUUUGACUUUUCUAAUGGAUUACUUGUUCCGCUGCAGUUAAACUUGAUGUUUGUUAUAUUGUAUCAGUUUAACACUGUUGAAGGCUAACGAUAAUUUAUUUUGCAUUAUCUUAGUCAUAAUAUUUCUUACUGGGCUAGUUGAGCUCACCCUUUCUUUCAUUGUUCUCUUCAGGAAAUGAGAAUGUAGCUGGGACUAGUCCGGAAACAAAGUGAUGGUCCUAGAUGGUGCAUUAGUAGUCUUCACUAUUAUGUGAAAUAGUGUAAUAAUAAAUGCAAUGAGGGCGCCAUUGGGUGUGGAUAUUGUCUAGAAGGCAAUAUUUUUGUAUAAACUCCCAGCUUAUGUUUUGUCGUAUUAUACACGACAGUUGUAUUAUUAAGUUGUAUUUGAAUUUAUGUACCAUAUAUCUGGCGACUCAAGAUGGGUGAUGUAUACCUAAUUUUGGGGGCGUCACAGUUGGUAUCAAAGCUUAGGGAUAUGAUCCCUAGCUAAGAUGUGAGACAAGAACUAGGAGGGGAGAGACGGGGAAUUCCUUUGCUAGUAUGACCUACCUAAGUUUAUUUGGUAUUUAAUUGGUCGGUCAGAGUAUAGGGAUAAUAUGUGAUAUGUUAAUUAACACUUAUUUUGAAACUAUGUUCUAGAAUGAUAUUUGAAAUAUAGGAGAUGAGAAAUGGGAAAAUCAUGAUAAAACGGAAUUAACUAGGAUGGUACAAUCUGAAAAGAAGUCAAAAGUUGUAAAUUGGGAUUUUCCUGUACAAUCAUGAUAGAACGGAAUUAACUGGGAUUUUCGUGUGGACUGAUUUUAGCAAAGGAGUCAAAAGUUGUAAAUUACAAAAAUGCUACUGCCCAUAUUUUUAAAAGGGCUGUUUUGGCCACUUAAUUUAUAAGAAAAAUUCUGGCCUUUUGGGACAUGAAAGUAUAUGGUAUAAAGUACCUCCUGUCCAAAAAUGAGCUCAUUUCGACUUAAAAUGAGCAAGUUAUGACCAUUUCAAUAUUUAGGUUUUUCCAACGAAAAACGCUAUAGCGGGAGUUCUAUAACUCCGAUGACCAUGAAAUUUAAACUGGAAGCUCACGUUAACAUGUGUAAGAUCCUGCCAAGAUUUGGGAAUUUUUGGAGUUAACCUUGAGGUAGCUAAUUUCUUAAGGAAUUAAUUAGAAAUUGAUUUUUAAAAAAUAGUAAAUGAAUUUUAAAAAUUCUGAGAAAAAUAUAUGUUCAUUAUGGGACUAUAUUAUGCUUAAUUCCAGAAAAGAAUAAUUUUUGGGACUAAUUUGGUAUUUUUCAUAAAAAUAGUUUAGUUACGAACAUAUGAGUUAAAUAUGUUAUGUGAAGUUCAAGAAUUGGUAAAUAGGAUUUUAGGGCUUGAAAAUCCUAUAUAAGGUAUAUGUAGAUUUUUGAUGAGUUAUUUGAUCAUUGGUGAUGAAAUCUUAUGAAUAUGACAUUUUUGAAUGAUUAAAUGCAUUAUUUGGUAAAGUGUAAACAAUUAGAUUAAAUUGUUUAUAAGUUUAAGAAGUGAUUAAAAUAUUGUUAUUGCGACGACCCCAAAAUUAGGUAUACAUCACCCAUCUUGAGUCGUCAGAUACAUGGUACAUAAAUUCAAAUACAACUUAAUAAUACAACUGUCGUGUAUAAUACGACAAAACAUAAGCUGGGAGUUUAUACAAAAAUAUUGCCUUCUAGACAAUAUCCACACCCAAUGGCGCCUUCAUUGCAUUUAUUAUUACACUAUUUCACAGAAUAGUGACGAAUACUAAUACACCAUCUAGGACCAUCACUCUGUUCCCCGACUAGUCCCAGCUACAUUCUCAUUUCCUGAAGAGAACAAUGAAAGAAAGGGUAAGCUCAACUAGCCCAAUAAGAAAUAUUAUGACUAAGAUAAUGCAGAAUAAAUUAUCGUUAGCCUUCAACAGUGUUAAACUGAUACAAUAUAACAAACAUCAAGUUUAAUUGCAGCGGAACAAGCAAUCCAUUAGAAGAGUCAAAUAUGGAAUAAAAUCUACUAUCUUCUAUGAUUUAAAAGGUUUUUCAUCACUUUAAUCGCUGAGACUCAGCUCAAUAAAUAAUCCACAUCAUCAAAUCAUCCCUGCACUAUAGGCCAAGGAUAUUCUUUAGUAUCACGACCACGAAUUAUCCAUGCACUACGAGCCAAAGAUAAUAGUGUUUUCAUCAACGGUCUUGAUCAUACUAUAAAAUUAUUCAUCUUUUCACCCUUGGCCGAAGAGAAUCCAUAGCCAUAAUCAUACUAAAAAUUGUCCAUCAAUGCACUAUGGGCCAAUGAGGACAUUUUCAUUAGUAUCACAACCACAAAUUAUCCAUGCACUAUGGGCCAAAGAUAAUCGUGUUUUUAUCAACGGUCCUGAUCAUGUUAUAAAAUAAUUCAUCUUUGCAACCUUGGCCGAAGAGAAUCCAUAGCCAUAAUUAUACCAAAAACUGUCGAUCAAUACACUACGGGCCAAUGAGGACUUUUACCACAUCAUUUGUAACAUUACGGUCAUGAUUAUACCGAAUAAUCCCUGGUCAUAACCAUACCAUGUCCAUCUAUGCACUACAGGCCACAGAUGACUUUCAACAUAAUAUAAUUAUGAGGAUGAUGACAACAUUAUAAGCAAUAAUCAAACUAAAUCAAGGAUAAAUAUUAAAGACUUUAAAUUUAUCCAAACAUUAUCAAUCACUUAAUAAAAUUAUAAUCUAAUAUUGUUAAUAUUACAACAAUAUUUUAAUCACUUCUUAAACUUAUGAAUAAUUUAUUCUAAUUGUUUACACUUUACCAAAUAAUGCAUUUAAUCAUUCAAAAAUGCCAUACUCAUAAAAUUUUAUCACCAAUGAUCAAAUCACUCAUCAAAAAUAUGCAUAUACCUUAUUUAGGAUUUUCAAGCCCUAAAAUCCUAUUUACCAAUUCUUCAACUCUACAUAACAUAUUUAACUUAUAUGUUCGUAACAAAACUAUUUUUAUGAAAAAUACCAAAUCAGUCCCAAAAAUUAUUCUUUUCUGAGAUUAAGCAUAAUAUAGUCCCAUAUUGAACAUAUAUUUUUCUCGACAUUUUUAAAAUUCAUUUACUAUUUUUCAAAAAUCAAUUUCUAAUUAAUUUCUUAAGAAAUUAGCUACCUCAAGGUUAAAUCCAGAAAUUCCCAAAUCUUGGCAGGAUCUUACACAUGUUAACGUGAGCUUCCAGUUUAAAUUUCAUAGUCAUCGGAGUUAUAGAACUCCCGUUAUAGCGUUUUUCGUUGGAAAAACCUAAAUGUUGAAAUGGUCAUAACUUGCUCAUUUUAAGUCGGAAUGAGCUCAUUUUUGGACAGGAGGUACUUUAUACCAUAUACUUUCAUGUCCCAAAAGGCCAGAAUUUUUCUCACAAAUUAAGUGGUCGAAACAUCCCUUUUAAAAAUAUGGGCAGUAGCAUUUUUGUAAUUUACAACUUUUGACUCAUUUGCUAAAAUCAGUCCACACGAAAAUCUAUAACACCUUUUACAGUGAUUCCACUUGGAUAAGUUAAUAAACUCAUAGAUCUAACUCUAGAACUUGACCUCACUCAAAAAUUUAAAAUAUACUAGGAGAUAUGGUCAAUUGAAUUUUAUGUUCUAUUUUCACCAAAAUCUAAUUUUUCAACCCUUUGUGAUUUCUAAGAAACUUUCAUGUUUUACAUAAUAACCAACAUAACUCAUCAUAACACUUAUUAAUACCAUAUAUACCCAUGAUUUUCAUCAGUCCAAUACUUUUAUUAUGACUUUCAUCAUAAUCCAUGUAAACAAAUCAUUUCCACAAUUUAAUAAGGAAUGAAAUACAAAGGAUCAUUCACCAUGCAUGUGGUAAUCCACAUAGACAGGUUAUUCCAACAGAAUAAUAAAGAAUAGAAUAACAGAAGGAUUUACCAUGCAUGCGAUAGAGACCGCACAGACAGGUUAUUCCCAACAGAAUAAUAAAGACGGAACCAGGUCCGGCGUAAAACGCACAGACAGGAUAUUCCAACAGAAUAAUAAAGAAUGAAAUAAAAAUAGAAAUCACCAUGCAUGCGAUAGACCGCAGAGACAGGUUAUUCCAACAGAAUAAUUAAUGGAACCAGGUCAGGCAUAAUACGCACCGACAUCAUAUUCCGACAGAAUAAUAAAGAACGGAAUAAUAGAAGAAUUUCACCAUGUAUGCGGUACUUCGCAUAAACAGGUUAUUCCAACAUAAUAAUAAAGAAUGGAAUAACAGAAGAAUUUCACCAAGUAUAGGGUAGUCCACGUAUACAGGUUAUUCCAACAGAAUAAUAAAGAAUGGAAUAACAGAAGUUCUCUUCAUGAAUACGAAAGAAAUAAUACCCCUUACGAGUACAACAAAUAAUAUCCCUUACCUUUGAAAGAAGAGUAUUCCGACUGGUAGGGCGAGGAUAUACUCGAAGAAAACUUGUACUACGCUCAAAGCUUUCUUAAACUCUAAAGAAAUACGCUCAAGAUUAUAGAAGAAGAAUUCUCUCUAUAGUUUCUCUCUCUAGAGUUUCAGUGAAUUCGUAAGAAAUAAUGAAUGAAUGAGCUUCUAUUUAUAGAAGAAUGGACUGCAUAGUAACUAAUUCAUGAACGGUCCAGAUUGAUUUACUUUAAUCGGACGGUCCAGAUUUAAAGAAAAAUCUUUACAAUAAAAUAUAAUAUAUUCUAUUUAUAAUCUAAUAAAAUGAAUAACUUUAUAAAAGUAUUAUGUUUUAUAUAAAAAGAUUUUACUAUCCAAAACACUAUACAGGCACUAUGCAAACACUAUGCAUAAUAAAAUAUAAUAUAAUCUAAUUAUUGUCUAAUAAAAUGAAUAACUUUAUAAAAGUAUUCUGUUUUAUAUAAAAAGAUUUUAUUAUUAGCCUAAUAAAAUGAAUAACUUUAUAAAAGUAUUCUGUUUUAUGUAAAAAGCUUUUCUGUUUUAUUACACUAAUAAAACAAAACUGAGUGACUUAUCAUAUAAACAUUAAUAAUCAAUUCCGUUGCGGGAUCCACCAAUGAUUGUGUCGUCGUACGAAUAUUCCCCGACAAAAAUAAUAUUCCCCGACCAAUCGAACAACUUGCAUACUUUGAAAAUUUAUAAAUAUUACCCACAACUAUUAUAUCAAAUCCACACCAUAAUAUUUAAAAAAAAAAUUUAUUUUGAGAAAAUUAAAUAUUUAUUCAUAAAAUCCGGGGACUCACAAUCUCUCCUCCUUAUGGAAUUUCGCACUUGAAAUUUACGUACGUACCUGAUAUUCGAAGAGAUGACCUUGCUUUCUUUUCGGAUUGUACCAUCCCAGUUAAUUCCGUUCCAUCAUAAUUUUCCCAUUUCUCAUCUCCUAUAUUUCAAAUAUCAUUCUAGAACAUAGUUUCAAAAUAAGGGUUAAUUAACAUAUCACAUAUUAUCCCUAUACUCUGACCGACCAAUUAAAUACCAAAUAAACUUAGGUAGGUCAUACUAGCGAAGGAAUUCCCCGUCUCUCCCCUCCUAGUUCUUGUCUCACAUCUUAGCUAGGGAUCAUAUCCCUAAGCUUUGAUAGCAACUGUGACGCCCCCAAAAUUAGGUAUACAUCACUCAUCUUGAGUCGCCAGAUAUAUGGUACAUAAAUUCAAAUACAACUUCAUAAUACAACUGUCGUGUAUAAUACGACAAAACAUAAGCUGGGAGUUUAUACAAAAAUAUUGCCUUAUAGACAAUAUUCACACCCAAUGGCGCCCUCAUUGCAUUUAUUAUUACACUAUUUCACAGAAUAGUGAGGACUACUAAUGCACCAUCUAGGACCAUCACUCUGUUUCCAGACUAGUCCCAGCUACAUUCUCAUUUUCUGAAGAGAACAAUGAAAGAAAGAGUGAGCUCAACUAGCCCAGUAAGAAAUAUCAUGACUAAGAUAAUGCAGAAUAAAUUAUCGUUAGCCUUCAACAGUGUUAAACUGAUACAAUAUAACAAACAUCAAGUUUAACUGCAGCGGAACAAGUAAUCCAUUAGAAGAGUCAAAUAUAGAAUAAAAUAUACUAUCUUCUAUGAUUUAAAAGGUUUUUCAUCACUUUAAUCGCUGAGACUCAGCUCAAUAAAUAAUCCACAUCAUCAAAUCAUCCCUGCACUACAGGCCAAGGAUAUUCUUUAGUAUCACGACCACGAAUUAUCCAUGCACUACGGGCCAAAGAUAAUCGUGUUUUCAUCAACAGUCUCAUGCCAUAAAACAAUUCAUCUUUGCACCAUUGGCCGAAGAGAAUCCAUAGCCAUAAUCAUACCAAAAAUUGUCCAUCAAUGCACUACGGGACAAUGAGGACUUUUUCAUUAGUAUCACAACCACAAAUUAUCCAUGCACUACGGGCCAAAGAUAAUCGUGAUUUUAUCAAUGGUCCUGAUCAUGUUAUAAAAUAAUUCAUCUUUGCAACCUUGGCCGAAGAGAAUCCAUAGCCAUAAUUAUACCAAAAACUGUCGAUUAAUGCACUACGGGCCAAUGAGGACUUUUACCACAUCAUUUGUAACAUUACGGUCAUAAUUAUACCGAAUAAUCCCUGGUCAUAAUCAUACCAUGUCCAUCUAUACACUAAAUGCCACAAAUGACUUUCAACAUAAUAUAAUUAUGAGGAUGAUGACAACAUUAUAAACAAUAAUCAAACUAAAUCAAGGAUAAAUAUUAAAGACUUUAAAUUUAUCCAAACAUUAUCAAUCACUUAAUAAAAUCAUAAUCUAAUAUUGUUAAUAUUACAACAAUAUUUUAAUCACUUCUUAAAUUUAUGAAUAAUUUAUUCCAAUUGUUUAUACUUUACUAAAUAAUGCAUUUAAUCAUUCAAAAAUGCCAUACUCAUAAGAUUUCAUCACCAAUGAUCAAACCACUCAUCAAAAAUAUGCAUAUACCUUAUUUAGGAUUUUCAAGCCCUAAAAUCCUAUUUACCAAUUCUUCAACUCCACAUAACAUAUUUAACUCAUAUGUUCGUAACUAAACUAUUUUUAUGAAAAAUACCAAAUCAGUCCCAAAAAUUAUUCUUUUCUGGGCUUAAGCAUAAUAUAGUCCCAUAUUGAACAUAUAUUUUUCUCGACAUUUUUAAAAUUCAUUUACUAUUUUUCAAAAAUCAAUUUCUAUUUAAUUCCUUAAGAAAUUAGCUACUUCAAGGUUAACUCCAGAAAUUUCUAAAUCUUGGCAAGAUCUUACACAUGUUAACAUGAGCUUCCAGUUUAAAUUUCAUGGUCAUCGGAGUAAUAGAACUCCGGUUAUAGCGUUUUUCGUCAGAAAAACCUAAAUAUUAAAAUGGUCAUUACUUGCUCAUUUUAAGUCGGAAUGAGCUCAUUUUUGGACAGGAGGUACUUUAUACCAUAUACGUUCAUGUCCCAAAAGGCUAGAAUUUUUCUCAAAAAUUAAGUGGCCGAAAUAGCCCUUUUAAAAAUAUGGGCAGUAGCAUUUUUGUAAUUUACAACUUUUGACUCCUUUGCUAAAAUCAGUCCACACGAAAAUUUACAACACCUUUUACAGUGAUUCCACUUGGAUAAGUUAAUAAACUCAUAGAUAUAACUCUUGAACUUAACCUCACUCAAAAAUUCAAAAUAUAUUAGUAGAUAUGGUCAAUUGAAUUUCGUGUUCCAUUUUCACCAAAAUCUGAUUUUUCAACCCUUUGUGAUUUCUAAGAAACUUUCAUGUUUUCACAUAAUAACCAACAUAACUCAUCAUAACACUUACUAAUACCACAUAUACCCAUGAUUUUUAUCAGUCCAAUGCUUUUAUUAUGACUUUCAUCAUAAUCCACGUAAACAGAUCAUUUCCACAAUUUAAUAAGGAAUGAAAUACAAAGGAUCAUUCACCAUGCAUGUGGUAAUUCACAUAGACAAGAUAUUCCAAUAGAAUAAUAAAGAAUGGAAUAAAAGAAGGUUUCACCAAGCAUGCGAUAGAGACCGCACAUACAGGUUAUUCCCAACAGAAUAAUAAAGACGGAACCAGGUCUGGCGUAAAACACACAUACAGGAUAUUCCAACAGAAUAAUGAAGACGGAACCAGGUCCGGCGUAAAACGUACAGACAGGAUAUUCCAACAGAAUAAUAAAGAAUUGAAUAACAACAGAAAUCACCAUGCAUGCGAUAGACCGCACAGACAGGUUAUUCUAACAGAAUAAUUAAUGGAACCAGGUCAGACGUAAUACGCACCGACAGGAUAUUCCGACAGAAUAAUAAAGAACGAAAUAAUAGAAGAAUUUUACCAUGUAUGCGGUACUUCGCAUAAACAGGUUAUUCCAACAUAAUAAUAAAGAAUGGAAUAACAGAAGUUCUCUUCAUGAAUACAAAAGAAUAAUACCCCUUACGAGUACAACAAAUAAUAUCCCUUACCUUUGAAAGAAGAGUAUCCCGACUGGUAUGGCGAGGAUAUACUCGAAGAAAACUUGUACUACGCUUAAAGCUUUCUUAAACUCUAAAGAAAUACGCUCAAGAUUAUAGAAGAAGAAUUCUCUCUAUAGUUUCUCUCUCUAGAGUUCAGUAAAUUCGUAAGAAAUAAUGAAUGAAUGAGCUUCUAUUUAUAGAAGAAUGGACUGCAUAGUAACUAAUUCAUGAACGGUCCAGGUUGAUUUACUUUAAUCGGAUGGUCCAGAUUUAAAGGAAAAUCUUUUAAAUAAAAUAUAAUAUAUUCUAUUUAUAAUCUAAUAAAACGAAUAACUUUAUAAAAGUAUUCUGUUUUAUAUAAAAAGAUUUUACUAUUAGCCUAAUAAAACGAAUAACUUUAUAAAAGUAUUCUGUUUUAUAUAAAAAGUUUUUCUGUUUUAUUACACUAAUAAUACUAAUAAAACAAAACUGAGUGACUUAUCACAUAAGCAUUAAUAAUCAAUACCGUGUGCUACUAUGCAACCGCGCGUAUUACUGUACUUUUAACACCGAGUGUUUCAACAGUUAACGGUACAACUUCCGCCGUUAUUUUCAUAAAAAUAUUUUUUUGUUUUCUCAAUCCGAUAAUAAUUCCGUUGCAGGGUCCACCAAUGAUGUGCCAUCGUACGAAUAUUCCCCGACCAAUCGAACAACUUGCAUACUUUGAAAAUUUAUAAAUAUUACCCACAACUAUUAUAUCAAAUCCACACCAUAAUAUUCAAAAAAAAAAAAAUUAUUUUGAGAAAAUUAAAUAUUUAUUCAUAAAAUCUAGGGUCUCACAGUUAUAAUAUUAACAAUAUUAGAUUAUGAGUUUAUUAAGUGAUUGAUAAUAUUUUGAUAAAUUUAAAGUCUUUAAUAUUUAUCCUUGUUUUCGUUUGAUUAAUGCUUAUAUCAUUGUCAUCACUCUCAUGUUUAUAUUGUGAUUAAAGUCAUCUUUGGCGUACGUGCAUAGAUGAACUUGGUAUGAUUGUGACUAGGGAUUAUUCGGUAUAGUCAUGACCGUAAUGUGACGAAUGAUGUGGUAAAAGUCCUCAUUGGCCUAUAAUGCAUUGAUGGACAGUUUUUGGUAUGAUUAUGACCAGGGAUUGUUCGGUAUAGUCAUGACCAUUGAUGAUUUAAUGAAUAUCCUUGGCCCGUAGUACAAGGAUGAUUAGAUGAUGUGAUUUAUUUAUUAAGCUGAGUCUCAGCGAUAACAAUAAAAAAAACUGAUGAAAAUAUUUUAAAACCAUAGAAGAUAGUAGAUUUUAUUCCUUACUUGACUCUUCUAAUGGAUUGCUUAUUCCGCUGCAGUUAAACUUGAUGUCUAUUGUAUUUUAUCAGUUUAACAUUGUUGAAGACUAAUGAUAAUUUAUUCUGCAUUAUCUUAGUCAUAAUAUUUCUUACUGGGCUAGUUGAGCUCAUCCUUUCUUUCACAGUUCUCUUCAGGAAAUGAGAAUAUAGCUGGGACGAGUCAGGGAACGGAGUGACAAUCUAGAUGAUAGCAUUAGUAGUCCUCCCUAUGGCAUGACAUGCAAUAUAUAAUUGUAAUUAGGACUCAAUUGAGAGUGGAUAUUGUCUAGAAGGCAAUAUUAUUGUUUAAACUCCCAGUUUAUCUUUUGUCGUAUUUUACACGACAGUUGUAUAAUUAAGAUGUAUUUGAAUUUAUGUACCAUGUUGACUCAAGAUGGGUGAUAAAUACCUAUUUUUGGGGGCGUCACACAAACAUUCGGGAAUUCACAAAUUACAAGUUAAUCAAUAUAAGAUUUUUAAUCAAAAAAUACAAAUUUUUUUACCCAAUGUUAUACAAACAUUUGCGAUUUUCUAACAAAAAACACAAAAUCUAAGUCAAAUCUCUCUUAAUUGCAAAGAGGUAAUUAGCAACUAAAAAUUAAGUAAAAAUAUAACUCAAUAACAGCUAAUAGUGGAAUCCGUGACUUGGAAUGGCCAAGUUAAAUACACUUAAACUCAAACACACCAUUCAUUGCAAUGAAUUCACAAGAUUCACAAAUUAGAAGAAAUAAAUGAAUUAAAGUAACAAUUCCAUAAACCCCAAUUGCUAUAAUAGGCGAGAGAGCUAGAGAGGCAAGAUGUAGAUUAAUAGAUUAUCAUUACCAAUUGGAAGAGCCGAAGAUGAGACUGGAAAUUAAUAAAAUUACCCAAAAAAACCUGUAGUCUGAAGAUUAGAGGAACAAUAUUUGUUCCUACAAUUAAAAAUAAUUAAGAAUAUUUAGAAAUGAACUGUUUGUUUUGUUGUGACUUACAAUCCGACCGGAACUGUCGAGAUGAGAAGCGAUAGUCCGAUGCCUAGGGUUUUGCGAUUCGAGAAAUUGUGGCCAAUCCGAGUCAUCAGCGCCGCGUCCGCUGGCGUCGCCACCCCACCUGCCAUGAAGUGCACCACCGAAAACCUCCCCAGCUGCUUUUUCUGCAUCACCAAAUCAUAUGGAGCUGCGAUUUUCUUGGCGAACGUAAAAACCUCAUCGUCGUCCAUGUUCCUCAACACCCUAAUAUCCCCCAUUACAGACCGAACAUGGGGAACAGAUUAUAACUUUAACUUUAUUUAAUUAUGAUUAUAAUAAAUUAUGAUUAUAAAAAUAAACUUUUAUGGAGAAAUUUUAAAGUUUAACAUAGUGUAAAGUUAUUUACUUCAUAGUUUAUUAAAAUAAAUAGUUGAUAUUGUAAGUUACUUAAAAAGUGUUAUUAAAAUUAAAUUUACUAUUGUAAAAAAUUUAAGGUAUUUAUAUUCACCACAAUUAAUUCAAAAAAAAUAUUUAGAACAAGAUAGUGACCAAUUUUAUUCCUCGUAAAAAACUUCUGAAUAAUGAUAUAUAGUGAAUAAUAAUUCAUUCACUAAAUAGAUUUUUUCCUCGCAAAUUUUCAUCAUAAAUUGGCUCCAAAAAUCUUUCCAUCGCCCCAAUUUUGCGAGGAAAAAAUAAUAAAUUGUGAAGGAUGUUUCUUUCGCUAAUAACUAUAUUGUCACUAUACUUUUUUCCGUCACUGUUCCUUCGCUAAACAACUCCUCAUGUGAAGGAAUAAAUUCCUUCACAAAAUUUCCUUCGCUAUAGGCCAUUUUUGGUGUAGUGAUAAUCAAUACCGUGUGCUACUAUGCAACCACACGUAUUACUGUACUUUUACUACUGGGUAGGUCAACAGUUUAACAGUAACACUUUCGCCAUUAUUUUUUUAAAAAAGAUAUUUCUGUCAUUUUUUAACUACGAAAAUACUUCUGUUGUGGGGUUCACUAAUGAUUGUGUCGUCUUACAGAUAUUCCCCAAUAAAAAAUAUUCCCCGACCAAACGAGCUUACUUUGCAAAAUUUUCACAUAUCACCCUUAACUUUAACCUUUUAUCAAUUUAACCAUUUACUAAAUAAAAUAAUAAUUAUAAGAAAAUUGAAUACUUUCAUUUCAUAAAAUUCGGGGUCUUACAAUUUCAUUUCAGAUUUUGAAUUUUAAACUCAUUUUAUUAAAUUUUUGGCUUCUAUACUCCAUGAAAUUAGUAGAAUAUCCUUAAAAUUUGUGUUUCGUCCAGUAUAUUUUCAUGAAAAAUAUUAUUCUGAACAUUCUUGAUAAGUUUUAACUUUUUCAUGCCGGAGUACUAUUCACUCGGGUACUAUUCACCCAAAUUACUAUUCACGAGGUACUAUUCACUCGGGUACUAUUCACCCGGGGUACUAUUCAUGACAAAAAUUGAUUUCUUUUCGGUCCAAAUCAUUUUUGAUACAAUAUUAUUCUUGAAUUUUACUCCACAAAGCAGUAUCAUGUUGAUAAUUUGGACAUUAUUGAAUUCUAGAUAAAUUAAAUUAUAAAAUUUUAAAAAUGUAUCCUUUAUUAUCUUUUAAUUGAAUUCUUAUAUUAUUGUCAUCAUCUUCAUGCUUAUAUUGUGAUGAAAGUCAUCUUUGGCUUACGUGCAUAGAUGGACUAUUGAUUGGUAUGAUUAUGACCAGGGAUUAUUCGGUAUAAUCAUGACCGUAAUGUUACAAAUGAUGUGGUAAAAGUCCUCAUUGGCCCGUAGUGCAUUGAUGGACAGUUCUUGACAUGAUCAUAACCAUUGGUGAAAACACGAAUAUCCUUGGCCCGUAGUGCAUAGAUAAUUCAUGGUCGUGAUACUAAUAAAUAUCCUUGGCCGUAGUGCAUUGAUGAUUCGAUGAUGUGGAUUAUUUAUUAAGCUGAGUCUCAACGAUAAAAUUGAUGAUAAACGUUUUAAAUCAUAGAAGAUAGCAGAUAUCAUGCUCUACUUGACUCUUCUAAUGGAUUGAUUAUUUCGUUGCAGUUAAACUUGUUGUCUAUUAUAUUCUAUCAGUUUAACACUGCAGUUAAACUUCUAAUGGAUUGUGUUCAUAAUGUUUUUCACGUAUCGAUGUUACGUAAAUAUGUGGACGACCAGAUCCAUAUUAUUGAAUUAGAACCAGACGAGAUAACAGAAGAUUUAACGUAUGAGGAGAUACCUGUUAAAAUCUUGGAUAAGAAGGAAUAUAUUCUACGCCCAAAGGUUAUACCUCAAGAGUUAGAAUCUGAUCAAAUGAAAUCAAUGUAUCCUCACCUCUUCGGCAUACCAGGUACGUACGUAAAUUUUGAGGUCAAAAUUUCAUCAAGAGGGGAGAUUGUAAGACCCCGAAUUUUAUGAAAUGAAAGUAUUCAAUUUUCUUAUAAUUAUUAUUCUAUUUAGUAAAUGGUUAAAUUGAUAGAAAGGUUAAAGUUAAGGGGGAUAUGUGAAAAUUUUGCAAAGUAAGCAAGUUGUUAUAAAAUAUUCGAUUGGUCAGGGAAUAUUCGUACGACGGCACAAUCAUUGGUGGAUCCCACAACGAAAGUAUUGUCGGAAUUAGAAAAUAACAGAAAUAUCUUUUUCUAAAAAUAACGACGAAAGUGUUACCGUUAAACUGUUAAAAUAACUGAUGGUAAAAGUACAGUAAUACGCAUGGUUGGUAGCACAUUGUAUUGUACAGUAUCUUUGAUUAUUGAUGCUUACGUGAGAAUACUCAAUUAUUUCUACAGUAAUUGCUGCAUAAUAUCUCUCAUAUUAUUGAUUCAAUCAUUGUCACAAUAUCAUCUAUAUAGUAUUUUAUAUUAUUAAAUCAAUAAUUGAGACGACAAAGUUAUUCAUAUUAUUAUUUGUAUUAUUGACGAUGUCUAGAAAGUUCUGUCGAGGAAAGGGGUUUGGUCACCUAAUUACACGCCAAUAGAGAGAAAUCCUUAUCGGAAAGCCCCCUCUUUCCUGGGAAUGAUCUGGUUGUUAAAUAUUGUGAGUUAUAAUAUUAAUGAUGAAUAAUUUCGUGUUGAUUAAAGAUGAAAUUGAUAUUUCUAUUGUGUUGGGAUUAUUAGUGUUGGUAGAAAUCAACAAUUAUUUUGAUAAUAAUUGAUUUCUGGAGGUUAAAUUGACCAAUCGGGUAAUUAAUCUGAUAAAUGAGCAAUUAAUUGCUAUUAGUUCACAUGCAUAUAACUAUUUGUUCACAUGAAUUGAGCUAUUGAUUCACAUGCAUGUACUAUUAGGAAGGUGGUGCAAGUUUGAUAAUACUUGUAGGACUAAAUUAAAAAUGGAGGAAAAGGUGAAGGUACUAUACUGUAAUAAUUCAAGCCCCAAAAUGUGCAAUUAUCGAAAUUAUGUUUUCCUAUAAAUAGAAGCUCAUUCUUCUUUCAUUCUCAUCAAUUCACUAAAACUCACAAGAGCAAUUAUAGAGAGAGAAGCUAUAGAGAGAAAGAAGAAGAGUAUUAUGCUACUUCACUAUUCCAAUAUCCAGUCUUCUUCUAAGGUAAAGGAUAUUAUUUUUGUUCAGUAUUCGUAAGAAAUAAUAUUUUUUUUCAUACUCUAUAGUAUGUAAGUAAUAUUAUUUCGUUUCAAAUUCUGAAUUCUACACUCAAUUUGUUAAAGUUUUGGCUUCUAUACUCCAUAAAAUUAGUAGAAUAUCCUUAAAAUUUGCGUUUCAUCCAAUAUCUUUUUAUGGAAAUAUUAUUCUGAACAUUCUUAAUAAGUUUUAACCUUUUCAUGCCAGAGUACUAUUCAUGGGGUAUUAUUCUUGAAUUACUAUUCGUGGGAUACUAUUCACUCGGGGUACUAUUCAUGACAAAAAUUAAUUUCUUUUCGGUCCAAAUCAUUUUUAGUACAAAAUUAUUCUUGAAUUUUACUCCACAAAGCAGUCUCAUGUUGACAAUUUGGAUAUUAUUAAAUUCUAGAUAAAUUAAAUUAUAAAUCUUUAAAAAUUUAUCCUUUGCCUUCUUUUAAUUGAAUUUUUAUAUCAUUGUCAUCAUCUUUAUGCUUAUAUUGUAAUGAAAGUCAUCUUUGGCUUACGUGCAUAGAUGGACUGUUGAUUGGUAUGAUUAUGACCAGGGAUUAUUCGGUAUAAUCAUGACCGUAAUGUUAUAAAUGAUGUGGUAAAAGUUCUCAUUGUCCGGUAGUGCAUUGAUGGACAGUUGUUGGCAUGAUCAUGACCAUUGGUGAAAACACGAAUAUCCUUGGCCCGUAGUGCAUGGAUAAUUCGUGGUCGUGAUACUAAUGAAUAUCCUUGGCUCGUAGUGCAGGGAUGAUGUGGAUUAUUUAUUAAGUUGAGUCUCAGCGAUAAAAUUGUUGAUAAACUUUUAAAUCAUAGAAGAUAGUAGAUAUCAUGCUCUACUUGACUCUUCUAAUGGAUUGCUUAUUCCGCUGUAGUUAAACUUGAUGUUUAUUAUAUUUAAUCAAUUUAACACUGUUGAAGGCUAACGAUAAUUUAUUCUGCAUUAUCUUAGUCAUAAUAUUUCUUACUGGGCUAGUUGAGCUCACCCUUUUGCUUUCAUUGGUCUCUUCAGGAAAUGAGAACGUAGCCGGGACUAGUCGGGGAACGGAGUGACGGUCCAAGAUGGUGGCUAUAGUAGUCCUCACUAUUCUAUAAAAUAGUGUAAUAAUAAAUGUAAUGAGGGCUCCAUUGAGUUUGAAUACUAUCUAGAAGACAAUAUUCGUGUAAAAACUCUCAGCUAUGCUUUUGGUCGUAUUGUAUAAUUAAGUUGAAUUUAAAUUUUGUACCAUGUAUUUGACGACUCAGAAUGAGUGAUGUAUACCUAUUUUGGGGGCGUCACAUAUAAUGAAUAUAUAUAUAUAUAUAUAUAUAUAUAUAUAUAUUAAGCAAAGGUACGUAAUUAAAAAGAAAGCUUAUAACCUAAUAUUAUAUAUAUUAGGAAUGAGAACUAAAUAACCCAAGGGUUAUAGUAAUUGAUAAAUGCUAGUAUUUAAAAAUUUAUACUAGUAUACUAACCCCAAGAGAUUUAUUUUAUACAUCUCAAUUAAUUAAUUUAUAUAACUUAAUUAAAGCAAGUCUAAUUGGGUUAUAAAAUUAAAGGUACAUGAGUAAUUAUUUAAAUUCCAAAUGUGAUGCCCCCAAAAUAGGUAUACAUCACUCAUCUUGAGUCGCCAAAUACAUGGUAUAAAAUACAAAUAAAAACUUAAUUAUAUAACUAUCGUGUAAAAUACGAAAAAAUAAUUGUUAUGAGUUUUAAUACAAAUAUUGUCAUCUAGACAAUAUCCAUACUCAAUGGAGUCCUCAUUACAUUUAUUGUCACACUAUUUAACAGAAUAGUGAGGACUACCUAAUGCUAUCAUCUGAAUCGUCACUUCGUUCCCCGACUAGUUCCGGCUACGUUCUCAUUUCCUGAAGAGAACAGUGAAAGAAAGGGUGAGCUCAACUAGCCCAGUAAAAAAUAUUAUGACUAAGAUAAUGCAGAAUAAAUUAUCAUUAGUAUUUAACAGUGUUAAACUGAUACAAUAUAACAAACAUCAAGUUUAUCUAUAGCAGAACAAGCAAUCCAUUAAAAGAGUCAAGUAGAGAAUAAAAGCUACUAUCUUUUAUGAUUUAAAAGGUUUUUCAUCACUUUUAUCGCUGGGACUCAGCUUAAUAUAUAAUCCACAUCAUCCCUGCACUACGGCCAAUGAUAUUCAUUAGUAUCACAACCGCAAAUUAUCCAUACACUACAGGCCAAGGAUAUUCAUUAGUAUCGCAACCACAAAUUAUCCAUGCACUACGGGCCAAGGAUAUUCGUGUAUUCAUCAAUGGUCAUGAUCAUGCCAACAACUGUCCAUCAACGCACUACGGGCCAAUGAGGACUUUUACCACAUCAUUUGUAACAUUACGGUCAUGAUUAUACCGAAUAAUCCCUGGUCAUAAUCAUACCAAGUCCAUCUAUGCACUACAGGCUACAGAUGACUUUCAACAUAAUAAAAACAUGAGGAUGAUGACAAUGAUAUAAGAAUUCAAUAAAACAAGUUCAAGAAUUAAUUUAUCCAGGAACCAAUAACGUCCAAAAUGUCAACAUGAUACUUCUUUGUGUGGUAAAAUUCAAGAAUGCUCAGAAGAAUAUUUCCAUGAAAAGAUACUGGAUGAAGCGUAAAUAUCAAGGAUAUUCCACUAAUUUCAUGGAGUAUAAAAACCAAAACUUUAACCAACUGAGUAUAAUAAAGAAUGGAAUAACAAAAGAAAUCACCAGGCAUGCGAUAGACCGCACAGACGGGUUAUUCCAACAAAAUAAUAAAUAACGGAACCAGGUUAUGCGUAAACGCACAGACAGGAUAUUCCAACAUAAUAAUAAGUAAUUGAACCAGGUCAUGCGUAAAGCACAGACAGGAUGUUCCAACAGAAUGAUAAAUAAUGGAACCAGGUCAUGCGUAAAGCACAGACAGGAUGUUCCAACAGAAUGAUAAAUAAUGGAACCAGGUCAUGCGUAAAGCACAGACAGGAUGUUCCAACAGAAUGAGAAAGAAUGGAAUAAUAGAAUAAUUUCACCAUAUAUGCAGUAAUUCACAUAGACAGGUUAUUCCAACAUAAUAAUAAAGAAUGGAAUAACAGAAGAAUUUCACCAAGUAUAUGGUAGUCCGUGUAUACAGGUUAUUCCAACAGAAUAAUAAAGAAUGGAAUAACAAAAGUUAUCUUCAUGAAUACAAAAGAAAUAAUACCCAUUACCUUUGAAAGAAGAGUAAUGGAUAUAGGAGUAGUGAAGUAGCAGAAUACUUUUCUUCUUUCUCUCUAUAGUUUCUCUCUCUAGAGUUUCAGUGAAUUCGUAAAAAAUAAUAAAGGAAUGAGCUUCUAUUUAUAGAAGAAUGGACUGAAUAGUAACUAAUUCAUGAACGGUUCAGAUUGAUUUACUUUUAAAUGGACGGUCCAGAUUUAAAACAAAAUCUUUUAAAUAAAAUAUUAUAUAUUCUAUUUAUAAUCUAAUAAAACGAAUAACUUUAUAAAAGUAUUCUGUUUUAUAUAAAAAGAUUUUACUAUGCAAAACACUAUGCAGGCACUAUGCAACUCUAUGCAUAAUAAAAUAUAAUAUAUUCUAUUUAUAGUCUAAUAAAAUGAAUAACUUUAUAAAAGUAUUCUGUUUUAUAUAAAAAACUUUUCUGUUUUAUUACAUUAAUAAUACUAAUAAAACAAAACUUAUCAUCAUUAUUAUAAUUCACAAUAUUAAUCGACCAGAUUGUUCCCAAGAAAGAGGGGGCUUCCCAAUAAGGAUUUCUCCCUAUUGGCGCGCAAUUAGGUGACCAAACCUCUCCUUGGCAGAACUUCUAGACAUCGUUAAUAUUGCAAAUAAUAAUAUUAAUAACUUUGUCAUCUCAAUUAUUGAUUUAAUAAUAUAUAAAAUAUCGACAAUAAUUGAAUCAAAUAACGUGAGAUACUAUGCAACAAUUACUAUAGCAAUAAUUGAACAAAACUGAGUGACUUCUCACGUAAGCAUCAAUACCGUGCUACUAUGCAACCACGCGUAUUACUGUACUUUUAACACCGGGUGUUUCAACAGUUAACGGUAAAACUUCCGCCGUUAUUUUUAUAAAAAGAUAUUUUUGUCGUUUUCUUAAUCCGAUAAUAAUUUCGUUGCGGGGUCCACCAAUGAUUGUGCCGUUGUAUGAAUAUUCCCUAUUAAAACGAAUAUUCCCCGACCAAUCGAAUAUUAUAUAACAACUUGCAUACUUUGAAAAUUUUAUAAAUAUUACUCACAAUUAUAACAUUAUAUCAAAUUCAUUCUAUAAUAUUCACAAAUGAUAUUCAUAGAAAAAUCAUCUUUAUUCAUAAAAGUUGGGGUCUUACACCAAAUGAGUGGGAUAAAAACUCUAAAUAAAUAAUUAGGAUAAGAUAAAAAUUAAGGCAUUGGACCAUGUCAAUUUAUAUAGCCCAAACAAUUUAUUAGUACGCCCAAACAUUAAAUUAAGUGGCCCAAAUUUUUAGCCCAAUUAUUUAGGGUCAUUUUGGUCAUUUCAAGUAGCUAAUUAAGCCAUAAAAAUAAAUCAAAACUUGGGCAAAAUAAGUCUUGAGAAUCUAGCCAAAGAAGGGAUAAAGGAGCAUGUGGGUUAAUUUUUAUUUUGUCAAAAAUGUUACUAACUUCCACCAUGCAACUCCCCAUAUGUGUCAAGCUAAGAAUUAAACACCCACUUUUCACUAGUAUUGCAAGCAACUUUGAGAUGAUGAGUGAGAGAGAGAAGAUUGUUGGGAGAUAGCAUUAGAUAUACAUAAUAUUUUUACAUAUUUACUAAUACACAAAAUCAUUUUCUAAUUUCUCUUUCAUCUUUCAUUCUAAACUAGCUAUCAAAGCAAAACAAGAAAGAGAGAGGGAGAGCAUAGAUUCGAUAACCUCAAGGAGGUAAAGGGGAAGAGUUUUAAUCUUCAUGCACCCUAAGUUCAUCAAUUACUUUGGUAAAAGAAGAAGAACAUCCCAAAGAACAACGUAAAGACCCUAAAAAAUUUCAAGUUUUGUUACUUUCUUUUGAUAAGUUUUGAUGAAAUAAAGAGCUUGUGUUCUUGAACUUUAAAACACUUGAUCUACAUGUGUAUGAUUGUUUCACAUGUAGAUCUAGUUAUUUUUGAAGAUAAAAGUUUUAAAAAAAGAGAAAAAAAGAAGAAGAAAUGAAAGUAUAUUCAAAAAGGGCUAAAAACCCUAAACUAACUAUUUUUUUAUUUAGUUUUUUUUUUUGAUGAAAUGUAAAGAUGAUGUUUCUAAGUUCUAAAAUUUUUGAUCUUUAUGUUUUAUAGUGUUUCAUAUAAAGAUCUAACCAUUUUUUAUGUUAAAGGUUUGAUCAAAGGUAAGGAAAGGAAACUAGUUUUUUUUUAAGGAAUAAAAACCCUAAAACUUUUUAUUCACUUUGAAAUGCUACCAUUUAAAAUCUACACCUCAUAUUUAUGAUUCGUCAAAGAUGGGUGCUAGAUAUGGGAGUUAGCUUUCAAACCUAAGUGGUAGCACUCAAAUAUGUUGAAUUUACAAGCUUUGGUAACUAUUUUAACAAAGUUGUCCAGAUUUUUAAAAGAGAAAAAUGGAAUUAUUUUGAGCAGUUUUCUGGCAGGGGCAGUUUCGUCCAAAUUUUUUGUUCUAAAAAUUCUGAAAAACUUUGGGGUGAUAAUAUGAUGAGGUAACUGACUCCAGUAAAAAGAUGGAGAUUUUUGGAUGUGUAGAACUCAAGAUAUGAAUGUUACGAAAUGACUAUAUUUUAAAUUAAAACAUGAAUAACUCUUUAUGGGUAACUCCAAAAAUUGUAAAAGUUUUAUUGGAAGUAGAUGUAUAUAUAUCAGUGAGUAACCUGGAAAAUUUAAGAAGUUUUGGACAAAAGGAUGAUUUAUGAUAAUUGUUGCAAUUUCGGAUUGUUUUUAACAAUUUAAAAAUAGUAAAUAAAAUAUAAAAUUCCAGAUAAAUUAUAUGUUCAUAAGGGAACCAUUCUGUUAGUUUCUAGCUAGAAAAGUAGAAUUUUCGGAUCUGUUUUAGUAUUAUUUAUGUAAUUGUUUGAGUUGUGGUUUAAUGGAUAAAUUAAGUUAUGUAAUGUUAAAAAUUGUGAAAAAGAUAAUUGUAGGGCUUAAAGACCCUUAAUAUGGUAUAUGCAGAUUUUUGGAGGGUACUUUGGUCAUUUUUUGUGCAAUAUUAUAUUUAUCGCAUUUUAGGAUUAUUAAAUAAAUGAAUUUGUAAAGGGUAAACAAUUAAAAUAAAUUGAUUAAUUAUUUAAUAAAUGAUUAAAAAAAUAUUAAGAUAUUAUUAAUGUAAUUAAUAAUAUUAGAUUAAAAUUUGAAUUAAAAUAUUAUUAAAUAAUUAAUAAUAUUAGAUUAAAAUAUUAUUAAAGGAUUAAUAAUAUUCGAAAUUAAUUAAAAUAUUAUUAAGAGAUUAAUAAUAGAUAAGGAUUAAAAUAUUAUUAAGAGAUUAAUAAUAUUAGAUGAUGAAUAAAAUAUUAUUAAAUGAUUAAAUAUUAGAAGAUGAUUAAAAUAUUAGUAAUUAAUUAAUAAUAUUAGUAAGUGGGUAAAGUAUUAUUAGUUGAAUAAUAUUACUAAGAAGUAAAUAAAAUAUUAUAGAGAGUAAUAAUAUUAAAUGAGUAAUUAAGAUGAUGUUUAUAUUAUCAAGAAGUGAUAAUAUUACUAAAGAUUUAAUGUAAUGUCUAAUAUUUAAUUGUAUGAUUAAAUAUUAGAUAAUGUAUUAUAAAUAAUGUUAUGAGUAAAUAUAUGUUAUGCUAAUUGAAGGAUCCAUGUUAGGUCUUUCAAAAGAGGAUAAUUUAAAUUGCUUAAGCGGAUAGUAGAAUUACGUAGCAAUAGACCGCGAUUGAGGCAACUUCUCUAACUCAAACUUGAAUUAUUAUUUUCAAAUCAUGAUAGUGGAUAAUUAUUGUUGAUUACUCCACAUCCUUAAUGAUUAUUGUUAAUCGCAUUUUGUGCAAUUGAAUUCCUGUUCUAUUAUUAUUGAACUGUGAAUUAGUUAAAGUUCUUUCAUUCUUGAACUAUUUAUGAGAUAGAUCUAUGCUAGUUGUAUUAGCUAGAUCGAAUAUGUUAAAUUUGAUAAAUCAAAUAUCUAUUAAAAGUUAUUCUUAAUCAAUUGAUUUGGUAAGGACUCAAGACUAAGAAAAAGAACAAAUUUAUUAAAGCAUUAUAUUAGAAAACAAUUGUGCUCGAUUAUUUAAGUUUUUAUGCAUAAUACAUCGGGUAUAAAAGGCUGAUCCCCUUAAUUACCAAAACUUAUUAAAAAGACUCGUUUAAAUAUUGACAACCUUAGUAUAUGUUCAUGGUUAUUUCAAACCACUCUGCAUCUAUUAUACAAUUAUUCGAAUAUUCAAUUAUUGAAACUUAAUUCAUGUUCUUUCACAAUCGAUUCUAUUGUUGAACAUUGAAAGUUAAAUUCCUUUCUAAUCAUGAUAUAUGUCCUUUGUAUCUAAACUUGCUAAGCAAAUUAGUUGCUUACUCUUGCUAUAUCAUGACAUUUAUUUCAACUAAGCCCGAAGGAUCAAAUAAGAAAGAAAGUCCAAGAAUAAUUUAAUAUGAAUGUUAAUUAUUAUAUUACCUGAUGGAAUUAUUUAUGUAAACCUUUUGUAAUAUUAAAGGUGUGUUUAAGUUAAGGUUAAGAAGACCUUGGGAUAUUGUUGUAAAACUUUAUUAUAAUAAACAAUAUAUGUUUAUUAUUUCGCAAUAGUUAUAGAAUGCUUAUGAUGUUGAUGGAUCGUGAACACUGAAUUCGAGGUUAGAGAAUUAGGAUUUGGGGGCGUCACAAUAUCUCUGAAUGUAUCUGAAUUGUAUAUGAAUGUAUCUGAAUUGUAUGUUCUCCAAAAUUCUAGUACCCAUAUUUAUAGGACAUAGGAAAAUCCAUAACCAAAUAGGAUUAGAAAUACUAAAUUGAGUAUAGGUAGAAAAGAUAAAUUUUCUAAACCAAAAUGGAUUCUAGGUAAUACCUAAAUCCAAAUCCAAUAAGGAUUCAUAUUAUAAUCAACAAUAUUAUAUGCAUAUGUAUAAAUAAGGUACUAAUGUAUAAAAAUGGAGAGUAAUAACAGAUUUUAUAAGUCAUUCGAGAUCAAUUGGAAUUUAUUCAGAUUUAUCUUGUGAAUCUAAUGCAAUUGGUAAUUAAUCUUAUAUUGCUAUAAAUUAUAAUUGUUAAAUAAUUUAUAACUUAUUAUUUUUGUCUAAUUAGAUCGAAUGAAGGGAGUCUAACGAGUUAAAGAUGAAAUAAUAUUUUUACUAAUUUACUUACAUUUAUUAUGAUUUUGUUUAAUUAGCUUGGACAAAAGAAAUUUAAAGAGUUUUAUUUGGAAUAUAAAUUUUGGAGUAUUAAUAAUUGAUCUAAGGCGAUGAUUAAAAGGCAUAUUGAAUAGAUUACGAAUUAUUUUAGAAUUAUUAGUUUGGAUUAUUUUUAAUUUGAGUGAAUAUGUUUAGGUGAUGAAUAAUAUUUCACAUUGAUAUAUGUCGUUAGCAUUUCAGGGUAAGAUUUUGUGGAGUGUGCUAUAAGUGGUUUGAAAGUAUCAGGUAUGGAUUUCGUAUUCCUUCAGUGAUCAUCCUUUUAAUUUUGAUUUGUUCGUUUUUCUCUUCGUUUAGAAGUUAGUUAUUGUUUCACCUGAUUGUUCAUUUUCAUAUUCAUGUGAUAAUUUUGUCUUGACAUUGAUACUUAGAACUCAUAUUUGUACUCUUUGAACUUUAUUUGAUUUGUAUCAUUCUUUGUAUAUUUUUGUUCACAUUCGGGAGUUAUUUUGAUCAUUGAUAUCUUGUAUCAAUUAAGAAUGUUGGUAUUUGAUAAUUCGAUGUCAUUUGAAGAUGGUCAUUUAAGCCUUGUGAUUUGAACCCUUUUGGCUUACAUUUUGUAGUUUGAUCCUUAGGGUAUACUUGAGCUAACUAACUAUAGGGGGUACUACAAGUAUGUCCUCUUGACACAAGGGCAUGACACCUUCCGUGGCGGUGUGAUCAGUCUAUGAUGUAUCCUUUUGUUUUGUAUGUUGCUUUGGAUGUGAGCUUUGACCAUUUGAUAUAUUUGUUCAGGAUAUAUGGGUCGACCCAAUAUUUGAUAUGAUUUGGUUUGUUUGGCGGAUUAGUGACAUAUGUGUCGUGCGUACUAUCCAAUUUAAUUUGCAUACAUCAUGAUACUGAUGUAUUUUGUUAGCCUUUGGCUAUUUGUAUUUGAGAUCAGUAUGAAAUUAUUACCUUAUAACCAUUUGAUUCGACCUUAUUUUGUUUGAAAUUCUUUUGAAUAUGGUUGUUAGUUUGACAAUGUUAAUCAUUUGUACCAAUCUCACCAAUUUCGUUAUAUUUAUAUUUGGUUCGUAGUCUGUAUUUGUUCAUUCAUUCAAUUCUUUUGGUACACACACACACACACAAUAUAUAUAUAUAUAUAUAUAUAUAUACUGGGCAAUUGGCGUUAUUUUCUUUCUCCGGCAGGUAAGCAGGGGUGAUCAGUAUUUGUGGGAUCAGAGCUACCUUUGAUCAAAAUAAUUAGACUAGUUUGAGAUUAUUAUUAGACAUGGAUAUUUUUAAUAUAUUUUUUAGAUGGAUGUUUGAGCUAUUUUGAGGUUUAUUAGAACUUUGUAUAUUUUUUUAUGUUUGUGCGUGACUUCUUUUUUUUUUUUUGGGAAGGGGGUGUUAUACCCAAUCUUUUAUUAUAAUGGGACAUUUAAUGAAAGAGUUAUCAUUUAAAGCCCAAUAAUUUAAUAGUAAAUGAAAGGCCCAAACUUCGGGCAAACAUCUUCGGGUCACACCCACCCCACGAGCCUCAUCAUUACGGUCUAAUUAAUGCGCCACUCUCGGGAAUGUGCACGAAGACAAAAAGUCAGGCCCCCCUUUAAAACCCUUCACCCCUAAAUACUAACUGCCACAUUUCAGAUCUAAAAUUUUCAAAAUCAUCGUGCUCUUUCCCUUUGCAAGCUCCCUCCCUUACUGCAACCUCUAGAACAACCACAACCACAUUUGUAAAUAGCUCCAUCUCCUUUGCUUCUAUCCUCACCAACUCCACCACCGUUGUUCCUAACUCCAUCUCCAGCGAUCUCAUUCCUGUCGAUAUCCCACAAGCAACUAACACCAUCACCAAAACCCCAGCUACUUCAUCAUCGUCGUAAUCUCCCGCACCACCACUAGCCCCUGUCGAACUCACCGAAAUAAGUAUCUGAAUAUAUUCAUCCGACAAAGCUUACACCUAUAUAAACACCCACACUCUACCGUUCAGAGCUACCAAAUAGAAAUAAUCUGAAAGCAACUUCAAAUUCCAAACAAAUACGACCUUCGAGCUCCCAACCUAUCCGAAAGGAUGUAUUAGUGGCCAAAAAGAGCUAGAAUGGGUCGUCAUCCCCCUUUGGGCCCUAACAUACGACAUUCAAUUUCCUCUACAUGAAUUCAUUACUUCAUUCCUUGGAUUCAUAGGGAUCGAGUUCGCACAAUUGUUGCCGAACUCGUACAUCCAUCUAAUCAGCUUCAUAGCUUUCUGCUAAGAAUAUAAGAUUUCCCCAGGAUUGGAUUUCUUCUUUGUCCUAUUCAGUGUCGACCGAUCAAGGAGCUUAGCCUCCACCAACUGAACCUCCGACUAGGAAAAUCUACUUACAUAAAGACCCCCUCCAACAACAAAGGGUGACCCUGCCAAUGGAUAUACACCAAAGGUAUCGAUCUCUCUCUUCUGCCAAAUUGGGCCAUCCCCGAAGACCCUAUCACCAAAUUUACUCGUUUCCUAAAGAAUAGGGUAGACGACUUCCGAACAUUCUACACUAAGAUGAAGACAAUUGAUUGGCCCGUCGAAAGUCUGUCCAACCCCGCUUGGCUCUACGAACACGACUGAAAUCCCAAUUCAACCCCUUCAUUUCUUUAAUUCAUGAAAAAAUGAUACAUUAAGUCAUCUCGUAAGUAUAUUACAUUCAUGUAACAUUAUGCUUUAAGUCAUUACAUAUAUUACAUUUAUAUAUUUAAUUAAGUUACUCAUUUCCUUCACACAAAAUACAUAUUUUAAUUCACUAUUUUAAUUAAAUAAAUUAAUUACUUCAUUUAUGAAAUUUUAAUUCAUAACAACACCCUCGCCAUUCAAGGCUUAUUAUUCAAAUUAUAUUUUUUAUAAUAUACUCUUUAACUUUAAUCUCAAUUAAUUAAUAUUAAUUGAUUUUCUUUACUUGCAUCCUUCAUUUCGUAAUUAGCUUAAUCUAAUUAACAUAAUAAUUUAAUCAAAUAUUAAAUCUUACUUUCCACACUAACGCAUAUAUUUCACUCUUAUAUAUACAUAUUAAAUCCACCACAUAAUCACGUUAAUAUAUAUAACACACAUACACAUACACACACCUAGCAUGAGUCAUAAUAAAAGUUUUAUUUAUUAAAUUAUUAUUUUAAUAAUUUCCAAAAAAAUUGGGUUAUCAUACUUCCUCAUUCAGAACUUGUCCACGCCGACCACGAUUUUGCGUCAUUAGACGCCAGGUUAACUCUGUAAUUUGUCUCUAUAAAUUCUCAAUUAUCAUGUCCUGAAUGUUAUGACCAUAGUUCGGGACUUACUCAAUCGGAGCCUGCCCUCGACGACCAUAAGCCAUUGAAUUGGUGAAAUCUAUUCUCAAGAAGAUGUUAGAGCUUUGAUACCAAUUAAUUGACGCCGUACAGAAUAGUGAUUAUCAUGCAGACUAGGGUAACAAGAAAUUCAAAUGUAAAAGAAGCAAGAAAUUUACCCUAAACACAAAGAAAUCUCUCUAAUGUGUAAAUUAUUAUUAUCAAAAAAAAAAAGCACUCCCAAAUUCAACUCACACGUCGGGUUUUAUAGCUUAAAGGUUUUCUUUUCAAAAUGAAAUAAAAUUCCUACAAGUAUGGAAACAAACUUCCAAUAGGUAACAAAUAACUAUGAUAACAAAGUUUUAAUAGGUAACAACUCCUAAUAAUUAUAUCUUAAUAAAUUACGUAACAAUAUAAAAGAUUUACGUACCUAAUAAAACACUAUUACCAUAAAAGAAUUAAAUAAUAAUAAAAAUCAAGUCAAUCUGAUCUUCCCGAAGCCAUGACGUCAUUUCUAAAAAAGUUUGCCACACUCGAAGUCAUGACACCAUUCCCGAAGGACCCAAAGUUGAACCCGAAGCCAACUUCGAUCCCGACUCCUAAAGAGAUUCCUGAAGAAAAGUCCCGAAGCUGAAAGCUGAACUCCCGACCACCGAAGACGUCAGUACCCAUCAUCUUUGCGUUGAUCCUCUACUUAAGAAUCAUCGGACAACUCAUAAUCAUCAUGUUCAAAUCCUCCUGCAUCAAGAACUCUAACGUGUAACUUGUAGUUCUUUAUUUCAUUGAUGAGCCUACUAAGUUUACAUAGCAAGCACGAGUUGUUUGUAGUUAUUCAUUUUAUACCCGAAGUUAACAAAUUGUAUGAAAGGUUCAUUCUUUCAUUUAUCUACAUAAUUUAUUUUUUCCUACUCUAUGGGUUCCUAAGUAUCAGAUCAUAUCAGAUCAGAAGAUCAGAGAGACCUCUUUCUCUCUAUCUUUUCUUUUCUUUCUCCCCCAUUUCUCAUUUUAUUGACUGAAAGAGAAUAAGUGCCAUUGAGUAAAGAGCAUAAGUUCCCAAGUAUCAGAUCAGAAAGAGCUCUUUCUCUCUUUUUUUUUUCUUUUCUUUCUCCCCAUUUUCUCAUUUUAUUGACUGAAAGAGAAUAAAUGCCAUUGAGUAAAGAGAAUAAGUUCCAUUUCUCAUUUUAUUAUUAUUAGUUUACAUAAACAAAUAAUUUUAUAUUUUGAAACGGAUGGAACAUGCAUAUUAUAUGUUUGGAUGUGAUAAUACAUGACAAAUGGAUGAUAUGAAUCAACAAUGCACAAUAUUUGAAGAUAAUUCUGUUUUGUUAGAAAUAGAAUGGAAGAACAAUUAGUAAUCUAUGUUUUUCUAACUACUCCAAAUCCUUUUAUAUUCUUGCUCCUUGCUGUACUGUAAAGUAUGAAGAGAAUAAAUUAGCAUGGCUUGUAAAAUUAAUAUUUUAUAUCAUUUAAUAAUAACAUGCCGUGUAGUGAAAUUUAAUAUAAUUAAUUAUAUAGUUUUACUAUAGUAAAUAAUAAAUAAAUAAUUAGUUAAUACAAUUUAAAUUUUACAAUUUUCACCUAAAUUCUCCAUGUGGCAUGUUAUUAUAUAUUGAAUGGUAUAAAACACUAAUUUUGCAUGUUAUCCGUAUAUAAUUUAUUCUCAAAUAUGAUAUAAUUCAUUUUGUUGGAUCGGUACAAUUAAUAUUUCAUUAAAAAACAUAGAAGUACAUCAAGUGACAAUUCCAAGAGAUUUGGAAAGGGCCACAAUUGAAAUACAAUACAUAAAUCUAAAAACCAAAAAAAGUUAUCAGAACGUAAAAGCCAUUCCCUUACAUAUUAUUCCAGCCAAAACUUAGACUAAAUAACAAAAAUUAUGAAUACUCGACCUCAAUCCAAAUCUCCGAAAAGAACUACUAAUCUGAAAUUUUAAUUCCACUAUCUCAACCAUUGUAGUAAAGAGCUUGAACAAGAUGUUCUCUCUAUUAUUAAUCAACCAUCCAGUUUUUGAUGACUCCGUUCCUUCCGUAAAAACUCUUUAGAAUCCAUGCAGAUAUCCAAAUUCCUAAACUACCAAUUACUAAAAAUUGAAAGCAGUCAACUUAAUCGGCCGUCCACAUUAUAUGACUGAUUUCUUGCUCAUCCUAUUUAAUUACACUUGGUCUCUUUUUUUGUCUCUUUUUCCGGUUCCUUAUUCCUUUCAAAAAUGUCAAGUUCUCAUUUGCUUCAAUAUAUAUAUAUAUGUAAGAUCAUUAUUAACUUUUUGAAAUUAAUUUAAGAGUUUAUAAAACUUAAACUGUAAUGAAUUUUUUUAAUUUUAGUCAAUAAAUGAAUGAAUUUCACAAUUAGGCAUAUGAUUUUCACAACUAUACCGCCCCCGAACAUACACACAAGUAUGGGGAAAAAAUCUAUAGUUUUCUAAUGAAAGGACAUAGUUCAAACAGUACCAUCUUGUAAUAAACCACCUAGUGGUAGUUGUUUUAUUUAUAAUAUGAUAAUAACAACCACCUAAUGGUUGUUGAUUUAUUUAUUACAUGCUAAUAACAACCAUAAGCUGAUAGUUGAUUUAUUUAAUAUAUGCUAAUAACAACCAUAAGCUUAGUUGAUUUAUUUAUAUAUCAUUCUAAUAACAACCAUCAACUAGCUAGUAGAUAGAUUCUAGAUCAAUUGUUCAUCGGAAGAUUACUUAUCGUUCAUUUUUGGAUGGGCUUUGGUGGGUGCAAUGUUAUUACCAUAGAUAACUAAACCUUUCUUCCAAGUCUCGAUUUCACUCCCGUCAAGAGCAAAUUUGAUAUCUCCAGAGUCAAACCUAUUGAAGAAUUCCCCAGCUUUGAGCAAAAUCGGUGUGUUCCUCGGAUAAUCCAUCAACUUAUAUGCAAUCAGUUGCGUGGAUCCAUCCGGAAGAGCAAGUGUAAGAAUCACCGGACUUUUUAUGUUAAAGUUGUCUUUCAGCAGCACCACAAAAGAUACCUCAUAAGAUAAUUUUUCAAGCUUUUCUGUUUGAUAUUUUCUAUCAACAUGUAGGACGAAGCUACCAAUUAAUUCAGCACUUUCCUCACUGUAAAAAAAUGAUAGUAGAAUUAAAGUCAGAAACUUUUGAUAUAAGGAGACUAAAUUCAUUAGGUGAUUUUAUUGAUUUUUUUUUCUGAAACAUUUUUAAUGUAGGUCCUUCUAUCUAAGUAGACUUCAAUAAAAUUUCUCCCGUCCUUCUAGCACUUUAAUUUAAUGACAUAGUUACUUACAUAUCCUAUUUUUAACUCAAUAAAAUUAAGGUGUUUAAACAGAAAUCUUGACCUUUGACUUUGACGUCAAUUAAGUUAACUAAACCUUAUUUCUACUUACGUAAACAUCCAGCCUUCAGGGUUGGCAAAAUUGAGUGCCCAAAUGCCAAACUCCUCUGAAUAAGUCAACAGAAAUUCACAUUAUUAUAAGGAUAAAUAAGGCAAAUCGAAUGAUAUGUCGAUGCCUUUAUCAAUAUACAUAUACAUACAUAAAUAUAGACGGUUGAUCGAUAUUGUCAAAGUAAUAAUUAUAAAAGUGUCGUCAAAUGUAUAUUUACUUUAAUAACGACAAUAUCAACCACUUAUAUAUAAAUAGCAAAUGUUUCAUAGAAAAAGUUUAUUACGGAGUAUGUACCACGUGUUGAAUUUUUUUUGCUUUGUAGUAAGAUAUAGAACAACAAUAUUUAUGCCUGAAUCGAAAUUAUUGAGAUAUGACGUAUCCUAUAAAUUGGGUCGUAUCCCAUUUAUGGCAUCCUAUAAAUUGGGUCUUAUGAGAUAUGUCGUUCUGUAAUUUUUGAUACGUAUCCCAAUUCCCAAUUUUUGAUGUUGUAUUCCAAUACUCCCACUCCAAAUAUUACCGUUGCGUAUUUUUGCCCCAACUCAAUUUUGGCUUUCGCCAAAUAUUACCGUUGGCUCCAACUUUCAAUACCGACGCACAAAUAUUAUAACAUAUAAUAUAUUUAUUAUAUACUUUAGAUAAUGAAAAUAUCCAAUAAUCCUCCCCUAUUUUCAUAAUCUUCCAAUCUUUUUCCUUUGACAUUCCUCUUUCUCUUAUUAAAUAUAGUAUACAUAAGUAAUAUGUGUCUUUCGACUUGAACCUUUACAUAGUCUAUUUCACAAAAUAUCUGAAUUUUUAGUAGCGUUAGCUUUGAACUAAAAAAUCUUAAAGUGAUAUCUUGCUCUAUAGACAUAUACUAUAUCUCUUAUAGUUUAAGGAGACCCAACACAUUUAUGGCCAUGUGUUUACCUCUUGGGUUCGUAAGUGACUUAGAGAUAAGCCUUAUGUCUCACAGAAGCGGCCCACUUCCUUCACUUACAUAGGUGAAUCUAAUUAGAUGCACUUGUAUGACCUUCAUCCUCCAAAUCGGACAUAGAUUCAUUAAAGGUUUACCCUACCCUCUUUGUUCUCCAUACAAGCAUACACUAUCUUUGAGAUGGUUUUGAAGAAUUUCUUCUUCAUACUUGUCUAGUGUAUAACUGGUUAUUACUAUAAGUAUUUUUCCAUUGAACUAAUAUACCAGAUGUUACUCUAGUAUUUAGUUGGGUUCCACUUAUAGAUUACCUCUCAUUUAAAGGCUUUAAACCCAUCUCCCUGGAAGUCUUACAUAUUACAUCCUUGCCUAGGCCUUUUGUAAAAGGAUCUGCCAAAUUUCCCUUUGACUUAACAUAGUUAAAGGUAACAACCCCUUUAUUGAUUUGCUCCCUUACAUAACUAUGUCUUAAACUUAUAUGUCUAGACUUUCCGUUAUAAACCUUGUUAUAAGACCGUGAUAAUGCUGCCUCAUUAUCACAAUAUAUUGAGAUAGCUGUCAUUGGUUUGGGCCAAAGUGGUAUCUCAAAUAAUAAAUCCUUAAGCCAUUCGGCUUCUUUUACAGCAGUUGAUAAUGCAACAAACUCAGAUUCCAUAGUUGAAUGUGUAAUCAAGAUUUAUUUCUUGGAACCCCAAGAAAUUUCCCCUCCUCCUAAAGUGAAUAUCCAUCCACUUGUAGACUUUAUUUCAUCUGAAUCUGUUAUCCAGUUUGCAUCCGUGUACCCUUCUACCACAGCUGGGUAUCAUGUAUAGCAUAAUCCAUAGUUUAUUGUGUCUUUAAGAUAUUUAAGUAUCCUUGAUACUGCAUCCCAAUGAACCUGACCUGGAUUAUGAGUAAACCUACUUAAAACUCCUACUGCAAAUGCUAUAUCAGGUCUAGUACAUUGCAUUGCAUACAUUAGACUACCAAUUACACUUGCAUACUCUAAUUGAGAUAUGUUAUCUCCUUUAUUUGGAAAUAACUUAACAGAAUGAUCAUAUGGUGUGACGCCCCCAAAAUAGGUAUACAUCACCCAUCUUGAGUCGCCAAAUAUAUGGUACAAAAUUCAAAUACAAACUAAUAAUACAGCAGUCGUGUAAAAUACGACAAAAUAUAUGUUGUGAGUUUUAAUACAAAUAUUGUCUUCUAGACAAUAUCCACUCUCAGAAAAAGUCUUCAUUACAUUUAUUGUCACACUAUUUAACAGAAUAAUGAGGACUACUAGCUAAUACUAUCAUCCGGACCAUCACUCCGUUCCCCGACUCGUCCCAGCUACGUUCUCAUUUCCUGAAGAGAACAGUGAAAGAAAGGGUGAGCUCAACUAGCCCAGUAANNNNNNNNNNNNNNNNNNNNNNNNNNNNNNNNNNNNNNNNNNNNNNNNNNNNNNNNNNNNNNNNNNNNNNNNNNNNNNNNNNNNNNNNNNNNNNNNNNNNNNNNNNNNNNNNNNNNNNNNNNNNNNNNNNNNNNNNNNNNNNNNNNNNNNNNNNNNNNNNNNNNNNNNNNNNNNNNNNNNNNNNNNNNNNNNNNNNNNNNNNNNNNNNNNNNNNNNNNNNNNNNNNNNNNNNNNNNNNNNNNNNNNNNNNNNNNNNNNNNNNNNNNNNNNNNNNNNNNNNNNNNNNNNNNNNNNNNNNNNNNNNNNNNNNNNNNNNNNNNNNNNNNNNNNNNNNNNNNNNNNNNNNNNNNNNNNNNNNNNNNNNNNNNNNNNNNNNNNNNNNNNNNNNNNNNNNNNNNNNNNNNNNNNNNNNNNNNNNNNNNNNNNNNNNNNNNNNNNNNNNNNNNNNNNNNNNNNNNNNNNNNNNNNNNNNNNNNNNNNNNNNNNNNNNNNNNNNNNNNNNNNNNNNNNNNNNNNNNNNNNNNNNNNNNNNNNNNNNNNNNNNNNNNNNNNNNNNNNNNNNNNNNNNNNNNNNNNNNNNNNNNNNNNNNNNNNNNNNNNNNNNNNNNNNNNNNNNNNNNNNNNNNNNNNNNNNNNNNNNNNNNNNNNNNNNNNNNNNNNNNNNNNNNNNNNNNNNGAAUGGAAUAACAACAGAAAUCACCAUGCAUGCGGUACUUCGCAUAGACAGGUUAUUCCAACAGAAUAAUAAAUAACGGAACCAGGUUAGGUGAAAUUCACACCGACAGGAUGUUCUAACAGAAUAAUAAGUGCGGAAUAAUAAAUAAUGGAACCAGGUCCGGCAUAAAACGCACAGACAGGAUAUUCCGACAGAAUAAUAAAGACGGAAUAAUAAAUAAUGAAACUAGGUCCGGUGUAAAACACACAGACAGGAUAUUCCAAGAGAAUAAUAAAGACAGAAUAAUAGAAGAAUGUCACCAAGUAUAGGGUAGACCGCGUAUACAGGUUAUUCCAACAGAACAAUAAAGAAAUAGAAUAACAGAAGUUCUCUUCUUGAAUACAAAAGAAAUAACAUCCCUUACCGUAAAAGAACUGGAUAUAAGAGUAGGGAAGUAGCAGAAUACUUUUCUAUAGUUUCUCUAUAAUUUCUUUCUCUGGAGUUUCAGUGAAUUCGUAAGAAAUAAUAAAGGAAUGAGCUUCUAUUUAUAGGAGAAUGGAAGUGCACUGUUCAUGGAUGAAAUAAUUCUGCAGAUAUACGUAUCAAUGUUUUGAUAUCACACUAAUGCAAAAAUUCAAUCAACCAACCAAUAGGAUGCAAGCAAAAUAAAAAUAUAAGACAUAUAUAUAUAUAUAUAUAUAUAUAAACACUUGCUAAAUAAAUAAAUAUAUAUAUAAUAUAUCUACCACUUAAUUUUUCUCCCUCAUAACCAACAUCAAUCCUCCACCCACCAAAAAAAUCAAUUCCACUACACUCUUACACAUCACUAUCACACUACCACUUUCCCACCAUUUUCCACUCACACACACAUCACCCACCUAUCACUUUCACAUAUCAUUUUCUCCCACCAUUUUCCACUCACACACAUAUUAUAUUAUAUAUACACACUCACACAUAACAACCUUAUAUACAUAAACUCCCUCCCCUAUACGUAUCUUUCUCCCACCCCCAAUUCCAAAAGUAGUUUUUCAACACAUAUGGGCCCCACAUGUGGCCCCCAUAUGUGGGCCCCACUUUUAAAUAUUUUUUAUCGAUUAUUUUGAAAAAUGGGUAAAUGGAGAUUCAUAAAAUAAGCAAAACUUACACAAAUACCUCAUAAAAAUCACAUUAAUAAUUUUAACAACAUUUAUNNNNNNNNNNNNNNNNNNNNNNNNNNNNNNNNNNNNNNNNNNNNNNNNNNNNNNNNNNNNNNNNNNNNNNNNNNNNNNNNNNNNNNNNNNNNNNNNNNNNNNNNNNNNNNNNNNNNNNNNNNNNNNNNNNNNNNNNNNNNNNNNNNNNNNNNNNNNNNNNNNNNNNNNNNNNNNNNNNNNNNNNNNNNNNNNNNNNNNNNNNNNNNNNNNNNNNNNNNNNNNNNNNNNNNNNNNNNNNNNNNNNNNNNNNNNNNNNNNNNNNNNNNNNNNNNNNNNNNNNNNNNNNNNNNNNNNNNNNNNNNNNNNNNNNNNNNNNNNNNNNNNNNNNNNNNNNNNNNNNNNNNNNNNNNNNNNNNNNNNNNNNNNNNNNNNNNNNNNNNNNNNNNNNNNNNNNNNNNNNNNNNNNNNNNNNNNNNNNNNNNNNNNNNNNNNNNNNNNNNNNNNNNNNNNNNNNNNNNNNNNNNNNNNNNNNNNNNNNNNNNNNNNNNNNNNNNNNNNNNNNNNNNNNNNNNNNNNNNNNNNNNNNNNNNNNNNNNNNNNNNNNNNNNNNNNNNNNNNNNNNNNNNNNNNNNNNNNNNNNNNNNNNNNNNNNNNNNNNNNNNNNNNNNNNNNNNNNNNNNNNNNNNNNNNNNNNNNNNNNNNNNNNNNNNNNNNNNNNNNNNNNNNNNNNNNNNNNNNNNNNNNNNNNNNNNNNNNNNNNNNNNNNNNNNNNNNNNNNNNNNNNNNNNNNNNNNNNNNNNNNNNNNNNNNNNNNNNNNNNNNNNNNNNNNNNNNNNNNNNNNNNNNNNNNNNNNNNNNNNNNNNNNNNNNNNNNNNNNNNNNNNNNNNNNNNNNNNNNNNNNNNNNNNNNNNNNNNNNNNNNNNNNNNNNNNNNNNNNNNNNNNNNNNNNNNNNNNNNNNNNNNNNNNNNNNNNNNNNNNNNNNNNNNNNNNNNNNNNNNNNNNNNNNNNNNNNNNNNNNNNNNNNNNNNNNNNNNNNNNNNNNNNNNNNNNNNNNNNNNNNNNNNNNNNNNNNNNNNNNNNNNNNNNNNNNNNNNNNNNNNNNNNNNNNNNNNNNNNNNNNNNNNNNNNNNNNNNNNNNNNNNNNNNNNNNNNNNNNAGUGUCUUCUCUUGACCUUUUCCUAAAGAAAGAAUUCUCAAAGAACUCAACAUCUCUAGAUUCCAAAAUUAUAUUUUUGCUAACAAAAUAUGUGGAUUCUAUGGUCAAGAAUUUAUAGGCUUUGCUAUUUUGUGCAUAGCCUAUAAAAGCACACUCGAUUGCUUUAGCACCAAGUUUAGGCCUUUUAGGAUCAGUUAACCUUACUAAUGUUCUACAUCCCCGCACCCUUAAAUGGUCAAGAGAGGGUUUUCUCUUUUUCCACAAUUCAUAAGGUGUAAUAUUAGUUUUCUUAUGGGGUAUACGAUUAAGUAUAUAACAAGCAGUCAUUAAUGCUUCCCCCCAUAAAUUUUUAGGCAAACUAGAAGUAAGAAGUAAUGUAUUAAUCAUUUCUCCAAGUGUUCUAUUUUUUCGUUCUGCCACUCCAUUUUAUUGAGGACUAUAAGGGGCUGUAGUUUGAUGAAUUAUACCAUAAUUCUCACAAAAAUCAUUAUAAGAGAAGUAUUCCCCUCCUCUAUUCGAUUUAAGAAUUUUAAUUCUUUGAUCUAAUUGAUUUUCAACUUCAGCCUUAUAGAUUUUAAAUUUUUCUAAAGCCUCAUCUUUAGUCCUUAACAAAUAAACUUGAGUGUAUCUAGAACAAUUAUCUAUAAAUGUUAUAAAAUAUCUUUUACCUCCCCUAGUUAAUAUGCCCUCAAAUUCACAAAUAUCAGAAUGAAUUAAUUCUAAUAAUUGUGAAUUUCUUUCUACUUUUUUAAAAGGCUUCUUGGCAAUUUUAGAUUUAACACAUAUAACACAUUUUUCUAAGUCAGAAAAAUUAAUCUUAGGAAUUAAACUAAGAUUACUCAUGCUACACAUACUUUUAUAAUUUACAUGUCCUAAUCUAGCAUGUCAAACAUUAAAAGUAGAAAUCAUAUAAGCAAAAGAUGAAUUUUCAUUAAUAACAUUUAGUUUGUACAUGCCAUUAGAUUCAUAUCAUUUUUCGACAUACAUACCACCCUUAGACAAUACAAUAUAAUUAGCGUCAAACAAGACAUUUAUGCCAUGUUUGUUUAAAAGACUAACAGAUAUAAGGUUUUUCCUAAUUUCUGAAACAUGAAGAACAUCAUUAAGAGUAAUUGUCUUCUCGGAUGACAACUUGAGAACCACCUUGCCUUUGUCCAUCACUUUUGCAGUUGAUGAAUUUCCAAUGAAUAGUUCUUGACCAUCCUUCAUAGGUUCAUAGGCUUUAAAUAUUGCUUUAUUCUUGGCAAUAUGUUUGGUUGCUCCAGAAUCGAUCCACCAUUCCAUGUCAUUUCCAACCAUGUUAGUCUCCAUGAUCAUAAUAGCAAUAUCCUCAUUGUCUACCAUAUUUGCUUGGUCAUUCUUUUGUUGUCUUUGUUUCAAGUACAAAGUACAUUGUUUCUUGAAAUGUCCUGGCUUACCACACUUCCAACAAGUACCUUUCGGUUUUUUAUUUCCAGAAGUGUUUUGUUGACCACCACGCUUUCUUUUAUUGUUUCCCCUUAGUUUAAAUGCAUUUUCUAUGACAAGAGCUUUAGCACUUUUAUUUUCUAUUUCCAAUUUAUCCAAGUUUCGAGAAUUUUCUUCAACUUGGAGAAAUUUAAUAAGUUUUUGCAUAGUCAUUGCAUCUUUCUUUUGUUUCAAUUCCUUUCGACAAUCUUUCCAUGAAUAUGGUAACUUUGAAAUAAUUGUUGAUACUUGAAACCCUUCGUCAAGGCUAUGGCCUUCCGACACAAUUUGAUUCAUGAUAAUUUGAAGUUCAUGUACUUGUAGCAUAACAGAUUUAUUAUCUAUCAUUUGAUAAUCAAAUAAUGAACUUACUAGAAAUUUUUUAUUUUCAGUGUCCUCAAUUUUGUAUUUGUUGUCGAGAUCUUCCCAUAAUUCUCUUGUCGUCUUUUCCAUGAAUUUGGCUUCAUAUACAUCAUACAACGAAUUUGAUAGGGCAUUUAGUAUGUACCCUUUACACAUGAAGUCAUCUUGUUCCCAUUUUAUUUGAUUUUUCAUUUCUGUCGGUGUCUCAUUUUCCUUUUCUUCAAUUUUUUCCUCAUUUAGCACAUGAGAGAUUUUUAAUGCUGUUAAGCAAAAAUACAUUUUGCUUUUCCAACAUCUGAAGAAUAAUCCAUCAAACUUUUCAAGUUUAUUAAUUUGAUUCAAGCUAUUUUUUGAAUUGUUGUCCUCCAUGGUGUAUUAUAGUCUUAAGAUUGUUGAAAUUUUUUUGCUUUGUAGUAAGAUAUAGAACAACAAUAUUUCUGCCUGAAUCGAAUGGUUGACCACUCUUUCCUUAAGACUAUAUUUGCCCCUUACUUUUGCUACACAGGGUUACUGGGAAUUAGUCUCCCAAGAUAAGACAGGCCCAGAUUUUAUUUUGUACUAGAAUUUGUUGUGUAGGAACAAAUCUAGUGCUAAACUAUAAACUGAAAGAAGAAAAUUAUAAUAAGAAAAAUAUUUAGAAUGAUAAUUUUCUUAACUUGAGAAGGAUUGAAACUUGAGAAGGAUUGAAUGAUUUGAAGUGUGUUAAAUUUGGUGGAUUCCUGAUCUAUUUAUAGGUUUGUCGUAUCCCAAUUAUUGAGAUAUGACGUAUCUUAUAAAUUGGGUCGUAUCCCAUUUAUGGCAUCCUAUAAAUUGGGUCGUAUCCCAAUUAUGGGAUAUGUCGUUCUUUAAUUUUUGAUACGUAUCCCAUUUCUCAAUUUUUGAUGUCGUAUUCCAAUACUCCCGCUCCAAAUAUUACCGUUGCGUAUUUUUGACCCAACUCAAUUUUGGCUUCCGCCAAAUAAUUACCGUUGGCUCCAACUUCCAAUACCGACGCGUUAAUAUUAUAACAUAUAAUAUAUUUAUUAUAUACUUUAGAUAAUGAAAAUAUCCAACACCAUGUACUCAAUCCAUCUUAUAUCAUCCAUUACAACAUCAGAUAGAUGCAAUCUUAAAAUUUUUGAACACUCCGCAACAUUAUGUUGCAAAUGGUGCAAAAUUGUAAAAAUCGCAAAGGUGUAAGAUGGUCUAAAUUUUGCAAAAAUGUAUCACUUGAAAAAUUUACAAAUAUUAAGGAUUUUUUUUAUAGCAAACUUUAGCUAUAUAUAUGAUGUUUGUUUACAAUUUCAGUAGACUUACCUUCUCUCCUGUGCCGUCGUUUUGGAGCAACUCCAUUUCCUUGGCUUGAGAAUGACUUGAGGUCAACCGCAGCAUGCCUCACUAGUUGUGCCAUCUCCUCAAUCGAUCGAUAACUAUCCUUUAAUUCUGCUAUAUAUAUUUUCUGUUUUUGUUCUUGAUGUCUAUAUAUCUCUCUUCCAAAGGCUAACUCUAUUUAUAGAUAGCACAAAAGAGGGUAUAUUCAAUAAUAACCUAUCUUCAAAUAUUCCUUCCUUUUUCACAGUGGGGAUCCUGAUCAUAAGUUUAACAUCAUCGUCAUCAUCGCCAAGGAUAUAGAGCAUCAUAUUCUGUUUAAUAAUUUUGAUGGAAUAAUUCUUUUCCAUUUCUCAGUUCAAUAAUUCUUUCUUUAGCUUGUUGCCUGGCAAAAUUCGAUGAACGCGAAAGAUACGUAGGCAUCCAAGUAAAUGAUGAUUUUCUUCUAACCAGAAGUAUGUGCAGGUUGUACCAAUAUAUAUUAGUACUCAAUGUACAUUACAAAUUUUAGAGGAGCCAUCUUACCACAAUUCGAUUUUAUCACCCAAGCACGGGUGCCAUCUUUUUUCGUACAAUAUAAUGGAGUAUAUAUUCAAAAUUUCAAAUCAACAAAACAAGGCAAGAAAAAUAAAAUAAAAAUCAAAGUGCAUAUUUUAAUAGGAAUAUUUAUUAAUAUGAUAUAUAAUAUAAUAUAUAUAUAUGGGCUAUAUGUAUAAACACAGCUGUGUAUUACACAGUAGGCCUAUGGCGACAGAUUUUUUGGACUAUAGCAACGGUAAACUGUCGCUAUAGCCCAGAAUAGCUAUAACGACGGGUGAAACCGUCGCUAUAGCCUAAAAACCCGUCAUUAUAGCCUACUGUGUAAUACACAGCUGUGUACAUAUAUUUUUCUAUAUAUAUAUAUAUAUAUAUAUAUAUAUAUAUAUAUAUAUAUAUAUAUAUAUGGGUCUCAGAAACCAUAAUCUUAACCCUUGAUCUAGAUAUUGAAUGACCCAAUUUAAUCAUAAUUUCUAUCUGCCGCUAGAGGCUCUAGCGACAAUAAUAUUUCUUAAAUCGGCAUGACAAAUUACCAAAAAAAACCCUGAUAGUCCUCUUGUCACACUGCCUGCCGCUACAAGCUGUGGCGACAGUGUGGCUAGUGUGGCUAUCAGCCGAAUAAAUGAGAUUGAUUCAAAAGUAAAACCCACUUAUAUUAUGUAUACACGGUACACCUUCUAUCCCAAAAAUAAGAUAAGUUAGAAUUAUAAAAUUUAUAUAAAUUAUUUUUAAAUUUAAAAUUCAUGUAAUUUAUUUUUAAUUUUUAAAAAAUAUAAAUUUAUGAUUUAAUUAACAUUUGUCAAAUAAUUUAUAAUUUUCAUAAUUGAAUUGUAAAUUUGAUGAAUUCAUAUAAAUUUUAAACUCUAAAAAACAAAAAAUUAAUAAUAUCAAAUUAAGAUAAAAAAAGUCUUAGGUUGUUAAUUUGAGAUUAUUAAUACAAAUUAAUAAUCUCAAAUUGANNNNNNNNNNNNNNNNNNNNNNNNNNNNNNNNNNNNNNNNNNNNNNNNNNNNNNNNNNNNNNNNNNNNNNNNNNNNNNNNNNNNNNNNNNNNNNNNNNNNUGGCAAAUAGCAUUAUAGCCGUCCAUUCCAUAAAUGAAGGGCCCAAAUUAAAAAAGGAGUCUUCCCUUACGCCAGACGCCAGUUAGGAAAUUUAUCCCAUACGCUAGUUGAACUAGCGUAAGGUUUAAAUAUUUGCCCGUUGCCCACUUUACCCCCAACAAAGCAAGCCACUUCUUCUCUGCCAGCCAACAGUUUUAAUAUAAUAAGGCUUCUCUAGAAAUACGCCAGCCAACAGUUUUAAUAUAUUAAGGCAAGAGUACAAUAGGAAUCAAACUAGCCAAGAGUACAAUAGCUGAUAAGGCAACAUUCAAACACGAUAUUGUGUUUUAAUUUGAUAAGGCAACAGUCAAUGACACAUACAAUAGGAAUCGCUGGGGUCAUAAUCAUAAAAGGAAUCAAAUCUUAUUCAAGAAAAGUCAGGUGUUUGAAGUUAUCUUAUGGUUUAAUGAUUAUGUAAUGGGAAAAAUAUUUACUUUUGGUUAUAUAUUUAGAUUUAGCAGCAUGCUUUUUAGUUGCUUGCAAUCUGUUUAUUAUUUACUUGCAAUCUGUAGUUGCUUGCAAUCUGUUUAUUAUUUAGUUGGUAUAUGGCAACUAAGUCACUGGACAUAAAACACCCAAACUCCUCAACGUGACAAUGGGCUUAAAAGGAGGCAAAGAGUACCCUUCCUUUAAUAUUGAGUGGCACCAUUCUACAACACUUAAAAGACUCCAAAGUCAGAAAAGAAUUCUUCCAAGAUCAUUUUUUUGUAAGAAAUAAUAGGCCGCUAAAUAAUCUAACAGCACUGUCACCACACUUAAAUUAUGUGUGCAAUAAAGCCAAAUGGAGCUUCAAGGACCUCAUUUACUUGUAAGAAAUAAGAUUUGAGAUUUUUCUUAUUAGAUCACUUUUAAUACACUGCUCUCAUGGGAGACCAAAUUAGAAGAUAUUCAAUUUACAUUUUCAAGACAGUUACAAUUUCAUAAAAUUGGCAUAACAUGAUAAGAUGUCCUUGCAAUGUCCUUGCUGGGAGAAGCUAAGCUGAGCUUUCUUGGUCUUCAUGAUUUUAGUAUUUCCUUCUGCAAUGUCCUUGCAGAGUUGUCUAGCUGCCCAAAAAAUUUGAGAUGCCCAGGUCCCUGCACGAUAGAAUCAUGAUAAGACAUAUUAGACUCACAAGCAUCACAAAGCAAAAGUGAACUAAUAAAGCAAAAGCAGCAUCCAACAAAAAAAUAGAAAAACAAAAUAAGACUUUUAAAUACUAAACAACAGCUUGGUUAGCCAAACCAUGAUCCACAAACAUGUAUCAAAAGAAACUUAAACAGUUGAUUGAGUAUGUUGCAUUGCUGAGAACAGUUGAAUCAAAGAAUACCUGAGCUUAGCUUAAUAUUUUUCGCAGCCUAUAUUUCUGACACUGUAGUCAAGUGAAUCAGACAUGAAGCUGUCAUUAACUGGAGACAUACAAAGGGACACAACCCUACAGUAAACAAAACAAUACAAACCAAUGCAAAACAACAGAACAUCUAAUAGCCUGUAAACAAAAACAAUACAAACCAAUGCAAAAUUCUUUUACAUAAUUGAUCCCAACACACAAAACAACAGAUCCUGUAUCGCCAACUUCAAUCGGUCAGAAAUCGCAGCAGGGUUUUGGGGAUUUGACAGAUGCUUCGCACGAAAAAGAAGAGAGGCUCGCAAUCUGAAUAAAAUCGCAUAUGGGUGGUUUGAUUUUAAGGGUUUGCUCGAAAUCAAAAUCGAAAUCGAAAUCGAAAUCGCAGCAGGGUUUAGGGUUCGAAAUCGCAGCAGUUUGUAGGAAUCGAAUUCGCAGCAAUUUGUAGAUUUAGGAACUGAAAUCGUAUUAUUCGCAGGGAGGAAAACAGACGCAGGGCAGCCGCAGGGGAAUUAGGAUCUGAAAUCGCAGCAGCUGCGUUUAUUUGAAAUGGGCAGAAUGAUGAAUGGGUUUGAAUCGCUUGGGUUCCAUUACUGUGAUAUUAGAUAUCUGCCUUACGCCACUGCUUCUAGCGUAAGUGAGGGCAAUUUUGUCUGUAAAUUUCCUAUCCAGCGUACGCCAGUGCGUCCAACGUACGCCAGUGACGGCUAUGAUGCUAUUUGCCCAAUUUUUCUCCAUAACAAAUACAUGCUCUGGAUCAUAUCCCAUAUAUAUAUAUAUAAUAUCCAAAUAUAUGUUCUAAUUCUCUUGGGUUUUACUGCAAUAAUCUAUAUUGGCAAGAAAUUAAGUAUAAGGAUUGAAGAUUGCAUCAAUUAACAUAAAAGGAGGAUUGUGGUAGCAAGAAAAUCAAUUUAAAUAGCAAGCAAAAGAAGGUAAGUUCCUAUUUUGGUUUUAAUAUUAGCAAUUGAGAACUUUAUGCUAGAUUGUUAUAAUUGAGCUGUAAUUAGUGACUUGUAGUUAAGGGAGUUGGACUAAUAAUGGUUAAUUUUUUUUUGGCUAGACUUCAUCUAAAUCUCUAUGAAAUCUGGAUUCUAAAGCUAUGCAUAGUACAUGGUCGAUAAAAUGCCCCUAAGAGGCUGUUAUGUUUAAAAAUUAAGAAUUGGUCAAUGUUGUGACUUGUGAGUAAGAAUAAAAUUUCUAAUUAACCUGAAAUAAUUACGUUUUUCUUCCAAAUGUUAAGUUGUACUGCCUCAAAAUAAUUGGUGCAUUUAUUUGUGAUGUAUACAGUAGGAUUUACUCAUGACAAUUUUGAAGGAAUUUGAGGAGGUUUGUGGAAAUGAAGAGGGAUUAGCUAAAGAAAUUGCUUUCAGAGACUUGAGAAAUGUAGUAUCGAUCUAUUAUUUAGAUUUUUAGCCUCAGAUGGGUUAUGUUUGAAAAAUGAUGAGAAACAGAAUUUCUGAAAUAAAAGGAGGAUAUGGAGAUUAGAUUGCAAGUAUAAAGUUAUGAAAACACACUGCUUACUCUGUAAUAUUGGUGUUAAGCCUCUUGAAAACUAGUGAGCAUGCAAGUAAAAAAAAUAUAGAAAAGAAAGUACAAAAGGAAAUAGCUAGAAAUAUGUCAAAGUGUUGUUUUGACUAGAUACUGAAGCCUUGAUUGAUUAAUAAGUAGAAGUAUGAAUUAAAAAAAAAUAUUUUUUUUGUUGCUCUCUGAUUAAUUGGAUAUGAGAAUUAAUUGCUCUGAGCUGAAAGUUAUUUUCAGUAUUUACAAUUGCAACUUACAUAACCUUUAUAGAAUGUUCCAUGUCCAUGUUUAUAGUGAUUUGUCAAAGUAAUAUAAUGUUAAUCAAAGACACCAUUAAGAAGUAAAAAUGGACCAAGUUCAGAGUUAAAAAAAAAAACUCAAUACCAUUAUCAAUUCUAAUUGUUUUAAUGGAUGUACUAAAAUGGUUCUUAGCAUCGACAAAGAAAAACUGUAAACUAGAUGGCACAUGUUGUUUAGUAGAUAGCAGAGAAGUCCAUGUAAAUCUUGAGAAGUCAGCAAAUAAGGUUUUAAAAAAAUACUUGCAUUCAUUAGAAGUAGCAAUUCUAUAAGGCCCUCAAAUAUCCAAAUGAAUUAAAGCAAAAGGAGAUCUGCUUGAGAUGAACUAGUAAGAAAAGGCAAUUUACAUUGUUUUGUAAAGGAUAAACUAAACAAGUGGUAUUGUAAUCAUUUGUAGAAUGGAUUUUAACAGGCACAAUAGCCUUUAUUACUGAGAAAAGUGUAUAACCAAGACUAUGAAGACACAAAGAACUAGAAAUUUCACUCUUAUUGCAAGAAGAUUAUGCUGCAGAUUGAGAGCUUUUUAACUGAUACAACCCUCCUGAAGCUUCACCAAGUGUCAACACUUUCUUCUAGUGAGGAUCUUGAAAACAAAUAUUAAAAGAAAAGGUUACUAUAUAAUUGGAAUGAUUAAGAAGACUACUGAUAGAUAGUAGAUUGAAUGAAAAGAUGGAAUGAAAAAAAAACAUUAUAAAGUGGUAAGUCAUAUGGUGUGAUAGACACACAUUGAACUACAAAUGCAAUAAGGUAGCAUAUGUGGUAAUGAAAUUGGAUAUGGAACUGAGUUAUUCAUGUCCAUAAAGAUAAUAUAAGAAAUAAUAAGUUAAGGUAAGGUUUUAAAGUAAGAUUAACAGUUAGAGUGGGGCUUUAACUGAUAUUGUGCAUUGUUGAUCUCACCUACGGUGUAGGUCGUGCAAGGAACGCGAAAGGUUAGCAUAUUAGUAAAACCCGGGUACAGGAAAGUCUACAAGUUCCUAUUUGUUAUAUGAACUUGACAUGAUUACAUGAAUUACAUGUUAUACUUGUGGAAUGAUGAAGGUCAACUAUUGAUUAAAUUUGAUUCAGUUUUUAAAACUCAGUCUUGACUUGAUAUUUAAUAUGCAUGAGAUACAAAUGUUACUUAAAUUAUAAUAAUAUUCAGAUAUGAUUUAAGCAUGAUAUUAUGUGUUAUGUGAAGCAUGAAAACUGUUAGAUUUACUGGGUCGUUGUGCUCAGUCUUACAAAUAUUUUUGCAGAUUUGAUAUGCGAUGAAAUCUCUUGCUGACCAGAUCAGAAUAAAGACUAGGAGCAUGUUCAGGAAAAUUGUUUUCUUUAUUUAGAAAUUGUAUUACACUGUGUUGGCAGUUUGCGAAGUUAUAAAUGAAAGAUAUGUUAAUAUUGGAUUAUUUAAUAAAUAAAGAAAGUUUGUUUUGAGAAAAGAAUGUGUAGUAACGAUUACUAUUUAGUGAAAGUUAUUAUAGUGAUUAUACUAUAUAUACAGAAAGAUAUGUUUGAUGAUAAAAUAAAUCAUAAAUAAAUAUGAUAAUGAAAUAAGGGAAUCGUUAAUCAGGGAAUUAACGAAUGAAAGACAGAAAAAAAAAAGUUUUAAGUAUUCGCAUUUUCAGCUAUUAUUUCAUUAAAUUAUGAUAUAAAACUGAAACAAGAUAGUAUUUAACGCACAAGAUCGAAAAGAAAAAUAGUCCCGAUUUUGGGGGCGUCAUAGUUAGUAUCAAAGCUAUGGGUUAUAAAUCUUAGGUAAGCGUACCCUAGGUUAUAACCGUAAACAAGAUAGAUGAAAAGGAAGAAAAUGUUAAGUAUAAACUAAAAUGAGAUUUAAAUGAUCUUAAACGAAUUUAGAAAUUUCUAAAGAAUGGUUUAAGACAAUACGCAAAGAUUCAAAGAAGAAUCUUGAAAAGCUUAAGGAUCAGAGGACACCUGAUUCGGUUAAUCAUAAAAUAAUAUGAUUAAAGAAGGAAAUGAGAAGAGUAUGAAUCAAAACGAUCAUAAGAUAGAAAAGAGAUUCAAAGAAGAAUUUUAAAAAGGCAAGAAGAAGAGGAUCAGAGAACACCUAAUUCUAAUAAUCAUAUAAAAUAAUAUGAUUGGAAAGAAGAUAAGAAGAUCGUAAAAAUGGAACGAUCUUAAAAUGAGAAAGAAUCGUAAUAUAACACGAUUAUAAGAUAAGAUCACGACAUGAUCUGAUAAAGUCAAAGAAGAACAAGUAAUCAAUGGAAUGAUUGAAAAUUUAUAGUAGAACGGCUAUAUAUAUGAAAAUGGUACUAUGAGAUAGUACACAGAAAACUCAGAAAAAGUUAUAUAUGUUGAAAUACAAAUUAAAUAAAAUUUGUAUUAAACAAUGAACAAGAUAAGAUUUGUAGGGAUUAAGUUGGAUUUCAAUCGAGGACUCAUGUGAUAGCUAAGUUGUACAAACUUUUGUAUGGGCAGGGGUUUUGUGUUUGGUUUAAUGACCACUUAGUUUAUCACACUGAUAAUCGUUGAAAUGUUGGUGUCACACUAUGGAUAUACAUAUGGCGAGAAGGUGAUUCUUUUUUCAUAUUUAUAUUUGAUAGUUAGAGAAUGUUAAGAGUUGGUGCGAGUUCUUAAAACUCAUGCGUAUGAUAAGUUUGUGACUCAUAAUCAUAUGGUAUGGACAGUUCUUGAUUGGUUCUUGGACUACGUAUUGUUAGGACAAGUUCCUAAAUUCAUAUUUUAUGGUAAGUUCUGAAACACAUAAUGUGUGAAAAGUUUGAUGAACUAUAUCAGGGUAUAGAAAUAUUAUAGAAUAAGAGCUAAUAAAUUCUAGUAGAUUGAGGAUUGAUGGUGCUAGAGAUAGAUAGAAUUGUUUCAUAGUGAGACAAUAGAAGAAGUUGAAGUUGUUGAUGGGAGAAACGGAUAUUCUCAAAUCUUCUAGUUAUGCUAGAUUUCAAAAUUUUUGAAAUCAAGUUAAAUUUGCACUGAUGUGCCUUUAGAAAUACAAAUGAAUUUUUGUUAUCAACAACACACAGUGACAAGGGUGCAUGUGGAUGUGGACUUUGAUCCAUUAACACAUUGUUACCUAAUGCGGGAUGAUAACACCAAAAAUGAUUUUCAAUGGUUUUAAACCGUUAAAGAAGAGUCUACGCUAAUUGUUUCGGCUAUACAAAAGUUAAAAAUAUCAAAAGGUAUUUUAUAUAGUCAUCACUUGAUCAUUAAUAUGAUGUAGAUGUGACAAAUGAUGAAGUCAUCAAUGCAUCUUAAUCUAGUGUUGGAUGUGAUCUAUGGAUCGUCAGCCCACUAUGGUAUGAUGUAGUACGACAAAGUCAUAAAAUGAUUUUCAGUAUUUUAAUAAUUAAAAAGAUGUCGAUGCCAUUUGAAUCGGCUAGAAACAUAUUCAGAUAUUGCUUAGCUUUUAUAUUAAUCUUUUGAACUGUCCAACUAAAUUGAUUAAGUAUGGACUCAAGACUAGAUAUGAACAUCCCUAAAUUCGGACAAGAUGUUCUAUGUGCUAAAGACAGAUGAUGAAAGUAAAUGUCGUUCAAAUUUAUAUUGCGUCCUGGGGACGGCAAAGAGGAACUGAAAGAAUUGUUCCGUCAAGAUAGUGUUGAUCAACACAGAACAUCCCUGAAUUAGGAAAUUCUGUUUGUGCUAAAUAGCAGUAAUAAUGAACUCAAAUGUUGUUCAAAUUGUGCCAAAUGGCAGUGACGAGGAACGCAAAUGACGUUCUAAUAUGGAUCAACACAUGGCAUAAUAGGCUAAUCACCUAUAUGUUCGUAAGAUAUGUCGGUUUGCAGAUAAAUUUUUGUUGGAACCUUUUCAAAAACAAAGUUUAUGGUCUCUAUGACCUUUAUCAUGAUACAAAAAGCUCUUCUUAAGCGAUUCUUUUGAAUUCUUGAGUUAUUUAUAUUGCUUCACAAUUAUUAAUCAAUUGUGGGAAAUUUGUAUUCUGGAGAUUGGGUAUAGAAAGAAUGAUUCCUUAAGAGGAAGUAGGUCGUAGAAUACGACAAUGGUUCAUGAAUCCUUGGAGAAGAAGUAAUGGAGGGAUAUGAUGAAUAAAGUUUUUCGAAUAAAAGAAUGGAUGUAAAUAAUCUCAUGAAGAUAAAAAAUGCAUGUCUGAUAAUUUUAAGACUUUUGAUCAUUAGAGGAAUAAGUAUGAUAAAGUAGAAUGUUAUUAAUAUUUGGAGAUGUUUGCAUAUGUGUAUGUGUUGUAUGCUAUGUGAAAAUAAUAUAUUUUUAUUAUCACAUAAUAAGGUCGUCAAAAGCAUGGAAAUAGAACCAAGUAGGAAAGGUUUGCCGUUGUGAUUUCGGGAACGAAAUCCUUAUAAGGAGGAAAGAAUGUGACGAUUCGAAUUUUCGAAAAUAAUUAAAAUAAGAAUUUAAUUAAAUAAAAUUCUUAUUAUGUGAUACUUGAUGAAAUUAUGCUAUGAAAUAUGAUGAUUUGCAUAAUAAUAAAUAUAAAUUUAUUUAUUAUUCUAGGAAAAUAAAUUAUUGAGAUAAUUUAUUAGAAAGAAAGGAAUUUAGCAAAAAUAUAUAUUAUUAUAUACUCGUUUUGAUUAAAGAUAAAUUGUGAAAAACAAUCUAUUGAGAGGAGAAAGGAAUGAGUGUAUAUUAAAAUAAUUUAUAUAGUUAUUUUAAUAUGGUGAGUUUAGUAUAUUAAAUUUAAGUAUAUAAAAUAUUUUAUAUACAUUGAAAAGAAUGUAUUGAAAUAAUUUGCGAUAAUAUAUAUAUAUAUAUAUAUAUAUAUAGAUAUAGAGAGAGAGAGAGAGAGAGAGAGAGAGAGAGAGAGAGAGAGAGAGAGAGUCAUUGAGCUUAGGCUUGGAGGUGAAUAUUAUGUGUACUCAGUACUAUUUGGACAUGACGAGAGAGUUUUAGGCUUUGGGCUAUUAUGUUGCUUAUUCAAUUUGUAUUAAUAAUAUAUAAAUUAGUUUACAUUAUUUAAUAAGAAUAAUAUUAAUAAUAAUAUAUUUAUGACAUCACUGGUUUGAUAACACGCGGUUCGGUCUCCAUUCACUCAUUAAUUUUUUUGAUACAAUAUUGACCGAUUCGAAUCUAAAAACAUUGGUAAUAACAACCGUGGUAGUCGAUUUAUUUAUUACGUAGUAGUAAUAACAACCAUAUGUGGGUAGUUGAUUUAUUAUACAUCACGCUGAUAACAGUCAUGAUCAGUCGAUAGUUGAUUUAUUAAUUUAUAUGUCAUCAGUCGAUAGUUGCUAAUUACUUAAUCGUCAAGUUUUCACCGAAAGAUUACUGCUCGUUCAUUUAAUUUUGCGUCGGUCUUGGUGCUAAUAUGAACCCCACACAUGACUAAACCUUUCUUCAAAGUCUCGCAUUCAGUUCCUGAGAGAGCAAAUUUUAUAUCUCCAUACAUAACCUUAUUGAAGAAGUUCCCAGCUUUGAGCCAAAUCCUUACGUUCUUCGAAUAACUCUUCAAAUCUUUAUAGUCCGUUUGCACAGAUCCAUCCGGAAGAGCAAGUGUAAGUUUCACCGGAGAUGCUAUGUUAAAGUCGUCUUUCAGCAUCACAUCAAAAUACACGCCAUAAGAUCCUACUUCAAGUUUUUCUGUCGAAUAUUCUCCAUCAACUUGUACGACUUUGCCAUCAAUUAAUUCAGCUAUUCCCUCCUGGCUGUAUAUAAAAAAAAAUAUUGUAGAAUUAAAGUGAUCAAUAUUUUGUAUAAGGUGCUUAAAUUCCUUGGGUGAUUUUAUUGAAUUUUGUUUUUGUAACAUUUUUAAUGCAAGUCCUUCUAUCUAACUACACUUCAAUUUAAUGACAUAAUUGCUUAUAUAUCCCUAUUUUUAAUGAAAUACAGGUGUUUAAACAAAAAUAUUGACCUUAUUUCUAAAUAAGAAAAUUUCCAAUCUUCACGGUUGGCAUAUGUGAGUUGCCACGCAUGCAGAUAAGCCUCACCCGUCUGAAUAAGUCAAGAAAAAUUCACAUUAUUAUAAGGAGAGAUAAAACAAACUAGUUGUGUAGAGUGAUAUAUGAUACUAUAAGGAGAGUGUAAGAUGUACAAAUAUUAAAGAUUAUUUUUGCUUUGUAGGCAACUUUACCUAUAUAUAUGGGAUUCGGCUCCUAUCGAAAAUCCCAGGGUACUCUAAAUUUUGGAGUUCUCUCAGCAUUCCAUUUUGAAUUAUAUGGUCAAGAUAAAACCACCUAUUAACAAAAUAAUUUUUUUAAUUUCCAGCUCAACAGACACAUCACUUUUCCUCCCCUACAAUCUCCUUAAAAUUCGGAUUAUCUUGUAUUCCAUUAUUUACGGCCAAUUAAUUUUUUUAAUUUAUUUGGUUUUAGGAUCUACCGUCAAUUAUUUUCCAUCAUAAAAAAAAUCAUCAUAUUUUUCCAAAUAUAUCACCGCCAGUGCCAUUACCACCACCAUCGUCCUACCCAACCGUUUUACACCCUUCAUCCUUUGCAUUAAUUAAUAUAUAAACAAACUUGAAUCAAAUUACAAUUUACUGCAUAUUCCAAUCAAAUAUUGUCAUAUGGAGGUAUUAUAACAAUAAAAUUGAUAUUUUAUAAAGGGUUAAUUGCAUAUUAAACCCCAAAGCUACAUCUUUUUACCAUUCGUACCCCGAUAUUUAAACGAUCUAUUCCGCCACCCCAAGUACGUUAAAGAAAAAUAACUAACCCUUUUGGUAAAUUUGUUCGCCGGAAAAUGGCCACGUGUCACAAUUUAAAUGGCCAGAAAUUAUAAAAAGGUCAGUUAUGCUUACUUAACGGUAUUUGGGAUAGCGGAAUAAGAGCGUUUAAAUAUCGGAGUACGAAUAGUAAAAUAAUAUAUAUUUUGGGGUUCAAUACGCAAUUAAACCAUUUAUAAAUAACCAAGCCCAAAGAGAAAGAAACCCUGUAACAAUUCGCAGAUUGUAGUGUGUUCAAACUAUAGAGUUCGGAAUCUUUUUCUCCAGAAUGCAUUGUUCUUCCAAUUAAUUGUUUUAUUUUUUCUUGUAAUUUUCAGAAUGUUACAGCAGGUGAAGGUGAGUGGCUGUAAAUUUGUAAUAGCUUGGUUAAUGGAUGAAUUUUGGUAGCCGUCAAUUAUUAUGAGGAUGGAUAAGAUCAUUGGCUGUUUACAGUGGUAGAUGUGAUUAACAAAGGAUUUAAGGAUCCAAAAUAAUUUAAAGAGGUUGGAGAGGAGAGAGAAAAUAUGUGUCAGCUGAGUUAGAAUUAUUUUACUAAGAUAUUUAAUGUUAUAAUAUGUGGUUUUAUCUUGCCCAUUUAAUUCAAAUGGAAGGCUGAAAUGUUUAGAACUCUAAAAGUUAGAGUACCCUAGGAACUCGAUUUGCCUUCUUGCUGUUGUUUUGGAGCAACGCCUUUCGGUUAGCUUGAAACAACUUUAGCAAUAUAUUACUAGGAUAGAUAAGGCGAUUAGGCAAACUAGUGUGGAAGAAUGAUAUAUGCAUAUGCAUAUAUAAGUUAAUAUUGUCAAAGUAAAAACUAUCAAAGUGUUAUUAAAUGUAUAUUUUUUAAAAAUAUUUCACAGUAAAAGUUUUUUAGGAAGUGUGUACCAUGCAAUUAAUGGCGGAGACACACUUGGGCUGGGGUGAGCUGUAGCCCGGGCGAAGUUUUUGACAAAUAUCUAGUACUUAUAUAUCUUCAAUAGCUCAUGAAAGCUGCAAAUUGAAUUAGGAAGGAAUUGAACCUUAUUUUCGGCAAGAGGAAACUGAUUUUGGCUAACAUCAAAGCAUAUAACAAGAAUUUUCAUGAAAGGUACAACAUAAGUUUUAGUUCAUUGAUGAAAUUAAAGCCAGAGUUGAUUUUGCUAUGUUAGCUAUAAGCAUUUGUGAAUUGUUUGUGGAAAUGGGAAUAUAUAUGGUGGGUGGAGUAAUAAGAAAAAAGAAUUAAAAAAUUCUUGGGUUAAUUAUUUUUAAAUGGUUAUGAGAUCUGUCUUUUAAAGUUAUGCACUUCACAUGUUUGAUUAAAUUCCUCUUAGAGGCUGUGAAGUUUUAAAAGUGAAAACUUGAUGUUAUUGUAAGCAAGAAAGCUUAUGUUUAUAAAAUAUAUGUGUCUCAAGUGGAUUAACUGAAUUAGAAAUGGUUUAGAAGUAAGUUUAAGUAAAUUGAGUAAUUUUGGUUUUGUUAGAAAACUGAUGCGGCUUAGCAGUUUUGAGCCCAUAUAGAACCUGUGUGAAACAGUUAUUUGGACUGGUUUAUAUUUUUUUUAAAUAGUAUGUUCUACCUUCUAUAACAUGUUAAAAAUUGGUUCCAAUUGGAUGUGUAUAGGGUGAGUUAGAAAAUUAUAAAACGGCUAGGAAAAAAUGCGAAAUCUAAGAAUUCUGGGCAGAAGCCCAGCGCUGCAUCGCUGAGAUAGAGCGUUGCGGCUCUGGUCCCCUGCUGCACUGCUCCAGUUUUUAAUUCUUCUUCUGAUUUUGUAGCCCAGGACAGAAAAAAAAUUCCUGACUGCCCUUGCAUGCAACCCAUCUUAUAUCAACAUUAUAUUACAAACGGUCCAAAAUUUUAAAAGUCACGAAGAUGGUGUAAAUUUUGCAAAAAAGUUUCACUUAAAAAAUAUACAAAUACCAAGGAUUAUUUUUGUUCUGUAGACAACUUUAUUGUGUGUGUAUAUAUGUAAAUACACACACAUAUAUGAUGUUUGUUUCCAAUUUCAGUAGACUUGCCUUCUGGCCCGGGUCGUCCUUUUGGGGCAACGCCUUUUGGUUAGCUUGAAACAACUUUAGCUAUAUAUUACAAGGAUAGAUAAGGAGAUAAGGCAAACUAGCUAGUCUGGAAGAAUGAUAUAUGCCCUCAUCUGUAUACAUAUGCAUGUAUAAGUGGAUUUUGUCAAAGUAAAAACUAUUAAAGUGUUAUUAAAUGUAUAAUUUUUAAAAAUAUUUCACAGCAAAAGUUUAUUACAAAGUGUGUACCAUGCAACCCAUCUUAUAUUAACAUCAAAUAGAUGCAAUUUUAAAGUAUUUUGAACAGUCCGCCUCCGUUGACGUCUCUGAACUCCCUAAACAUUAUAUUACAAAAGGUCCAAAAUUUUAAAAGUCACGAAGAUAGUGUAAAUUUUGCAAAAAUGUUUCACUUACAAAAUAUACAAAUACCAAGGAUUAUUUUGUUCACGAAUAUGAUGUUUGUUUCCAAUUUCAGUAGACUUACCUUCUGGUCCGGGUCGUCCUUUUGGAGCAACGCCUUUUCCUUAGCUUGUUGUAACAAUGACUCAAGCUCAACCUCAUCAUGCCUCACUGGUUGUGCCAUCUCCUCGAUCGACGAUAGCUAUCCUUUAAUUCUGCUAUAUAUAUUUUCUAUUUUUGUUGUUGAUAUCUAUAUAUCUUUCUCCCAAAGGCUAGCUCUAUUUAUAGAUUAGCUCUAUUUACAACACAGGGUACUGAUGUUAUUCGUGGAUAAUCUUGUUUUAGUAUAUUAUACUAUAAUAUCCUAUCUUCAAAUAUUCCUUCCUUUUUUCGCAGUGGGGAUCCUGGAUAAGUUUGAAUUCAUGAUCACAUAUGCUUGUGCCAUCUCCUCGAUCUGUUUUUGUUCUUGAUGUCUAUAUAUCUACCUUCCAAAGGCGAGCUCUACUUAUAGAUGGCACGACAGAUAUUCCAUAAUAAUACCCUAUCUUCAAAUAUUCCAUAAUACCCUAUCUUCAAAUAUUCCUUCCUUUUUUCGCAGUGGGGAACCUGGAUAAGUUUAACAUCAUGAUCAUCGCGAAGAAGCAUAGAUCGGCAUAUUCUGUUUAAUAAUUUUGUAGAGUAAUUAUUUUUCAUUUCUAAGUUCAAUAAUUCUUUCUUCAGCUUGUUGCCUGGCAAAGUUUAAUUAAUGAAGGCGAAAGGUAUGUAGCCAUCCAAGCAAGUUAAUGAUGAAAUUCUUCUAACUAUAAUAUCAGAGCAAUAAGUUUGCUAUCAGAUCAAUAAGUGCUGCUGAAAAUUAAAAUUAUUGCUUAAACAAGAGUAAGUGUUGCAAAUGUAUAGUUGCUCUGACAGUAUAAUGUUAUCAACAACCAUUAGGUAAUCUAUAUAUAGGACAUUCAGAAAUGAUUAAAACAUUUUAAAAAAAUAUUAACUAUUAUAUUAAGUAAUAUUAAAUAAAUUUACAACAAUUUUGAAUUUUUUCAGAGAGGUAAAAUAAUAAAAUUUUGUCAUUCAGAUGUUUCAGACAUGUCAAUUAUCAAACAACUUUUUUCAUUCAGAUUCAGAUUCAGCUCAUUCAGAUUCAGAUUCAGAUUCAGAUUCAGAUUCAUUUUUUAUCAAACACCCCCUAAGGGCUAGAUUUAGAUGAAUUUUCCAUAUAUAUAUAUAUAGGAAUGAUCUACAGAGACCUUUGACUGUAGCCAAUAAUCUAUCCAACAGUUUGGCAAGUGAUAGUCUAUACUAGCACUCGUCAACAAUAACAGUUUGGUAGACCAUUAUUUACACCAAAAGAAAAAAUCGAUCUCCACCAUUUUCUCAUGGUUUAAUCUCUCCAAAAGAAAGCAGAUUCAAGGACUCCUUCUACAGUUCUUAGUUGUGCCCACGAUAUUCUCCACCAACUAUAUAAACUUAUCCAGAUUCUCCAUGCACUAAAUUGUCAAGCACUAAAAUGUGAUUCGUUUCCUCUUCUGCAGUCCCACACCAAAGACAAUCAGUGUUGUUAUUGUGUCCAAGAACUUUUCUCCUUUCUAAAAAACCUUUUGUUGGAAUGGCAUCUUGCAAAGCUGACCAUAGAAACACUUGAAUUUUUGCAGGAAAAUCCUUACCCCAUACCAGAUGUGACCAAAUAGCAUCUUGAGGACUGUUUUUUCUCUCUUCUAUAAACUCUGAACACUUUUUCGCAGAAUAUCUCCCAUCUUUAUUAUAUUUCCACAAGUGUUGAAAAAUGAACUUGUCCCGCAAAUAAUUAAGUAUUUAGCAUAUUUAUGUUUUAAUUAAUAUUUAUGUACUUGUUGGUUCAUGUAUUUGAAGGUUCAUAAACUAGUUGAAAAGGUGUCUAGGGAGUUGAUUUUUAUUAAGUACUCAUUCAUGUAUUUGAGUUUAUACAUAUUAGGAGAUUCCUAUAAAUACCAUGUACUCAAUUCAUUUCAAGCAAGAAAUAUAAGAUUUUCUUUGUGAUAACAUCUUCUCUAGCUAUUUUCUCUAGUGUGUGAGGAAAUUAGUGAUGUUCGAGUAAAUGAAAAAAUUAUUCGUUCUUUAAGUCCCAAGUAUGAGUAUAUUGUUGUAGCCAUUGAGGAGUCGAAAGACUUGAAAACCAUGAUUGUUGAUGAAUUUAUGGGUUCGCUGCAAAUCUAUGAAGAGAGGCUUGAAAAGCAAAAGAAGGAGCUUAUUGAGCAAGUGCUCCGAUCCAAGCAAACCUUUCUUUCAAGGAGAGGGAAGAAAAACAUAGAAAUAGUCAAUGAGGUCGAGAUCGUGGCCAAGCAAGAGGCCUUGGAAGAGGUGGAAGAGGAAGUCACUACUCUUCUCACAAAGAAGAAAGGGGUCAAGAGUCUCAUCACACAAGGAGACGUGGAAGAGGAAAUUAUUCAUGACCGUAUCAAAAGAGGUAUGAUAAAUCUCAAGUUUAAUGUUACAAUUGUCACGAUUAUGGGAACUAUACUUCGGAGUGUAAGAAUGAUUCAAAAGAUGUUGAAGGAAAGUCAAAUUAUGUGGAGAAAAAUGUUGAUGAAGUGGAGCCCACUUUACUUUUGACAUGCAAAGGAGAUGAGUGAAGAUAACAAUACAUGGUAUCUUAACACAGGUGCAAGCAAUCAUAUGUCUGGAAGGAAAAAUAUGUUCAUUGAGCUUGAUGAAUCUGCAUGCGGCAAUGUCACUUUUGGAGACUCAUCAAAAAUUUCGAUUAAAAGAAAAGGUAAAAUUUUGAUUCGCUUAAAGGAUGGGAGGCACCAAUUUAUUUUCAAUGUUUAUUAUAUGCCAAAUAUGAAGAACAAUCUUUUGAGUUUGGGUCAGCUCUUAGAGAAAAGUUAAUUAUGAACGAAUAAUCAAUAAGAGAUCAAUCCAGAAAUUUACUAGUGAAGGUGCCUAUGACAGGAAAUCGAAUGUUCUUAUUGAAUUUUCAAAAUGAUGUGGCAAACUAUUUAAAAUCUUGUUUUAAAGAUUCAUCUUUGCUUUGGCACUUUAGAUUUAGGCACUUGAAUUUUGGCGGUUUAGAAGCUUUGUCGAAGAAGAGGAUGGUGAAAGGGUUGCCUUCAAUUCACCACCCCGAUCAACUUUUUGAAGGGUGUCUUUUUUCCAAGCAAUCUCGGGAAAGUUUUCUAAAAAAUUAACAACUAGAGAAACCAUGCCGUUGGAACUUGUGCACUCGGAUGUGUAUGGUCCUGUUCAUCCGUCAUCAUUUGGUAAGAAUAAUUAUUUUCUCCUCUUUAUUGAUGAUUUUAGUAUGAAGAUAUGGGUUUAUUUUCUCAAAGAAAAAUCAGAGGUGUUUGGAGCUUUUAAAAAAUUGAAAACUUUUGUGGAGAAGCAUAGCGGGUAUAAUAUCAAGGCCAUUAGAUCCGAUAUAGGGGGCAAGUUCACGUUAAAUGAAUUUAAAUUAUUUUGUGAAGAAAAUAGAAUUGAUCAUCCUUUAACGGUUCCAAGAAUAUCGCCACAACAAAAUGGGGUGGCAGAGAGAAAAAAUAGAAGCAUCCUUAAUAUAACUCGAAGUAUGUUGAAAAGCAAGCAAAUAUAUGCCAAAAGAAUUUUGGACCGAAGCUAUUUAUUAUGCCAUCUAUUUGUCAAACUGUUGCCCGUCUAGAAGUGUUGAAGACAUGACACCACAAGAAGCUUGGAAUGGGAGAAAGCCAAAUGUUUAUCAUUUGCUUGUUUUUGGGAGUAUUGCUUAUAUGCAUGUACCGAAUGAGAAGUGGUCAAAGCUAGAUGAUAAAAGUGAGAAACAUAUUUUCAUCGGUUAUGAUGCAAGAUCCAAGGGCUAAAAAUUGUACAAUCCAAUCAACGAAAAAAUUGUGAUAAGUAGAUAUGUGAAAUUUGAUGAAGAAAGCUCGUGGGAUUGAAACAUUUCGGAGGAAAAUUAUAAUUUCUUUCCUUUCAUUGACGAGGAAGCGCAAGAAAGAGAAGGGGUCACGGGUGUAACGCCCCCAAAUCCGGGUCCCUUGAACCUCGAAACUAGUUUGUCUCGGUAAUACCUUCAUCUCAAUACAUACAAUCUUUAUUCAUAAAUAACUGAACACAACCUGACUUUUAUACCAAUCAAUACGGUGACAAUGAUGAAUUUGAAGUGUUUGCGGAUUCGAGUUGAGGGAGGAAUUGUUGGAAAAUUGUUCAAAUCCUAUUCAGAUAUGAAGUUGAAGUAUUUGGGGAUUCCAGACGAGGGAGGAAUUAUUGGGUUACUCCUCGAAUCAUAUUCAGAAAAGGAUUGCUAAUAUGAAAAGGAAGAAAUCCUAUUUUUAAUAGGAGCAUUAUUUUAUAAAGGAAUCUAUUAGUAGUAGGAGUUUUAUUUUAGAUAUGUCCUAUUUUGAAUAGGAAUAAAAUAAUUGUGAGGUACUUUAUAAAUAGAGUAUUAUGUUGAGUUGUUGAAGUGUAGCACAAUCAAAAGUCAUAUAGCAUCCUAAGAGUUGAGAGAGGGUGUGAGUGAGUUUUGUGUUUGUUUGAGGAAGAGGGUUUUUGCAGCUUUUAUAUUCCGUGCAAAAAAGUUGUAUUGUGGGUGAGAGGGUUUUGCAGCUUCUAGUCCGUGCAAAAAGUUGUGUCGCAGUAUUGUGGAACCUCAAAUUUUAGGGUGUAAAACUUAGGAUGAUUAUUAUAAGCCCAUUAUUUUGAUAUAAUGGAUAUUCAGAGUUUGGCCUGUGGUUUUUCCCUUUAAGGGUUUUCCACAUUAAAUCUUGUGUUUUUAUUUCUCUUUAUUUUAUUGUGUGGUUUGCGUUGACUUAAUUCCCAACAAAAUAGUCAUCGCAAAUAAUUGUAUUGUUGUUGUCGUUGAUAAUAACAAUAUUUGUGUCACUAAAUGUGUUUUGAAAAAAAUUGAUUAAUGGAGGAGAUUUCACGGGAUUGAGAUUUGCGGACUAAGAUCUCCUUCCAUUACACUUUUCACUCAGUUUUCUCAAUACACAGUUAACAUAAAAAUAUUAUUUUUAGUGACAGUAACAACAACACAAUUCUUUGUAACAAAUUUUAUCACGUUGCUAAAUGUAAUAUUUUGUCAUUAAAUGUGCAUUUGGGGAACAUGAGUGAAAAGCAUAAUGCAAGGAAUUCUGAUC
rnacentral:lncRNA from 1 species